UUCUCAUCAAACGCAACUUAAGAAACAAUUUUACGCAUACAAUUUAUCAUAUGUCUUGCAACCAUAAAGCCAGAAUUUUAACAAUAGAUUAACAAAAUAAGUUGUAAUUCAAGAUGGAUAAUAUGAAUUAACUCAUCUUUGCAAAAGGAUGUCUUUUCAGCAUGAUGUAUGGUUUGAGAAGCCUCCCACAACAAACUUACAAACUUGUUCAGAAUUUCAGUUAAUAAAAGGAUGCUAACAUGGCUGAUUUUAAGUUUCACUAGGGGUCUAGUGGGUGAUAGAUUCCGAAAUUUGUUAUGUUUGUUUCCAGUUUCUGGCUGUUUUUUCAUGUUUCCCACUUUGGGGGUCAACAUAUAUCAUGUAUAUGCUAGAGUUGAGCUCCUAGCAAUCUGUUUCAACAUGCAUCAUAGGAUUGGGUUAUAUAACUUCACAGCCAUCACUAAUCCCCUACACAAAAUGCGAGUUUCAUUCAAAAAGAUAUUGAUCUUGCCUUGCAGCCACACAUAGAUUCCAAACUCACAGAAAAUCCUUGAGUUUUAUGCUAUUAAGAGACAUACUGUAACGCAUCACUCGCAGUCCUUGAGUUUUAAGAGUUCUUUUUUGUAUCUAUUUUGGGAUUGGAUUAGAUUGUACAUAAGGGAUGGGUCUAUAUCAUCAUUAGAUUUUGUAUAUUGGUUAGGUUCCCCGUAGGGUGCGGUUCUUUUUUUGUGUAUUCACCCCUUAUGAAUUUUGUUUUUUUGUAUACAUCAUGUAUACUUUUUUAAUACAAUUUCCAUUUACCUAUCAAAAAAAAUCUUUGUAACAAACUUCUGAGUGGCAACAGCUACUAGUCUAAUUCUUCCAAGGUAAAGGAGAAAGUCUAUGCAUUCUAAUAAGAUAAAAAUUCAGAAAGAUUCUUACUGGAUUUCAAGAAAUCAUGUAAGGAAAUUUUAGCUCAAUGGAAAGUGAUUUCAAGUUCCACAUACACUAUAAUCCAAAAACAUGUAGGGAAAUUUCAAAUGAAUGCACACAUGGAUCCUCUUACCAAAAGAGUAGAGCGUGAGGAAAAAUGUAAACAAAGAAAGAGUUGAUUCUAGCUUGAAGAAAUAAAACUUAAUUAAAAACCAUCCAUAUAGGAGGUAAUCAAAACAUAUUUAUUUUAUACAUAAGGAGAAAUAUCUUACAAUGGACAAGGGUAGGAAAAGCUUGAAGAAAGCUUGAAAGCUUGAAGAAAGCUUGAAAGCUUGAAAGCUUGAAGAAAGCUUGAAAGCUUGAGAGCUUACAUGAUGAGAGAGAAAGAAGAGAGAAGGAGCAUAUGGAAUGGAAAAUUACAUUCUGCUUACAAAUGAGGACUGAGCCUCCUUAAAUAGGCAAAACGGAAUCUUAAAUAGUAAUAAUGAACAGCAGACCCGUACUUGAAUAGUGCUUGAAUAGUAAAAGUGAACAGUGAAAGGGAACUGUAGCACUUUUGACUUUGACCCGGAAUCUUGCUUUCGGCUGAAAUGACAGUUGUAAACUCGAAUGCUGGAAAACACUACAGUAGAGGAUAAUUUGACAGGUGGAGAAUCAUUACUUGUAUUUUCUUACUGGUGGGAGAAUACCUUCACAGUCAUCCCCAUUGUCAGGAAGGUAACUUGUUGAAUCAUUAGAUUCUGCAUAUGAGUUGUCUUGUGAAAAGCUUGAGCUUCCUUCAUCCAGGAUUUUUUGGAAUUCUUGAGGGGUUUUUGCGGCUGCUAGCAUGGCUUGAAACUGUUGCUUCUUAAGCAGAAAUUGUGACAUUUCAUCAUUAGUUGAGGCUUGUGUGGGGUGCUUGAGAAAGUACUGCUUAACUGCAUUAAGAGAUGCGUCCCACCAUUUUGUCUUAAAAGUCCUUCCGAUGGUUGGAAAGGUUGCUGAUUCAUCUGCUAUGAUUAAAUAAUCCCACUGGACAAUCCAAGCGAGACCAAAAUUGCUGAAGAAGAAUAAUAAAAGUGGAAAGACCCAGUCCCAGUUUGGGCGAUAGCAUCCAAACGUCCAUUCUCGAAACGUUGGGUUUCGGUCAGUAUCUGAGUUCACGGUCGCCGAUCAUUGUUUAUAACAUUCCAUCUCUGAGUACACAAAAACAAUCAAUUAUCCCUUCUCCAAAAGGCAGCGUCUCUGUCAAUUCUGGGAUCAAGGUACUGUUCCAAUCUCUAUUCCUACUUCAUUCAAUCGAUUUCUACGGUUGAUACAAGUCGAAAUGAUGAGAAAAUGAAGGGAUAUUUUGAAUAGAAAAUUUUCACCAUCUAGGGUUCGAGAUUACAAAAAAUUGCACUUUAGCAACUCAUAAGAAUCUUUGGUUUAGUUGAUCUGAGUUUUUAAAUUUUUAUUUAUUUGUUUAUUUGUUUUGAAUUUUUGGCAGCAAAGAAAGUGGGAGAGGGAACGUAGAAAUCAAAAUGUGGUUUUCUUUUAUUUUUCUUCAAUUUCUUGGUAACAAAAUAGAGGGUUGGAUUUCACACUGAUUGUUGUUGCUGGAAGUUUUCAAUUAUAGGGUUUCUCUUUGAACAGCUAUGGAACAAUUGCUAGUUUGGAUUAGAUUAACAGUCCAAGGAAUGUUUUCUUGUAUAAAAAAUAGAUUUAGUUUAGAUACAGAGAAAAUAUUAAAAUGGCAAUUAAAAUUUUGCAUUGUAAGAUUUUCAACAACAAUGAUUUGAAUCAUAAGAUUUUCAAACCAGUAAGGGCUAGUGGUAUUUAGCCAAANNNNNNNNNNNNNNNNNNNNNNNNNNNNNNNNNNNNNNNNNNNNNNNNNNNNNNNNNNNNNNNNNNNNNNNNNNNNNNNNNNNNNNNNNNNNNNNNNNNNAAACCAGUAAGGGGUUAGGUGUAUUUAGCCAAACCCUCAGGAGGUGAAUGAAAUUAACCAGAAAUUUUAACAUAUAGAGAAUAAUAAAAUUGCAUACCACUUCUGCUUUUCUCAAGAGAGGUUAAGUUUGUAAAUGGUUGAUUCGUAAUGUUAACCAAGUAAGCAUGUUAAAAACUAAGCAUACACUGGAAUGGAAUAGGUCUCAAGGAUUAUGUUGUUGAGGGGUGAACAUAGUUUAGUUGAUGGUCCUGGAUAAAGGGUAACGGUGAACCUUGGAUCUAAAGAGUUGUUUUCAAAAAGAGUGUAUGGCUACUUAAGAGUGAAAACGAGAUGAGAAGUGUAUUGUUUUUUUUUUUUUUUUAAAUUUAUAGAUAGAUUUAUAGAAUAGUUGAAGACUGAAUUCAUAGAACUCUUGUUGUGGAGAAAUUUUCUCUUUAAGUAUAGAAGAGAGGCUUAAAAAGAAAGAGAAGUUGGAAGUUGGGAGAUUAAUGCAUCUCAAAAGAUGGCCAAAUUCAGUCUAUUUAUGAUUUCUGUAUCGGAAAUAUUAUAUCAUACGCGGAAAGAUAUGAGUAUAUUUUUUCCUAUAAAAAAAAAUUAAAAAAGGAUCUUACAUGGAUGUUUACCAUUUUAAUUAGAAAUUAUUAGGACAUCAAUAUUAGUUGCUAUUAUCAAGUAGUUACUUUGGCAUGUGGUGUAGCAGUUACUGGGCAUUACUCAUGGUUUCUUAGCAAGUUGUUCUUCACUUUAUUGCACAAGUGAAUUAGUAGAGAUCCUUUUAUUUAAUUAAAACUUUCAGUUAGGAUUCUUUUCUUGCAUUUUAGACCUGUCCAUUCACGCCUAAAAUGGUUGAAAUUGAUUUAAGGAUGACUCUCUACAAAUAGAAUAAAGAGAUUGGAUGCUGGGAUUUUCUGUUUAAUGGUCAACCAAUUUUUGAGACUUCCUUUAUAAUGAGCACAAAGAUGCCCUAGAAAUGCACUUGGGUUGUGGCUCCCUUUUGUUUUGCACUUCUUAAUAUAUCCUGUUUCUUUGCUUGUCAAAAAAGGGAAAAAGGUAAAAACACCCUGGAGAGUAUAACAAUGCAUGGAAAAAAUUGCAAAUUUUCUUAAGCAAAACAUUAUUGCCAUCUAAUGCUCCUUUGUUCUGAAAGUUUGAUGAAUACAUUAUAGAAAUAUUUGUGCUAUGAAACAGAGAGAUUUUUCUUCUUUUACUUGGUACAAGUUUUUGUGAUAUCUCACUAAUGCUGAAGCUGUAACAUUUACUGAGAGGGUUCAACAUUUAUACGUGAUCCUACAAACAUAGCAUAGAAGUUGUGUGUACUUAUAUAAGGAGAUUGGGGGAGUGGGGAAACUUUGACCUCUCCUAUUUUUCACUUAUAUAAUUUACAUUAGUAAAAUAUUUUGGAUUUAUGUAAUUUUUGUUUUUGCUGAGCUAGAAUCAGCUCUUUCUUUGUUUACAUUUUUCCUCACGCUCUACUCUUUUGGUAAGAGGAUCCAUGUGUGCAUUCAUUUGAAAUUUCCCUACAUGUUUUUGGAUUACAGUGUAUGUGGAACUUGAAAUCACUUUCCAUUGAGCUAAAAUUUCCUUACAUGAUUUCUUGAAAUCCAGUAAGAAUCUUUCUGAAUUUUUAUCUUAUUAGAAUACAUAGACUUUCUCCUUUACCUUGGAAGAAUUAGACUAGUAGCUGUUGCCACUCAUAAGUUUGUUACAAAGAUUUUUUUUGAUAGGUAAAUGGAAAUUGUAUUAAAAAAGUAUACAUGAUGUAUACAAAAAAACAAAAUUCAUAAGGGGUGAAUACACAAAAAAAGAACCGCACCCUAUAGGGAACCUAACCAAUAUACAAAAUCUAAUGAUGAUAUAGACCCAUCUCUUAUGUACAAUCUAAUCCAAUCCCAAAAUAGAUACAAAAAAGAACUCUUAAAACUCAAGGACUGCGAGUGAUGCGUUACAGUAUGUCUCUUAAUAGCAUAAAACUCAAGGAUUUUCUGUGAGUUUGGAAUCUAUGUGUGGCUGCAAGGCAAAAUCAAUAUCUUUUUGAAUGAAACUCGCAUUUUGUGUAGGGGAUUAGUGAUGGUUGUGAAGUUAUAUAACACAAUCCUAUGAUGCAUGUUGAAACAGAUUGCUAGGAGUUCAACUCUAGCAUAUACAUGAUAUAUGUUGACCCCCAAAGUGGGAAACAUGAAAAAACAGUCAGAAACUGGAAACAAACAUAACAAAUUUCGGAAUCUAUCACCCACUAGACCCCUAGUGAAACUUAAAAUCAGCCAUGUUAGCAUCCUUUUAUUAACUGAAAUUCUGGACAAGUUUGCAAGUCUGUUGUGGGAGGCUUCUCAGACCAUACAUCAUGCUGAAAAGACAUCCUUUUGCAAAGAUGAGUUAAUUCAUAUUAUCCAUCUUGAAUUACAACUUAUUUUGUUAAUCUAUUGUUAAAAUUCUGGCUUUAUGGUUGCAAGACAUAUGAUAAAUUGUAUGCGUAAAAUUGUUUCUUAAGUUGCGUUUGAUGAGAAAUUUCAUAAUCUGUAACAAAGGCACUUGAUUUGAGCAUUUGGGAGUUCGUUUAUUUGGAGCAUCCUGUCUCAAUAGAUGAGACCCCUUUGAACAAAUGGACCCAAAAUACACAGCAGAAAUAUUAGAGUAAAGCUCAUCAAUUUUCUUCUGUUCUUAUUUCCAUUAUUAUUAUUAUCAUUAUUAGUAGUAGUGUUAAUAUUUAGUUAAUUGCUUCUUUUUUUUCUGUGCAGACAUUUGGAGAAGCAGAAUGACCUCCUUAUGGAUGCUUAUAGAUCAAUGUCGCACGAAUUGCACAAACUUCAGGUUGUUCAACUUUAAUUAUGAAUGCCCUUCUCUAUAUGCCUUCUGAUAAGUAUCUGUUAGAAUAAUUCUUAAGAAACUUUGAACAAGAUAACAAAAAUAUUUAAAUAGAUUUCUUUUAUGUGGAUUUUAACAAUGGCUUCUGUUUGAAAAUUUUAGGAGGAACAAUGGACAAGAUAAUAAAGUUACUUGAGAAAUUCUAAAUGUAAAUUACUUGGGGGUUGGCUUACAUCUAUAAUAAAAAGUUGAUUGCAUAUGUUAAUACUAACUGAUUUAGCAACACUAAUAUUAACCGUUUUGUUGCAUGUUGGCAUGAUAUUUCUUAUUUAUAAUGUGUAUUUCAUGCAAGCAGUAGGGUCAUUGUCUGGGCUUCCUCAUUGAUAAUCAUUGAAAUCAAGUGGUGACAUGGGAUGUGAAGAAGAAUCGAAAGGAAACAUUAAGAGAUGCAUCAUUUUUUAAUGCGUCCCACCAUUUUGUCUUAAAAGUCCUUCCGAUGGUUGGAAAGGCUGCUGAUUCAUCUGCUAUGAUUAAAUAAUCUCACUGGACAAUCCAAGCGAGACCAAAAUUGCUGAAGAAGAAUAAUAAAGGUGGAAAGGCUGAAAGUUCUUUUGGGAUAAUAAAAAAGCUGCUAAAUAGCUCAAACCCAUCCAAAACAGGCUUAGGGAGAAUCUUAAUAGAGGGACCAAAAUAUGUCCACCAAUUGUGGAACCAAAAUGGGAAAGAGGAAAGCUGAUUCUUAGAGGGGAAGUAGAACAUCCAUGAAUGAUGGAAGUCCCUGUUUUGGAUUAAAAAAGUAUUAAACCAGGCUUUCUGAUAAUCCCAAUAGUAUAUAUAUAUAUAUAUAUAUAUAUAUAUAUAUAUAUAUAUAUAUAUAUAUAUAUAUAUAUAUAUGAAAGGCAUUCUGUUUUAUUUUUAAUUUGAGCAACAAAAGCUUAUAUAUAUAAUAAGCUCAAGGAUAAAUCUUAUGCAGAAGAAAGCUAGUAAAACGGCUAAUGUCAACAUCCCCACAUUAGAAUGCCCUGGACCUCAGCCACGCAUCCUUAGAUCACCUCCCAUUGAGGAAUAAUGACUGAUAUACCACUUUUAUUAUGCUUUCAAUCGUCAAGGCAAAUUCUCACACUACCAACUCUUUAUACUUUUUGAGAACAAUUUAUGGAAUUUAUAAGAAGCUAGUUUACCAUAAGACCUAGGCUUACAUUUUUUACAUUGUUAUUAUAAUAUGAAUAUGCUUGACAGUGUAGAUAUUCUUUACAUGACUUGUUCCCUAAAAGAGUGAAAACUUUCUUCUACAAAAUACCAAUUCCUUUGUCGCAAUAAAGAACUACAUAUUGGUUGAACACUUUCAUAAAGUAGACAAUCAAGUUAGAAGCAAAGUCAAAAGUCAAUUUUGAAAUUGAAAAUUUUGAAGUUGUAACAUGAAGACCCUUUUUAUCAAAGUGAGUUGGGUUAUAUCCUCCUCUAAAGAUUGGAUCAUUGCAUCCAACUCUCUGGAUUAUGAUAUAACUCUAUUUGUCUACUUCAUCAUCAUUGGAUGACUCUAUGUCAGCAUGAGAAGGUAAACCUACUGAUCAUAUAUCAUUUCAGCCUACAAUUUAUAUCCUACCAAAACAAGGUCAGUAGUCAAUCACCAACUAGACAUGUCUGCUACCUAAUUAGGCAUAAAAAAAUAAAUCAUCUCUUCUAUUCAUUUUUCCUUAAAUUUGUAAAGAAAAAACUACAGUAUUGCCUUCCUGCCACUCUGAACAACAACUGUGAAUUUAUACAAGAUAUCAAGUUCUGACUUUCUCAACACCUAACACUAGUGUCUAUAAUUUUCUUCAGGUAACAAUCGUUCCCCAUAUUAGAUCCUAUCAUAAAAUAGAAUGGCUAAUAGAUUUCAAAAUCUAUUAUUACUGAAGACGUCUUCAAAUUUAUCUUAUGAACAAAUCUAUUUAGUGGUUCAGAUUUCAGGGAGAUUUCAAAAUCAAUUAUUACUGAAGACGUCUUCAAAUUUAUCUUAUGAAACACAUAUAUUUAGUGGUUCAGAUUUCAGGGAUCCUUAUCAUUUAAACAAAUACUUUUGACCGUUACAGUUCCAGAAUAAACAACGUCAAAGCCGCAUUCAUAGUAUCUCAACUUGAUAAACUAGUCUCAACCAACACCAAUUGUUGCGCUACGCAUCAUGGAAUGGAGAUUCUACCUUUCAGGUCCAAAACGAACCGUUUUUUGAUAGGAUACUCCAAAAUAUUUAACUACUCGGAUAAUAAUGACCAACCCUCUUUCUUCUAAAGAAAGAAAAGGGAAAGUUAGAUAUGCCUUUUGCAACUUCAUCCCAAAACUAAGAAAACAAAGCCAAACAGAUGGCUUACAUGUUCACAAUGAAGAUCUUCUUUAUAAUCUCCUAAAGAUGAAACCUUUAACAUAGAAAGGAACACCCAAACACAAAAACCUAAUUCAUCAACAUACCAGGAGCGAAGGGUUUUAUGUUGUGAAGAAUCAGAUCAUGAUUUUGAGCAAACUACCACAAAAUACCCAAACAAAGCCAGCAAGAACACACAAAAUUUUAAACACACAAACAGGAAUUAUGAUCCAACAAAAACCCUCUUCAAAACCCUAAUCAAUAAUCAGAAAUAAACUACGAGCAAAGCAGAAAAACCUUAUCAUAAACCCUAAAGAAGCAUAGAUGAAUCAAUAUCAAUAGAAGAAGAUGAGAUAAAACCCUAACCUUGAUGAAGGAUUGAGACGGAGAGAAAUACAGAAGCCAAAUUGAAAUGAGAAUAAGAUGCGGAUGAGAGGGUGUCGUGUUUAUAGGCAUUCAAGGAAUUUUCAUUUUUAUAUUUUAUUAAAAGAUAAGGUUUGGCCAAGUUGCCAAAGUAAGCUUUAAAAAAAGUAUGUUAUGAAGUUGUGAUUCAAUUAUUUUUUUUGGAUGAAAAUAAAUCUAUUUUUUAAGGAAUAUAUUUAUAUAAAAAAAUUAUUAAGAUGUAAAAUUAAAAUGAUAAAUAUGGGAAAGAAUUUUUAAAAAUAAAUCCGUAGUUAAUUUUGGUAUAAAAAUUAUUGUGAAAAAUUUCAAUAAAUCGUGAUACGAUUUUUCAUGAUUAUUAAUAAAUCAUAUUUUUAUUGAUUUUUUUUUUUAAAGGUCAGGCAUCUUUGUAUUAUGCUUUCAUUUCUUUAUAUCAUAGUUUUUUUUCUUUAUAUUUUGAUCUUAUUUCUUUAUAUCUUACGUUAAUUAUAUUCAAAAACGGUAUAUAUAAGUAAUUUUUUAAUUUUAUGAUUGUUUUAUCAUUUUUAUAAUGUAUGUGUUGUUGAAACCUAACAAAAUGUGAACUUUUAGCAAAUUUUUAGUGAUUUCAUAUCCAUACGUUCAACUUUGGCUCUUUAGUCUUCUAAUUGCACUCCCCAGUUCUCUAUUCCACUCCAACGAAAUGAAUUACAAGUAGUUUCAAGACUUUGUUGACAUUAUUUAAAUUCUUUAAUAUAUAUUCACUCAAUUGUUUACCAAACUUUAAAAUAGUAAUAAAUUUUAUAGGGGAAUUUAUGUAACCAGGGGAAAAAAAUUGACUUUUAGGAAUUUUUCUUUUUACUUUUCAAGUUCAAUCAAUUUUGGGGAAUAUAAAUGUUUUUCCAUACUGUGGACUUAUAUUUUUUACGUGUGCCUCCACUCAAUCGGCGAUACUCGUUUUUAUUGGUGAAAAAUUAGUUUUGGAAAAGUUAGAGUCGCCACUUAUUUUAUUUUUAUUUUAAAGAAAAAAUAAAAUAAGAAAGAAAACCCUAAAAAAGUGACUGCAUAAUUUUUGAAAAAGCAUGUCUUUGAAAAACCCGAGUCUAGGUCUAAGGAUCAGGUUACCUAUUGAGAAGGUACCUCUAAAAAGUACUACCCUUCUAAGCCCUAAAGAGGUCUCUACUGACCUAAUUGAGGGAAAUGGGCAAAUUAAUUGGUUAAUUAUAAAUAUCUAGGUAGGCUAAGAUGAUUUUGAGAUUCUAUCAAUACUAGCAUGUCAAAUAAGAAAUCAAAUUACAAUCAUAAAGGAGAGUCAGGGUGUGUACCUAAACUGCUUCUUACUUGCUAUCAAAAGACAAUCAAAGUUAAUUUAAUAAUAUAUCACUUAACAUGCAUUUUAUUAGAGAUAAUCAAACAAGUAUCAAGGCAAUCAAGGAUAACAUUUAAACAUGGAUAUAGAUCAUGAUAACAUGCAUUUUCAUAGAAUUUUGGAAUUAGAGGAUAGAUAGCAUACCUGGAUAGUAAGCAUAUUUUAUAAGAUUCCUCAAAAAAUGCUAGAGUGGUUUGGACAAGCAUAAAUUAUUUAACAUAUCCAUUAUGUCUAAUAUACAAUUUCAAAACCAAAAAUUGAGCUAAGAUAAAUCAAAUAACUCCAAAAAUAAUAACAAUUUCAAGUAAAGUAUAAAACCAUCAGCAUGCAAUUAGAAAAGGAAGCAUCACAAAGCAAUUUCUAAAAAAAAAUGGCUUAGAGUGGAAUUUAAUUACGAAAAAUUUCAAGCAACAACUCCUACACAUCUAGAUCAACAUACUGAAAUCCAAACACUCAUUCAAAGGAUAGAUUACAACAAAGACACCUAAAAGUUUUACAAAGUCCAAAUUAAAUAAGAAAAAGGGACAUGCAUAAACGAGUUUUUAAAAAAAUAAUAAAUGAUCACAUAAAAUCAUAAAAAAAUCACACACGUAGUUAAAAAUGUCUAUAUCAGAUAAAAAAAUGAAUCCAAGGUCAGAUAGUACUCAAAGAUAUUUUUAAAACACUCAAGCUUCUCAGAUGUCCAGAAUCCAGCAUGCAUAGUAGGCACGAAUUUGAAAAAUCAUAUCUGUCCCAAAAAGGCAUAUUUUUUUAAUAUUUUUCAUGUCUAAGAUCAAUUUCAAAAAGCCUAGAAUUGAGAAAAAAUAUUGAGUCAAAUUUAAAAAGUGGUUUGGUAUUUUAUUUUUUCAAAAAGAUCUCAGGUGUCCAGAACUAGGUGAAAAUGGAGCCCCUCUAAAAACUCAUUUAUAUCUUCUAUUUCAGAAUGAAUUUCUAACUCAAACAAAAUUUUAAAUUCAAGUCAAGAAGUGAGGAAAGUCAUACAAUUUUUGGAAAUUUUUUUUAAAAUAUUAUAAAGUUUCCGAAACGAAUUUUGAAUCUAAAGGGUCAAUGGUUGAGUGAAAACUGACAGCAAGUGGUUUCUUGAAAUUUGAAUUUUUUUUAUGAAUCUAGAAACUCUUUAAAGAUGAAAUAUGAAGGAAACUAGAACCGUUUAACAAAAUAAAGAAAUAGGAGGAUGGUGUGACUGCCCUUAAGAAUGAGUGAAUGGUGUGUGUAGGUAAGAUCAUAUUUGGAGGCUGACUAAUUCCAUAUUACGCAUGUUGCAUGUUGCAUGUUGCAUGCUGUAAUGUGGCUUCAAAGAGGAUGCAAACCACCCCGUUUUCAAUCCUUGAUGCAUCUGUUAGUGGAGCCCAUUCAUAGUGGCAGUAAAGUUGUAAAUUCCUUUUGAGUUGUGUGCUGAAAUUGAAUUCCAAAUGCACUUUGUCCCUUGUAGCAUUGCUAAUUGCAUGGAAAAAAAAAAACAUGUCUGCUCAUAUGCAAACCGUUGACCCUUUUAUGCAUGGACUUUCACAAAGAUCCUAGUUAGAGCAAUGUGAGACAUCAAAUUGCUAAUGUUAUGGGGUACAGUCCCAUCAAUUUAAUUUCCUUAGGGCAUCUGAAAGUGUUAAUGACCUACAUAAAUGUAUCGUUUCUUUUGAUAAAAUAUAGAGUUUCGAAGUCAUCACAAACUCCAAGAACGUCAUGAGAUUCUAACUAGGCUCCAUAUAUAAAUGUCCCAAGGUUGUUACUUGUAAAAAUGCCACAUGGCUCUUGGUAGUUAUCAUCUUUCUACAAAAUGUUUAUUUGAUUUCUAGCAGCUACAACCACACGUCCACCUCUCAGGGAGACAAACAAUGAUACCUAUCUCUUCAAUUUUAUUUUAUUUUUUAGACGCAUAUAACCACUCCAUUUCUCUUUAAUCUAACUCAAACCUCAAGAUAAUGACAGAAAACUUCCUUUGGCAUCUUCAGUUUUUCAAUAGUUGAAUUGAUGGAUUCAGUAUCAAUUCCAAUAUCUAGUCCAAAAACACACUUGUUGUAGCCACAUGCUCCCCAGACUGCACAUACUGAAGGCUCACAAAUCGAAUAUGCAUAACAAGCAGCAUUCCUAAUAUAUACCUGUAGUUAUACGCCACAUACAAUCUCAUCGAAUACCUGCCUUAAAUCAAAAGCACCAUGGCAUAAAGCGGAAUCAAAUUGAUAAUAAACGCAUAACCGCUCCAAGCUGAAACCAUAUAGAAGUGUCCAAAACUGGCUUCUCGAUAUGCAAAGUAGUUUGGUUGUGGCUCUAUCAUCAACCUUAUACGACCUUCUUUCAAGAGGGACCCACACGUCUGCCACCUGGAAUCAUUUCUUAAGGAAAGGCAUGCAUGCAUGGUAGUUUGAUUGUUAACGUGGGUACAGGUAAGAUAGGUUUCUGAUAGCAACUUGGAGUGCACUUCCUUGGAACACGCAUGGUAUAUUGAACUAUAAUCUCUCUUCCCUCUUUAGGAAGUUGUUUAGUGAUUUUAACAUCUUUUGAUAGGAAUGAAAUAAACCAAUCCACAUCAAAGAUUUCAGCAAAGUUGUUGUUAUUCUUCCAAAAAGAUUUUUGGUUCAAAUUGGGAAUGACAUGAAUGGCAAUCAAAAUAUGGGCUACAACAACUACAUAUGUUAUCCCUCUUUUCUGAAUCUUGUGGCCUCGAUUUUAGGCUUUUCGGAAUCACCCAAAACCUCCUUUGCAACCCCAUUUAGUGGCCUUCUUAGCUUGCUACCUCCAAUUUCUCCAAUUCACUACAACUCCUUGGAAUUAACUAUCCAAUAUUUGAGUGAGAUUGUUACACACUUCGGUCAUUUCCCCAAUACAUGCUCAAACACAUAGAUGAGGACUCUAACACCGUGUGAAAGAAUGAGCAGAAAACAUAGAUGAAAACAUUAAAAAAUUCCAGGGAAAGGAUGAGCAGAAGGUGAACAUCAAUAAUCUCAUUUCAAGGGCGGAUCCAUGGGUUAAAACGAGAAAUGAUUCAAAGCAGAUUUUUAACAUAAACAGGGUAGGAUUUCUAUCAUCAGAUUCAAAGACAGACUCAAAUGCAGAUUUCUUUCAGAUAGAAUCGAUGACAUUAACAUAAUGAAGAACAUAGCAAACAGACAAAGAACCAAUUUCAACACAACAAUUUGUGGGCCUUUUCGUCCACACCAAUCAACAAAAUAAAUGCCCAAAACCAUCAGAGAAUCAUCAGGAAUUGAACAUAAGAUAAAGCAUAAAAAAUGGCUGAAAAUGUACCUAGGCAGUCUCCACCCGAUUACUUGGCUUUCCCGCUAUGGUUUCUCUCCCAAAUCCUCAAAAGAAAACCCUGUGAACUGAUGUUCUCUUUCUUUCCACCAAAACGAUCCCUUAAAUCAUCCUCUCCAGUGUCCCUUUUCGUUUCUCUUAGCCUCCAAAAAACCCCUCUGGUGAAAUGGAAAAUCCAACUUCCUUUCUUCUUUUUUUCCUAUAUCUCUUGUUCUAUGCUCUCUUUUAUUUUCUUCCUCUGAAAAACAAUCUUUGAAGUUCCCAUAUUUCUUCUUCUCUCUGAAAACAAUCUCCGAAUCUCCUAUCUUUCUUCUCUACCUCUUCCUAUAUCUCUUAGCUUUUUUUCUCUCUCUAAAAAAUAAUCUCCUAAUCCUAUAUUUCUUUUAUACCCUACACCUAUUUGUUAAAGCUUUUUAUAGCAAAUAACAGUCUUUCUACGUGAAGAGUCUUCCUCUUUCCAAAUUCCCUCUCAUCCACCGCAAAAACUCUUUUUUAAAUUUAAAACAAAACCAAUCCAUGCAUAUCACCUAUAAUCCAUGCAUAUCACCUAAAGAGUCUUACCGCUUUCAAAAACUUCUCCAUUGGUAGAUUUUCCUAUAAAACUUCAAAUUAUUAAAUCGGAUAAAUAAAUAAUAAAUAAUAAAUAAACCGGAGAAUGAUAAAAAUAAUAAUAAUAGAUAAAUAACAAGAUAAUGAACAACUAAAUAAAAAAUAAAAAAUAACUAAAUAAAUAAAAGUGAUUGAUAACAAUGAAAAUAAAUUAAAAUAAAUAAAAUAUAAUAAAUGAUUAAAUAAAAAUGAUUGAUAAUAAUAAUAAUAAUAAUAAUAAUAAUAAAUAAAUAAAUAAGUAAAUGAAAUAAAUGGGCUAUGCAACCAUACAAGUCACGUUAAAAAAGUCUAAUGGGCCAAGCGAGCCUAAGUGGGCCUAAGGUGUCUAAAUGAGACUAAGUGAACCUAGAUGAGCUUAGGGUAUCUAAAUGGGCAUAAGUGAGCCUAAUGUCACAGGAUGCUUCAAAUGACCCUCCCCAAUGGCUUAUAUAGGAGGAGAGAAGCUUCUGGAGACUCCUAGAGCCAUCUACACUAAGCCAUUGGUGGGAAGAGUGUGGAAGGUUCUAGAAAUGCCUAGAGAUGUCCACACAUCUCUACACUAUGGUAGAAGACAUGAGAAGGGUCCAAAGCUUUCUAGAGAAAUCUAGAAGUCUCUUGAAUAUUCUAGAAUAGUGUAGGACAUUCUAGAAUAUUCAUGAAUUGUAAGGAACCCUCCAAGGUUCUAGAGAGUUCCAUUGGUGCCUAUAAAUAGGUGAGGGCCUCAUUUGGCCAAGGCACCAAGCAAGUGAGCAUCCAAGCACUUGUAAAGGCUUUCUUGAGAUAAUAAAGCUUCCAUUCUUUAAGGAGUUGCCUACUAAGCUCUUUAGCUUUCGAGUCGCGAGUGUUUUAGCCGAGCAAGCUAAGCAUUGGGGAUCAAGGCUGACUUAGCAAGAUCAAGCGUCUUGACUUGCCUAAGUGCCGCACGAGCUUAGUGAACGACUAAGUCCGUGACACUAAGGUGUCUAAAUUGGUUGGGUAUACCUAUAUGGGCCAAUGAUGAUACUAGGUAGGCCUAAUUAAGUCUAACCUAAAGUACACUUAAAUGAAGCCUAGUCUAAACUUGAAGGGUAGUCAAGGUCAUAAUGUGGAACCAGAUAAACCCCUCAAUCAAAGUCUCCAAAAUGGUUCAAAAAAGGUAAGCUACAUGAGUAGUAAUAGGCCAUCAAAGGAACACUAUGGAACACUGGAAGUGAACUUAAAGACAAGUGCUAAAGGGACAAAAUGGAGGGUCUACACAUACACCUAAUAGUGAUGUUGAGAUCUUUCCAAAUAUGCACCUUGCACUUAACACCUUUUCCAAUUGGAUCACCCACUUGGAAAAACCAUGUAAGCAUGGUCCAAGUCAAUUGCCCACUUAAGCUAAUGACAUGACACAUGUACAUGUACCAUCCAACUAGACAAUCCACAUGAAUUGAUUUUUAAAAAAAUGUUUACCCCCAAAUGUCGCCUUCUCUCUUCAACCAAACCUUAACUCUAAAGACUUAUGUUACUUAUUCUUUGUUCACAACCACAACCCAUUAGAACUCAUACGAUCCAUAAAAAAUUUGGUUUGCCUUCGUAUUCUUGCACACCAUUUUGCUUAUCUUGUGCACCAUCAAUGACUUUAGAGUUGGGAUUUUCAGACAAGUCAAGUUACUAGUAACCAUCCUGAUUUUCAAGUCUGACCCACAAUUGUUGAGCUUGUGAAUAUCAGUUUUUUUGCCAAAUCGUCGUCUACACUCUUGGCACCUACCCUCGUGUUUGUCUUGCCUUUUCCAAGAUACUCUCCUCAUUCUUGUGGAAUCCUAUAUUUUUCAUAAAGAUUUGUACUUUUUUUUUUUGGGUUUUUGGGCAUCAAGAUUAUAUGAUUUGUUGAUGGUUGGGUUGAAUCGAUUAAAGCAUAGGAAUAAGAAGUUUGUUUUUCAUGUGCAAGGACUAUACCAAAGGAAUAAUACCUUGGUUUAAGGAUGAGAUUUGGAUUGAGUUAUUGAACUAUUUUCUUGCCCCUAUUUGGUUUAUGAGAAAAACGUAUAGAAAAGUAGUGGGAAGAAGAAUAUCAGUUAUCAUAGAAACAAAUUUUUGUUUCCAACUUGACUUUUCUUAGCAAUCAAAUAGACCAUUAGGUUCCUAAUCAUGUAGGUUCUAAACUUCCCCCUUGAUUAAUACAAAUUUUUGUCUUUUUUUUUUGUAAUUUAAAUUCAAUAAAAAUAAAAAUAGAUAUCACCCACUUUUAUUACCCCUAUUUGAUGGCAAAGAAAAAAUUUUAAAGAACUUUUUCUCAACUACACCUACUUAUGCACACUUUACUUAGUCUUAGGGUUGGUGUCCUUCUUUUUGCUCAUCAGUCUAGCACAUGAGAAUGUACUCAUGAAUUAUUUCAUGAGCUAACACUAUUCUUUGGGAUUCUUUCAUUUCAUUCACCUUUUUUCUUACCAUUUGUUUCAGAGGCUGACCCAUUGAAAUACACAUUGUGUGCUUUUAUUUGGGCAAUAGUGGGUAGCCCUAUAUUUAACAAGUUGACCCCUAUGGCAAUCAUAUAAUUGAGAAGUUAGGGCAUACUUAUCUCAGUGAUUUCCAUUUACAUGAUGUGACAAAAUGUUUGCCAUUUCGUUGUUAAUGUAUGUUACAUUUGUGUAAUAAUUAUGAUGAUUCCAUAUCGGAACACUAUAUUCAUAUUCACAAGUCUUUAACAUUUGAUUUCUUUAUUAAUGAAUUGUGGCUGUUUAAUGCAGUGAUAAUAUGGUGAGACGUUGUCAUUGUUUUGGGCGUAGAUUCCAUCAUGGAAUACAAUUACUCUUAGAAGUGAAAAAGGAUGUCAUAAAAGAACUUGGUUUCAUAGGGCUAUUGCAAUUAGGUUGCAAUAAGGUGAAUUUAGAUUUAUGUUUUUGGUUGAUGAGAAACACAAAUAGUGUUUAUUCCCAACUCGAGUUAUUUGAGGAGAAAAAGGUCCAUUUGACAUCUCAUGAUGUCGGGAUCGUGAUGGGAAUUCUACAUAAUGGAAGGAAGUUCAUUGUUGAAGAGGAAACUAUUAAAGCUAGUCUAGUGAUGUGUUUGAAGGAUAUAAAGGCAUUGAUGGUUGACAUUGAUGAUAUUGAUGAAUUUAAGCGACUCUUUUUUAUAUUCUUGUGUGCAACCUCAUUGGUACUCACAUCUCAUUUGGAAGGUAGUCACGCGCUGUGGUAUACACCCUGAGAUCAGUUACUUAGGAACAUAAAUUGGAGAUAAUUUGUAUUACAAUUUUUGAUUCAAUCUAUACAUGAACAUAGAAGGAAGGACAGUGUUUGGGUUAAAGGGUGUUUGAUAUUUCUAUAGGUAACUGUUCGUCUUAUUUAUAAGUAUUUGAAAUUUAAUAAUGGUAGUAGACUAUAUUGGUCAUGAUGUUAACACUAAUUAUGUCUUAUAUAAUGCAACAAAUAUUUUACUUUUUAAUAUCUAAUUUUCCAACCAUGUAUAUGGAACUUAGCAUGUCGAGUUAUGCUACAUGGACCGAUUUUUUGGUGAAUUAAUGAAUAAAGUUAGAGUUGGAAAUGCUUGGAGGAUUUUGUAAAGUUGAGGUAUAACUAGUUGUUUGUUAUAUUAAGAUAUUUAAUGAAUAUUGCAAUUGGAUUAUUAGGAUGACAAUUUACAUGUUUUACAAUGAUAGUUAGUUAACACAUUAGUGAAGCAAGAUUAAAUAGAAGGAAAUGCAGCUCUUCCAAUUGAUGAGUCAAUUGACACAACUGAGACUGAAGACUUUGAUAUAAUCCUUCAUAUCUAACGACUAUGAAUAGUACCUUGUAUUUAACUAAGUCUCAAGUGAAAUAAUGUAAUUUAAUGUCCCUUCAUUAUGUUUGAGUUAGGUUGUUUUUGCUCUUGUGGAAGUAACUCAAUGUCAGAUACAAGAUGCAUAAAGUCAUGCGAUUAAACUUAUUACAUCAUACCAUUGUGACAUGAAUAUGUUGAGGACUUGUGUUAUGUCUUCACACUAUGACACUAAUAAAGGACAACCGUCAAGUUGGCAUGAAGAUGUAAAUAAAAGUGAUGCACCAUUUGAUACGAAUAAUGCAUAAUAGUCACCCAUUCAUUCCGGUGGUAAAAAACUAUCUGGUGAAUGAGACAUUGGAUAUACAAAUUUAAGGGGUGUUAGAAAAACCCCAUGUAGAAGAAUGUGUGUUCUUUACAAACGAGAAUCACCUUCAUCCCAGAACACAAUUUGUUGGUGUUAAUGCCAUCGCGCGGGGACAAUAAUGUGGAUGUAGAGCCCCAAGACUCAAAAGAAAUAAGACUACAAAGAGUUAAAAUCAAAGCAUGUCAAUCGUAAACAACAAGCGGCUAUGUGCAAGUCACCUUUUGUAAAAUUUUGUGUAUCAAUAUACAAAAAGUUGAAUGAGGAAAAAACACUUGUUGUUGACUAUGUGUUUGAUGAGUCAAGUGAUCCUAGGUCAAUCCGAAAUCACAAGUUUAACAAACAUUGUUCUUACAAUACUAUGAUUAUGGAUUUGUUUCCUAAAAAACAAAAACAAAAAAUCUCAUGGUUUGUGUUUCUUGUAAUUAAUAGUGAGGUGAUUUGUGCAUAUGGUGGCUAUGGUGUGACACGAAAACAAUUUCAAUGCUUAGCAGAGGAAGGAUUCAUUGAUAUUUCGGUAAGCUUUAUGAUAAAUAAAGAAAAAAAACCCCCCAAUUUUUCAUCCAUCAUUCUAUCAAAUGAAGAGACGUUUUGUAGAUAAUUUUCAUGUUAUGCCAGUACAUGAAUGCAAAAGAAAAGAAUCAAUGUCAUAGACACUUUUCGUUUCCAUACUUUGGGGUGAGGUUUCUUUCCCAAUUACACCAAAUCUUGUCCCUAAUACAAGACAUGUAUAACUUUAUUCAUACAUUAUGUUAUCGCGAUCUCAAUUGCUUUUUAUAGGAAAUAUGUGGUUCAUUAAGCAGGUCAACUUUAAAAUCAACACUUAAGAAAAGACUAGGUGGCUAUUGUGUUGCUUUUAAAGGCUGCAACCAGGUAAUGUUUGGCUAUUGUAUUAAUUACUCAUUGGUGAUUUUAUUUUACACAUCAAGGACAUGCAUUAGAUUGAUGACAAAUAUUUGUAAUUUCAAAAUUAUACUUUAAAUAUUUAUGUAUUCAUUGUUGCUUAUGAUGAUUGUAUGUUUUGUAGUUUUAUAUCCCUUUAUUACAAUUUAAUGAAUGAGUGAUCACAGUCAUCAAUUUGGAGGCUAAAAGGCUGGAUCUAUUUUCAUUUUAUCAGAGCAUGCAAGAAAUUCACUUUGUUAAUGAAGUUUCCAAAGUUGUUGGCUUUAUAUCGCAAUUAUUAAAAACCCCCUUCAAGCGGAGUGAUGUUAAUAUAAAGAACUUACAUCCAUAGUAUGCAAAUAUAGUACGAGAUCCUAAAUUAUAAGUUAAAAUUGUAUUUUUUUUUUUAUUCAUGUAUUUAUUUUCAAGGCUAAUUAUAUCUUAUUUUAAUAAUAUAUCAUAAAUCAUGCUUGUUAUUGCAGAUGUCAUACUGGGAUAUAUGCUAUUUUCAAUAUGCAACAUUGGGACGAAAGUGGUCUUAAUAGAGCCAUUAAUUAUGUAAGUUGUUAAAUAUGACGUUAUGCCCUGAUUUUGAAAUCUACAAUUUAAAUGUUAUCAUGAUGUGGGCCUAACAUAAGUUUAAUGUAUAGGAAUGCAUGAGUCUUAAAAGACUUAAAAUUGCAAUUCAAAUGGUUCUCAAUAACAAAAAUGAAGUUGGUGAACCUUCACAAGCAUUGAGCUGUUAGGUUUUGGGAUUGGUUUCUUCGUUAAGGGUGACUACAAUAUUGCAAUGUUACAUUGCUUUCUAGUGUUUAUUUUGGGUUUUUAUUGUUCCUGAAUGUUGUAGUCUGAUGAGAUCACUCUAGCUGAGUUACUUUACCAUGUGGUCACAGGAUUAAUGAAUUAAGCAUACAGAGCGAAAAGUACGAAUGGUAAAUGAAGCUUCAAAGGCAUAAAACAAUGAAAAACUUGGGCUUGAGUGUUGCAUUUGAACAUGCUAUGUUUCUUGCCAAGCCUUAUGGAUGUUGCAGAUGUUAUCCUUUUUCCAAGAAGUUAUGGAAAAGACAACAACUAAUCAUAGUUGUAAGAUAAGUAAUGCAACAAUGAGUUAUUUUACAUCAAAUAUAUUAUACAAAAUUUAGUCCUAUAUAUAAUGACUAAGCAAUAUCUGAUUGAUCGAUGAGAAAUUUAAGCUUUGAACAAAAUUUGUUGUUUACUAUGAGAUUAACACUUAUCUCUAAUGUUUAAAAUCUUAUAUCAUAGUAUAAAUAUUUGUAUAAUAGACCAUAAAUAAAAGUCUAUUUUCCUUUCCACGUGCCAAAUCCCAACAAUUUAAAACUUUUCAAAAAUUUGAUUACAUGCAAGCUUGUAAAGUGUUUAGAUUUUGCAAGCAUACUUUUAUUAUUUCACUACAACAUCAUCUAUUAUUAUUAUGAAUGUGUUAGCCUUCGUGGAAAUCCUCCUACAAUGUCCUCCUACAAUGCCCAAAUUGUAUCGAUUGAAUAUGUCGUUCACUGUUUUCUUUAUUUCAUCCUUGAAGUGAUGAUAUAUUCCAAACAUUUGCAAGACAUCGAUUAGCUCUAACUGCUUCAAAGGCUUCUUCACUUUGCCAACUAUUGUUUUCACAUCUCUCUUUACCUUAUCAAGUCUUCUAUCAUAUGUUUCUCGUUGCAAACAUAACUAUCUAUUUGUUAGUAACACCAAGUGGACCAUUAAUAACUACAAUUAACCUAUUACCAAUAUUCAUGAUGCACCUACCACAUAAUCACUUCUUAGUCACUACACAUAAUCAUAGGCCCAAAUGGUAGGGUGGUAGAAGACUUCAUUCAUGCAGUCUUAUCCUAGUCGAGUUAAGUGACUUGUAACUUUGCACUCAUUAUGGAACAUUAAAUGCAUGUAUUAACUACAUAUUUUGAAAGUCUUGCCUUCAUUCCAACUUGAACCAUUUACUCAGUUUGGUUUACAUCACAUUCUCUAUCAACUCUCAUUCAUUCCCAUUUACACCUCUUAUUGCACCACCUAUACACAUUACACAUCAUAACCAUUAGUUUCCAUCCACCCAUUUCCUUCAUUGUAGUUAACCCACCCAUCUUUCACUCUCACAAUUUCUCAUUCAUACUCCAUUACACUUACUAUCGUUGCAACACUAAUAAGGUUAGCCUUCCAUACUCCAUUCCAUAAUCCUUUCAAUUCAUUACAAUUCUAUACAUAUUUCAAUUUGGAUGUUUCAACCGAUUUUUUGGGACUUGCAUGAAUUUCAUUUUAAGCUAUUUUUGGUUGGGUUGGAUGCAAUGAUUCUAUAUUUUUAAUUGUUACCAUGCAUUGCUUAAUUUUCUUUAACCUUUGAUAUGUAGAGUCAUUACUAACACCAAACAUCAUGGCUUCUAAAAAGAAGGCUACGCAUGGGUCAAUUUCAAUGGCACAUGAGGCAAUCCCACAUGAUCCUUUCAAGCCUUGCCACUCACCAAAUGAGAAGGAAUGUGAUUAGCUCAUAGUAAAAUGUCCAAUUGACGUAGAGCAUGUCAUACUGAUUGUUGGUUUUGAGGAACAUGGUGUUGUUGAGUUACUUGACUUUCACAAGUUGAGACCAUUUAUACAACUAACAUAAGAAUGUUAUCCAACUCAUGUGCGGACAUUCUAUAGCUAUAUCAGAAAUGUUGACCAAGACAAAUAUUCAUUUAACUCUUCAUUCAAGAGUGUUCUAUACAUGUAUCUCCAUCCCUUAUUGCACAUACCUUCGAUUUGAAACCACUAAGAAAUCGAUUAACUUUUGUAUUCCAGAUAUUGAUAUAAAGGCAAUGUCAAACACAAUAACAAAGAAAUUAUGUGACCAUUCUUUUGAGUAGGAUACAAGUGUUGAACAUAGUUCCCUUCUACUAAAAUACAAGAUUCUCAGCCUUAUAUUGUUUCAUAUCAUCUUAAAUAGGAACGGUCAUUUUAAUGAGUUUGCAUUAUAUGUUUUGCAUGUUUUGUUCCACAUGGCACAUCGUCAUAAAAUCAAGUAGCCCACACUUAUUUGCCAUAACAUGAUCGAGACACACCGUAUUAAUGUGAUCACACGUGCAUUACCAUACAAUUCAACCAUUUGCUUGUUUUUAUAAAAUGUAGGGUUGGAUUUCAAGUCACUACCUUAUGAUUUAAUAUUGCACAUGCAACCUAUGCGCAUGAAACAUUCAAUGGAGAAACAAACAAAAGUCUUAUUUUUGCAUAGGUCAAGCAAAAGUUCCUAGCUUGGGGACAUUUACGCAAUGUGCAUCAAUAAUGCGAUCAUUCGAUUGCCACAUAGAAAGCAUUACAUCCUGAUGUUUUGCCUCCUAUGCCAUUAGACACAAAUGAUGAGGAAGGUGCUAAUGAUGGUGGUGGCGAUGAAGAAGACAGAGCUACACCAGCUAAUGAAAAUGAGUAACCACAGUUUGUGGCGAUGUUACAACCCAAUGCUUGUGUGGUGAAGACAAUUUCAUGGAUUAUAUAAUAACUUUUUAAAUUCUUGUUCUCAGAUAACUGCUAAGCUCAUUUUUACAUUUAGGAUUUCCAAUGAUUUUCUACAUGCAUGUUUUCACUAUUCAUCACUAAACUAUAUAAUCUCUUCUAACAAUUAUCAAUAGUCAUUGUCAUGCUUAAGUGUAAUUGUGACGUUCAUUACGAUGUUGUUUUAAAUUAUUUUGAACAUAUGAAUUAAAUUUUGCUUGAUUUUUCAUGUUAAUAGGUAGUACUUCUAUAUUUUAGGUUUGUCUACACAUGAAACAACUGUCCAGACAUUAUAUAACAAUGUGAACAUCAAAGGCCAACCCUUCAUGCUUUGGGUCCACCUUCUAUAACCAUACUGCUCAACCCAUACCUCAAAUAUACUCAUUUUGAAGGCAUGUCGUGUACAUAACAUGCAUACUUAUCUUUUUGAUACUGCACAUAAAAUAACAUAACAUUUUUUUCACUUAUGACCAUAUUCAAUUUCUCUAAGAACCAAAGUUAAUCUUUGUAAUUCUUAGAGCUAAAUAAGCCAUAAGCAAGUGGAAACAUGCCAUCUUCAACAUCAUAUAAAGAAGCCAAAAACAAAGCACCCUUGUAUGGCCCACUCAUGUGGGAUGAAUCAAUUGAUAUGAUAGGUCGAUACUCCAUUUUAAACCCAUGUAUUGACACUGUAAGGGCAACAAACAAUUGCACGAAAUGACCAUCAUCCAAACAUCUAUAUUCAACAAUCAUCUUUGGAUUUGUUUCAAUAAGCCUUAUACACAACCAAGGCAACAACUCAUAUGAACAUUGGGGCACACUGUGAAUUCUUUCUUUAGCCUUCUCUUUCAAGUUCCAUGCUUGAUAAUAACUCAAUCGCAUUUCCUAUUGUUAAUGAAAGUCUUUACAUAUUUAUUGGGCCAAGUAACUUGGACUUGAACAAAUAACAUCAUCAAUCAUAGUUGUGGCUUGAUUACAAUGAAGUAUUGGUUUGGAAAUUGACACAUUUUAAAUAGUGGUUAUGUUGAUUUUUAAAUGCAUGCACCUGAACUAAUUUUGUUGUCCCAAUAGCACAAGUAGUAACUUUCCAAGGGCAUCCUUUAACAACACAUAUUACAGUCAUAUGCUUAAGAAAAUUCAUCUUGAACUUAUAUCUAAAAUGACCCAUUAUUAAUGUGAGAUAUAUUGCAUCCCAAAAGUCAUUUGUAGUUGAGAAGGUAUGAUCACUACCCAAUAUUACACUCUAAAAAAGACUUGACUCUAGUGGACCAACAUGUGAUUUAACACAUCUUUGAUAAAAUCCUCAUGAUAGCAUUCUAAUAUCAUCAUCCCUUACUGAAUAUGAGAUUAGUGAGUUAAACCCCACAAUUGUUUCGUUCAAUCUGCAUUAUAAAUAUGUUUAUUUAUCAACUUAUCAUCUAUGAAUGAACAUAAAUACUAAAAAAAAUUAAAUAAACAAAAUCAUUUCAGAUUAUAUAUUCUUUUCAUAUAACUUACCUUUGUCCUCCAUUCUCAAUUGUUUCAUUAUCUUCAACCGUUGUUGUUAAGCAUAUAAUACACGUGCGAACUAGUCACUAAAUUGAAACAUGUUUAUCAAGUCGUCAUCAUUUUUCAAUUAUUGCAAUGCAUAUAGAUCAAAUGGGAGACAGUACGAAAAUAUUGGUCCCACCAUAUUGAUGCUCAUUUCGCCACAAACCCUUGAAAUAGAAUCGUUAUAUGUCAUUGAUCGUUCUAAACUUAUACCAUCUUGUCUUCCACCCGUAUAUUCCAUAUUGCCAUGUUCACCCUUUACUAACUCUCAUCUCAUGUGCAUAUAACAAUAAAUUGUAUUACUUGGAUCCAUUUAAAAAGUAUUAGUUCUUGUGUAACCCUUAUUUAGAAACAUGGACCUUUAGUCAAGCUGAAACAAUUAACUAAUUUCUCAACAACACUGCCUAAACCAAAUUACUUAUAACAAAUCUGAUUAUCACGCCUAUGACCAUCAUAUAUUAGUACAUGGUUUACCUUUGGAACUUUACAAGCGAGUUUCAGUUACACUUCAUGGUCUAAAAAUAAUGUUGUAAAUAAGGACAUGUAUAACAUAUACUUAAUAUUAAACAAUGCAAUUAUUUUAUUUUAUUUGAUAAUAAUUUGCUAUGCUAUGUAAGUUGUGGAGUGAACCUCUCAAUUCAUAGGCAAACCAUUGUUUUUGUCAUUGUUCAAGCCAAAUUGUGUUAAGUCCUUGUCUUUGUGUCAGCCCCUAAAACAACGGGUCUUCAUCUAUUUUGCCUAUUGCCCACACUGGACCACAACAAUGUUUAUAAUUAAGGGCCUGCCUCUAAACAAAUAGGUUAGCCUCUAAUUCACUUAUUACAACCUCCCAUGAAAACAAUUAUUCUAUCCAAAUGUUAUUACUUGAAUUACGAUCAACCCCUUCAUCCAAAGGGUAGACCCCUACCAUGACCGCUACACACACAUAAACAAAACAAAAUUCAAGUUUGUGGCUGUGAGCAUCAGAUUUGCACCUAAUGCUUCACUACUAUUUUUCCCAAUUCCUACAUAAAUCCAUAGUUGCUUUACUACAUUUUUUUUUUUCUUCUUCAAUUUAACCCUCAUUUAUUAAAAAUUCAAAAUUUUUAUGAAGAAAAUUAUUUAAACUUUACUCUCAAUCAAACUAACAAGAUUUUUUUUUUUUUUAAUUUAUAAUCAUCUACUCAUGACUAAACAUGAAUUCUUUUCCCAUGCAUUAAAUUCUCCAAUUAACAACUAUAAAAAACCACUCAACCUACUCAUUUUGGAUCACCAACAUCAACCCAUUAGAUAAACAUAUAAAUACAACUUAAAAAGUUGAAAUUCAACAUAAAAACAAUGCAACAUUAAAUAGUUGAAUCAAGUUAAAGUUGGAGACAUUGUUUAUUAGUUAAAUUGUAAUACACAUUGUUCAUGAAUGUAAAGGGGCCAAUAAAAGGUCCACGACAAAUGACAACAUAAGCCCAAUAUAUUUAUGAUAUCUCACAAGCUUUAAUGCCCAUGUCAUACAUAUAACAUUUUAGUCAAGGGGAUCUGAUAUUGAUGCUUCAUUCAACCGUUGAUUCAAAUCCUUAGUCAUAUUGCUUCAUUUCACAACUUUCCAAUUUUAUUUUACUUUAUUUAUUUAUUUAUUUUACAUUUAAAAAACAAUCAAUGCUCAAAACAAACACAUACUCGACCCAUGCACACCUUUUAGCCCAAGUUUUAUUUUAGUUGUUUCAUCCGCCCCUUAGCCUUUACCAUAUUUAAUAGAUCCCAAACAUCACUUUGUUCCCACCUAACUCAACCAAAAACCCACCUACAGUAAUCAUGAUAGAACAACAUGAAUGGAUAUAAAAACUAGACAAAUCUUAAUAACAAAAUACCCUCCAUUAUCUCCUUUUGUCAUUAAUUUUUCAACAUUUUUCAUUUCUAGAACUUUCCCAUAUUUUUUAUUCCCUAUAAAUUUCAAAAUACAUCCAAUUAACAAUUCUAAAAAACAAAACAUCUCGAAUUGCAUAUAAACAACAUUAAAAGAAACAACUUGUUCAAACAUUCCUAAAAAUUGUAUUCCCUUAUUCAAUAGUCAUAUUUUUCUUAUCUUUUCUGUAUUUUCUCCAAUAACCAUAUACAACACAAACACAACAAUUCAAAAAAUAAAACAAAAUUGAUAAAGGUUACCACCACCUCAUUUGCCAUCAUUUUUCAAAAUUUAAACCAUAUUUCAUUACAAAUAAAUUAAAAUAUAAAAUUGGAUACAAUAUUAAUACACUACAAGAAAAAAGGUCAUUAUUGACAUAUAUCAUCUUGCUUUAAGAUAAUAUAUGUGAAGAUUGUCUAUUUAAAUGAACAAUUAUGACAUAUACAAUUUAGUUUAAACCAAUAAGGACAUAUAUAAUAGUUAUUGCAUUUUUCCAUGACUUAUGAUGAUGCAACCUUGACAAAUAAUUUAUAAGUCAAUCUAUAAUUAAUAUAUCCAUAUGUCAAGGUACCGAAAUGAAAGCAAUAAUGACAUAUAUAUAUAUAUAUAUAUAUAUAUAUAUUAAUAUUAUUUGCUAAAUUUUCCUUGGUUUAAUGAUAUGCAACCUUGACUCAAAAUUUAUGAGUCAAAGUAUAGUUAAUCUUUUCUACCUAAAUAAAAGUAAUAAUGACAUAUAUGCAUUUGCUAAAUUUUUAUAUGGUUUAUAAUGAUACAACCUUAAUAGAAAUUUAUAAGUUAAUAAAAAUUUAAUAAAUUAAUAUGUUAAGAUUAGAAUCUUUCGUUGCGUCACUUUAACAUAUAAUUUGUAAGUGAAAAUAAGCCUAUUUUAUUUUAAUUUAUUAAUGUUGAGUUAUUGAAAAAGAAAAUCCUAAUUUAAGGCAAUUUUAUCAAAUUUUGGUAGUUUUUACAAGCAUAUUUAUUAUUAUUUUGAAUAGAAAUUUGUGAUUAAGAAGGAUAAGAUAAUGUUUCCAUUUAAAAAAUAAUAUCAAUAUAUUGAAAACUAUAACUAUAAUCUUAUUUUAAUAUUUUGGAUAAGAUACUAAGUUAUGUCUCUAUAUUUCUAAUUAUUGGAAUUAAAAUAUAUUGCCACUAACUUGUGUUAGGGUCUCACAAGUAUUAGGUAAUUAAAUUAUUAUUUAUGUAUUUAAUUAGACAUUAAAUCUACUAAGAAUAACUUAAUGAGUAUUUUGGCAUGCAUUAUAACUAACUGUAGACCCACAAAAUCAAUCCAUAGACCCAUUUCUUUUAAAAAAAAUUUUAAGCCCAUUUUUAUUUAGUUUGGGUCCCUUACAUUUAUGUUUUUGCUUGAGCCAUAAAAAAAAACUCAAUAUAUAAAUUUUUUUCCUCUCUAUUCCAUUUACAAUCGCCCCAUCUGCCCCAUAUUCCAUUUUUCUUUUCUUUUCUUACUUUUUUUUUAUUCUUCUUUCUUCUACUUUCUUUUUUCUUUUUUCAUCAUCUCAUCCUCAUAUUCAUGGCAAACCCUACCCCACCACCUCCAUCUCUCGUGUUGUUACCAUCCAUGAGUCCUACACCCACCAUGCCACCAUCUUUCUAUUCACCGUUGUUGUUCCCAUGUUCGCUACAACUCAGACAUGCUUCCCGAUGUUUCGCCACAAUCUCGACGUUGUUGUUGUUGUUUCGCCAUAGCCCCGACAUGAUUCUUGAUGUUCCAUCACCAUCAUAGCCACCAUUGUUGCAGCCCACAGCCUUGGUACCCCCUGCACUUCCCAUUGACUUAUGUUGGAUAGCCAUCAGCACCGUCUCCCUAGUUGCCACUUCAUUCUUCAUCUUAGGGCUUCAAGAGACGUAGGUAAGUUUCCUUGGAUCUCUACAAUACUUGUUGUGGUAGUUUUAAUUUAAUUUUUAUAUGGGCUUGGGUCUCAUUUGCUUUAUGAUUGGGCUCCAAAUUAUUUGGUACAUGGGCUUGAUGUUAUAAUAUUUUAUUACUUGGGCCUUGUGUUUCAUUUGGUUGAGCCCAAUAUAAGAAUAUCAGGCACACAUUAGCAGGUUGGUUCUUUGAGAACCAUUGAGUUUUGUUGAACCUUAGGAUUGUUGAGGUCGUGCUUCACCAUUGAUUGGGCUUCAAACAAGAGAUAAGUAUGGAAGUUGAAGUUACUGACCUUAGUGUCUCUGCUCUUGGCCAUGGUUGCAAUAUGUGGGUCAAUUAAGGGGUUUGGUGAAGCUCUCCGUAUCUUAAAGCCCUCUCUAGUUGAAAGAAUAGUCCAACGGCCAAGUGACUAGAAAAAACCACAUGUUUAGGGUUAGGUUAAGUUAAUGUUGGAUAAGUAUUAAUAUACACACAAAAUAGUGAAAAAUCGAUGUGGUUGGGGCUGAAGAGGCACAACAUCAUAUAUAUUUGGUUCUGAUGGAGGAGUUAAUUAAUUGAUAUUACCAUGAAGGAAUUUCUAAUAGUUUUAAUCUAUUUAAUCAUACCAUCAUUGAAAAGAUGUUUUAGUCAUUUUCCUUUUCCUGUUUUUUUUUUUUUAAUAUUCUGGAUGAUAUUCUUUGUUUAAAAAUUUAGACAUAAUACGUAUUUGUAAUUGAGCUAGCUACAACAAAAUUAUAAGUGCUCAUUUCAUUCAUCAUCUCUAAAUUAUGUCUAGUGGCCUCAACUUUGAGUCAGUCAGUGAGGGACUUAAUUUUAGGAGGAGAAUUAAAAUGUUCUUUUUUUUUCUUCUAAAUUUUGUUUUUCUUGAAUAUCCACUGUGUUUUACAUUGAAUCUAGAAUCACAAAGUCAAUUCAAUUACAAUUGAUGAUAUUAAAGGUCAAUAGGUGUAUUCAUUUUAUCUUUAUGAUAUUGAAAGUUAGUAUAUUUAUUGUCUUAUGAAAAAAAAUAUUUUAAUAUUUUGGUAUUUGUUACUUACUUUUCUAUUAAUUAUGUGUUUAUUCUACUAGGUAUCUAAGAAAUACAUCAAGAAGAAGACAAUAAUGCAAAAAUAAAGAUCACCUCUUAUGAAGAUAAUGUUGUACUUUUCAAUUUAAGUUUGUAUAUUAUUUUAAUUGAAUGUUUUUAGCUAGAUUUUGUUUGUAUAUAGAAAAUAGAGAGUAACUUGAAAAAGAUUUAUGGAAUUGUGUUCUUAAUAUUUAAUGUAUAUGUAAUAAUUUUUUUCCUUAAAUAGUAAUUUAUUUAAAUUAUUUUAAAGACUUGAUUGUAAUUAUCAUAAUUAAAAAUAUACCAAAUUUAAUUUCGAGAUAGGUUUCAUAUGGUAUAUAACAUGUUCAUUUUCCAUUAAAAACUAAAAAUUCUAAUAAAAUAAUAUUAAUUUUUUCAUAAGUUAUAUUGACAUAUGGUUCAUGCCCAAUAUUGACAUGUGUAGUAGCAACUAUGACAUAUGCGAUAUCAAACAUUGACAUAUAUAAAGCAAUUAUGAUAUAUAUAAAAUCUAACUUUGACAUAUAUAUUUAGAAAUCUUGACAUAUGUAGGAUUAAUCAUAACAUAUAUGACGUCUAACCUUGACACUUGUUGAUUAACCUUAACAAAAAAGUAAGUUAACCUUGACAUAAGAUCAGGUAAUCUUGUCAUAUGUUAAAUUCAACAUUGACAAAAGUAAACGAAACAUUGAUAGAUAUCAUACUAUUAAGAUUUCAUCAUUAGUGGAAAUAAAGAAAUCUUAACAUAUGGAUAUGUUAAGGUAGCUUUAGACUUUUCUUGACACUGGCAAAGAUGACAUAUACGAAUAGUAACCUAUCUUGAUAGAUGUACCUUAUUUUAACGGUGAAAAACUGUUAACAAGGGUCUUUUUUCUUAUAGUGUAAUGAACAUUCAACAUGUAUAGAUAUACAAUGUAACUAUCAUAGUUUUCAACAAGUUUAAAUCACAAGAUUGCACAAAUCACAUAACUAUGACAAUUUUCAAAUCUCAAAAAAUAAAAAUUACAAAUCAAGAUAAAUUUGUUAUUACAAAAUUUAAUAAAAUACAUAUAUCACCUGGAAAAACCCUCGCUUCAAAAGUUAAAUGCAACUACAAUAUUUAUAUGCUUUGUUCCCCCUUUCUCCCAAUUGCUUUUUUUUUUUCUCAUUUGUGAAGGUAUAAACAAAAGAGGAAAUUAAGGAAAUGGAGAAAUCACUUUGUUGGUGCUAAAGGGAGAAAAAGGAAAGGGGUUCUUUGUCCACCUAGGGUUUGUUUGGGGUUGACACUUGGACUAUUGUUUUCGGGUUGAUGUUUGGUGGGAGAAUGAGGAUGUCGUCUUCCUUACGGUGAGGAAGGAGAAACAAAAUAAGGGAUCAUGUUUGGAGGUUUGUUUGGGGUUGAUGGGUUAUGGCGAAUUGAGAAGCUACCAGAUUUCUUAUGGAUCUUUUAGCCUUGUGAUAGGUUGUGGUUGUGAACAAAGGAGAAAAAAAAAUGGGUUUUUGGAGUUAGGUUUUAGUUGAAAAAAGAAUAAAGAUUUUGGAGUUGGGUUUUAAUUUAAUUUCCUCUCUUCAAAACAUUGGGUGGGUUGGGUUGGUUCAAAAUUUGUGAAUUGAUUAUAUCUUCUUUUUUUUUUUCUUUUUUCUUCCUUUCUUGGUAUAUAGGUAAGGAGAUUGUCAAUAUUUUCAAAGCUAUGAGUCAUUUGUAUUUUUUGGAUAUGAAAUGACAAGAUUCAUGUAAAUCAAUCAAUGAAUAUAAAGGAUGAGCUAUCUUUAACCCUUUUUAAAAUUCCCAACUUAUGCAUGACUCAAUUAAUAUUUACAAAAACAUCGCCAAGUCAUGAAAUGAAAUUAGAAGAAAACUCAUUCAUUGUCAAGCAUUACCAUCAUCAAGUAUCGUCGAGAAUGUUAGCACCUUAAUGAACUACUUAGGUAUAAGCAAUCAAAGAAAUGCAUUCAUAGAUUUAGCAUAGAUCAAAAAUUUUAAAUUAGUUCAUAUAUAGCAGUUUAUGUCCUUAGAGAGGUUAGAAUGAUUUUUAUUCUAUUUUAUAAGUAAAUAAAAUUAGUAUUAAAAGUGUCAAAAAGGAACACAUCAAAAUUACACAUGAUGUAUGCAACGACCUCCAAUAAGUGCAAACUAUCUUCACUUUGAAAAUUGACAAUCAUUUUGUUUUGCACAUUUCACUUUAUAUAAAUGAAAUGAUUGUCAUACCUUUGCACCGAAUGGACCUAGGUUAAGGAUCACACCCUAUUUUUAUGAAAUUAAAUUGAUAUUCUUGUAAUAAUGGUAAGAGUUAAUCCAUAUACAUUACUCUCAAAAAAAUUUAAAAUUUAAGGUGGUAAUUUGCUAUUUUAAUUUGUUUAAUCAAUUUUUAAAAGUCAUUAUAUUUUCAAUAUUUUUAUACUUUAUUUUGUAUAAUACUAUAUAUAAUUAAAGAUUAAGAGUGUGUAUCACAAUAUUUUUAUUUAAAGUGUUUUUAAUAAAAUCAUUUAAGAAACAUCAUAAGUGAUUUUCUAACUUUUUUAAAAAAAUUUAAAAUUUGAUAAGACAAAAAAUUAAUUUAAUAAUGAAAUUCAUAAUAUUUGGACCACACAUAGGUUGAGAGACACUAUUAUUGGGUAUUAAUAUAAAAAUGUGGUACCUCAAACUUAGGGCAUCACUUUUUUAAAUCUCAUGUUGGACCAAAGCAUUAUCAAAACAUUUUUUUGUUUUGUUUAUCACCUUGGAAGUAUGGUUCAAAAUAACUCUCAAAUUGUAAAACUAACCACUUCCUCUAAUUGUAUGGAGAAAUGAGCAUUUUUGAAUAUUUUACCCCUCUAAUUUUUUUUUUAUACCAAAAAUAUUAUUUUCUUAUUUAUUUUAUUCAUUCUAUUCAUUUCAUCUUAUGAAACAUAAUUAUAUUUUGUUCAAUUUUUAGAUGCUUAUUUAAAUUAAGUUUUAUUUAUUAUAAAUUUAACAAAGAUUAAUUUCAUGUCAGUUUAACUCGUCCUUGUUUUCAAUUUAGAUAUUUAUCUAAAAUUUUACAAACUUAACAAAGAUUAAUUUUAUGUCACUUGAAGUGCAGGAAAGUUAAGUUUGGCUUAUAAAAAACUUAACUAGAGUUAAGUUUUCAAAGUUUGAUUUAUAAACACUUAACUAGUGUUAAAUUAGAACGAUAGAACUAUACAAUAGUUGAGUUUCAUCUACAAGUAAUUUAACUAGAGUUAGGUUUUUUAUUUUAUAUACAAAGAACUUGAUUAUAAUGUUAUAAACUCUACCAGUAAAUUUUACUUUUUUGAAAAGAGAAAACUUAACUAGAGUUAAGUUUCCAUUUUAUCAAAAAAAGAAAGAAAGAAAAAACUUAAUUAAGAUUAAGUUCUUAAUUAGAAUAUUCACCCUAACAAAAAACUGCUGAAAAUCCCAAUAAAAUAUAACUGCAAAAAACUUAACCAAGAUCCUACUAUGAAAAACUACAACCAAAAUCCCAAUAGAAAACAUUUAAAAAAAAAAAACCCUCAACAGAAAACAACUCCAAAAAUCACAACAAAAAAAACCACCACAAAAAUAAUCACAGAAAACCCUAACAAAACAUUUUUUUUUUAAAAAAAGAAAAAAAAAAAGGAUGCAAGAUCUUCGCAAUAGAAAACAACUACAAAAAAUCUCAAGAAAAAACAAUUCAAAAAUCUCCAAAAAAACCUCCUAUAAAAACAAUAGCAAAAAACCCUAACCAAAGAUAAAAAUAAAAAAAUAAAAAUAAAAUAAAGGAUCUUGAAGAAAGAAAGAUGAGAAAGUUGUGCUGGUCUUCAUCUGUUCAUCUUUAUCAUGGAUUUGAAUUUCAUUGAAAAAUCUAGAGCAUGAUGAGAACUUGGAAAAUUCAUUGGAAGCAUGGGAGGGAAAUGACUCCGGAAUCAGAGGGAUAAUUUGAGGAGAUGAAGAAAGGUAAUAUUGUCCAAAAUGGAUCAUUUUUGUAAAGAAUAAAGAAAGAAUGUCAAUUUUUCCAAUUUGAGAAGUAAUUGGAAACUUUUAGCCAAAUAUCUCUUAAAACAAUCAUCGCUAGAAGAAUUAAUGCUUCAAUUUGCUCAAUUUCAAAUUCUAAUCAACCAUUAGAAAGCAUAAAUUUCUAAUCAAGCAUACCAGAUAAACAAGUAGUUUAGGUACGAAUGUCAUUCACUCUUUAUUUCAAGCAGAAGCAAGAAGCAACUGCAUCAUACCACAUACUAUAACAUCAAACAUAUCCCAAAAGACAGACAGGAACGACCAUAACCAGCCAUUCAGAACCCAGACGGGCCAGACCCCCCACGAAGACGAAGAACCAAGUGAAGAGUAGACUCCUUCUGAAUGUUGUAAUCAGCAAGAGUCCGACCAUCCUCCAACUGCUUCCCUGCAAAGAUGAGCCUCUGCUGAUCUGGAGGGAUCCCUUCCUUGUCCUGAAUUUUUGCCUUCACAUUAUCUAUAGUGUCUGAGCUCUCAACCUCUAGUGUAAUUGUCUUUCCCGUCAGGGUCUUCACAAAUAUCUGCAUCCCUCCACGAAGGCGAAGAACCAGGUGAAGGGUGGAUUCCUUUUGAAUGUUGUAAUCAGCCAGAGUCCUUCCAUCCUCAAGCUGUUUACCAGCAAAGAUGAGCCUCUGCUGAUCUGGGGGGAUACCCUCCUUGUCUUGGAUCUUUGCCUUCACAUUGUCGAUUGUAUCAGAGCUCUCCACUUCAAGAGUGAUGGUCUUCCCGGUCAGCGUCUUUACAAAUAUUUGCAUUCCACCUCUCAGCCGGAGAACCAGAUGAAGGGUGGACUCUUUCUGAAUGUUGUAAUCUGCCAAGGUCCGACCAUCCUCAAGCUGUUUACCAGCAAAGAUGAGCCUCUGCUGGUCUGGGGGGAUUCCCUCCUUGUCUUGGAUUUUCGCCUUUACAUUGUCAAUUGUGUCAGAACUCUCUACUUCAAGGGUGAUGGUUUUUCCAGUGAGUGUCUUAACAAAGAUUUGCAUUCCACCUCUCAAACGGAGGACCAGGUGGAGUGUGGACUCUUUCUGAAUGUUAUAAUCGGCCAAAGUCCUGCCAUCCUCAAGCUGCUUUCCAGCAAAAAUCAACCUUUGCUGAUCAGGGGGGAUUCCUUCCUUGUCUUGGAUUUUCGCCUUUACAUUGUCAAUCGUAUCAGAGCUCUCAACUUCAAGGGUGAUGGUCUUUCCAGUGAGUGUCUUAACAAAUAUUUGCAUUCCACCUCUCAAACGAAGGACCAGGUGGAGUGUGGACUCUUUCUGAAUGUUAUAAUCUGCCAAUGUCCUGCCAUCCUCAAGCUGCUUUCCAGCAAAAAUCAACCUUUGCUGGUCAGGGGGGAUACCCUCCUUGUCUUGGAUUUUCGCCUUAACAUUGUCAAUGGUAUCAGAACUUUCCACUUCAAGGGUUAUAGUCUUCCCAGUAAGGGUUUUAACAAAGAUCUGCAUCUGUUAUGUCACAAUAGGAAAGUGGGUUAGCGACAACAUCCUAUAGACACAGAAAUUUCAACAGGACGUCAUGCCACAUGAAAAUGUGACGAGCUAAGCUAAAUCAACAGAAUGAUAAAGCUGCAAGGGUUCUUUCCUAAAUAAUCUCAAAAUGGGUUUUAUACUUGGAAUUGAAUCCUAAAUCAAACUGCAAAGAACAAUACGAUUUUUUUUAAUCAGAAAGAACAAUACCAUUUUGGAAAUGAUGUUCAAAGAAAUAUAUGCAUGAAGAUAUGUCCAAAGUAGAUUUAAGUGCAGUAAAACAAGAGGGGAAUUAUAAAAUAGUAGCUUAGUUGGUGCAGGUGCAGAAACAAUGGCCCAAAACGAAACAAAUAGUGUCUUUUCGAAUCUACAUCUAUAUUUGUAAAUGGAAAGCAUAACGAUUUUAAUAUUGGCAAAACAAAACCCUAAAAUUAACAAAGCCCUUUUCAGUUAGGGUUAAAGCAAUAUCAUCAUGCAAUAAGACCAAGAUCAAUACGUUCAAAACAAACAUUCGAUUAACUUGGAAUUCAAAUCGCGUGGAUUCCAAACAUCUCCAUGGUAAAGGGAUUCGAUUUGGAAUUCAAAAUCUUGACUUUGUUCCAGGUAAUUACAGAUACAAUUCAUACCAAAAAGCAACCAAACAAACACAAAUUCACACAAAACUCAUAAGAUCUAUAAAGAAUAGAUCUUAAAUUGAAAGAAUAAAAAGAAAAAUAAAAGAAAUGGAAAAGAAAACAGACCUUGAAAGGGAAAAGCGAACGGUUGGGGAAAAGGGAAUGGUCGAUGAACAAGCACAGGAACGAAGACUGCUUUUCAGGGAGACCGCAGAGACGCUUGGAAUGAUGAGAUGAGAGGAAAUAUUUAAUAUUUAUAGUUGUAGAGGUAGGUAGGUUUGGGCUUGGGAGAAAGUCGUUCUUGACGUCCAUAGGCUAUUAUUCUAUACGUGUUCCCCAAGCCAAAAUUUCCUUUCCUUCUCAUUCAUUCAAUGUAAUUUCUAGAAUCUUCGACUUGCGUCUUCCUUUCAAACGUGAGUUUGAUUUUAUUAAGUAUGAUAUAAUUAAAAUUAGUAAAAAAUUUAUAUAUUUUUAUUAUUUAAAUUUUAUAUAAAAAUAGUUUAUUAAUUUAAACAAAAAAUAUUUUCUCUUUCUUUUCUUUUGUAUUUCUUUUUCUCGUCAUUUUUCAAUAACCAAACCUAACCUAACAUAUAAUUUUGUAUAAAAAAAAUACAAAGGGAUUAUUUAUUUUUUCUCAAUUAAAUUUUAAAACAAAUUAUUUUCAGUCGCAGAUAGUGCUUGUUUUUUAACUUAAUAAAAAAAAUCAAAGAUAACAUAUUGAUAUCAACUAACAUAAUUAAAGUAAAUUUAUUAUGAAUAAGUUCUAUUUAGUUAUUUUAAUUAAUAUUAAUAUGUUACUUUCAGUUGAAUAAAAAAAAUUAAAUAUUUUUAUUUUAAUAUUUGACUUUUUCUAUUCAACUAAAAAAUAAAUAUCAUCUUAACUCACUUAUUUUUUAAAAAUAAAUUUUAUUUUUUUACUCUUUUUUUUGUUCUCCUUUCAAUCCUUUUGCUUAUUAUAAAAAUAUAAAUAGUAUUAUCGAUGUUAAAAGUUUUAGAAUUUAUUUUUUAUAGAUUUAAAUUAUUAUUAAUUGAUUUUUUAUUUUUAUUAGAUUGUCAUUUUCAACACAUAAGAAUUUAUUUAUGAAAAGAUAAUUGUAAAUACAUGUGUUUGAAAAUAUAUUUAAUAUUUUAAUUAAAUUCUUAAUUAAUAUUUGCUGGACCCUUUAAUAUUAAAAAAAAUCAUAUAUUUAAGAAAGAUGUUAGAAUAAUUGACUUAAUUUAUUUUUUCUAAAUUAUCAUUUUUAUAUAAUACAUGCAUUUGAAAAAUAUCUAUUUUCUAGCCAUCUGACACAUGAAGGAUGUUAUUGAGAGCAAAGACUUCAUUGGAAGUUAUCUUGAGAAGCACUUUUCCUUUGUGAAUCAUAGUGUAGGAAGUAAAUGCACUCCUAUUGCCAAAUAUAUGCCUAAGAUCAUGUUCAUCCAAAAGAAACCACUAUAGCUAUCAUAUGAGUCUUGACCAAAUUUGCCUUAGUUUUUUAUUCCUCAUUCCUCUUUCUAUGUCUACAUUGUGUUGCAUCUACCCAGGCUUUUCACAAAGAAAGCAAUUUCCUUUUUUCUUAAAUUUAACUUUAUGGGAUUUGUUCACAAAAUUAAGAUUAGAUUUCUUCUUUCAAGGGGUAUUGUUGCAAUUAUUUCUCUUAUUAUUUUUUUGGCUUAUCUUUUACUAGAUUAGUCUCGAAAGUUCAUUGGAUUUCUCAACCUUGUUCAGGUUUUUGCUUUGUUCUUUAAUUCUAAUAUAGAUUAUUGUGUCCUCUAGAGAUAUUAGGUCCUUCUACUUCAUGAUCUACACCAAGAAUUGUUAUUUUCACAAGAAUAGUUAACUUAUUGUCAAGUUGUUUCUUGUGCAAAUCAUGACCUUUAAUCACCUAUUUAAGUCAUUUAAACUACUUGGUAACUUAAGGUGUUUUAUGGUGUUUUUAGUGGUUUUCAAUGAAGGGAUAACAAGGGAUGUCGAAUUGAUAAUGGAGGACAACCAAAGAUUUUCAAAAGCAAAAAAACUAAAAAAUCUAAAUCUUGUGCACACUAGGGUGCACUACCACCAAGAGUAGUAUUUGACAAAUAGGUAGUGCGCACUCUAGAGAGUGCACAUUUUGGUUAAAACCAAAAAAAAAAAAAACCAAACCCUGUGUCCCACUUCCCCUAGGGUGGGACAUACCCAUUGACUUGACCAUGGGAAAGGCAUACCCUUUCAGGGGUGCGACAUACCCAUUGCCUUACCUAUGGGCAUAUCACACCCCUUAAGGGUGUGACAUGCCCAUCUCUACCCCUUUCCUGGAUGCCUCCUCACCCAUUAUUUAAGCUAUUUUUUUUAAGUCAUAUGAUCAUUCUGGAUUAUGGAUGAUGCUACCACUUGCCCUAGACUCCUAAGGUUUUUCCUCCAAGUAUGAAUACUAACUUUUGAGGAGUAUAAGAGGGACUUUUUGACAAAAAAACUUUAUAAAGGGAAAAUGGGGCUCUUAGAGGUUUUUACUUCUUUUGUGAAGUUUAUAUUUUUAUUCUUAGUUAGUGGUUUUCAUGGAUUGUAAAACUUGGAGAUCCAUCAAUGAUGAAGGAUUUCCAAGAAGUUAUUUUUGGCUACAUUCUUUAACUAGGGGAAGGCCCUUUGACAUAAACUCUACAGGUAUAAUGUUUAAACUUUUUUCGUCUUUAACAUUUGUGUUUUGAUAUAUAUAUAUGACAUCUUUAUUUACUUAAUUAAUUUUUGUUGAAUGCUUGUUGAUACCUUAAAUACUCUAUGGGAAUUAUCCUCUUAGAUUUGUUGCUUUCUUGAAACAUCAAAUACUUAAGAUUUGUUGUAUUCUUAAAAUAUCAGAUGCUUAGGGUUUAAAUCCCCUUUGAUUUGUUGUAUUCAACAACAUUUUUAAUCUUAUAUUGAGAAAUAAAAGAGAGCUUUUCCUAAACAAAUAAUGAGAAAGUAUGGAUUGACCAUAACAUGUUUGAUAAAAUGUCUCAAAGGUCAAAUCUUCCAAUUGGGUUCACCAUGAUUGGGGAUUCAUUUCUGUUUUUCAAUAGGUAUUAGAUCCAGGGUGACCAUCAAGGGCACCUCUCACCUAGUAAUUCAUCUCUUUAUAGGUUGAGACAUGCUCACUCCAAAAGCCUAAUAUGACAUAUUUAAACUAACACAUUACUAGAUUAGGGUUCUAAAAAUUCAAGGGAUGAUUCAUCUCCAUACUUUCACAAAUCUAAAACAUCAAAAAUGAAAAGCAUAGUUCCACACUAGCCACUACAAGAAGCCACCUAGCAUCUAAUGGGGAAGUAAUGCAUGAUCUUACUAUUUAUAAAGGUACAAUGGGUUCACUACAAUACAUGAAUCAUAUACAAUCUGACAAAGCUUACAUUGUGAACAAAUUCAGUUAAUAUUUAUAAUAACCAAUUUUUUCACACUAACAUGCAAUGGAAUCAAUAAUCGGGUACUUGAAAGGUUAAUUGCUCAAGGGUCACAUAUCAAACCAAAUAAAAGAUUGGGAUUAAUUGGCUUCACAUACUGACCAAGCUUAUUGUAUUAAUGAUAGUCUAUUGCAAGUUAAUGUGUUUAUUAUGGUGAUUAUUUAGUUUUUUGGUCUUCCAAAAAAUAGCAUGUAGUGGUUAGAUCAAGCAUUGAAUUAGACUACAACGCCCUUACAUAAGUUACUACCGAGAUAACUUGGAUGUAGCCUUUUCCUCAAGAACCAUAGCUCGAACAGAACAUGUUGAGUCAGACAUCCAUUUUAUGAGAGAUUAGAUUUUAGAGAGAACCUUGGAGAUUUGCUUUGUUCAAUCUUGUGACCAAAUGGAUUAUAAAUUAACCAAAGUUGGAGUUUUCUCACAAACUUAGUGUGGUUAAUUACACCACCCUCAAGUUUGAGGGUGUGUGUGGGGUGUUUAGGAGGGUGCACGCUCCUCUCACAUGCUCAGCUCCCUUAGGUCUCACUAACAAAUUCUAUAGCAACAUUGACAUUCUCUAGUUUUAUGUUAUAAUCAAUCUCCUUUGUCCAAUUCUUUAAAAAAAUUUAUGCACGUACGUCAAUCUUAGAUUGGUUUCCUAUGAUGAAAUUCCUUAUUUAUGAGUGAAUUAUCCACCUCCAAUGAUGAAAUUCCUUACAUAUGUAUGAAUUUCUUCACCUCCAAGGUAAGAGUAUCGUCUACUAUUGACAAAAAAAUUGUGAUUUUUCAAGUAGGAUGGAUCAAUGGAUCAAUGGAUCAAUGGCCUAGAAAAUGGGGAUUGAUAUCUAUCAUGGAUAUAAAUAAAUUUAAUGAAAUAUAUUUUCAAAUAAUUUUUUUUUUUUAAUGUUAUUCUUGUUUUGAAAAAAUAAAGGUCAUUUUAAUAAGAUGGGGGUGAUAUUUAAUCAAACGUCCCAAAGAAAAGUUAUCAUUUAAAUGCUGCAAACCAGGAAGAAAAGCACACAAUGGGAUAUCAAAUACACAUAAAUGAAAAACAGUACCAUACCACAAGUCCUUUUGGAUGACAACCUCGCAAAUCCCAAAGCCACCUAUUCUUCAUUCUUCAAGGUUGGUAAAGCCCACUAGUGACCACGGAAGCAAGAGAUGAAUUUAUGAGUUAUUAAGGACGUACAUAUUCUACUGCUCCUCUCUUCUCCCAUCAUAUUUGGUCUUAGAACGAAUAGCCAGCUGUGAGUUCAAAAACUAAUGACUUUCUUGAUGCAAUUGUAAGUCUGGAGAUCUCAGUCUCAAACUGAAUAAAUAAACACAAGACAUUUCCUGCAUAUUAAACUCCCAACAGCAUAACCAUGCCCCAACCUUAUAUCUAUAAAUUUAUGCUUCAUAUAAACUUCAACAGAGAACCAUGACCAGUCCAAGUAGAAGCAAAAUACUGCAACCCACCAUUACUUAUUUAGAAUAUGACACAUUUCAAAUAUUUACUUAUAAAGAAAACUCGAAUCUGUUAGUAACAGAUAUGUUCCAAAGAUACCUAUAAAGCAAACCAAAUCCAAAUACAAAUUAUAAAGUAAAUCCAAGUCCAAAUCCACAUAUUGUUUACCAUUGAACAUCAAUGCAUAAACCAACGCCAAGCAUUGAAAGGGACCCUACCAUUCCACAAUGCACAAGACAGAAUAAAUACUGCUCCAGAUCCCCAUCAAACCAGCUAUCCCUCACCAUCUGCAACCAACAUCACCACCACGGAGUCGAAGAACAAGAUGAAGUGUAGAUUCCUUCUGAAUAUUGUAAUCUGCCAAGGUCCGCCCAUCCUCUAGCUGCUUUCCAGCAAAUAUGAGCCUCUGCUGAUCUGGAGGGAUACCCUCCUUGUCUUGAAUCUUUGCCUUCACAUUAUCUAUGGUGUCAGAGCUCUCCACCUCAAGUGUGAUAGUUUUACCUGUCAGGGUCUUCACAAAUAUCUGCAUACCUCCACGAAGGCGAAGAACAAGGUGCAGCGUGGAUUCUUUCUGUAUGUUGUAGUCAGCCAAAGUGCGGCCAUCCUCAAGCUGUUUUCCAGCAAAGAUCAGCCUCUGUUGGUCAGGAGGAAUGCCUUCCUUGUCCUGGAUUUUUGCCUUGACAUUGUCAAUUGUGUCUGAGCUCUCAACUUCAAGAGUGAUUGUUUUACCAGUUAAGGUCUUCACAAAAAUCUGCAUACCCCCACGUAGGCGGAGAACAAGGUGAAGGGUUGAUUCCUUCUGUAUAUUGUAGUCAGCCAAAGUUCGACCAUCUUCUAGCUGCUUACCAGCAAAGAUUAGCCUCUGCUGGUCGGGUGGAAUACCUUCCUUGUCCUGGAUUUUUGCUUUCACAUUGUCGAUAGUGUCUGAACUCUCAACUUCAAGGGUGAUAGUUUUACCAGUAAGGGUCUUCACAAAUAUUUGCAUGCCACCUCUCAAACGGAGAACCAAGUGAAGGGUAGACUCCUUCUGGAUGUUGUAGUCCGCCAAUGUCCGACCAUCUUCCAGCUGUUUACCAGCAAAUAUGAGCCUCUGCUGGUCUGGGGGAAUACCCUCCUUGUCCUGGAUUUUAGCUUUCACAUUAUCGAUGGUGUCUGAACUCUCAACUUCAAGGGUAAUAGUUUUUCCAGUGAGGGUCUUCACAAAAAUUUGCAUGCCGCCUCUUAAACGGAGAACCAAGUGAAGGGUGGACUCUUUCUGGAUGUUAUAAUCAGCCAAUGUCCGGCCAUCCUCGAGCUGCUUACCAGCAAAUAUAAGCCUCUGCUGGUCUGGGGGAAUACCCUCCUUGUCCUGGAUUUUCGCUUUGACAUUAUCAAUGGUGUCUGAGCUCUCAACUUCAAGGGUGAUAGUUUUUCCAGUGAGGGUCUUCACAAAAAUUUGCAUGCCACCUCUCAGACGGAGAACCAAGUGAAGGGUGGACUCCUUCUGGAUGUUAUAAUCAGCCAAUGUCCGGCCAUCCUCCAGCUGCUUACCAGCAAAGAUAAGCCUCUGCUGGUCUGGAGGAAUACCCUCCUUGUCCUGGAUCUUUGCCUUCACGUUGUCAAUUGUAUCUGAACUCUCAACUUCAAGUGUGAUGGUCUUUCCAGUUAGUGUUUUGACAAAUAUUUGCAUUCCUCCUCUCAAACGAAGUACAAGGUGUAGGGUGGACUCUUUUUGAAUGUUAUAAUCGGCCAAAGUCCUACCAUCCUCGAGCUGCUUUCCAGCAAAAAUCAACCUUUGCUGGUCAGGGGGGAUACCCUCCUUGUCUUGGAUUUUUGCCUUAACAUUGUCAAUGGUAUCAGAACUCUCAACUUCAAGAGUUAUGGUUUUUCCAGUAAGGGUCUUAACAAAGAUCUGCAUCUGCUAUGCAACAACAAAGAUAAGCCUAAUUAGCUAUAUUAUCCUCUUAGGUAACCAAUAUAAACUGAAAGAACAGAAACACAAUUAAGCAUCUACACCCAAUUUUCAGCCCAUGAGGGAAUUUUCUCCAUAAUAAGAAGACAAAGUGUGAAAACCAGAAAGGGAACCGAAAUAUCAUACCAUAACCAUGCGUGAAAGAAACAUAAGCUCGGUGAAAUAAGGUAGAAGUUCAUAUUUGUAAAUAUUGCAUUGAAGCAUUGCAAUGUUCAUGAUUUAUCCAUAACCAGACAAUGAAGCAUUGGUGAAAUAAUGAGUUGUGAUAUAACACUUCUAUUAUGCUUUCUAUCAUCAACGCAAAAAGAGUAGAAAUAAUUCUCAUAACCUCCAACUCUUUAUACUCUCUUCUUUGACAAGUAAAUAAGUUGUGGAACAAAUUUUGAGAGCAAAUUUGUUCUCAAAAUAACUCUUAAUACUCUCUUGUUAAUCUUAAUUUUGGGAGCAAACUGUGGAAUUGAUGAGAAGCAAGUUUACCAUAUCAAUUAGGCAUACAUGUUUUACAUUGUUGUUAUAAUAUGAUUAUGCUUGGCGAUAUAGAUGUUCUUAACGUAACUUGUUCCUAAAAACAGUGGAAUGCUCUUCAAAUCUCCAUGCAAUACCAAUUCUUUUGUUGCAAAUAAAAAAACUGUUUGAAUCUUUGUUGAACACUCUCAUAAACCAGACAAUCAAGUUUAGAAGCAAAGUCAAAAAGUAAAUUUUGAAUUGAAAAAUUUUAUGUUGUAACAUGAAGACCACUUCCAUUAAAGUGAGUUAGAAAUUUUCAUUGGGUUAUAACCUCCUCUAAAAUUGGAUCAUUACAUUCAACUCUCUCUGGCUUACAACAGAACUCCAUUUGUCUACUUCAACAGUAUUGCUAUGAUUUGAUAUCAGCAUGAGAAUGUAAAUUUACUGAUCAUAUAACAUUUCAGCUUGCAAUUAAUGUCCUACCAACAAAAAGUCAGUAUUUAAUCACCAACAAGACAUGUCUGCUUCCUAAUUAGACAUUAAAUCUGAAUUCGCUCUUCCAUUCUUUUUCCUUUAAAUUUGAAAAGAAAAAAAAAUGCAGUAUUGCCUUCCUGUCCCUUUAAACAACUGUGAAUUUAUAUAAGACAUCAGGCUCAGACUUCCACAACACCCAACAUAAGUUUCUAUAAUUUUCUUCAAUCAGCAAUAGUUUCAUGUCAUCAUUAGAUCCUAUGAUAGGAUGUUCAAUAUUUACUAUUGCUGAAGAUGUCUUCAAAAUUUUCAUUUAAACAAAUAUAUUUAGUGGUUAGCUAGGCAUCAUGGACAAAGGGUUUUAGCUUUCAGGUCCAAAACGAUCUUUUUUGAUAAGAUACUCCAAUAUUGUUAACCUGAUCCCAAACCUAUGAGAACAAAGCCAAAGAGAUCGCUUGCAUGUUCAACACAAAGCAUCUUCUUUAUAUCCCUUAAAAAGAUGAAGCCUUUUACAUAGAGAGGAACACCCAAACACAAAAAUCUGGUAUUUUUCAAAAAAAAAAAAAAAAAAAAAAUCCAACUAAGAAUUCCUCAAAAACCUAUUAAUCUAUCAGCACAGAAACCAUUAGAAAUAUCCCAAAGCUGCAAAAUCAAACAAACAACAAUGAAAAAAAAAGGAAGGAUAAAUCAAAAGAACUCCAAUCAUAUUGUUGGUGUAAAGAUCUAAUUACACCAGAACUGAAUUGCACAAUUGGAAAUGUCAAAACCAGGAGUAAACGAUUUUAUGUUCUUGAAGAAUCAGAUCAUGAUUUUGAACAAAUUACCAGAUAAUACCCUAAUAAAGCCAACGAGAACAUACAAAAUCCGAAACACAAACAAGAAUUACAAUCAAAUAAAAUCCCUAUCCAAAACCCUAACCAAUAAUCAAAAAUAGGCCACGGGCAAAGCAGAUAAACCCUACCAAAAACCAUAAAGAAGCCCAAAUGAACAAACAUCAAUAGAACAAGACAAGAGACAAACCCUAACCUUGACGAAGGAUCGAGAUUAUGAAAAAUACAGACGCCGAAUCGGAAUGAGAAUGAGAUGAGCCUGAGAGGGUUUCGUAGUUAUAAGCUUUCAAGGUAAAGUCGGUUAGACUUUGGCCAAUAGUACUCCUCCACGUGUCGUCGCCAUCCUUGACUUGGCUGUACCCCUUCUUAUUGGGAAAAAGGCUAUGCUUGGCAAGUGGAUUACAAUUUUUUCAUUUUAUUAAAAAUUUGAGCUAAUAAGGAAAUAACAUUCUGUUUGAUUUCCCACUAUUUUUCUUUUAAAAAUAGAAAAUAAUAGUACUAUACAUUUUUUUUUUUUUGGAAAUUUAUCUUAAAAAGUAUUAAAAAUAAUUUUUGAUGAUUUCUUUCUAAGGUAAGAGUUAUUGUAAAAAAUUGAAAGAGUUACCAGAAGAAUAUAUCAAAAUAAAAACCAAUACGAAAAAUUUAUUUUGAAAUUUUUUGUUAAGCUUAUUCAAAAGUAAAUUUAACAAAAACAAAAAUCACAUUAUUUUUAUUUUUCAAGUUCCUAAUCUUAUUUACCCCAAGGCCCUAUUCCUAGAAAUACAAUUUGGGUAGGUUAGCUUAACCCAACUCGACAUGAAUGAAUAAAUAUUUUCAAUACUCAAGUUCAACUUGAGUUUAGUUUUUUUAAUUUAAAUUAAAUUUGGAUUAUACUUAAACCAAAAUUCAAACAAUCUGUCUGAACAUAAUUUAAUGUUUUAAUAACAUUUAUAAUGUUUAUUAUUUUGUAUAGUAAUAUUCAUUUUUUUAGACUUUUAAGAAAAAUAUCAAAUUAUAAUUAUAUCAUAUUUUUUCAUUUUUCUAAGAAAGAUAUAGAAAUUUAUUUUUACUUUUUUAUUACUAUUUUAAAAUUUUACCCUUUUUACUAUUUAAAUUUUAGUAUAAAUAAUAAUAAUAAUAAACUUUUUAGAAAAUACUAUGGAUUGAUUUUGAAUAAUGCAAACUAAUUAACUUGAAUUUUACCCGAACUUAAUCCGAUCAAUUCAAAUUCAACUAAAACAUAGAAAAAUGAUAUUGUGUUGAGUUUGAGUUUAGUACCUUGAGUUAGAAAUCAAAUUUAGUUGAACUUUGGUUGAUUAUUUCUUAAUUCGAAUUGGACUCAAAUUAGCCAUCAACGUGACCUACUCGCCGAAGUUAUAGUCCUUUUCCUACAACGGAAAAGCCAAGAAAAAACAUAUUCUACCCUAUUGCAAAUAAAUAGAAUAUUAGGUAGUGUUUGUUUUUUUGGCUUUUUGUUGAAAGCAAUUUAGUUUUAAAAUUUAGGUAGUUUGUUUUUCUACUUUUUCAUGACUUAUUAUAAACUUUUUACUAAAUAGAAAAAGCCAAAAUAUGUAACUUUUUCUAAAUAGAAAAAAUAAAAUAUUGGUUUUUUUUUUACUUUUUAAUACUUAAUAGAAAUAAAAUACUACAAAAACAAAUAACUUAAUAUUUAACACUAUUAAGUAUUAAGGUUUUAUUUAAAAUUAAGUAAAAAAACAAACACCACCUUAGUCUAUUGAAGCAAACAAAUACGUGACGUUAUUUUUGGUUCAUUUACAUUAUUAUUGGGCUUGAAUGCAUUAGAGAAGACCAUUGAUCCAAUGUUGUUGACCUAGUCAAUCCCAAUAACAUCCACGACGGCUGCUGGAGUAAUUAGAAGUGUAAAUUCGGACGGGUCGGCUGGGCUGAAGCCCAAAAAAUUUAGGCAUUAGGUGGGCUUGAGUAGAUUUAUUGGGUUGGAGAGAUGAUUUUGGGGUGGCUUGGAUUCAUUCUCCCAAAUCUAAGGACCAAGGCGUAGCCCUAUGGGCCUCGGAUUCAAAAUUUGGGUUCAGGAUUUGGGCAAAGUCUGACUUUUAUUUUUUAUUUUUAAAUUUUAUUUAGAUAUUAUUUAACCAAUCUUUAAAUUAAAUUAAAAAUUAUAAGAACUAUAAAAUAAACUAACAAAAUUAUAAACUAUAAAUCAAAAACAACAAAUAAGUGUGUAAUAAACAUUUUUGCAUCAUAUUUAUGGUGAAAUCAUGAGCUAAAAAACUAUAUAACAAUGUUGAUUAUCUAAAAUAUUUGAGAAAAACGGGUUUUGAUUUACUAAUACAAGAAUAUAUGGAAAAGGAACUUCAAAUUUUUUAAAUCGAUAUUAUUUUCAUCUAUUUAAAAAUAAUUUGAAAUACAUGCAAUUUUUAAUGAGUCAUACAGUUAUUCCCUAAAAUGCCCAUUUUACUUCCAUAAAUAUUUCUCUUCCUUUUAAAUAUUAUUAUUAUUAUUAUUGUUAUUAUUAUUUAAGACUUUUUUCUCCAAAAACAAACCCUCAUAGGAAAAGUUGAAACUUUUUUUUUUCUAUAAAGAAACAUCCCUUAGCAAAAGUGAGAUGGUUUGAAGAGUAUAGACAUUAAGAGUAGUAAAACCCUGACGGAUUGUAGAUGAGUUUGAGUCUGCUAGGAAUAAGGUUUAUGGCUUUUUCCAUGGUUUCUAUAGGAUUUUUUUUAUUAGGGCAAAUUGAGGUUAAUUUCAAGAACUUUGGUUGUUUAGGGUAUUUUUACAAAGAAUGGAAUUAGGUAUGAAAAACAAAACAAUGAGACUAUUGAAAUAAAUUAAUAAUAGUAAAAUACAAAGAAAUUGGCACAUGUGAUGUGAUUGGUGACACUUUUCGGAUAGUGUACAUUACCCUCACCCUAAAGUGUUCCUUCUAUAUUUUCCCAACCUGUCUUUCACAUUCAUAGAAAAUAUUCUAAAAAAAAGAAAAAGAAAAAGAAGCACAACCAAGGAUAGCCAAGCAGGUUUGGCUCACUCUCAUUUCUCAAAACCCCAUUUCUCACAUCUCUAGCUUGAAAUAUUGGAUUGCAAAAGGUAAAAUGAAUUAUACAUAACUUGUACUGCAUAAAGUAACACACAUAAGAAUUGUUCAUUGAAAAGGUCAAAAUAAGAUAAUGAACUAUACCUAACUUGUAUUGCAAAAAGUAAAAUAAAUUUUGACCAAAGUCAUUCGAAGUUACCUGCUCUACAUCAUAGGCUACAUUGAGAAGAAAGAGUGAGGUCUUAAUGCUAGUGACCAAGUUCUUAAGGAAGAACCAUUGGGAAAGAGUAUGCAAAUCUAUUUUUUUUUUAUCAUCAUGUCUAUUGCAAUAUCCAAUUCAUGGGAUUAAAUAAAAUCAAGAGAAGAGAGAUUGUUACUGAAGUUGGAUCUAAGUAGAUGGUAUAAGUGCUUGACAAUUUUUUUUACUCCUUAAAAUUUUAUACAAGUUCCAAGAUCAAAACUACCAUAAUCAUAAAAAGAAGUAUCUAAAAACUCAUCAUUCAACAAACACAAAGUGAUGAUAUGGUUGGGUAAUCAAUCAUUUUACUAAAUAACAACCAAAGAUUUAAAGUUAUAGAUAGCCCCCCAAUAGAGCACCCAGAAGAGCUUGAAAUAUAUUUGUUUCUUAAAAUAACUAUGAAAGGACAAACUUAUAGAAUAUGCUAAAUGUAAAACUUGAUCAACAUUCUUCAUCCUCUUUGACAAUAAAUCCUCCAUACCAGCUUUGAAAAUCCGUUGUCCUUAAAAAUAAAGAACAAUUGCUUAUCACUAAGAAAAACCAACCUCCCUAAGGGUUUUUUUUUUUUUUUUUUGAACUUGUAGAGGUUGUAGACAAAAACAAGAUAUGAUUUUCUAGAAAAUAUGAAUGUGAAGUUUUUCCACAUACACACAUAUAAAAUCAUUUUUAUAAACAUUCUAAGGGAAAAAAACAUUUAAUUCAAUAUAUUAAUAAUAAUCAAGGCAUGCAUACUUCUUAUAGGCAAACCAUAAAAAAGGUAAUGCAAUAAAUAGAAGGGUGAAUAAUCCUUCAAUGGGCCUUAAAAGCAAUAUAUAAUACUCAAAUGGCAAUUCAAUGUAUUUAUUGACUAUGUUAGUUGAAUUUUCUAAAGUUGUAGUUAAAAGACUCACGUAUAAAUAAUUUUGUUAACAUAUUUACACCAAGAAAAAAAUAGUUCAGAACAAACUAAUAAUCAAGAAAUAUUCACUAGUAUUUUAGAAACUUGAAAAUGCUUAAUUUUAUCAACCAAAAGACUAGAAGGAACACAUAAUGAGAUAUCACCAUUCAAUCUACCAAGAUAGAUUGCAUAUACCACAAUAAAAUUAUAUUAUUUCCACAUAAUUUUUCUUUCCAACUCUGAUAUCACCUUAGGAUGCUAAGAUUGCAACCAAAUUGAAAUAAAUACCGAAAAAAUGUAGAACCUAAGAAAGGAAAAUGUAGUACCUAAGCAAGGAAAAGAUAGUACUUAAGGUUCAAAAAAGUAGUACCUAAAGAAAGUAAAUGUAGUACCUAUAAAAAAAAUUAUGUCAUACUUAUAUCUAAAUUAUCCAUGACAUAAAUGGAACUAUAAGACAUGUAGCACAUAUGUACAUAAAUUCCCAACUUAUUUGAAGUAGCCCUAAAACAAUGGAUUCGCUUAUGCACCCAAAGGUUACAAAAGUAGUACCUAUGGUUGAGAAAAGUAGAACCUAAGGAAGGAAACAAUAGUAACUAAGGUUAAAAAAUGUAGUACCUAAAGAAAGUAAAUGUACUACAUAUAUGUCAUACUUAUAUCUAAAUAAUUGACAUAAAUGGAACUGUAAUACAUGUAGCACAUAUGUACAUAAGUUCCUGACCUAUUUGAAGUGGCCAUGAAAUAAUGGAUUCAAUCAUGCACCCAAGGUUACAAAGGUAGUACCUAUGGUUGAGAAAGGUAGAACCUAAGGAAGCAAAAUGUAGUACCAAAGGUUCGAAAACGUAAUACCUAAGGAGGGAAAGACAGUACCUAAGGUUCAAAAAAGGUAGUACCUAAAGAAAGUAAAUAUAGUAUCUAUAAAAAAAUUAUAUCAUACAUAUAUCUAAAUUAUCCAUGACAUAAAUGGAACUAUAAGACAUAUAGCACUAAUUGGUACAUAAAUUCCCAACUUAUUUGAAGUAGACAUGAAACAAUGAAUUUGAUCAUGCUUCGAUGGCAAAGGUAGUACCUAUGGUUGAGAAAGAUAGAACCUAAGGAAGGAAAAUGUAGUACCUAAUGAAGGAAAAAGUAGUACUUAAAGGUUAAAAAAGAUAGUACCUAAAGAAAGUAAAUGUAGUACCUAUAAAAAAAAUUAUGUCAUACUUAUAUCUAAAUUAUCCAUGACAUAAAAAGAACUAUAAGAAAUGUAACACAUAUGUACAUAAGUUCCCGACUUAUUUAAAAUGGCCAUGAAACAAUGGAUUCGCUCAUGCACCCAAGGUUACAAAGGUAGUACCUAUGGUUGAGAAAGGUAGAACCUAAGGAAAGAAAAUGUAGUACGUAAAGAAGGAAAAUAUAGUACUUAAAGUUAAAAAAUGUAGUACCUAAAGAAAAUAAAUAUACUACUUAUAAAAACCUUAAGUCAUACUUAUAUCUAAAUUAUCCAUGACAUAAAUUGAACUAUAAGACAUAUAACCCAUAUGUACAUAAGUUCUUGACUUAUUUGAAAUGGCAAUGAAAUAAUGGAUUCACUCAUACACCCAAAGUUACAAAGGUAGUACCUAUGGUUGAGAAAGGUAGAACCUAAGGAAAGAAAAUGUAGUACAUAAAGAAGGAAAAUAUAGUACUUAAAGUUAAAAAAUGUAGUACCUAAAGAAAAUAAAUAUACUACUUAUAAAAACCUUAAGUCAUACUUAUAUCUAAAUUAUCCAUGACAUAAAUUGAACUAUAAGACAUAUAGCACAUAUGUACAUAAGUUCUUGACUUAUUUGAAAUGGCAAUGAAAUAAUGGAUUCACUCAUACACCCAAGGUUACAAAGGUAGUACCUAUGGUUGAGAAAUGUAGUAUCUAAGGAAAUAAAAUGUAGUACAUAGGUUCACAAAGGUAGUACUUAUGGUUAAGAAAUGUAGUACCUAAAGAAGGAAAAAAUAGUACAUGGGUUCACAAAGGUAGUACCUAGGUUCCAAAGGUAGUAUCUAAGGUUCAAAUAGGUAGUACCCGAGGUCUAAAAGGAACUAAAUUAUAAAAAAAGAAUGUCAUGCUCAUACCUAAAUGCAAUUGAAGAAGUAGCUUAGUAGUAGACAAGUUCCACAUAUAUAUCAAUUGGUCUUGAAACUAGGGAUUCCAUCAUGCUUCAAUGGCAAAGGUAGUUCCUAAAGUUUAGAAAGGUAGUACCUAAGGUUCCAAAGGUACUAGCUAAGGUCCAAAAAGAUGAUACAUAUUAAAGAAUAAUGGCAUACUUAUAUCUAAAUGGAACUGAACAUCUACCACCAAUGUAGAUAAGUCACACACUUAUCUCAAGUGGUCAUGAAACAAAUGCAUACUUCUAUCAUACUUCAAUGGAAAAGUUAGUAUUGUUGGGAACCCUAGAUUACUCUAUUCCCAUGCCUUGGAUCUCAUAGGGUGCAUGCAUCUAUCCUUGGGCUCUUUAGAUCUAACGCAGUGGGAAAUAAAGGCUUCAAAAACCAUUAUAAAAUAAAAAUCUAGAGAAAAAGUGCUUAUACUUGGAUCUGGAUGUUCCUAGAUUAAUUCUUUGCAAUCAAGAGCAUGCUUAGAAAAACUAGAGAAUCUCUCAUCAUGUUGCUACCCACAUGCACAUCCUGUGCGAUUCCUGUGCACAUGGUUUGUGCACAUUGCGUGCAAUUCCCAUGCACGCGGCUUAUGCGCAUCCCGUGCAAUUCUUGUGUGUGUGGCUUGUGUGAUUGUAGUACGCUUCUCAUAUGCCCAAGAUCUUCCACCCAAUAACUCUUCCUUGUGUCUAAGCACUGAGAUGAUGGAGAUUUCAAGGAUAGAGACUAGGGUUUUCUCUCUUAAUUGAAAAGAAGAAUGGCAAGACUUGGAAACCCCAACCCCUAAAAGGAUAUUUAUAUGUUUCCUACUGGGCUUAAGUGACUUAAGCCCACAAUGGGUUUGGGUCACUUAAUCUAACCCAAAAAGGUUGUUAAUUGAUUAAUUAAUCAUACAAGGCCUACUUAAUCAAUUAACCUAGUCCAGAGAUACCACUCAUAUAUCUCUAUGCAACCUUACGUAAUUGCCAAAAUGCCCUUAUGCACAAAAGUGAACUAAAAACCCAUUCAACCCUCAUAAACCGUGUCAUCCAGAAAUAUGAGCUCAGAGUAAGGACCAUUGGGAGCCAUAGGAAUACUGGCUCCCUCAUAAUCAAAUUCUAAAAUUGACUCAACAUCCCACUAUGGAGAGUUAACUACACUCUAAUACCCUAUGUAUAUUACAAUGAGACACUAAGUGCUCAGCUUCGUGACCUACUAUCCACUACAUGCAAACUCCCCAUGAACUAGUGUCCAUAAUCUAACAAGGUAGUGUUAUCACCUAUCAAGAUUACCCCUCAUAUCCUUGAGUUAUAGAUCUCAGUUAUUAUGUGAUCAAAUGACAUAUUCUAACUCUAAGGAACAUAUGUCAAAUUCCACAAAAGGAAUUAUUGUGGCCAUAGAUUUCAUGACCACAUGUCCUUUGGAUCACCAAAUGGGACACACUAUCUCAAUCAUAUGAGAUAUCAUGGUGCCUCUAUUAAGAAUACCUAUUGCCAUCAUCCUUUAUCAACAAUAACCCAAUCCAUAAAGAUAUACGAUCACUUUAUGGUCUCACCCCAUAGGUCAAAGCCUCUUGUUGAUUUUGACACAGACUCAAUAUUCUCUUAAGGUUAAGAGUCCAUGUAGAAUAGUAGCUUGGUAAAUCAUGACACUUAAUAGUCUUGCAUCAUGAUUCAUCAUACGUUCUGUCCAAUAUGCAUCACAUACACUAGUGCACUCACCAUGGAAAACCCAUCCCAACCACCAAGACUAGUCAUUCCUCCAAUUAGAAGGCAAUGCACUACAUUCUCUACUGGAUUGCCCAAAUCCAUGAACCAACUGUGGACAAUUUAUUGACUUACAAGGAAUCCAUUACUUGUAUCUUUUGUGCAACUCCCAAUGCACCCAAGUCAUGUACAAUGUAAGAGACAUGGGUUGAAUGUUCAAAUCAAUAUCAAUACAAUAAAAGGAUAACAAGGGAAUAGUUAAGUCUAACUUUGUUACAUCAUGUUUUGCUUUUAGGGACUCAAUCCCAACAAGUACCUAAGGUUAAAAAAAGUAGUAUAUAUUAAAAAAUAAUGGCAUACUUAUAUCUAAAUAGAAUUGAACAUGUACCACUAGUAUAGAUAAGUUACACACUUAUCUCAAGUGGUCAUUAAACAAAAGCAUACUUCUAUUAUGCUUUAAUGGCAAAGGUAGUACUUAAGAUUCAAUAAGGUUGUACUUAAGGUUGGAAAAGGUAGUACCUAGGGUUAUAAAAGAUAGCACCUAUGGGUUAAAGAAGGUAGUACCUAUGGUUGUAAAAAGUAGUUCCUAAGGUUGGAAAAUGUAGUACCUAAGGUUGAAAAAAGAUAAUACCUAACAUUGAAAAAUGUAGAAACUAAGAUACAAAAUGGUAUAACCUAAGGUUGAAAAAGGUAGUACAUAAGGUAUCAAAUCGCAAUACAUAAGGUGCAAAAUGCUAGAACCUAAGGUUUAAGAAGGUAGUGCAUAAGGAAUAUAAUUUCAUGCUUAUACAAAUUGUACAUGAAAAAAAAAAGAUUUUGGCCACCUUGUUUCUAUCCUGCACUCUAUUAUUGUAGGAGCUAAUUUUGUUGUUUUCAUGCAUGAGUCAAUUUCCAAUUAUGUGCCUUGAAGGUACUAGUCAAAAUAAAAUUACCUUUUUUGCAAUAAGGGAAUUGAAAAGAAUGUAUUUUCAUAUGGCAGACUAUAGUAUAUGCUUAUCUUAAAAGUGAAAAUUUUAUUUCCUUCAUGUACACAAAUAGAUUAUAGAGUUGAGUUUAACUCUGCCUUCAAUGAGGCUCCUUGGGAGUUUCUAGUACUAUGACCUGAUUGGUCCUCUUUUUCCUCUCUCUUUUCUACAAAAUAAAUCUUAUUGCUUGUUUCAAAAUUCACUCCUACACUUGAACCAAACCCUCUUUCUAGAUUUGUGUAACUCAAUUUUUAGGAUUUGCAUAGUGUCCCUCAUAACUAGUCUCAAGGUGUUUACUCCAUUAAAGUUAUUCUCUUUUCUAGUAUUUUACCCAUAUGACUUCGAUGCAAAUAUAAUCACCAAUUGCUUCUUUUUGGGCUACAAUAUGCUAUCAUACAUCAAAUUUGAAGCUUGUGUAGGUAGGAUUUGGAAUUCUUAGGCUUGUUUUUUUUUCUCAAAUGAAAAAAAAAGAAAAACCUAUCCCACCCACAUGCAAGUUGGUCACCACUUAAUUGGUCUAGUAAGUCCCCUUAAGAAAAUUGUGAACUCUAAACCAAUCUAUGCUGAAAUAUCUUUAGUACCAUCAUACUAAUACAAAAGCAAAGGUAUUGUGCUCACUCUGUUUCUUCUAAGUCGGACAUUCUAAUAUAAAUCGAAAUGUACUAGAAAAACCAAAAGAAAUACAUAUAUAGUUUUGAAAAAAAAACUUUCAUAAUCUUGUAGACUCCUCCUUUUGUCCUCUUAGCACAUGUGACAUUAGGUGUCUUCAUGUACUUCUAUUUUGACUCGUAUUAGUUCCGUAUGUUGGAAUUGAGCCCAAAAGCAAAUCAUAAUGUAACAAAGUUAGACUUAACUGUUCCCUUGGUAUCCUCUUGUUGUAUUAACAUUGAUUUGAGUAUUCAACCUAUGUCUCUUACAUUGUACAUAACUUGGGUGCAUUAGGAGUUGCACAAAAGACACAAGUCACGGGUUCCUUGUAAGUAGAUAAGUUGUCCACAGUUGGUUAAUAGAUUUGGGCAAUCCAGUAAAGACUAUAGUACACCACUUCCUAAUUAGAUGGAUGACUUAUCUUGGUAGUCGAGAUGAGUUUCCCAUGGUGAGUGCAUUAAUGUAUGUGAUGCAUACUAGACAGGACUUGUGGUGAAUCAUGAUGCAAGGCUAUUAAUUGUCAUGAUUCACCAAGCUACUAUAAUACAUGGACUCUCAACCUUGAGAGGAUAUUGAGUUUGUGCCAAAAUCAAUAGAAGGCUUUGACCUAUGAAUGAGACCCUAAAGUGGUCAUAUAUCCCUAUGGAUUGGAUUACUAUUGAUGGAGGCUAGUAACAAGAAGUAUUCUCAAUAGAAGCACUAUGAUAUCUCAUAGGAUUGAGACAAUGUGUCCCAUUGGCUUAUCUAAAGGACAUGUGAUAAAGAAAUCUAUGGUCACAAUAAUUCCUUUAAUAGAAUUUGACAUAUGCUUCUUGAAUCUAGAGUAUGUUAGUUGAUCAAAUAAUAAGUUAGAUUUGUAACUUAAGGAUUUAAGAGGUAAUCAUGAUAGGUUAUAGUACUACCUUGUUAGAUUAUAGACACCAGUUCAUGGGGAGUCUGCAUGCAAUGAAUAAUAAGUCACGGACCCAAGUUUUGUCUUGUUGUUAUUUAUAUAGGGUACUGAAGUGUAGUUGAUUCUCUUUAUUGGAAUGUUGAAUCAAAUUCAAAAUUGGAUUCUAUGGGAGUCGGUACUCUUAUGGGUCCUAGGGUUCCUCGCUCUAAGCUCAUAUAUCAUGAUGGCACGGUUUAUGAGGAUUAGAUUGGCUCUAGGUUCAUUCUUGUGCAUAAGGGUGUUUUGGUAAUUAUGCAAGGUUGCACAGAGGAAAUGAAUAAGGUCUCUGGAUUGGGCUAAUUGAUUAAUUAGAUGACCCUAUGUAGUUAAUUAAUCAAUUAAAACUCAUUUUAGGCUAGAUUAGGUGACCCAAGCCUUAAUGGACUCAAGUCAUUUAAGCUUAGUGGACAAUCCUAUAAAUACCCUCUUAUGGGUUAGGGUUUCCUAAUGACUUUUAGUUAGUCAUCUUCCACUUCUAGAGAGAAAGAAAGAGAGCGUCAAAGCUUCCUCUCUUCCAGUACCCAUACUUUAAAGUGCCAAGACUAUGGUUCAAGUCAUCGAGCAGAAGAUCUUAGGUGUACGAGACCUCCGAACUCUUCAAGCUUCUUGUUCAUAUGAUGGAUUUUGAUCUAGGAACAUCCAUAUCACAAGUAUGAAUAAUAUUUCUCUUAAUCUUUAUCCUAAUAUGGUGCGUUAAAUCUAGAGAGUCCUAGGAAUAGUUGUAUGCAUCCUACAAGAUCUAGGGAUAGGAAACGAAGUGAUUUGAGGUUCCCAAUACCCUGGUGUCCCAUUGACACUUACAUAGCUUCUUUUUUUGAGCCACCUUCUAGGACCCUUUGUUGAGGGGUUUAUCUAAACCCUUAUUGUGAAUUUGGCAACCUCGAGUUAGAUUUAGGGGUUUUCCUUUUUCAUUUUUAGGAUAGCUCAUUUAGGUACACUUUAAGGACAUUUAGACACACCCUAGGUCACUUAGACACUUUUCUGAUCAUCCUUAGACAUUGAGCCUAUUUAGACAAACCCUAGGUCACUUAAACACCUUUUGAGGAUAGAGCACUUUUAGAUAAUUCCCCACUUAAGUCACUUAGAUCUUUCCUAGGAUAGUUUCACUUAGUUCACUUAGGCUUUUUCUUGAGUUAAAUUACUUGAUUUCAAGAUUAGGUGAGCAUUUGAAUUCAUUUUGAUUUUUUAUUGCAUGAGAUGAAUUUUUAUUUUUUGUUGUUGUGAGAUUUACAUUUUGAUUUUUUUUAAUUAUUAUUGCAUUAAUUUAGUAUCUUGAUUUUUGAUUCCAUGUGUUUGAUACUUUUGUUUUUUUUUUAAAAAAAUUGCAUGAGAUUGACAUUUUGAUUUUUAAUUGCAUGAAUUGAUAUUUUGAUUCUUUUUUUUUUUUACAUAUCAUAUGAUUUAUUAUUAUUCUUAUUAUUAUUAUUAUUAUUAUUUUAAUUGCAUGAUUUCUUAUUUUAAAUUUUUAUUUUUCCAUGAGGCUUUGGUGGCUAUGCAUAUAUGUAAUGCUUUGGCAAUAUUGAAUUUUUUUAAAAAGGAAAUGUAAGGUUAUGACAUUCAUGCCAUAAAAAAGAUCAAGUUAGAGUGGGAUUCUCUUGAAGAUGGCUAAUACUUUUUUUAGGAAGGAUAAGAUUAUUUUGGGAAAUCCACAACUGCAUAUCAAGAAAAAAAAUGGAAGAUCAUGGUUGGAUAUUAUUUUUUGAGAAGGGAUAUUCAUGAUGGAGUUUUAAGGAAAGAAUACUCUCUUUAGGAGUUCAUGGGCUGCCACUUUGUAAACCCUCCAUUUUGUCCUACUAGCACAUGUCCUGUUACCUAAUUCGCUUGGUACUUUACAACAAUUCCCUAGUGGCCCAUUACUGUUCAUGUAGCUUAUCUUUUCUAAGCCACCUUUGAGACUUUGGUUAAGGGACUCAUCUGACCCCAUUGUGAUUCUAGGCAGCCUUAAUUUAGACUUAGGUUUUUUUUCCUUCCUUGUUAGGCCCAUUUAGAUGCACUUGUUCCAUUAGGCACCACCUUAGGCCCACUUAGGCACCCUAGGUCCAUUUAUAUGCACUUGGCCCAUUAGGCACCAUCUUAGGCUCACUUAGGUUCCCUAGGCCCAUUUUGAUGCACUUGGCCCAUUAGGCACCACCUUAGGCCCACUUAGACCCAUUUAUAUGCACUUGGCCCAUGAGGCACCACCUUAGGCCCACUUAGGUUUACCUAGUUUUGAUUAGGUCACUUUUUUGGCAUAUCUUGCAUAUCUCACAUGGCUUGCAUGAGUUGCAUGACUCGUUUUUUUUUUUUUUUUUUUGCAAAACACACGACUUGUUAUUUUUGUUUAUUAUCUUGCCUAUUUCUUCCUUUAUUUUAUUUUCCUAUUAUUUUGUCACUUUUCCAUAAUGCUUGUCCUUACUUAUCUAUGUUAAUUUAAUAAUUUUGUUUAAAUGUUUUAUUAUUACUAUUAUUAGUGUUAUUAUCAUUAUUAUUACUAUUAUUAUUAUCAUUAUUAUUAUUAUUAUUAUUAUUAUUAUUUUUUGAUUUAUUGAUUUUGAAAUUUUGUAAGUAAGUCCACCAAUAGAAAGAUUUAAGGAAAUCACGUGCGACUGCAUCUUGGUGGAAUAUUCAGAGUGCAUACAUUGGGAGUGGCAGCCCGAUAUAAUAAGGAAAUUCAAGGAUGAAUGCGGGUUGAUUCAUGAAGAAUUUAAUGCUUUUUGUUUGAAUAGAAUAUGGCCGAAUAAUGGAAGUUGAAGAUGUGUAGCUGCCACUUACCAUAUGAGGCACCACUCAUAAGAGAAGAAAAAAAAUACAGUCAUGACUACCAUAAAAGGUGCAAUCACAUCAACCCACUAGCAUGGAAGGACAGCGAAUUAUGUCAUCUUUUUGUUGAAACGGUAAAUUAACAAAGUUGUAUGGCAUGUGAAAAUGAAAUAUUCAGUGUGUAUGUGGACGGAAUGAGGGUUGGGUUCAAGAAAAAAAGUUAUGAUCGUGUUCGACUGACGCAGAUGACUGUUGGCUCUCUCCAGACUGGUGAAUGGUCUUUCCAUGUUGGUGGAGUCAACGGGAAGGGGUGCAGAGGAUGCUCAUGGGAAGGGAUCACGCUGGCUUUGAAAAAGGUGAUUGAGGGCAUGAAAAUAGAGGAUAUUUGGUACGACAGAAGGAGAAAAGAGGAUCAGGGAAAUGCUAGUUUGGGGGGUAAAAAAAUAUGUUCUGAAACUAUGGGUUCAUUCGAUAUGAAUGUCACAAGAAAACGGUCGGGUGGGUCUUGAAAGCUAGGGUUCUUUCCAGUUGAUUGGGCAAUGGGAGGAUGCUGGUUUUUAUGGAGGGUGAUUCUUGGCAGAUACAGGAAAGAGAUUCGAGGUGACUUGGAAGAGGAGACAAAAGCUGGUGGUCUUUUGGGGGGAUAGAAGAUCAUGAGGGAGGCACUAUUUUUUUUGGAGAAUGAAGGUCCACACAGGUUUGGAUUUUAGUGAGGCUUUCUAGGGAUUUUCGAAAGUAGAUUCAGUAGAUUUUGGAGAAGGAAUUCUCUAAGCGGUUUUUGUUGUUGUUAAGUGGCAGCUGCAUGGAUUGCUGAUGCGACUCAUGGUAGCUUAGCUUUAAAGGCGUAUCAACAAAAUUUAUACCUUAAAUACUAUUACUAAAGUAGCCAAGCUACUAUAGCAUAGUGGUUCUAGGAUCGUUCACUGGGAAGGGUUUUCGCAAACACUAGUGAUAUUCAAAUUAGGAAAAUAGGUGAUUUUCUUAUGGAUGUUAGCUUUAAAAGAAGAUGUAAAUGUUUUAGAAAGAUUUAAACUAAUCUAAGCUAACAUUAAAGACUAAAAUGAAAGGGUGUAAAAACAAGUUUCUCAAAGAUAGGAUAGGCUCUUAUGCAAAUUGGAAAUCUUAGGAUAGGCUCCUCGCGUUGGGGUUGCAACUAUGGUGAUGCUUGCUUCUCGAACCGGUAUGGAUUUAGCAAAUCAAGUUUUAAUCCUUUAAAAUGACAAAACAGAUGGUAGUGAAUUUCAUCAAUGGUUAUUCGCCUUAGACUUCCUUUGAAUGGCUCGUAAGAGAUAACUAAUGGUCUAAAGCCAAAAGCUUACCAAAUAUUGGCAACUCAAAGUCAUUCCAUGUGAUAAACUCACCUUUCAAUGGCCAUUGAAAUUGGUUCUAACGGAUUAAUGCAAAACUUGGAAUUGUAAACCUCACCUUCCAAUAGCUCGUAGGAGAUAACUAAUGGAUAGAAAUCCAAAAGCUUAUCAAGUAUUGGUCGUUGGAAGUUGUCCAAAGGAAAUAAAAACCAAACUUUGCCUUAAUGAACCUUUAAUGAAAAACGUCUACCUUACCUUCCGGGUGCGAGAAAUUUCCAUGGGAUUGCAUCCAAGCCAUCACAUAACAUCCAUACUUUGAGAAACUAAAAGUUUUAGCCAAUCAUCCUCUGAGGAAAAGCCCUCAGAGGCUGUUUGGCUUCCAAGAAAAUAAAAUAGUAAAGAGAAAAGAGAAACGAGAGAGCUCUGUAUCUAUUCUAAGUGUAAAACGUAACCUAUUAUUCUAUAUAUUUCAAGAGGUGAUUUCCACCCCUUAUAUAGUCUUUACAAAAGCAAAAGCUUGUGAUUGGUUAGUUACAAGGAUAAGAAAGGAAAUUACAUCACAAAAUACAAAGUAAAAUAUCUAAAGUGGAGUCGGCAAAAACAGAGGAAAAUUCGCACCACGCAUGGGUUAUGCGAAUUUUGAAGGUGUUAUGCGAAUUUCGCAUAACCUGGAGCAGUUGGCUUCCGAAGGCCAUAUCUUCCUCAUUUCAGCUCCAAAUCGUACACGGUUUGAAGCGUUGGAUUCUUGACUUCCAGAUAUUUGAAAUGGUAUAUAGAAUGUAAAAAAUGGACUUCGGGAAGUACUCCAAAAGUGCGAAAGAAGACUGCAGCUGCUGUGCUCUGAUUUUUUCACUUUGCUUUCCUCUUCUCCAUUGUUCUUUCCUUGCAUACUUUGAAUGACUUUGGCAAAGGGCUAUGGAGCUCCAAAGCUUGGUUCUUCAUGAAUUUGAGCUUCCAAAAGCUUUGCCAUAACUUGUCCAAGUAGCUCCUCCAUCAUUUGGCAUGCUUGAAUUGAUUCAUAAGCUGAUAAAAACAUGUAAACUUGCCACAAAAUGGUUAAAACCAAUUACUAAGGACCUUAAUGAAUUAAUUGGGUUAAAUGAAUAUGAUUACUACUCAAAGGUGCUUAAAACCAUUAUAAUUAGGUCUACAAAAUAACACUUUUUGGUAGUAAUCAAUUGCAUGAGGAGGGUUGACGCCUCAUAGCCACCUUCUUUCCUCCGGUGAUAGCAACCCACAAGGCCACCUUAAGUGGCCGACUUCAACAAGGAAACCGAAAAAUGAUUUCCCUUAGAGUUAGGUUUAGAGGAGUUGAAAACAAAUGAGGAAGACUCAAUUGGCACAAGCCUCCCUUUGAAGAACAAAUCAUCAAAGAGAGAUAGCAACAGGUUCGGAUUCGUCUGGUCUUCGCUCGAACCCGACAACGACAGCGUGAACUUGAACUCCCUCUUCCCCUUAAUACCAGUGGACUCUACGUCAUCAUCCUCUUCUUCCUCUUUUUAUUCUUCCACACCUCGCUAAAGAACCAUCUUUUCUCACGUCGUAACCAACUUUCACUUCACGAUUCUCUCCGGCAGCACCAUUUCCAUCACUGGAAGGAGAACGCACCACCGCCAUUGGAGAUUUGCACCAACACGCCAGUUCCGUCAUCUGAACACUACACCCACAUCUUCACCUCGCCGGUUUUCAGAUAACCAUCUCCAUGCUACAACUAGUUGCCAUCUACCCACACCUCACCACAUCAGCCGUGCACCAUUCGGUUUGCUUUGUAGCACCAUAGCCGACUAGGUAAGUUAAUCCUUUUAUAUGGGGUUUCUUUAGAAAAGUUAAAGUUUGGUUUCAUUUCAGUUUGGAUUCAUUAUGUCAGGUUGGAUGGCUUUGAUUUUUUUUUUUUAAGUAGUUUCAGUUUGGAUUUGUUUUAUCAAAGUGUGGAAGCAUGAAUUUCAUUUAUAUUUAACUUUGAUCCAUUACAAAAUGAUUUGAUCUUUAUUAAAUUUUAGUUUUGAUUUCAUUGCAUUAGAUUGAGAACGUUUGAGUUUUGUUUGGUCUUAGAUUUAGAUCCUAUUCGAGUACAUAUGUUUUUUUAGAAUAUUGGCAAAUAAAUGUAAUUGAUCUCAUUCCAUUGUAUUCAUGCUACAGGUCUGUUAAUUUCUAUUUCCUAGAUGAUAAAAUUUAGGUUCAUGAGUUUGUCAGAUUUCCAUCUAUUUAGUUUAAUAGAUUCUCACUUUAUUAUAUCUAUAUUUUAUGCUUGUCGAUUUGAAUUCUUGAUUCACCUUAUUCUAGUUUAUAGUCUUUUUUAGUUAAUUAGUUUAAUUAAUCCGACACUAAUUAGUUCAUAUUUCAAAAAUUAUAAUUUAUAUUUAAUAAUAUAAUCGAUCCUAUGGAUUAAAGAUCUAGUUUUAAAAAUCUGUUUUGGUUAGCUUUCAAUUCAACUUUAGGUUUAAGUGUCCUUAUAAAAUUUUAGUUUGUUAAUAUAAUUGAUCCUAUGUGUUGAAGAUUUGGUUUUAGAUUUACUUUAAUUGGUAAUUAAUUCAUUUUUUUAAAGCUUAGAUUUUAUUUUAGUAAUUUUAAUUUAUUAAGAGAGUUGAUUCCAUGUUUGAAAUUUCAUAUUUGUUUUUAAUUUACUUUAAUUUAGUUUGGUUACUCCAUUAAUGUCAUGUUUAAUUUAUUUUUUAAAGACAAUUAGUUUAGUUGCUUUGCAGAUAUUAUGCUUAGUUUAUUUUCUUUUAAAAAUUAUUGUUUAGGUAUCCCAUUGAUCUUGACAUUCCAUGUUUCUAUAAUUUAUUGUUGUUGGUUUACUAAUUUAAAUUGAAGGAUAAUAAAAAUAUUCUUAAGUUAUUUAAAUUUAGUUUCCAUUAAUUUGUUUGCUAAUUUAUACUCUUAAAAUUCCAUGUUUUAGUUUUCUAAAUUUAGUGUAAGCUUGUUGAUUCGCGUGCCUAGCUGGUGUACCUUGAGUUUGGUCCUCAGACAGGAGUAAUCAACAAAAUUUAUAACCUAUAUCACCAUGCACUAGGAUAGCCUUAGCUAAUAUAGCAUAGUGGCUCUAGGAUCAUUCACUGGAAGGGUUUUCAACUUACAACUGAUACCAAUUCAAAGCUGAAUUGGUGCUUUUUCAUUUCAAGGUUAGCUUCAAAAGAAAACAUAAACUUUGCCUGAAAAAUGAUUUGUUUUAAGCUAACUAAAAAGAAAGUAAUGGGAAUUACUUAUGAAGAAAAACGUUCCUUGGAGUUUUAGGAUCACUGGGGUCAGGCUCCUCAUGCAAAAACAGAGCUCCGGUCACUUGAAUCUUUUCCUCGCAUUAGAGAAUUAACAUGUAGUUAAUUCUCUAACCGGUGUUGUACAGAUGCUUCCCUUUUAUGGAUUUCAGCACUAAUUCCCUCUCACUGAUGCAUCUUGCAAUGGCUCGUGCCUCUCACCUAGCAUUUUCCAUUGAAGGUGAUCAUUAACCUUGGACUUCCCUUCUCAAGCUCGCAAGAGGUAACUAAUGGAUGUCUCCUUAGAGUCCAAAAGCUUACCAAGUGUUGGCAAUUCUAGAAAAUCCUACCUUCAAGUCACCUCCCAAAGGCUCGCAAGAGGUAAACUAGUGCAUCUCAAUGGACGGAGAUCACUUGCCUUACCAAGUGUUGACCCAGGUGAAUUGAAGGCGUUUUAAGUUAACUAAAAACAUAGAAACCAUAAACGGGUCACACUUCCUCUUCAUUAACAGUUGAAACAACAAAACUACCAAUUCUUGCACACGGGACCUUACCUAGCUACCUUAGCUCCAAGAAACAAAAAUUCUAGCCAACCAUUCUCUGAGGAAACAUCCUAUGAGGUUGUUUGGCUAGUAAGAAAAAUACAAUCAAAUUGAGUAGGUAAGGCAGAGCAAAGCUCUGUAUUUUACUUCCUUCAAAACUAUACAAAAGUUGUCUCUAAGAACAAGCUGGCGAGAUCUCCUGUAAUGAAAAAUUACAAAACAAUAUAUAUGAGGUUAUUCACCCUUUGUUCUUACUUAAUAACUAAGGAAUCCUAUGAUUGGUGGGUUACAAGGAGAGAAUGGGGAUUUAGACAUCAAAUAUCUGAAGAAAAAAAAUCUAAAAAUGUCGGUCGCAAAUAUCUAGAAGCACUCAGGAGGAUUUCGCAGGCGUGCAAGAUGGCUGCAAAAUUUUGCAAGCUGAAGGACACCAUUUCGCAGCCAAAGGCUGAUUUCGCAGCCUGCAAAAUUGGCCUUCAACUUGGUGUGAUCGGCUUCUAAUGGCUCUAACUUCUUCAUUUCAACUCCAAUAUGCACACUAUUUGAAGCGUUGGAUUGAUGACUUCCCGAGCUUCGAAAUGACAUAUAGUAUGCAUGAAAUGAGCUCUAGAAAGUGAUCUAAAAGUAUCCAACAGUUGCUAUCCUCUUGAAUUCUUCAUGUUAGAUUUCUCUCUUUGCUUUCCCUCCUUGCAUUCAUGAUUUGCUUAUGGCAAAGGAUUAUAAAUCUUCAAAGCUUUGGUUCUUCAUGUUAAUGAGCUUCCAAUUGCUUUGCCAUGGAUUCCAUAGAACUUUCCUCAAUCUUGGAUUGCUUUGGUGAUCAAAAUACUAUCAAAAACACCAAAACUUACACAAUUUGAUUAAAAAUGAUUGCAAAGGUACUUAAUAUGCUAAUUGAAUUAAAAUGUAAUAACUACUACUCAAAAGUGUUUAAAAGAGCUAAUUACAAGUUACAAAAUAACACUUUUUGAGUAGUAAUCACUUGUGUUCUAGGAUCUUUAUAUUUGGGUCUCUUUGAAUAUGUUAUUUUAUGCGUUUAUAAUCAUUUAUUGUUGGUUUAUUGAUUAAAGACUGGCCUAUAUGACUUGUGUGAUAAUUGAUGUUUUUGUAUACUCUUAAUCAUUUUUGCUAGGUUAUUUAGAUACCAAAUAUGCUAGGAUUCUUUUCUUUACUAAUUGUUAUUAUAACUUUGAUCUAACCCGGCCCAUAUCUUGUGGAAACGCAUUAUAAGUUACCCAUGUUAUCCAGGUAUGCCCUCUAUCACCCUCCAACUCUAAAAUUCUAUGAAUGUGUAUGUUAUCAUGAGUUAUAUCCAUGUUUUAAUGUUGUCCUUGAUUGCCUUGACACUUGUUUGGUUAUCUUUGAUGAAAUGCAUGUUAAGUAAUAUGCUAUUCAAACUAAAUUUGAUGUUUUAGAUAAUGCUUAAGAAGCAAUUCAGGUACACACUUUAAAUCUUCUUUAUGAUUGUGAUUGGUUUUCUUGUUUGGCAUGCCAUUUUUUGAAAUCACUUAGUCUACCUGGUACCUUUAAUCAAUCAAUUAAUUGCCUAAUUUCCCUCAACUUAGUCAGUAGAGAUCUAUGUAGGGCUUAGAGGGGUGCUAUCUUAUAGAGGUAUCUUCCCAAUAGGUAACCUAAUCCUCGGACCUAGACUCGAGUUUUUCAAAGACAAGUUUUUCCAAAAAACUAUGGCGUCACUUCUUUAGGGUUUUCUGUCUUGUUUUAUUUUCCCUUUUAAAAUAAAAUAAAAUAAGUGGCGACUCUGACUUUUCUAAAACUAAUUUUUCACCAAUAAAGCGAGUCUCGCCCAUUGAGUGAGGACGCACGUGAAAAAUGCGGGUCCACAAAUUGGCAACUCCACUAGGGAUUUUGAGGAUCAAGCUUGAACACUAGUUGAGGAGAAUGUGGUGUUUAAUUGGUUGAUUAGAAGAUACCUCAAUUUUUUUUAGGCAAGAUGAUUUGGUUUGCUAUCUUAACAUGUAUGAUUGCCUUGAAUGAUCACUUGAGUACUUUGUUCAUUCUAGCAUGGUUCACACUCACAUAUGUUAGAUAGGACUUUGAUUGUUUAAUAUUUAUCUGUUUCGCAUGACUACUUGUUGCAUGACAACUCUUUCUCUUGCAUGAUUGUAUGAUUGUUUGUCUUUGUUCACUAUCAUAUUUUAGAUCUUAGGUUUUUCGGAUGCACCCACAUUCUUCACUGUGCACUUUAGAUUAUCCUUGAGUGAUGAGAUAUGAGAGAGCCUUCACCAUUAAGAAACCUUCUGGGAAAGCGAGGAAUUGCAUGUGUGAAGGUGAUCACCACCUUGCAUGGAAGCACCUUGUUUCCUUGGAGGCGUGCAGAGGGUUACGUACCGCCGGAGGAUACGAUCCCUUCUGCUAGGGAUCCUUUAACCCACUAUUUUAUCUUAUAGAGCCACUUCAACCUUGUAGGUUAGCCUAUACCCAAUCUCAUUCCUACACGUGGGUGCAUCUAUGGACCUUUAAAGCUGCCUUGGUCACAGUUGGGUUUGGUUACCCUCUCCAUAGUCUCAUUUUGGUGUGAUCAGAAUGUGUAUCAGUUUGAGUAUGCCCGGACUAUAUGCUUGAUUACCUUUUAGUUGGUUCCUACAGAGCUACCCUUGUAUCGCGUCUAAUCCAGUGUUUCCAUGUUUAUAAGAGUAUUUUUCAUGCCCAAUCUGGAUUCGCCUUCAUGGACUAGAGUUAGAGGUAGGUUGACCAGAGCAUCAGAUUAGUCAGACUAGAGAUUAGAUCAAAGAGACAUGGACUCAUAGGUAGUUACCGUUGACUAGUUUGUUACGGUCGUGGCUUCGACUCAGGAGUCUAUAGUUGGCCUCGACUAGAAGAUAGAUAGGCAGCAGGCCUAGAAGAUCCCGUCUCAAGAUGGCGCAUAGUACGACCCCGCGGUACCAUCACCUCCUUCACUCAGUCAGUCGAUUCCACACCUUGCACCGUAUAUUUUGCAUAGUCAGACUGAUACUACCCCACUUCUUAUCUUAGCACCUAUUCCAGCCUCAAAAGACGCACACUCUCGUAUGGAUAGACUCGAGCAAAGGAUGAGACAAAUGAGGAUUUCAGAUGGAGCUAUCAGUUGGGAUGAUUUUGAUGAAGCACUGGUAGCCAGUUUACUGGCCUAGUUUAGGAUGCCGGAGAUUGAGAAGUAUACGGGCAUAGGUUGCCCUAAGAUCCAUUUGAGGCUAUACAGUACUAUGAUGAGGGCCCAUGGGUUGGAUGAGGCCCAAUUGAUUAUGUUUUUCCCCAUGUCCUUGAGUAGUACAACAUAGCGUUGGUUCACUUCAUUAGAUGUUUCAUGCUGUAGGACCUAAGAUGAUUUGGCCCAAGAGUUUUUGAGACAGUUUGUGUUUAACACCGUCAUUGAUGUCUCGAGGAGGGAGCUAGAGGCCUUGAGUCAAGGACCAGAGGAGUCGGUGACUUCAUUUAUCUCCCGAUGGAGGGAAAAGAUUGCACAGAUUGUUUAUCGUCCUUUAGAGAAUAAUCAAAUUAGUAUGAUUUUGAGGAGCUUACAACCUAGAUUUGCUAGACAUUUGAUGGGAUUUCCCCAUACGGAUUUUGGAUCUUUGGUACAAGCUUUGUAUGGCAUAGAGGAGUGCAUUGCUAGAGGAUUGUGGCCCAAGUCUUCCCCUUCUGAUUCAAAGGGGAAGAAGUCCUCAGGAGGACAAAGACCAGGAGAUGUGGGUACUAUCAAUUCAAUAGGAUUGAGACCUCUUACAUGCUAUUAGACAGUUGGGUAGACUUCAGGAGCCUAUUACCCACUGCGUUAUGUUCAGUAUAGGUCGCCCGCUCUUUCCAGGCCCAUGACUCCUACAUACCUACACCCAACCUAAGAGCCUGGUUUUGCUGCACAGGUCUCAGAGAGACCUCCUACUUUAUACCCUCGGCUUCGAGCCCCACAAGCCACUAUUCCUUUAGUAUAUAGGCCGACAUGACAUUUCUCCCAUCUAGGUAUGCCUUUGAGCCGAGCUUUCCAGAAGCUCAUGGAAGGUGGUUUUUUUUACUCAGUUAGCUCCUAGGCCUGUACCCUGGCCCGUACCACCUUGCUUCAGGAUAGAUUUACAUUGUUCCUACCAUCAGGGUCCAGUGCAUGACACGAACCAUUGCACUACUUUGAGACUAAUUCGACUCAUGGUAGCUUAGCUUUAAAGGUGUAUCAACAAAAUUUAUACCUUGAAUACUAUUACUAAAGUAGCCAAGCUACUAUAGCAUAGUGGUUCUAGGAUCGUUCACUGGGAUGGGUUUUCACUUCACAAAUGAUAUUAAUUCAAAGAUGAAUUGGUGCCUUUUCAUUUCAAGGUUAGCUUUAAAAGAAAACAUAAAGAUGUUUGAAUGAAAAAGGUUUGGUUUUAAACUAACCUAACAUAAAGUAACUAAAAUUAACUAGAAAUAAAUUAGAAAGAAAGGUGUUUCUUGGGAUUUCAGGUUACUAGGAUCAAGUGGCAAUUGCAACGUGGGAAAUUCCAGAUUUUUCUCCUCGCAUUGGGGAUUUAACCUAUAGUUAUUUCCCAAACCGGUGUAGAUUUAACAAUGAAGAUUUAAUCCAUAAAAAGUCAAUAGAAAUGGUAGUCAAGUUCCAUUAAUGGCUUUAGACACUAUGGGUCUUCCCCUUGAAUCACUUUCCAAUGGCUCGUACAUGAUAACUAAUGGACUGAUAUGGAUCUAGCAAUAAGCAUCCACAGAGACCUGAAGCUUACCAUGUAUUGGCCAUUCAAAGUGAUUCUAAGGAACUCCAACUACCUGUAUUUAAAGCACGAGAGUUUUCCACUUUUGCAUCUGGACUUUUCACCUAGCUUCCUUCACCCAAGAAACAAAAAGCCUAGUCACUCAUCCUCUGAGAAAACAUCUCAGAGAAUGUUUGGCUAGCAAGAAAAUGAAAAUGAAAGAGAAGGAAAAACAAAGCAAGGCUCUGUAUAUUCUAUAUAUUGAUCGAUAUCGUUUACAAUGGAUGCAAGGGAAUAUAUAUAGAGAAGUUUUUCCAACCUUCCUAGCUAAGAAAUCUUAUGAUUGGUGGAUUACAAGGAGAAGAAUGGAAAUUUAUACAAAAAUAUCUAAAAGAAAAGAUCUCAUGUGGAGUCGGCAGAAACAGGGGAAAAUUCGCACGUUGGAGUUCCAAUUUCGCACUUUGGUUUGAGGUGUGCGAAAUUCCCACACUUUGGACUGAGGAAUUCGCACCUUGAUUUCCAUCGUGCAAAAUUAUCCCUCAGCUUGAUGCAGUUGUCUUACGAAGGCCAUAUCUUCCUCAUUUCAGCUCCAAAUCGUACACGGUUUGAAGCGUUGGAUUCUUGACUUCCUGAGCUUUGAAAUGGUAUAUAGCAUGUAGAAAAUGGACUUCGGAAAGUGCUCCAAAAGUGCCAAAGAAGACUGCAGCUGCUGUCCUCUAUUUUCCUCUUUGCUUCUUUUUGCUUCUCUUUGCUUUUCUCCUUGCAUACUUUGAACGACAUUGGCAAAGGGCUAUGGAGCUCCAAAGCUUGGUUCUUCAUGAAUUUGAGCUUCCAAAAGCUUUGCCAUAACUUGUCCAAAUAGCUCCUCCAUCAUUUGGCAUGCUUGAAUUGAUUCAUAAGCUGAUAUAAACAUGUAAACUUGCCACAAAAUGGUUAAAACCAAUUACUAAGGACCUUAAUGAAUUAAUUGGGUUAAAUGAAUAUGAUUACUACACAAAGGUGCUUAAAACCAUUAUAAUUAGGUCUACAAAAUAGCAUUUUUUGGUAGUAAUCACAGACACACUAUACAGGACUUGAUAGACCAGGGUUUAGUUAACUUGGGGCAACUCACUCUACACAUGCAGUGCCACCACCCUCGGGUGGUAUCCAUCACAUAGAUUUUGUAGAGAAUGACAUCAUACAUAUACUGAGUUGGGAUGAUGGAUUGUUAGAGUUGAUUGUUUUGGAUGAUGGUUAUGAGGUGAACACAAUGGGUUCCCAGACUUCUACACCGUUCAGUUUGAUUUCAGAUUAGGUACCGUAUAAGUUGACUCAUAUCGCACCAUUAGUUAUGGCACGUUAAGGCACGUUAAGGCCUAUCAGUCCAGUUUAUCCUAUGGCUAAAUGAUGAUGAUUCAGAGGGGAGAGAUAUACAAAUUGUAACCUAUAGUGGGAGAAUAACUCAGCCCUCACCUCUAGUAGCUAGGCCAUUUGAUGGUGUAAUCUCUCAUGAGGAGGUUAUGAGAGAAGAUGAUGAGCUACUGAGGCAGUUACAGAGUACACAAGCUCACAUAUCUAUUUGGAGUUUGUUAGCAUCUUCUAGUACUCAUAGAGAUGCAUUGAUUCGAGUCUUGAGUUAGAUCUGUGUUGAGACCACCACUACUCCAAAGGGGUUGAUUCAUAUGAUGACGGCCGACAGGGCCACAUGUAUUGUGUUUUCAGAUGAUGACUUGCCACCCGAGGGUUCAGACCAUACAUGCCCUUUAUAUAUCAUAGUCGGUUGUUCAGGCCAUAGAGUUCCAUCCGUCCUGUUGGAUAAUGGCUCGGCCUUGAACGUCUGCCCAUUAGCUACCACUAUUGCCCUUGGUUAUGCAUCUUCAAAAUUUGGUCUCUUUACACAAAUGGUUAGAGCAUAUGAUAGUACUAAGGGAAAGGUCGUGGGUACCUUGAUGAUAGAGUUGUUGAUUGGUCCGGCUACAUUCUCCACAUUAUUCCAGGUUUUGAGGAUUCCUACGUUCUUUAACCUACUAUUGGGCCAACCUUGGAUUUAUAGGGCUGGGGUUAUUCCAUCUUCCCUUCAUCAAAAGGUGAAGUUUAUAUAUGACAAGCAGGUCAUCAUGUUACAGUCUCCUAAAGAUAUGUUUGCCUCUUCCGAGCCGGUGCUUCACAUCAGUCAUAGUGAGGAUGGUCUAUUUUUUACCGGGUUUACGUUUGAUGAGGUGCAGACCCUUGAGGUUGAGGACUUAUGCAAAUAUUUCGUAGCUAUGUCAUUUGAUCAACAUAAUAGUACGGUGGUACUUGACAUGAUGAGGGGUAUGCCUUUUUGCCUAUCAUCGAGUUAGGACAACGACAACAUGGGCCCAUGGAGUUUGUAGCUACCACUAAUCAUGAUACACUAUUUGGGCUUGGGUUUGUUCCUACAGAGGCUGAUUAUAGGUAUAUGACGCGACUACAUAGGGAAAGUGUGAGAGCCCAUUUGAGUUGCACACCAUUUUAUUAUCUUGUUCGUUCUUAUAAGAUGAACUUGACAGACUACUUCAUCAGAGGAUUAGAGGUUCAUCCUCAUAUGGGGGAUUUUGGCACUGUGACUGAUAUAGAUGGAGUGGAUGAGCUUCAACAUCAGCUUCACCAUUUUUGGUUAGGAGAUGAUACUUUUGGCACACUAGUUUCAGUGAUGAUUGCUCCUUCAUCUCCAUAUCGAGCCGAUUUUCUAUCUCUGUGCUUUCCAGAGGAUACUACUGAUUAUGAAGUAGUCGUUGAGCCUACUAAGGUGACCGAUGGAGUUGUUCCUCAUGAUAAGUAUCGAGAUGAGAUGGAUAUGAUGAGUAUGAGUUAGAUUGUCGAGAUGGUUCAGCCUGAGCCUGUUUCAUCAUUCAAUCUGUUUGGGUGUCUACUAUCGAGGUUACCGAGGAGAUCCAGACAGUUCUUACUCCAGAGCUUAUGGAGGAUGUUACAGUUGGUGAUGACUUAUUUGAGGGCACUAUUAGCUCUAUUGAGGGAACGUCCGAUUUUAUGGACCCACUUCUUUCAUUUGACAUUUUAUCGGGAUUCAUCUCCCGUUCUGACGAUGUUUAUUAUUCUUCAUCUAUGGAUUUGAGCAUUUUCGAGUAUUUGUUUGUCUCUUGUGAUAGUAUUUACAUAUCUAGACCCUACUCACCCACUCCACAUAUAUUUGAUAUAGAUUAUGAGAUUGCGCUGCCCGAUUCAAAUAGAGACUCUUUUGAUCAUGACUCAAAUCCCAUAGAUGAGAGAGUUUCACCUAUUAUAGGAGAUGUUGAGAUUGUUAAUUUUAGCACAGAGAAUCAGCUUAAAGAGUUGAAGAUUGGUUCACUCCUAUCUACAGACGAGAGUGAUAGACUUAUUCAUUUACUCAGGUCAUACUUGGAUGUCUUCGCAUGAUCUUAUGAGGACAUGUCUGGUCUUGAUCCCUCUAUAGUCUAGCACCACUUGCCUAUCUUACCACAUGCCAAACCGGUCAAGUAGAAUUGAGGUGAUUGCACCCACGUUGGAGUCUAUAGGUGAAAGAGGAGAUUCAGAAACAACUCAGUGUUGGAUUUAUAUCAGUGGUUGAGUAUCCGGAGUGGUUGGUUAACUAGUCCCUGUUCCUAAAAGGGAUGGCAAGGUUAGAGUUUGUGUUGCCUUCAGAGACCUUAAUAAAGCCGGCCCUAAUGAUGACUUUCUUCUCCCACAUAUUGAUUUGUUGGUCGAUAGCACCAUAGGCCAUUCAAUGUUGUCUUUCAUGGAUGGGUUUUCAGGGUAUAACCAAAUUUUGAUGGCUUCAGAUGAUAUGGAGAAGACAACCUUUAUUACUGAGUGCGGUACCUACUAUUAUAGAGUUAUACCAUUUGGGUUGAGGAAUGCAGGAGAAACUUAUCAGAGGGUCGCUACUACUUUGUUUCAUGACAUGAUGCAUAGGAAUGUUGAAGUUUAUGUGGAUGAUAUGAUUGUGAAAUCUCGAGGCAGAGCAGAUCACUUAGUGGCUCUAGAAAAGUUCUUUGAAAGGAUUCGAAAUUUGAGAUUGAGGCUAAAUCCCAAGAAGUGCACAUUUGGAGUGACUUCUGAGAAAUUAUUGGGGCAUAUGGUCAGUGAGCGGGGCAUAGAGAUUGACCUAAAUAAAAUCAAAGCCAUACUUGACAUGCCUGUGCUAAGGACUGAGAAAGAGAUCAUGGGUUUUCUGGGCAGGUUAUAGUACAUCAGUAGAUUCAUAACCAGAUUGACAAACAUAUGUAAGUCCAUUUUUCAUCUAUUGAGGAAGAACUAGCCAACAACUUGGAAUGAUGAUUGACAACUUGCAUUUGAGAAAAUCUAGGAGUACUUGCUUUCUCCUCCUAUUUUAGUGCCUCCCAUGCCGUGACAUCCACUUCUUUUGUAUUUUUCAGUUUCAAACAUGGUCUUGGGAUGUAUGCUAGCUCAGCUUAAUGACUAAGGAAAAGAGCGAGCUAUUUACUAUCUGAGUAAGAGGAUGUUGGAGUAUGAGACGAGAUAUGUUAUGAUUGAGCGUCUUACUUAGCGUUAGUUUGGGCCACCAGGAGAUUGAGACAUUACAUGACAAAGUAUUCAGUGCACUUGGUUUCUCACCUAGAUCCAUUGAGGUAUUUGUUUGACAGACCCGCAUUAACUAGUAGAUUGAUGAGAUGACUCGUACUUUUGACUGAGUUUGAUAUUCAGUAUGUUUCUUAGAAGUCUAUUAAGGAAAACAUUGUUGUCGAUCACUUAGCCUCAUUACCGAUAUUUGUGGGUGGACUAGUUGAUGAUGAUUUUCCAUAUAAGGAGUUCAUUGGUAUGACUAGUUUAUCAGGUUGGCGCAUGUACUUCGAUGGUGCAGCCAACCACUUAGGGUAUAGGAUAGGCGUUUUGUUGAUAUCCCCCUAGGGUGAUCAUAUUCUGAGGUCAAUUCGUUUGGCGUUUUUCAGAUCAACAUCUCACCACGAACAACAUUGUUGAGUAUGAGGCAUGUAUAUUCGGUCUAGAGACUGCAUUGGAGUUGGGUAUUAGACAAAUGGAGGUGUUUGGUGACUCCAAUCUAGUACUCAAACAGAUUCAGGGAGAUUGGAGAACUAAGGAUGUAAAGCUUAGGCCAUAUCAUGCAUAUUUAGAGUUACUAGUUAGGAGAUUUGAUGACUUGAGAUACACUCAUUUGCCUAAAGUGCAAAACCAGUUUGCUAAUGCCUUAGCUUCUUCUAUGGACUUUCCGAUUUAUGUGGUUAUACGUCCAUUGCUGAUUGAGUCGAGAUUUGCACCCGCUUACAAUUGUCUGAUUUGAGAGACAGUGGUCCAGGAUGAUCUACCUUGGUAUCAUGACAUUUAUCAAUUUCUUAGAUCUUACACAUACCCAAAGGUUGCCAUAGCCAAGGAUCGGAGGGCACUGAGGCAAUUGACUACUAGAUUUGUGAUUUGUGGAGAAACCCUAUAUAGGCGAUCAGCUGAUGGUAUGCUUCUAUUAUGUUUAGAUCGAGUUUCUGUAGAUCAAGUAAUGAGAGAGGUUCAUGCAGUAGUUUUUGGUCCACACAUGAGAGAGCACAUGCUAGCCCGUAAUAUUAUGAGGAUGGGUUAUUUCUGGUUUACUAUGGAGAUAGAUUGUUGUCAGUUUGUUCAAAAAUGCCUAGAGUGUCAAAUUCAUGGUGAUCUCAUUCAUGCACCUCCACUAGAGUUACACGUUUUGACUUCGCCAUGGUCGUUUUCAGUAUAGGGUAUUGAUAUUAUUGGGAAGAUUUCACCAAAAUCUUCCAGUGGUCAUGAAUUCAUCCUAGUUGCCAUAGAUUAUUUCACCAAGUGGGUGGAAGUUGCAUCAUAUGCGAGGUUGACAUAUGCUAGAGUUUUCGGUUUCAUUAGGUUACACAUCAUCUGUUGUUAUGGGGUUCAACAUGAGUUGAUUUCAGACAGAAUGGUACACUUUCGAGCUAAGGUUGACACUUUGUUGCAAAAGUAUGGCAUCCAGCAUCAUAGAUCUUCUACAUACAGGUCACAGACCAAUGGGACAGUAGAGGCUAUAAAUAAGAACAUUAAGAGGAUUUUGAGGAAGAUGGUUGAGACCUCUCGAAAUUGGUCAUAGAAACUCCAUUUUGCAUUGUGGGCAUAUCGUACCUCUUUUCGCACCUCUACAAGAGCUACACCUUACUCUCUGAUGUAUGGUAUGGAGGUUGUUUUGCUAGUUGAGACAGAGAUAGGUUCAUUGAGAGUAGUCCUUGAGCAACAAAUUUCUGAGACAAAAUGGGGCCCAGGCUCGAUUUGAUUAGCUUAACCUUUUAGAUGAGAGGAGAUUGAGAGCAAUAGAUCAUGUUCAAGCCUAUCAGAGAAGGAUGGCUUGUGCCUUCAGGAAACAGGUUAAGCCUAGACCAUUAUAGAAGGGGGAUUUGGUUUUGAGGAUUCUCAGAGAUUUAGUUAGAGACCCCAGGGAGAAGUUCAAACCUAGCUGGAGUGGACCUUAUGUUAUUCGAGAGUUAACUCUAGAAUAAGCUGCAUGGUUGACCGACUUAGAUGAAAACCAGUUUUUAGAGCCUACCAAUGUGGAUCAGUUGAAGAAGUAUUAUGUUUGAGAUUAUAGUCGCAAGAUGGGUAGCCAUCAUUUCGGUUAGCCUUACACCUUAUCACCUUUAUUGAUAUAUUAAACCGUUGCUAGCCCAUUUAGCCUCAUAUGAUAUAUUGUAGCCUUUUCUUUUCUAUAGCCCUGUUUAUCAUUCCUACACUCGGGUUGGGUCUUUUUGAUGAAUAGUUACCCUUUACUAGGAAAGUCUCAUGAGCUUUGGACUUAUAGGCUUAUCUUUCUCAUCCUCGUUGUUAUCGCCUCAUCACCCUGUUUGUUACUUUUCAUUACUUCAAUCCUGGCUUUUAUCAUUGGUUGCUACAUUUCAUAUUUUCUUCACUUGGAAUGAUGAUUCUUCAUAUAUUUAUGCAUAGAGGGUAAUCGUACCACUCCUUUCAUUCCAUCAUUCAACUUUUAUUUAGAGAUUUUAGCUCGAGAGGUUGUCUCAUGGGAUGGGUUUCAUGUGUUCAUCAGUGAUUUGAGAGAGUUUGUUCAUUCCUUGUAUUUUUCACAUUGGAGUUCAAUUUAUUGAUGACCAGGGCAUGUGCAUACAUACACAAAAAAAAAAAAAAAAAGCCUAGUGAUAUGUUUGUAUUUGAUAUCCUACUCCAUUGAGCAUGUGUUUCUAUUUGAGUUUUGUUUAUUAGGUUUAUCAUUGAGGGUUUGUACGAGUUUUCCAUGAGGACAUUUUUCGCUCUAUGAGCCACUUUCAUUAUGCAGUUGGAGAGAUGAGAGUUUUUUGUGAGAGUCUUGAGUUUUAUGAGAUCUUUUGUUUCUUGGGUCAAAGUUGAGUAACCUUUCACUAAGAUCUUCAUAUCAGUGUUUUCUUUACUACUCCAUUAUGGGUGAUAGGAUUUACCUUUAUUGUAUUGAUAUGCGUUGCUCAUCAUUUCUUUUUACCUUUCAUUGCUUUCAUUUGAUUUCUCACCAUUUCUUUCCUACUAUUCAUUCUUUUUUUCGUCCCAUCCCAACACCUAUACACCUUCCUGAUUCGACACCUUUCUUCAUGAUCCACUAAUGGCUUUACUACUUCUCUUUCUUUCUCAUUUCACCAUCAACAUUCUCAUCUACUCUUCUUAAGUUCACAUGCUCAUGAGAUUCUCCUAUGCGUUGUACACUACACAUGAGGGUAUGCGUUUGAUCAUUGGGUAUUUAAGCCUACUUUUCUUUCGUUUCUUUGCAUUUUCACCCUGGCCUACGUUAUGUCCCGUGUCUUAAGACCACCCUGAGGCCAUGAGAUCAAACGUUAUCUUUGACAGUUUUCACUUGGACGGGCUUUUGUAGAUUGGUUGAAGUAUAGUCGUUACUAUGUAUUCUCUUAUAGGAGAUACUUUUAGAAGCAUUUGGUUUCUCUCUCUUGCUUGGCAUAUUGAUGUUUGAUGGAUUUUUUAGUUUGGAGGUGGUUCAUUAAUGAUAUCAAAUUCAUCCUUUUGUCCUGCAUUAGAUAUCCACAGUGGGGCAUAUUUCCCAUUUUCUCUUAGGUUCCUAGUUGUUGUUGGAAGGUAUAGCUACCCCUAUUUAUGGUUAUAGAGAUGUUUUUUCUGAUAGAUUCUUUAUUGUAUAUCAAAUGAUACUAGGGCAUAUUCCCCUUUCCAUGAUGAGAUUGUGUUCGGGCAGCAAUGCAUAGAUAGAUGAUCAUUGUUGAUUGUUUACCUCAUGAUUUUGAUAUCAGAUCUUAUACUGGGGCAUAUUUCCCCAUUUUCUUUAAGUAUUCUUGAGAUUGAAGCAACUGCCAACUUGAUUUCAGACUGAGCACUAGUCUGGGACUUCUGAUGAUUUAUGACAUCAGGACCUUCCUACAAGAUUUUGUUGAGAUAGAGAUGGAUGACAUUAGGUUUCACCAGAGGAGCAUUGAUAGGUUCUUUAGUCGGAUGUUUAUGUGAUAGAUUGUUUUCAUCAUAUCUACCUUACAGAUUAGGUUAUCUAGAUGAGCAGUAUCUUGUGCACUUUGAGAUUUUUUUAGAUAAGUUGCAAUGUACACACUUAGAGAUUUAUUUUUGAAAAUUUUUUAUAUAACAUCUUUCGAGACACAUAGAGAGUGCGAUGUACACACUUUGAAAUUUUUCAUAGGUUUUUGUUAUGGUGCACUAAAUUUUGACUCUUUGAUUUCAACAAAGGAUUGAUUUACUAGUUGUUCAAGAAAUAUGAGUACCCUGGAUGUUGGGGCAUAUUUCCUUUCCUAAGCCUACUAGACCGACCGUUGGCGUUGGAGUCUACAGCUCUAAUCUCGUCUCAUUCAUAUCCGCUUUCGAGUCAGUUUUCACUAUUUAGUUCAUUUUAAGCCUUGAGCCUAUAUGACCUAGAGUCAUUCUUUCCAUUUAGAGCCCUAAGCUCACGACCAAGAGCCGUUCUUCUCAUUCAUGACCCAGAGUCAUUCUUUCCAUAUAGAGCCCUAAGAUCUCAACCUAGAGUCGUUAUUCUCAUUUAUGACCCAAAGUCAUUCUUUCCAUUUAGAGCCCUGAGCUCACGACCCAAAGUCGUUCUUCUCAUUUAUGACCCAAAGUCAUUCUUUCCAUUUAGAGCCCUGAGCUCACGACCCAGAGUCGUUUUUCUUAUUCAUGACCUAGAGUUAUUCUUUUCAUUUAGAGCUAUGAGUUCACAACCCAAAGUCGUUUUUCUUAUUUAUGACCCAAAGUCAUUCUUUCCAUUUAGAGUCUUGAGCUCACAACCCAGAGUCAUUCUUCUCAUUCAUGACCCAGAGUCAUUCUUUCCAUUUAGAGCCCUGAGCUCACGACCCAAAGUCGUUUUUCUUAUUUAUGACCCAGAGUCAUUCUUUCCAUUUAGAGUCUUAAGCUCACGACCCAGAGUCGUUCUUCUCAUUCAUGACCUAAAGUCAUUCUUUCCAUUUAGAGCCCUGAGCUCACUACCCAAAGUCACUUUUCUUAUUUAUGACCCAAAGUCAUUCUUUCCAUUUAGAGCCCUGAGCUCAUGACCUAGAGUCGUUCUUCUUAUUCAUGACCUAGAGUCAUUCUUUCCAUUUAGAGCCCUGAGCUCACGACCCAGAGUCUUUUUUCUUAUUCAUGACCCAGAUUCAUUCUUUCCAUUUAGAGCCCUGAGCUCACGACCCAGAGUCGUUCUUCUCAUUCAUGACCCAGAGUCAUUCUUUCCAUUUAGAGUCAUGAGCUCUCGACCUAGAGUCAUUCUUCUUAUUUAUGACCCAAAGUCAAUCUUUUCAUUUAAAGCCCUAAGCUCAUGACCUAGAGUCGUUCAUUUCACCUAUGACCCAGAGUCACUCUUUCUAGUUACAGCCCUGAGCUCAUGAUCCAGAGUUGAUCAUUUCAUCUAUGACCCAGAGUCAUUCUUUCCAUGUAGAGCCUUAAGCUCACGACCCAGAGUCGAUCAUUUCAUCUAUGACCUAGAGUCAUUCUUUCCACGUAGAGCCUUAAGCUCACAACAUAGAGUUUUUCCAUUUUUGUAAUUGUGACCUCAUGUUCCAAGGUUCUCUCGUCAUGUGCUAGGACAAAAUCUCUAGUCUUUUUCUUUUAGUUCUUCGGUAUAGUUCACUUCAUUCCAGUCACUAUUCGUAUUUUUAAUCACAUUCCCUACACUCGUGAUCUCUACUGAAAAGGGGCAUAUUUGUAGACCCUCCAUUUUGUCCUACUAGCACAUAUCCUAUUACGUGUUCGCUUGGUACUUUACAACAAUUCCCUAGUGGCCCAUUAUUGUUCAUGUAGCUUAUUUUUUCUAAGCCACCUUUGAGACUUUGGUUGAGGGACUCAUCUUACCCCAUUGUGAUUCUAGGCAGCCUUAAUUUAGACUUAGGUUUUUAUUUUUUUUUCCUUUCUUGUUAGGUCCAUUUAGAUGCGUUUGGCCCAUUAGGCACCACCUUAGGCCCACUUAGGCACCCUAGGCCCAUUUGAAUGCACUUGAACCAUUAGGCACCACCUUAGCUCAUUAGGCACCACCUUAGGCUCACUUAGGCACCCUAGGCCCAUCUAGACGCACUUGACCCAUUAGGCACCACCUGAGGCCCAUUUAGGCACCCUAGGCCCAUUUAGACGCACUUGGCCCAUUAAGCACCACCUUAGGCCCACUUAGGUUUACCUAGUUUUGAUUAGGUCACAUUUUUGGCAUAUCUUGCAUAUCUCACAUGGCUUGCAUGACUUGCAUGGCUCGUUUUUUUGGUAAAAGCACAUAACUUGACUUUUUACUUCUUUAUUUUUGUUUGUUAUCUUGUCUAUUUCUUCCUUUAUUUUAUUUUCCUAUUAUUUUGUCACUUUUCCGUAAUGUUUGUCCUUACUUAUCUAUGUUAAUUUAAUAAUUUUGUUUAAAUGUUUUAUUAUUAUUAUUAUUAUUAUUAUUAUUAUCAUUAUUAUUAGUAUUAUUAUUUACUCAUUUUUAUUAUUAGUAUUAUUAUCAUUAUUAUUAUUGUUUUAUUUUAUUUUAUUUAUUGACUUUGAAAUUUUGUAGGUAAGUCCACCAAUAGAAAGAUUGAAGGAAAUCACGUGGGGUUGCAUCUUGGUGGAAUAUUCAAAGUGCAUACAUUGGGAGUGGUAGCCCGAUAUAGGAGGAAAUUCAAGGACGAAUGCGGGUUGAUUCAUGAAGAAUUUAAUGCUUUUUGUUUGAAUAGAAUAUGACUGAAUAAUGGAAGUUGAAGAUGUGUGGAUGCCACUUACCAUAGGAGGCACCACCUAUAAAGGAAGAAAAGAAAAUACAGUCGUGACUAGCAUAAAAGGUGCAAUCUCAUCAGCCCACUAGCAUGGAAGGACAGGGAAUUAUGUCAUCUUUUUGCUGAAACAGUAAAUUACCAAAGUUGUAUGGCAUGUGAAAAGGAAAGAUUCAGUGUGAAUGUGGGCGGAAUGAGGAUUGGGUUCAAGAAAAAAAGUUUUGAUCGUGUUGGACUGAGUAGAUGAUUGUUGGCUCUCUCCGGACUUGUGAGUGGUCUUUUCAUGUUGGUGGACUCAAUGGGAAGGGGUACAGAGGACGCUCAUGGGAAUUGAUCAUGCUAUUUUUGAAAAAGGUGAUUGGGGGCAUGAAAAGAAAGGAUAUUCGGUGCAAUAGAAAGAGUGGAGAGGAUUAGGCGAAUGCUAGUUUGGGGGGUCAACAAAUAUGUUCUAAAACUGUGGGUUCAUUCGAUAUGAAUGUCAUAAGAAAAUGACCGGGUGGGUCUUGAAAGCUAGGGUUCCUUUCAGUUUAUUGGGCAAUGGAGGACAUUGGUUUUGAUGGAGAGUGAUUCUUGGCAGAUAAAGGAAAGAGAUUUGAGGUGACUUGGAAUGGGAGACACAGGUUGGUGCUCUUUUGGGGGGGAUAGAAGAUUGAGAGGGAGGCACCAUUUUUUUUAGAAGGAAGGUCCACAUAGGUUCGGAUUUUGGUGAGGCUUUCUAGGGAUUUUCGGAAGCAAAUUCAACAGAUUUUGGAGAAGUUCUCUAGGCGGUUUUUUCUAUUGUUAAGUGGCAGCUGCAUGGACUGCAUGAGAAGGGUUGACGCCUCAUAGCCACCUUCUUUUCUCCAGUGAUAGCGGCCCACAAGGCCACCUUAAGUGGCCGACUUCAACAAGGAAAUCGAAAACUGAUUUCCCUUGGAGUUAGGUUCAAAGGAGUUGAAAACAAGCAAGAAAGGCUCAAUUGGCACGAGUCUCCCUUUGAAGAACAAAUCAUCAUAGGGAGACAACGACAGGUUUGGAUCCGUCUGGUCGCCGCUCGAACCCGACGAUGACAACGUGAACUUGAACUUUCCCUUCCCCUCAGUGCUGGUGGACUCUACGUCAUCCUCCUCUUAUUCUUCUCUCUAUUCCUCCACACCUCGCCAAAGCACCAUUUUCUCUCACGCCGUAACUAACCUCCACUUCACAAUUCUUUCCGGUAGCACCAUCUCCAUAUCUAGAAGGAGAACGCAUCACCGUCAUUGGAGAUUUGCACCAGCACACCAGUUCCGUUAUCUAAACACUACACCCACAUCUUCACCUCGCUGGUUUUCAGAUAACCAUCUUCACGCUACAACUAGUUGCCAUCUGCCCACACCUCACCACAUUAGUCGCGCACCAUUUGGUUUGCUUUGUAGCACCAUAGCCGGCUAGGUAAGUUAAUCCUUUUAUAUGGGGUUUCUUUGGAAAAGUUAAAGUUUGGUUUCAUUUCAGUUUGGAUUCAUUGUGUCAGGUUGGGUGGUUUUGAUUUUUUUUUAACUAGUUUCAGUUUGGAUUUGUUUUAUCAAAGUGUAGAAGCAUGAAUUUCAUUUAUAUUUAACUUUGACCCAUUACAAAAUGAUUUGAUCUCUAUUAAAUUUUAAUUUUCAUUUCAUUGCAUUAGAUUGAGAACGUUUGAGUUUUGUUUGGUCUUAGAUUUAGAUCCUAUUCGAGUACAUAUGUUUUUUUAGAAUAUUGGCAAAUAAAUUUAAUUGAUCUCAUUCCAUUGUAUCCAUGCUACAGGUAUGUUAAUUUCUAUUUCCUAAUUGAUCAAAUUUGGGUUCAUGAGUUUGCCAGAUUUUCAUCUAAUUAGUUUAAUAUAUUCUCACUUUAUUAUAUCUAUAUUUUAUGCUUGUCAAUUUGAAUUAUUGAUUCACCUUAUUCUAGUUUAUAGUAUAUUUUUAUUAGUUAAUUAGUUUAAUUAAUCCAACACUAAUUAGUUCAUGUUCAAAAAUUGUAAUUUAUAUUAGAUAAUAUAAACAAUCCUAUUCUGACUGCAUGUUGAUGAUUUUGUACUAAACACGUUAUUUAUUCUGAAGCUAUUUAGCAUAUCUUGACUUGACUUUUUGGCUUAUGUUAUGUAAUAUAGACAUGAUGAGGUUGUUGUAUGAUUUUUUCCAUGAUGAGAUAUUGCUUUUGGAUAUUUAUUUAGGAUUUUUCUUGUGAAGGUCUCUUUAUGAGUUUGUUGAGUAUUUGAAAUAAGUUACCAUUUUGACAUCUUUAUUUCAUUUGUAAAUUAACCUAACCUUGGUUAUGUGUUAUAAACAUGUCAUAUAGGAUAGAUAAGUUUUUAUUUAAGUCUUAGGAUCAUUUUUGGUAUUUUAUAUGGUUUCAUUUGGUAAUUGCAUGUUUGUUGGAAAUAUGAACUUCAAAACUUUUACUUUAAGUUGUAAUACAUCAUGUAGGAUAUGAGGUUUAAAUCAUGUUAAUUAUUAAUUCUUGUAAGUUAACUUUUUUCUGGCUAAAUGCAAGCGCAUUGUGGGUUGUGUAUGCUAUUUAGGUGCGUCCUUUGCACUUUCUACUUCUUUAAUUUUGUCAAUAUGCAUUUUGUGGACUUUCUCAUGCAUGAUAUUGUUUUAAUUGCUUUGGUUGUUGCUUGAUGCCUUGAAUAAGAUGAAAUGUUUGUUGAGUAUUGUAUUAUUUGUUAAACUAACCUUUGAUGUUUUCAUGAAAGCACUUUGGGACGCAACUCAGGUACGCCAAUCCCCUUUUCUUAUGAGUGUUUCUUUUGGUAUGUUUGUUUUUAUUAUGAAUAGCAUGUUGCUUCGCCUUAGAAAAAAUCACCUUUGUUUUUUCUUAUUAUCCUUGAUCUAUUGAUUAAUUGUCAUGCUUUCCUCAACCUAGUCAGUAGAGACAUGUUUUUAGGGUUUUGAUGGGUGCUACCUUUUUAAGGUACCUUCCUGAUAGGUAACCUGAUCCUUGGACCUAGACUUGGGUUUUUCAAAGAUGUGUUUUUUCAAAAGUUUAAGAAGUCAUUUUUUUAGGGUUUUAGUUUCUUAUUUUAUUUUCCCUUUGAAAAAAAAAAGUAAAAAUAAGUGGUGACUCCAGUUUUUUAUAAAAUACAAUUUUUCACCUUAAAAAGCAAGUCUCGCCAUUCUAGUGGGGAUGCAUGUGAAAAAUACAGGUCCACAAAUCUAACUAAAUAUAUAUAUGUUAGUGGAAGUUACAAAAAUCCCCAAAAUCAAAAUCAAUAAAAAUAAAAAAAAUAGAUCAACCAAAUCCCCAAAUCUUUAAAAAAAAAAAACAAAUAAAACAAAUAAACAAAUAAAAAAAAAAGUGACCCUUAAAAAUCAUCAACACAAUUAUACUUGCAGAAUAACCCAUCCACAAAUAAUAUUCACACUUGCAUAAAUAGAGCAAUAUGUCUAUCUAUUAUUUCGGAAAAGUGAACAAACGACACUUAAUAUGAAGAUUUCUUGAAAUAUGAUGAAACUAGUGUUUUCGGGUAAAAAUUACCUAAUGAUGUCAAUGAAAAAAACAAAUGAGUAUAUUUGGUCUCCUUCAUCAUUCAAUUUGUGCCAUCGAGUUCUCACGAGAAGUGUUUAGGGUUAGGUUUCACAGGAUUGUUAAGAUUGUGGGGAUAUUUAUGAAAAUGAGGCUACAUUUUGAAGGAUUUAGGUUUUCAAGAUGUAGAAGAAGACAAGGCAAAGGUUAGGGUUCAAAAAAUUUAGGUGAUUUUGAUCAUGGUGACUAUGUCUCAUCUGUUUUAGUUGAUUUUGGGGCAACCGCAUCCUGUUUGUUUUAGGUGACUUCAGUUAUUGCAACCACGUCCCAUCUAUUUUAGGUGAUUUCAGUUAUGGUGAUCGCGUCCUAUCUGUUUCAGGUGAUUUCAAUCAUGGUGACCGCGUCCCAUCAUUUCCCUCAUUUUUAGGUGAUUUUGGUCAUGACAACCACAUCCCAUUUGUUUUAGGUGAUUUUGGUCAUUGCAACCGUGUCCCAUUCUUUCCUUCAAUUUGGUGAUUUGGGUCAUUGCAACCGCGUCCAUUUCUUCCUUCAAUUUGGUGAUUUUGGUCUUAGCAAUCGCGUCCCUUCUAUUUUAGGUGAUUUUGGUCAUGGCGAACGCAUCCCAUCUAUUUUAGGUGAUUUCAAUCAUGGUAACCGCGUCUCGAUCUUUUCCUCAAUUUUAGGUGAUCUCAAUCAUUGUGACCGUGUCUCGUCUUUGCUUUGGUUCUAGGAGAUUUUGAUCAUUACAACCACAUCUCGUCAUUUUCCUCAGUUUGGUGAUUUUGAUCAUUAUGACUGUGUCACAUCCUUUUCCUUAUAUAUUGGUGACUUUAGUCUUUACACACCUUGUCCUCACAACUUCAUAUUCCAUCCUACUUCUCACUUUGUUGCAUAUGUGUUUCUAACUUCUUCAUCAUGCUAUUUUGGAGUUUUUCCUCUUCCUUUGUGCAUGUUAUAGCCUUUUGAGCUCAUAGCAUGUGUCUUGAUCAUAUUGUUGGUACCCCUACACCCCAUGUCCUUAUAUAGAGUGCAUGUAGUUUUCCUUCUGUAUGUGUUCAUUCCUAUGCUCCUAGGUGGUUCGGCUACUACUCGAUCCUGACAUUGAUCAUUUUACCACUUUUGGAGACCUUUUAAAGGAGUUCUGAAUCCAUAGAGUAACUUUAGAGGCACCUUAACAAUUGCAUUUUCUUGCCUAAUCCGUUUUUGUUACUUCAUUUUAGGAUUUUAAAGCCCCUUUGUUCUUGUUUUAGUUUGAGUGAGAUCGUGUUCCACUAGGACACUUUUGGGGUCUCUCUUGUUCUUUAGUAGAGUUCACUUCAUUUCACUCAUUGUUCACACUUUCAUCCCACUCCAUCCCUCAGAUUCCUUCCACUCGUGAACUCUAUCGAAGAGGAGCAUAUUUGUAUACCCAAAAAUUUGUCUCAUGUUUAUUUAUUUAUUCAUUUAUUUUUACUUUUGUUUAUUUUAUUUAUUUAUUGUUUAGGACUUUUAGUUAUUUAGUUUUAGGCUUGUUCUUCUUGAUUUUCUACCCAUUUCUCAUGCCCAUAUUCAUCACUUUUAAAGAAUCAAUCUCAACCUUCCAUUUGUGGCAUCAUCCUAACAAUUCAUAUCUCUUGUUGACUUUUUCAAACCCUAAAUAGCUAAUCCAUCUAUCACCUCAUUUAUCUCCAUUUCUUUCUUACAUUUUACCGACCCACGAUUCUCUCAUCAACUUCUUCUUCUUUUUUAUUUUCUUUAUUUUCUUCUAUUCUCUUCACAACCCAUUUUUAUUUUUCUCCUUAUUUCUUCUUUCAUUUCUCUUUUCUCUUUCCAUCCACAACAUCGCUCCACGUGUCAUCGCCGAUGAUAACCAGUCACCACCGAUAGCCAACUUCCACUUUUCUUCGCUCAGUUUCUCCAUCAUUUUCUCUCUCUUUAUCUCUUUCUUUCUUGCACUUUCCUCCCUUACACCCAUUUCCUCCACCGUGCAUCGAUACCAUGCAUCUUUCUAUCUCCGACGACGACGACAACCUCCAUUUUUCCAUUGUCGCUUCCCAUGGCCACUGAUAUCCCAUUAUUACAUCUGUUCACGAUUUUGGGAGAUAGGCAAGUUUUUGUUUUAUUUUAUUUUAUUUCUACAGUAUUCAUUUAUGGAUUUUGGCUAGAAUUUCGUUUACUUGGACUUAUGUUUGGUGCAUUUAUUUUAUUUGGGUUUUGUUGAUUCAAGUUGUUUCUUUGUAUCGGGCUUUAUGUAUUAUGAUUUGGGCUAUUGAAAUUUAUUCAUAUUCGGUUUCCUUGUUAUUAGGUUGUAUUCUAGCAUUAUCUAUGAGGACAAGAAGAGGCAGAGGGGCACAAUAUGUUGGUUGGGGGCUGUUGGUGGGCUGUUGGUGCAGUUGAAGAUAGGGCAUGGGUUGGGAUUGAUGGAAGACUUGUUUUUUUAUUUGGGAUAAAAAAAAAAAAAAUGAAUAGCUUUUUGUUUAUCUCUACUCUACUAUCUUUGUAUUUCCUAUGAGUUUUUUUUUCUUUUUUACAAGGGUUGAGAUGUUUAUUUAAAUAACAGUUGUAACGAUUAUUUUGGAAUAUGUAAAUGAAUUUGAAAAAAUCGUUUUUUAAAAUAAAACUUUAAAAAAAAAAAUUUGGCCCAUAAAAGUUUAAUUUAAAUAUCAUUUAUUAAUAAAUUCAUAAAAUUCAAUUUCCUCAAUAAAGGUUAUAAAUAGCCUUUUUGAAGUUAAAAAAAAAACGUAAAAAUCCAUUAUCUAAAUAAAAGUUGUAAAAAAAAUGUUUUUAAAUAAAUUGAAUUGGAUUGGUUUUGUAAAUGGAAUUGUAAAAAUCUAUGUUUAAUAAAAGCAAAUCAAAAUUCAACUUUUUAGGUAAACUCACAAUUUUAUUUAUUUAAUUAUUAUUAUUAUUCUUUUUAAGGCAAAGCUAUCUUUUUAAAUAAAAUUAGAAAAAAAAUCUUUUAAGUUAGGGAAAAAUAAAAUUAUAAAUUUUUUUUUAUAAAAAAAAUGUAAAGUUCAAUAUAAAUUCCUUUUUAAUAAAAAGUCAAACAAAAUUCCUUUUUUCUUGGAUAAAAUUGCGAAAAGAUUUUUUUUUAUACAUACAAAUUCUUUUUCUAAAUAAUUUGUAAGUAUUUUUUCUAAUAAUAAAAGAAAAUCAAACUCUUAGCUAAAAUUGCCAAAGUGUAAACUUAUUUUUCAAGCAAAUAAAGUCCUUUUAAAAGAAAACAAAAAUUAAAUUGAAAAAUCAAAUAGGAAAAUCAAAGGGGAUGAUUUCAUGAAGUAUGAAAAAUUGGUUUUAUUAUAUAUAUAUAUAUAUAUAUAAUCCAAAUAUGUAAAGACAAAUAGAAUUGAAGAUUUAUUUUUUUAAGUUCUAAUAAAAUUGAAAAACUUUCCUUUAAAUCAAAGAAAGAUAAAAUAUCUUCUUCAAUAAUUGUUUUUUUGAUAAAAUCAAAUAAUAAAUAUUUUUUUUAUAAAUAAAAAGGCUUUAAGAAACUUUUGUAAAUAAUUUUAUAAAAAUUCACUUUCAUAUUAAUAAUUUUUCUUUAUUAUUAAUAAAAUUGGAUUGAAUUUUAAUAUUUUUGUUAAGAAAAUAAAGGUUAAUCUUAAAUGAAAAAAACACUCAAGAGGGGAGUGAAUUGGGUUUUAUUUAAAAAAAAAAAAAAUUAAACACAGCAAAUUUAAGCACAAAAGAAGCAAAUAUAGAGAGAUAGAGUUAGAGAAAUCAAACUCAGAUUUUAUAGUGGUUCGACACUUCCUUGCCUACGUCCACUCUCCUCAAGCUUCUAACCAAGUGAGGAUUCCACUAACUUGAAGCUUCAACCAAGCUUAUAAUCACUUUUACACUUGGAUUCUGACUCUAGUGGACUCUUACACAAUCUCUUCAAGUUUCAACUCACUUAAAGGCUUUAACACUCAAUUAACAAGAAUAAAUCUCUCAACCUAGCUCAAAUACAACUCAAGGCUAGGAUGAAUCACAAGGGUGCACUAAAGGAUAUGCAAAUGGGAUUUAAUGCACUAAGAAAAUAAAUGAGAGUUUUUAAGACAAGAACAAGUAGGUAAACAAAUAAAUGCAAGUGUUCUCUUGCUCAUAAAUGAAAUGGAGCUCUCUAUUUAUAGGUUUUUAACCUCGGAAGCCAAGAAAACCAAACAGCAACCUCAACCGGCCAAGUUGGGGGUCGAUCGGUUCACUAGCUGUUGGAGCAUUUAAUGCUUGGCAGGUGACCGUUACCCUCCACCGAACCUUGACCGGGAAGGCAAAUACCUCAACCGGAAAGAAAAGGCUACUAGAAGAGAGUGUGUUUUUUGCUCCUCUCGACCAGACCUCGAUCAAGAAGAGGAAACCGGUCAACCGGUAUCCUAGCCGGUUGAGCCGGUUGGCCAAUGCCUCGACCAGUUCAUCAUUUUUUACCCAAAAACCUAUCAUUUUCUGUUCUUUUCUCUUCUAACACUUAAGCAAGGUCUUUAGGUAAAUUAGUAUGCCAAUUUUGAAGUGAUUUGCUUAAGGUUCAUUUGAUAAAACUCGGGUUUUAAUGAAACUGUAACUUUAAAGAAUAAAAGGAGUUUUUCAAAUAUGCAUGAAACGAUAUGUAAAUCCUAAGUGCACCUAUGCAUUCAUCUUACAUAUGUUUCCUAUUAUUAAAGGUCUUCCAAAGGUUUUGAUCUUGCAUCCAUUAGGUCAUUUGAUGAAAUUCCAAAUUAAUACCUUAAAUUCUUUAUAAUUCAAACCAAUUAGUAACUAAAUCAUGGUUUGUUAUCAUCAAAACUUGAUUAGAAGAACCCUAGGGCUAAUAUUUGUAAAUAAAGCUAUGGAAGUCUUUAUUUAAAUAAAAAAAAAUCCUUUUUGCAAAUAAAGUUAUAAAAAACUUUUUUUUAAAAAAAAUUAUUUUGUACAAAUCAUUUUUCUUUGAAAUACUUUUGUAAAUAAGAUUGUAAAAAUUCCUCUUACUUAUAGCAAAAUAAAUAAAAAUUCUUUUUAUUGUGAAUAAAACCAUAUUGAUUUUUUUAAUGAAUUUUUUAAACAAUGAGAGUAAAUGACAUUCUUGAAAAUUGAAUCAAAUCUCUUGUUCAAAAUAAAUUGAAACUUUUUAAAAAAUAAAUAAAUAAAUUGAAGUCAUUAAUUCAAAAUUGUUUUUAAUAAACUUCUUUGAAAUUUCUUGAAAAACUAAUUUUUGAAAUUUUUUAUUUAGUUUAAUGAAUUGAUUUGUAUAAUUCUUAUGCCAUUUACCUUGUAUAUUUUUAUAAUUUGAUUUUAUCGUCAUUUUCCUACAUAUUAAUUUGUAUCCUUAAUUUUGUUAUCCAUGAUUAAUUAAUUAAUUGUCACAAUUGUUUUAAUUCAUUUAGUACAAAUGAUAUGUAUACAAGUUUAGAGGGGUGUUAUAGCUAAUCAUCAUACCUUCUCAAUAGGUUAUCUGAUUCUCAAAUCCAAACUCGGUUCUUGCAAACACACAUUUUCUAAAUAAGGAGUCACACGAGAUUUUCUUUCUUAUUUUGUUUUUCCUUUAAAAUAAAUAAAUGGUGACUUCCAACUUUUUCUCAAAAAUAAAAUUUUCAAAAUAAAAGCAAGUCAAUAAGAAUGCACAUAAAAAAAGAGAAUCCACAAUUAUCUCUUUCCCUUCUCCAUCCUUUCUAGGUAAGAGUGACUAUGGAAAGCAAUGCAUGCUCUAGCAGGAUCCACUCAUAUUCUAGCAGCUUCAGAUAGAUUUGCACAUGCUUUAGUUUCGCAGCAUCUUUGGAAGGGCAGAUAUAUUUUCAACUUAAUUUAUUCUUGAGAUUUAAUCAUAUAUGUCUAUAUCUUUUAUUGUUACAUUAUUUAAAUUUUCAACGGUGGGACUUGAUCAUCAAAUAAAAAUAAACAAAUAGCGAAGCAAGAGAAGAAAAGAUUUCCACUUUUUAUGAGGGACUUGAUCAUCAAAUAGAUAAAAACCUACUAUUUUUACAAGAAGAUGGGCUAAUAGGUAGACAGCAGCUACCUAUAAUAAAAACUCCAUGGUUUAAAGAGAAAAAAAAACAAUAGGCAUGACUAAAAAGGGCAAGUUUGAAAACAAAGCAAAAUGUGUUAAGGGGCUUAAAUAUAAAAACAUUGAAGAAAUUGUUAUACAGAUCAACUUGAUCAUCAGCUCAUUCAUCUCUUGAAGCAGGAUCCAUCCCAGUUGAAGGGCUAUCUGCAAAGUACUCUUGAUGUUUCACAUUCACACCACACUGCACAUUCAACAACAAUAUUAUAUAUAAAUCAGUUGAUCAUCCUCAGAGAGAACUAGGCAUACACUAGACAAUAGCAAAUGGCCUUGCAUUAGACAAGAAAAACGGUUGCAGCAUAUGUUUUACUUUUUCAUUUGACAAUUUUUUUCUCUAAUUAUUCACCCCAAAUUCAUGUCAAUAUUAACACUACGCAUAACGACACCCUGUCUGUCCCCACAAAAUGUGAGAACAGGAGUCAGAAAGGCACAGCCUACAAUCUGUUUGAAAUUUUAAUGGCCACUUUUUAAAAUAUCCCUUAUUUUCUCUGAAGAGCCGAUGUAAAAGAAAAGAACAAAACAAGAAUUACAAGAAAAAAAAAAAUGAGAGGAAAAGAUGCUGCAAAGCACUGCACAAUCCAGAUACAACACAAUGGUGUUAGAAAUAGCCUUCCUAAGUGCUGAGAAGUAAUGACACGUCUUUAGGUAAAGAUCACGCAUCCUCAUUACAUGGGACAGUGACAAUGGAUGUCUCCUCAAGAGCCACAUCAGUCAUCACCGCAUCAAAAGUCUCUUCAAAAUCCUCCAGAACAGAAUAUUUUCUGUUAUGCUAGCAUAAGUCCAUCAGAUGCUGACUUUAAGAGACUGAAACAACAUUCCUUGUUGAUUACUUGAUUUACAUCCUAUAGUCCCUGAUUGAUCCAGAUAUCUAAAGGAACAUCCAUCAAAAUUCAACCUAAGCCAACUACUGAGUGAACGGAUAAGAAGAGAGAAGGGUGAAGGCAUUCAAGCAGGAAGAACCAACAAACAACUGUUGUAGGGAAUAGGCUACAAGAUCACAUAGAAAACCAAUGAAGGCACACAUGCAAAUUUCCUUUGUUGUGAAGGCCCAAAGGAGCAACAAGAUAUACCAUCCCACAAGAUCUCCAAAGAGGACCUCUCUUCAUGGAUGGUUACAUCUGGCCCAAACCAACUCAUCCAGAACCCCACCCCACCCCCCCCCCCCCCCACCAAAAACAAAAGGAAGUCAAGUCAAGUCAACUCCCAGGCAAAGAUUUUUGGAGAGACCUUUUUCAGACUUAUGGCAGGGGUAUGCAUAGGGAAUUUUUUACUUUUAGUAAGGAUUUUUGUUCAUGUUUCCAUUAUCAAAUUUAUCAGGAUUUAUUUUUUAGUAUUAUCAUGUUUUAAUCUAGCCAGGUUGUAUGAAUUUAUUUCAAAGUUUUAAUCAAUGUGCACUGGAUUACCUACAUAAACGCCACCUGAGUGAAUAAUAAAAUAUUUGAAGAUCCAUUACACUCAUUGUUUGCUGCCUAUUUUUCUUCCCCCUUUCUACUUCUUUUCCCCUAUUUUCCUCUCUCUGUUCUUUAAACUCUACUCUGUUUUAUAUAGUACUACCUAUCUUGCAUCAAACGGGCAUCAAAGCAUUUUUUGAUAGAUAAAUUUUUGUCCCCAUUGGGACUUGAACCUGGAACCUCCCACAAACCCUCCCCAUCCCUUUACUACUUGAGCCAAUCAGGCACCAAAACAUUUCGGUCCAAACCAAAUUCAAAUGCCAAUUCUUAUUUCAACUAUCUUUUCACUUAUUUACCAAACCCCUUUGUUUUUUCUUUUUCACUAAUUAAUCGAACUUUCAAACCCAUUGCACAACUAACCAAAUAUUUAUCUCCUGGUUCAAAUUAGUUUUAAGUAGGAGAAGCCUAAUUGCAGAAGAAGUUAAGAAGAAGACUAGGCUCAUCUCAGACAAAUUUAAAGACACAUAGCAGGCUUCAAAUUUGCCUCUGGGUCAGGUACAGAGACCUUUCAUUAAUCUUUCUAUUUGGAAUUUUGUAUCUACUAGAAAUUUAAGAAAUCAUAGUUUCCAAAAUCUUACGACAUACCCAAUACAAUACAAUGAUAAGAUAUACUUUUUUAUGGAAAUCACAAUAUGUAUCUUAUUUUAAGCAUAUCUUACUAUACAUAUAUGAUACACGAUACAUGAUACAAUGAUCCAUACACUUUUAAUUAUUUUUGAUAAAUUUUAAGAAAAAUCAAAUUCAAAAUUUUUUUGUUAAAAGAAUCAUUAUAUUAAUUAUUUAAAAUGUACAAAAGGUUAGAAAUUGAUAAUAAAAGGAAGAAAAAGGUAAAAUAAUUCUACAUGAAAAGUUCAAUUCUUGUUGUUGACUAAUAUUAGAGAAUUUUCAUUUAAAUAGUCUGCAUGGUUGACAUUGAAAAUGAUGAUCAUUGGUGACAAAGAACUUUUACUCAAUACAUUACAUUUUCUUUUUCUUUUUUUUUUUUUGAAUUUUUCUGUUCAAAAGGACUAAUGACGCACAUGAAAAGUUAGAACAUAGGAGAUUAAACAUAAAGAUAAAUAAAUCAACACAUAUAAGGACAUAUACCUAGAAAUAAUUUGGAAUUAAAAAUCAACUCUAAAAAUUUUUAAAUUUUAUUUUUGCUGAUUUUGUGAACCUAAGCAUUAAAUUCUUAUUUUGUCAAAUUGAACUCUUCAAAACUCUAGCAUCUAAUGUUUUUAUAUGGUAUAAUAUAGUUUAACUCUUUUAGUAGGCAAAGGAGAUUUAUCUUUUAGUUAAAUAUUUUUUGUUUCACUAUCAAAUUUAUCAGGAUUUAUGUUAGUAUUAUCACGUUUUAAGUUUACCUAGUAAAGAUUCAUGUUAAAACUUCAGUUGAUUUGUUUCAUCCACAUGUUCUCUAAACUGUCCAUAUAAACUUAACAUUAGCUUUAUUUUUUUCAGUCUCUAAUUAGCUUUAUUUUCAGUCUCUACAACCUGAUUAAGAUUUUUCUCUCUUUCCUUCUUUAUUUUUCCCUGACAGGCAACAUUUUUUGCUUCCCCCUUUUUACCCACUAACCUCCCACAUCUGUACUCCAACCAAACAAAAUUCAUGAGUUAUAUUGAAAUGGAAUAUGGGACCUUUUGAAUCAAAGUGGCCAAUGUCUCAUACCACGAUAUAAUAAAAUAAAAUAAAAUAAAUAAAACAGACAAGAUAACAAUAGCAUACAGAACUUUGCCUCUCCAAGCCAAGAAUAAUUUAUUAAGACUUAGGGUGCUCACCUCACGCAGAGCCUUAGAGAGGUCCUCCAUUGUCAAGAUCAGGCGCUUAUCCUGUUACCUCAAAAAAAUUAGAGCAUCCAAGAAGGCAAAGGAAAGAACAAACAUAUAACAUAUAACUCACACACCUUUUGCUGUUUAUCCCUUUUGUCCUUGACUACUGCUGACUGCCUUGCUUUGCAUUGCCUUCAUUAGAAUACACAAACAAUAUAACAUCUUCCAGCACCAUUUAUCUUAAAUGGAGCAUAAUAGAAGCGCAAGCAUAAACAGAGUACUUUUAAGAUGAUAACAUAUAAGAAUUCAACAUGCAAAGCUUAAAUCAAGGUCCUUUGAAUCUUAUCAAUGAAGUAAUGUCCUAAACGAACAAACACAUUGAAAAGCUCAUCCUACUUGCAAUCUGCACCUUUGUCCUAUAGCAAUAGCCUCCAACCACAGGUUUGACUAAAAAGUGGUAUGGGUUUGCAUUAUGGAUCCAGAAAGUAGGGCCAAGAACAGGAUUUUAUCAUUUUCCUUUAUUCCCCUGAUAAGGGGGAUGAACUAAAAAGCACCAAAGAGUGCAAAUCCUAAUAUGCAGGAUCGAUUUGUUCAUGUUGUAACUGCAGCCCAUUUAUGCCACAUUUUCCUAAGGCCAAAUUGCAGUUAUAGGUCUUUGGCAUAAAAGCAUAGAUUCUAAUUGGCAUCCAUGCAGAGAUCUCCAACUCAUAGAAAAAUUUUGAUCUUAAUAUUUAAACGAAUUAUGAAAAAGGGAACAAGUAAAUAUGUCUUGACAAAAUACUCACUUGGAAACAUGCAAACCCAUACCUUUGAGUUCAUUCUUUCGAUUACUUGAGAGGUUGAUUUAUAUGUGUAUGUAUAUAGAAGAUACACUAGGCUGUUGCAACAACCAUUAUCCAAUAUCCAAAUUAUGGGGUAGAAAAAUAGAAAUAGGUAAAAUUUCUGUCCUAUGAGGUUGCUAAGCAACCUCAGAAAUGGUAGGCUUCUUGUCUUCUGAAUGUUAAUGAAAACUAUUAGAUAGUGUACAGUUAUUUCAAUUAUUUACUUUUCCUUUUUUUUCCUUAUUGUAUUGUGGGUCCCACUAGCAUGUAUAUAUAUACCCAAGUCCAAUGUGUAUUAUUAAUAGUUUUUAAUAACAAAAAUUAGGUAUUCUCCCUUUUCUCUCUUUUCACAAAAACAUUUUGUGUGGGCAGGAGGAAUCUUCAUUGUGUUAUUUUUUCAAGGUGGUCCAAAGUACAAAGGUGAAUUUGGAGAAAAGUAAUAUCUCUGUAAGAAUGGGGGAAUAACCUUUGAAGAAAAGUAAAUCUCUAUAAGGAUGGGGGAGGAUGGGGAGGAAUUGGCUUCAUAACUUAAUUAUAAGAUGGGUCCUUUGGCUUUUCCCUACAUUGGUCUUCCUUUGGGUGCUUCUUACAAAGUAAAAUCAGUGUGGGAUCCCAUUAUUGAGAGUUGAAACAUCAGUUGCUAAGCUGGAAGAGAUAGUAUUCAUCAAAAGGGAGCAAAGUUAGUCCAGUUCAAAGCACAUAACCAAGUAUGCUUAUAUGUCCUUGUAGAGAGGCAAAAUUUGCUUGUUUACUAAUCAUCACGUGUCAAUGGAAGACCAAUCCUAAAUUGGCACAUGUCCUAAGUGGUCAAGUUAAAGUUCAUUUUGACAAUUAAAUAAAUAAGUUAGAUGUCAUUUGGAUGCAAUUCUUAUUUUCUAUUUUCAAAAAUAGAAAAUGAUAGUAAUUCCUAUAUAAAAAGCAAAACCUUAAAAAAGACAGUAUCUUUUAAAAAGUGUUUAAUUUACUACCUUGAGUUUUAAAAGUGAUUUUUAAGAACAUAAGGUAAGUUCAUAUUUUUUAUAUAAGAGUUAAGAUAUUUUCUUUAGAAGUUACUACCAUUUUUUAUUUUUAAAAAUAAAAAAAUAGGAAAUAUUUCCAAACAAGUACUUAAUUAUCAUUUUUAAUGCAAAAAUGAGUCAUACACAAAAUAAGAAUGAUCUCUCAGUCAAAUGUAAAAGAAAUAUAUUAAUUUUGAUAAUUAUAUAAAUAAAUCAAUCAUCAAAUUUAAUUCAAAAAGGUGUCAUGCACAAAGUAGGGAUGGUCUCCAAAUAAAAUGUAAAAUAAUUAAGUCAAUUAUUUUUUAUAAUUAAUAAACAAGUUAAUUAUCAUUUUUAAUUCAAAAAAUGAUCAAAAUAGGAACAAUCUACCACUCAAAUAUAAAAUAAGUAGAUUUUAAUAUUCCAAGAAAAUUAACAGAUAAUUACCAAAGAGGGUCUGUUUACCCCAGUAAAUAGGAGGGCCUCCUUAGCUUUCACAAAAAGACAUCGACAGAAAAGAGAAGACUUCCACACUAGAGAAAAGUUGGAGAAACUUUGCCCAAAGAUUGAAGGAGUUCUUCAAAACGAUCAAGGUCAAAGAUUUGAAAAUCAUGUUCAAAGAUUUGAGAUCAAGCUUAAAGAUUUAAAGAUUAAAUUCGAAAUUUUGAGGUCAAGCUAGAAGAUUGGAAGAUUCGAAGAUCAAAUUUGAAGAUUCAAAGAUCAAGUCUGACGAUUCUAAGAUCAAGUUCAAAAAUUCCAAGAUCAAGUUUCAAGACUCCAAGGUCAAGUUUGAACAUUCAAAGAUCAAAUUUAAAUAUUUGAAUAUCAAGUUUGACGGUUCAAAGAUCAAAAUUCAAAAUUUGACAAUCAUAGUUCAAGGUAUCUUCAAGCCAAGCCAAAUUCCAAGCAUAGGCCCAAGCCCAAAGUCCAAGAAUAGGCCCAAACCAAGCUAAAAUCCAAGCACAAACCCAAGCCAAACCAAGGCCCAAGAUCAAGCUCCAGCCCAAGCCAAGCCAAGGUUCAAGUACAAGCCCAAGCUAACCUAAAAUCCCAUUCAAGAUCCAAGCACAAGCCUAACCAAGCUAAGAUCUAAGCACAGACCUAAAUCAAGCCAAGAUCCAACAACAACCCAAAUCAAGCCAAAGUCUAAGCCCAGGACCAAGCCAAGUCCAAGUCUAAGCAUAAGGUCAAGCAAAAACCAAGGUCAAAGCACAAGCUUGAUCCAAGACAAAGUCUAAGCACAAGCUUGAGCCAAAACAAGGUCCAAUUUUAAGUCCAAACCAAGGUCAAGGCCAAAAUCAAGACCUUUCUCAGAAAAAUCAAAGGAAAGCAUAGAGACUACAUUUAAAAUCCUAUGAAGAAAAAUUUUGUUAUGCAAAAAUUUUCAUUUUUAAUAGAAAUUUGCACACCUUAUGGGAAUUCAUGCUAGAAAUUUAUAUGCAAAAAUUUCUCUAAAAGAAGAAAAUUUUGGCAAAAAUUUUUUUUUCUUUAUGAACAUGUAGGAUUAUGAGUGUAGUCUCUACACUAUCCUUUGAUUCUUCUAAGAAGGGACUUUAACCUUGGCUUAGGCCCUAGUAUGUCUUGAGUUUGGACUUUGACUUAGUCUUAGCUUAGGCUUGUACAUGGACUUUUGCUUGGCUUUAGACCUAUGCUUAGACUUUAGUUUAGCUCGAGCCUAGACUUAGACAUUUGCUUGGCUUGGGCCUUCACCUAGACCUCAGCUUAGCUUGGGCCUGGUCUUAGACCUUGACUUAGCUUGAGUUUGUGCUUAAACCUUGGAUUUGCUUGGGUCUAGUCUUAGAUCUUGGCUUAGCUUGAAUUUAUACUUGGACUUUGGCUUAGCUUAGGCUUGUGCUUGGCCUAGCCUUUGGUUUAGACCUUAGGUUGGCUUGAGCACAUGCUUCACUUUAACUUGGCUUAGGCCUACGCCUGAAUCUUGAUUUGAAUAACGCUCAUUGAGGAUAGAAAUGUUUAAUCUCAAAUGGAAGAUACCUCAAACUUUGAUCUACAAAUCUUGAAACUUGAUCUUUGAAUUUUCAAACUUGAUCUUUUAAUCUUUAAAUUUAAUCUUUGAAUCUUUAAGCGUAAUCUUUGAAUCUUCAAAUCUUCGAAUUUGAUCUUCAAAUCUUCGAGUUUAAUCUUCAAAUCUUUGAGUUUAACCUUCUAAGGCUUUGAAGAACUCCUUGAAACCACUCAUGGUGGUCUAAGUAGUAAAAGUGUAGGCAACAAACAAUACACUUUUGGGUGAAUGCUUUGAGAUUUGCAAUUGGAAGAUGUGUAUGAACCACUCACAUAUCCUUCUAUUAUAUAUGUAUCUAGAGAAUAAAUUUGCACAACCAAUAAGAGGGACAGUUGUGGGAGAUUAUUUUUUGAUAGGAUAUAUAUAUUGAAAGAAUAAGAAGUACAAAAGAAGGAUGAGGAAUAGUUGUGGGAGAUUAUUAAUGUGUACAAAAUUAUAGAGAAGGAGAGAAGGCUGGUGCUCUAAGGUAGUAAAAGGCUUCUUUUGAGGGGUUAUGAAAAGGGAUAAAAAGGGAGGGGAAGGUUCCUAGUCAUUACACUUUCAAGGUGAGAAAAGAAUAUUUCUUUUAGCAAGAUGGCUGACAUGAGGAGGGAUCUCUUAAGGAAAUAUUUUCGAACUUUGUGCUAGUAAUAUGGAUGACAUACUGGUUAGUGUCAAGGCUCCCACAACAUAUUGGGCAUUCAAAUCCAAGAUUUGUAGAGGAAUUUGUUAAGAUUGGGAGCUAGGUGAUGUCAAGGCUUUGCUGAACCACGUUCAUGAGAUGAAUAUAUUUGUGGGUAAGACGACACCUUGCAAUGAUUGCUAACUUUGGAUAAGAAAUUAUUGGUUGAAUAUCAUCAUAAGAAGGUGGAGAGAAGGGAAGUAGAUGAUUUUCUAGCCUAAAGCCUCAUUAGGGAUCAUUUUUAUUUUGCUUUAGCCACAAAGUGAAAGCUAAAGUAGUCAUAAUGUCAAAUGGAACAAUCUUGGUAUUUAUGAAAGUUUUAUUAAACAUUAAACAACUUUCCAUAUAAGCUCCUUUUAAAGUCAGAAGCCUUUAUAUUUAAAAUCACCUGAACACAAAUAGAAGAUGUAAUUAGACUUUAAAAAGAGGUUUUAGCUUCCAAAAAGGGAUCCAAAAAAGGCCACCUAAUUUUUUUUGAUAGGAAAAAAAGGGGGGUGGAAAAAUAAGGACUGCAUGUGUAAGAAAGCGUGGAUCAUAUGCCACUCUACUACCAAGUGGUUGAUGACUUAUGGUUUAUGUUCAUUCUAUUUGAUGUAGUAGGAAUGCUCCAACUUCUCACCAUAUUCAACAUUCUUAGGGACAUCCAAAAAGCAUUGAAACAAUUUAUGGGAGAAGGAGAGCAAUUUGUAUAGGAGCGUCAAUGUAUGUUGCUAGGGUGCCAAGAUGGUUGAUUUCUUGAUUCACAAAGGGUCAUGUGACCAUUGGAAUCCUAAAUAGUUACCAAUUUUUUUGUUUCAUCGUAGUUUUCCUUUUUCCCAUAAGAAGGUCUCCCAUAUUCUACAUGUGCACUAGAGUUACAAUCCUCACAACCAUUUGUUUCAAACCCACAACAUACAUUGUGAGUUACAUAACUGUUAAUAUUCUAUUUUGUAAAAUCCAUGCGGACCAUUCAUGGUGUACUAUGUGCCUAAUAUAUGUCGUAUGAGCUCCAUCAUGACAGGACCAAUUACAGGGCACCACAUGUCUUGGUACAUACUACACAUGCUCAAGACCACUCUCCACUAACAUGACAUGUAGCGCAUCUCACCCAUGAUCUCCAAGGCAUUGACACAUCCAUAUUCUCCCUACAUAGCUCCUAUGUCAUAGGGCUACAUCAUUUGGACAUAAGAGUCCUAUCUCCAAACAUAUCCGUGGGUUACCCGGAUACCCAUGGAACAUGAAUCUGCCAAUGGCAGAUGCUUAGGAAGUUUGUCCUACUCUACCUCUUAAUGAAGGUGAUACUAAGUGCAACUGAGAGGGUUCAUGGUUUUGCUCAUGUCAAGAGGAAGAUGUUUCCUCUAUAAUACUUCUAGCCUCCUACAUCCCCCUUAAAUGUUUCACCCUUGACGUGACACCUAGAUGCUAAUACGUCUGCCCAAGUCAGGAGCAAAGCAGAGGGAUUCGAAAUGGAUUUAACGCAUCUCAAUAGUGGAAUUGGCCUUCUCACCAUCAAGCAUUUUGGGACUGAUUUGAGGGUCAUCGCUUGGUGAUUAGAGUUAGAGGUUCACCAAGGUGGGACUAACAUGCAUCGAACAAGUCUUAACCAGAAUUGGAGGAAGAGGGGACCAAUGUGUCAUUGGGACACAUGUCAUCUCCAAAAGCUUUAACAUCAUCAUUGAUCCUUAAUAUGGAAGUUACUAUUUUGGAGCAAUACAAAAAGGCUUCACUUCGCAUCCAACGAAAGAAGAAAAGAUUUUCCCAAUCUCUUAAGUUCUCUUCUUGAUUUCACUACCAUUCUCUCCAAUUCCCUCUCACCUCUCACUCUGCUCCACCCAUCCCCUCUCAAACUGUUGGCACCUCACCAUCCCAUUUAGUUGGCCUCCUAUAGAUAAGAAGCCUACAUAAAGAAUGACUUUACAUCCAUCACCAUUCCCUCACACAUAACCCUUUGUCCUCUUUUAGAAAACAUUAAUGCUUCUAGGCAUCCAUGAACACAGCUUCAGAUCAUAGAAAAGCCUUGAAUUUUACAUUAUAUACAGGCAUAACUAGAAUUUAGAAACAUACUGAAGCGCAUCACUAGCAACCUCUGCGACAAACUUCUGAGUGGCAACAGCUACUAGUCUAAUUCUGCAAAACAAAGGAGAAAAUUAAUCCAAUCUGACAUGAUACAUAUCCAAGAAGUCUAAUUCUGGUUUUAAAGAAAUCAUCAUCCUCCAAAGCAGAUUAUAACUCACUAGUUUCCUUUCUUAUUGAAUAAUUAUCUUCCCGUUUACAUUACACCAAAAAAAGGAGGAAUCCAAAUUGCACUCCGUUUUUAUUUCAAAAAAUAUGGUAGCACCUAAGGUUUUCAGUUGAAAGGAAAGUGAUAACACAACCAACAAAGGCACAACCAAAACUUUUGAUUAUGAAUUUAUCAGAGAUUUCAAAUAAGAAUUUAAAAAAUCAAAUUUUUUAUUGGUUACAGAAAUUUGAGCAGCCUAUGACUUAAAUUCAUAAACUUAUAGGAAAGUUUCAAGUGGAUAAAGACAGCAAUCAUAUGAACCAAAAGAGAGGGACAUUAGGAAAAAGAGAAGGAAAGAAAUAGUAAAUCCCAACUUAGCAAAUCAAUUUUACAUGCAUAUGUCUAGAAUUUUUCCAAAGUAGGUGACAGAACAGCUCCCUGCUUCCUGAAUCUCAUAAACAUUUUUAUGUCUAUAUGGUUUAUGCCACAUGUACAGCAUCAACUAAACGUGACUAUGUAUCAAAGUAUUGGCUACAGCAUUAUCGGAACUCUCUCAAUAAUCAUUACAACUUCUGCGGUAAAUGAGAUAUCACUAAAACUUGUAUCAAGUAAAAUAAGACCAAUCUCAUUUUCUGUUUCCUGAAAAAACUGUCCAUGAAUGUGAAUUCAUGGAAGUAAAUUCAAAAUAAAGGAGCAUUACAUAAAAGUAUCAUGUUCAUUAUGUUGAAUUGUGAUGUGAGAUUUCCAAACAUAAGAGUUUACAAGAGCUAUAAAUAUAGAGUAUACCUAUAGGUUAUAAGAUGGUGGUUUAAAAAUCCAAGCAUCUUUGCAUUCUAUAGUUUAUAAAAGAAAGCCUUAAAAUGGGUGGAUUAGCAACAGCGUUGAUCAAGUUUUCUAGUUGGCUGAGCAUCUGGAGAUUACAUAGACAUUCAUAUAAGGAGUAUAUGAAACCCAUCAAAAGAAAAAAAAAAAGAAAAAAAAAAAAAGGAGUAUAUGAAAACAUCCCAGCAAGUACCCAUCUUCAAAAUCUCUUUUCCCUCACACAAAAGACAGCUCUUUUUUAAACAAAUUCUCUACAUGAAAAAAAUGAUUAUUGCCCCAUUGUUCUUGUUGUUCCCUUAACAAGUUUGGUAUUAGAAGUGAUCUAAUAAUAUAGGAUGAUCAUCGAAACCUUGAGGCUAAGGCUGUCUUCCAAAGGAAUGUGCUGACAUAAUCAUUGAGAUAAGGUCAAAGGUAUAGAAAGAGAGUAAGAGACCAAAACUGAGAUAGGAUCUUUUAUAGAUUGGUUUAAGUGUUUUAAUGGAGAAGUGCUUGAAGAACAAAAUCAUAGAAGCAGCAAUUGAGAAAGAAGAAGAUCAAAGAAAGAAACCACUUAGGCAGCAACCCAGGAUGUCCAAGACAAUAUUCUUAUAUCAAUAAAGACUAGUCCAUUUUAAAUCCUCUGUUUAGUACAAUGUAACUUAUUUCUAGACUUCAAAAAACUUCCCAAACAAGUAAAGGACUUUUAAAACAAGCUAACCAAUAUACUGAUCAAAUAGGAUUCAAACUUCUUAAAAAUAAAAUGCUUCAUAAACACUUAAGUGGCCAGUUUAUAAUGUAUGAAAAGCCUCACAACAACCUCAAAUUAGAAACAUGGUAAAACAGAAACAAAAACUUCAUUUAUCCAUUGCUAUUGUUAUGUGAGGACUAAAAUGCAGAUAUGAUGAAAAAUACCUGCUAUACAAUUACAGUAAUAUGCAGAAUAACUACUUGCUAAACACUUACUAAUUAAAGCAUGUAUAUCCACAUGGGAUAUAGAAUUUCAAGGACAGAAUAGCCUAAGUCAACGAUUUUCCUAUCUUGGCAUGCUUCUACCUCUUUAAGCCUUCUCUCAAUAAUCAGAAAAUUCUCUCCAUGGCAACAAGUUCUAAAAGUUCACCCUUCAACUAUUCUCAAAAUCUAUUUCCCUUUUUUCUCACUGUAAAAAAUAAUUACACUCCACAUAUUUUCUCCACUCCUGAUUAGACUUUAGACCUAAACUUUCUUAUUCCAAUACAUCUUUCCAAAAAUCUAGUUUCACCCACACCCUUACUCUAGGAUCGUGAACUGAAGCUAAAUGUACCAUAAACCAUGGGACCUACUCCUGUGUAAGCAUGGAGAGCCUUCAAUGUGCUUAUUUGACUGCCACAACAAUUUAGGAAAUCAAAAAUGAUGCCCAAAUCCACUAUUCUCUCCAGAAUCUUUCUUUUUAAAAAAUAAAAAAUAAUAAUAAAUAAUAAGUGGUUUAAAGCCCAACAAAGUUUGAGUUGAAUUGCCAUAACAAUUCUAUACCAUCUUAAGUUUCCACUCAUGAUAAUCUUGAUUGCCAAGUUACAUGGCCAUUCUCGAGCUAAUUUUACCAAACACUGGUACUGACUUAAAUUUGUAUCUUUCUUUACACUGAACUAUAUUCCAAAAACUCAAACCCUUCCUACGUGAGGCUAAAAAUCCAAAACUAAGGGUUAAUAAUUUCAAUAGAAGACAAGUUCUCCAACCAAAGAGAAAACCGUCAACAUGCACUAAACAAAUUCAUACUACUCAGAGUUUAUGUCAAAACAAUACAGUUCAUGUCAGAACAAUAGUCAUCGAAAGGUAAAAUAUAUAUAAAAUUCUCUGCCAUGUUGCUGAGAAAAUGAGAGAAAAUAAAAAUCAGAGAUCUUUCAUCAUCAUUGAUCCAAACACCAUCAAAAACAACCUAAUACAAACAUAUGGCUUAGUCAGGUCAUUUUUAAAAAGCAUUUUUUCGGAAACCAAAACAGUCUAACUAUAGGAUUAAAAAAAAACAAAAAAAUCCCCAGUUUUCUUGGAAACCAAACGAGGCUAAACAAACAAUUACAUAAAAAGAGGUUAAAUAAAAAAAAAAAUAAAAGGAAAAAGUACCUACAAUCGAACAUCGGGACACUGAAACCCACUUUUGGCUAAAUAAUGCUCCACCAGUUCAUCUGGUAUCUGAAAAAACAAACACAGAAAAUCAUAAAUAAAUAAAUAAAUUAAAAAAAGUUUAGUUUUAGGCCGACAAAAAAUCAUACAGUCGGAGUGUAGUCCAUAAGGGAAGCGAGAAAAUCAGACAGCGCAGAAUCAUCGUCGUGCCUAGCAUCGUUGCCUCCUUGGUUUUGAUUCAUCCUCCCUCUCUGUCCCGGAAUGCGUUUUCCUUCUAUUUGCUUCAGUUUCUCACCUCUCCUCUGGCUUUUAUUUACAAUUUUUAUUUUUUAGUAUUCCUAAAAAAAAUUUCUCGAAUUAUUUUUUAAUGCAUUUAAACAUGUAGACCCAAAAGCAUGUAUACGCAUUAUCAAUUUUAUUUUUAAUUUAAAAUUAUAAAUUAAUAACUUGAAUAUAUUAUUAUUUUAUCAAUUUUUGGUGAUCUCAUAAAUUAAGUCAUAUGCUCCAAAUAAUCAAUUCAAUAUGUACUUUGGUCUCUAGGGCAAAAUUACAUAUUCGUAUUGUAAUAUUUUUAGUAAAGGAAAGAAUAUGGAAUAAAAAAAUACGAAUAAAACAAAGUUAUUUGAUUAAAAGGGUCAUUAAAAACUCAAUUUUUUAAAUUUAACCCAUCAUCGUUUUUUUGACCUCAUUUAAACAAAAAAAAUACCCUCAUUCUUUUCUUAUAAAAAUAACCCCCUUUUUUAAAACCUACACGUAAAUAUUUGAAAUGAGAAAAAGUAUUUAUGUCAAAAAUAGGUUAUUUUUCAAGUAAAAACAUAGGAGGGGUUAGAUUCACAAAUUUGGGAUCAUUUCAUCCAUUUUAACCAAUUAUUUCCAAAAAAAAAAACAAAAAGUUUAUAAAAUUUUUCCGUGCUUGUUUUUUAUAUUUUUCCUUCAAACAUUUUUUUUUUUGGAAAAUUAUGUUUUCAACCCAUAUAGGCUUGAUAAUUAAGGUAAAGUCCUCCAACCACUCAUAAUUGAUUACAAGGAUAUGAGAUAGUAAUUGACAAAAAUACCCAUUUGACUUAUUUUUGUUUUUAUUCUACCACUCUUCACAUGCCACUAUUCUUUCUUAUUUAACCAUUUUUAGACUUUUCAUUGUUUGUUUAAACUCUUUUAUAAAUAAUUGAAAAAUCAACAUUGUUUUUUAUUUUUAAAUUAUAAAUAAACAAAAAUUAUAUUAAUGAUUCAAAGACUAUUUUGGAAAAUACUUUCUAAAAAAAUAUUUAUUUAAAUAAGUAAAAAUUAUAUUUCACAUUUAUUUUUAUCUUUUACAUUUUAAAAGCAAAUAAUUUAAUGAUUAAAGCACAGUUUAAAAUAAAUAUAUUCACUAUUUUAAUUUCUUUUAUGUUAAAAAGUAUUUUAAAGUUUUUUUACUAUUAUAAAAUAAAAAGUUUAAUUUUUUUUAAUCUUCUUUCUUCUUUAUUUUAAUAACUUUUUGAACAUGACUUUUAGUAAUAAGUUAUAUGAAAUGUUACAAAUUUGUUUACUAAAUAUUUUUUUUAAUGAUUUGAAUUAAUUGAAAAUUUAUUAAAAUAAGAAAAAGAAAAAUAAAAAAAGAUGAUGGAUGAAGAGUUUUUAUUUUAAGUACUCAAUUAAAAUGUUUUUAUAUGACCUAAUUUUAGAAGUGGAUAAUAUCAAUACAUAGUAGAGAUUGAAUUUUUCUUAUAUAAAAAAGUUGAAAGGUAUAUUUACUUAUUUUAAAUGAAAAAAAGUAGUUAAAAAUUAUAUAGAUUAUAUUUGAGUUUGGUUUUAAAAUAUUUUUCAAGUUUUUAUUUUUAUUUUUUUUAUUUUUAAAAAUAAUUUUUAUUUUCUGUAUUGUCUCUUUUUGAAAAUACGUUUAAUUAAAAAAUGAAAACUAUUUUUAAAAAUGAAAAUUGAAAACCUUGUUUAGUACUAUUUUUUAUAUGAAAAAAAAUCAUUUAUUUAUUUAUUGCGUCACUAUACAAUUGUAUUACACUAACUGUACAAAGGAAAUGUACUAAGUGUACAAAAGUGUACAAGACUACCCUUUGUGAAAUAUUACAAUCAAUUAUGAGUCAUUCUUUUUUUUUUUAUCACUCACGAAUUGUACACAUAUGUCAUGCACUUUAUUUAAUUUUCACAUUGAAAUUUCAAUACUUUCCCUAAUAAUGAUAUAUGGGGAAAAAAAAUUUAACCUUAAGUCAUCCACCAUCUUCUCAACUAAACCGUUGGAAUUAUGGUUAAACACUCUUAUGUGGACACAUAACUUAGAAGAGAUAUGAAAUUUGCGUCAUUGUAUAAGGGUAUUACACUAAUUGUACAAAGAAUAUGUACUAAUUGUAUAGAGGUGUACAAGAUUAUCCUUUGUGAAUGAUUUCAAACCACUUUUUUUAUUUUCCUUGUCACCCAAGGAUUAUACACCUAUGUCAUGCUCUUUAUUUAACUCUCACAUGAAAAUUCCAAUAUUUUCCCUAAUAAUGAUUGAGAAAAUAAAGGUUAUACUUAAUUAAGAAAAACACCCAACAUAGGGGGGGUGACUUUGGUUUUUUAAAAUCUUUUUAAACACAACAAGUUCAAGCACAAUAUAAACAAAAAUAAAGAAAUAGAGUUAGAGAAUUCAAACUCGGGUUUUAUAGUCGGCACUUCCUUGCCUACGUCCACUCUCCUCAAUCUCCUGACUGAGUGAGGGUUCCACUAACUUGAAGCUUCAACCAAGCUUUCAAUUUUCUUACACUUGGAUUCCGGCUCCAAUGGACUCUUACACAAUCUCUUCAAGAUUCAAACCUCUUAAAGGCUUUAACAUUCAGCUUUUACCAGAAUGAAUCUCUUAACCUAACUUAAGGAUAGCUCAAAAUACAAGACAAAGCUAGAAUGACACACAAGAGUGCACUAAAGGAUAUGUAAGUGAUGAUUUAAUGCACUAAGAAAGAUAUGAGAGCUUUUUGGUCAAGAACAGGUAGGUAGACAAUUGAUUGCAAGUGUUCUCUUAUCAAUAAAUGAAGUGGAGCUAUCAAUUUAUAGGUUUCUAAGCUCGGGAGCCAAAAACAGCAAAAGGUAACCUCGACCGGUCGAGCUAGGGGUUGACCGAUUCACUGGCCGUUGGAGCAUUUAAUGCUUGAUAGGUUACUGUUGCCUCAACAGGACCUCGACCGAGAAGAGAUGAACCUCGACCGGGAAGAAAAGGCUACUAGGAGAGAGAGAAGAUUUUGGGCAUCCCUCGACCGAACCUCGACCGGGAAGAAAAGGCUAUUGGGAGAGAGAAAAGAUUUUGGGCAUCCCUCGACCGGACCUCGACUAGACAAGGGUAAUCGAUCAACUGGUUCCCCAACCGGUUGAGCCGGUUGACCAUAACCUCGACUGGUUGAGCCUUUUGGCCUUGAAAACCUAUCUCUUUCAAUUCAUUUCUUUUCUAACACUUAGGCAAGGUCUUUAGGUGAAUUAUUAUGCCAAUUUUAAAACAUUUUGCCUAAGGUACAUUUAAUGAAAUCGAAGUUUUAAAGGAAAAACCGAGUUUUCUAAGUUGCAUGAAACGGUAUGAAAAUCCUAAGUGCACUCAUGUAUUCAACUUACAUUCAUUUCCUAUGAUCACAAGUCUUCCAAAAGUCUCGAUCUUGUAUCCAUUUGGUCCUUUGAUGAAUUUUCGAGUUUAUGCCUGAAAUUCUUUACUAUUAAACCAAUUAGUCACUUAACCAUGGUUUGUUAUCAUCAAAACCUGAUUAGGAGAACCCUUGGGCUAACAAUCUCCCCCUUUUUUAUGAUGACAAACCUUGGUUAUCUAGGAGAGAAAAAAAAAUCUCCCCCUCAAACCAAUCAUGGAUCAAUCAAUCAAUUUUCAAUAGGAAACAAUGUAAAACAUAAAAAUUUGAGUAGGAAACAAUGGAUCAUGAAAAUAGCAUAUCAUAUAUAUAUGGUAACCCCACAUGUACACGAAAACAUAACAUAUAUGCUAAUCAAGAUAGAUAUGACAAUGAUAUGCAUGAGGGUCUCCUAGAUCCUAGAUAUUUCUCCCCCUUUGGCAACAUAAAAAAGACAUUGAGGGGAAACUCUAGAUAAACUCAAGGCUGAAGAGGUGAAGGUGGAAACACAGAGUGAAGGUAAGUCAUCAUCUUUUCAUGCUGACUCUCCUGGCGACUCUCAAUGCGCUUAAUACUCUGCUGGAGAUGCUCGAAUGUAGCCUGCUACUGAUCCAUACACUCAAAUCUCUACUGGAAGUGCUCAAAACGAGAAGUGAAGCCAGUCUGAUACUGAUCUAUCCGAUCCUCCAUAGAGUAAAAUUGAGUAUCACUGACUAAAACAAGUUCCUCCAUACGAGUCCCAAGUGAGUUGAUUUGAGCCGAUAUAUCCAUCCAAGGCGCAUGAUCAGAAGCGUGAGGUGCUUGAGAUGGUAUCUCUAUGUGAGGAAGCUCGAUGAAUGAUGGCUGAGAGGAUGGUCCCGUUGUGUAAGACGACUCAAUCAUCAUAGUGUGGACCCCGCAUUUCGGCUCAUGCGUUUCCCACUCGAUGGCGAGCUCGAUUUUUAUUUGAAAAAAAUGAUUUUAUUUAUUCAAAAAUGACUUGGAGUCGCCACUUAUUUUUGUUUUUUAAAAGGGUAAACAAAAUAAGAAAGAAAACCCUAAGUGCGACUCCUUAUUUUGGAAAAGGUGAUCUACAAAAAAACCGGAUCGGAUUCGGGGGUCAGGUUACUUAUCGGGAAGGUACGGUAAAGACCGUAGCACCCCUCUAAGUCCCUAAGGUCGGGUCUCUACUAAUGAGAUGAAGCUGACAUGGCAAUCAAUGUGAAAAUCAAUGAAUACUCGAAUCAAUCAUGCACAUAUGAGUAUCAGAAUAUGUAUAGAGAAUAACCAAAGUGGAAGUGGAUGCGUACCUGAUCAGCAAACGGCAACGCGCUAUCACAAAAGGGGGUUGGUGCAUAGUAAUGAACAUAAAACAUGUCACUCAUAUCACCAAAUAGGAAGAAACACCAAUAGCACGCAUGUCAACAUUUCAUUCAAAUUCAUUUUUAUUUUGAAGAAAAUUUAUUUGAUGUCGGGCCCCCACCAAAGCCCAUUUAUUUUUACAUGAAUUAAUUCCAUAAAUUCCAUUAUUCGGAAUUACGGAAUUUAAUUCAUACUUAUUUUAAAACAUUUUAAAACAAAAGAGAUGUUGAAAUUGUUUGCCAGAAGGAAAGAUGGCAACCAAGUUUAUUAAAAAUGGGAUUCUUGGGUGAUCCUAAAAAUCCUAAGGAUGAAAGAUGAGAAAAUUGGGAUUAUUAGAAAAUCAGAAUUUUGAUAAAGAUAUUUACAAAAUGGGAUUUAAGAAAACAUUUUCAAAAUCAAAUGAAAAGAAAUCCAAGAAUGUCACAUGGCCCAAAGGUGGCCCAUACUAAAGAUGGCCAAUGCAUAGCCUGGUAGGAAUAGGGUCCAGUUGACUUGUGCAUGCUGGGGCUGUUGAUAGACACUGCCUGUAGGUCCCACUAUAUCAACAAUACCGGCCAUUGUCUGAGAUUGAUGCAGAAGUGGAUGAAUAGUUGCUGUCACUACUCAUGCAGGAUGAUGGAUACCCAAAACAGUAGUAACAUCGAGCUUCUCUGUGGUCACGGGUUGUAAUUUCACCUUGCUCAUGCUUCUUUCCCAUCUCUUGGCAACCUCGGCUUUCUUGAUAAUCUGGCAUGUGUCUUUCAGUAGUUACAUGAGCAUCGAUGCACUGAAUGAACUUCCAAGCUGCCCCUGCUGGUUCAAGCACAGUAAAGGGAGCAUCCCAAGGAUGAUGGAUUCACUCAGUGACCCACCUGUAAGUAACAAUUCUAAGGGCGUUGCACGACCCUGUGCAGGCAAUAUUUGGCUCCAUAUAUCAACCUUUAUCCCAUCCACGACAUGAUCACUUCUCCCUUCCACAACAUCUCUAUAUUUCUAGAAGAAACUCCAUGAUCAGGUAACUUGAUAAAAUCCCCAGUGCUAGAUAUUUACAAAACGAGUAAUAAGCGUAGCACCUGCAUGAAGCCUAGGAUUUUUACCAUCCUUGUCAUCUACUGCCACUUGGAACUUUGACCUCUGAUUUUGAGCCUUGGUUAUCGGUUCUGUUUCUUUAUCAACCCCAACUUCAGAAUCAGGUCCAUAGAUUUCACAAUUCUCUUCGCGUGAUUGCAUGACUACAUAAUCUCUGAGAAGCAGAGAUCUAAAGAGUGCAUCAGCGGAUUAUAAAGUCCGAGGGAUUCAAUGGCGACGAAAGGGAUAGAUUCUCAGAGGUAAUGAUUGCGUCUGCCAUAGUGAACCUUCAUUGCAUAACAUUGAAUUAGAGAGGAAAUAUUCAUGGCUGCAAGGAUGAGUUAUCACCGUGCUUCCCCUUUAGUGGCGGGGUCCAGUAAGGAUGUUUUAAUAUCCACUACGCCUUGGGAAUUCUGGCAGACUCACUUACAGGAACAACAUCAUGAAAAGUACCCUUGUUUAUUAUAGUAUCCUCAAAGACGAGAACAUAAUCACCACUUUCUAUUCACUUUUGUAGCUGAUGGAGAACUUUGGACACCACGCAUUCAUGCAUAAGUAGCUUGACGAGUUCUACCCACUGCACUAGCAAAGAAAGCAAAGCUCCAUGGCCAAAGACAAAAUCACUACAUCUAGGGGGGAAUCACUAGCAAUAUAUCUUAGGGUCCACACGGCCUGCUCGCAAACAUCAUCACUUGGAGAACCAGGAAGUUUUGCAAACAUCGGAACGGCCCUAUGAUCGAUUGCCAUUUUGAAAUGCAUAAUAGAAAGAAGAAUGCCCUGCUCGCAUCUCGCUCCAAACAGUCUAACACAAACUAACCCCUUCCACUGAGGGUUCUUUGCCUCAAGUCACCUUCUUCAUCCUUACACCCACAUGGCGUACACGUGAUUUUCCUCAACCCUGUUCAUACUCUCUUCUUUUCUUUGGUAAGCUUCUUCUUCAAACUUUCAGAGUCUUCUCAAAAACACCCAGUCCGGACAAUCAAACUCAAACAAACUACCCGCACUAAAAGAAAUAGAAAACAGAGGGUAGAGAAUGAAGAAGGAAAACAGAGCAAGAAUGGAUGGAUUAAGGAAUUACUAAGCAACAUCUCGUUUCAUGAAUGAUGAACGAGUGGCUAGCUGGUGGGAUGAGUUAAAAAUCCACAAUAUAAUCAUCAGAACAUCUAAACCAAACUCAAUGAGGAUCCAAUCAUUUUCAGAAGAAAAGAAAAUCAAGCACAAGAAAGAGAUGAAGCAGAGCAUCAUACAUGAAUAAGCAUAUUCAAUCGAAACAAAUCCCGUGGCCCUUGACGUCCACGGCAAACAAUCCAAACUUUGCUCGUAAAUCAGUAGAGAAUGCGACAGUAUAUUAAGAAACAAGAACAUACCUAGCUUGAGGGUUGUCUGAGAAUUCCACGGGCAAUCUUCUUCAACCACUCCUUCUGGCCAUGGAGUACCACCUUAACUCUCAGCAAGAUCACUCUCUCUCAUCUCCAAGCCUUCCAGCUAAGAAUCUAUCACUUCCUCAAUGGAAAAAUGGCUCCCUCUUAGCAAUGGAUCCCCUCCUCUCUUCUAAAAAUAUCUCUAACGGCAGCCCAGACCACCUCUGAAAGGCACACCCCCCUCUAACUCUCUCACUAGUAGCCUAGAAAUCACCUCUCAGCAACCUUCUCUCUCUGGUUUUCUCUCUGAGCUCCUCUCAAUCUCUAGCUAAGCAAUGCCCUCAAAAAUAUCUCUCUCCCCCUGCCUCUAAAAUCUCUCAGACCAGCAUGAAAAGCCUCUCCACUUGCAAGAGACGCUUCCCCUUUCUGCUAGAAAACAACAACCAAAAGCACCACCUCCUCUAAGCUCUCUGGUUCUCCUACUCUCUGCUAGAAAACUCCAACCAAAAGCCCACUCGGACCACUCUCUCUCACAGUUUCCCUUUCCUCUUGCUGAACGAAUCCCUUCAUACCUGCAGCUGGCCUGCUACUCCUUAAUAGAAACGCACUCCUCUAAUAACAGACUCCUAAUCCUCUGCAUAUCCUCCAAUAGCUGUUACUUUCUCAUUUGUCCAUCAGCUCCACUAAGCUGAUUCCACAGCCACCAACCAGGAGGCAACACUUGGCUUUCAAAGAGCCCUCCAGCUAGCAAGUGAGUUGCAAAAAAUGAAAGAAAAAAAAGGUGCCCCAAAUGGGGGUCUACAAAUAUACCCCUUUUCGGUAGAGCUCACGAGUGUAAGGAAUAUGAACACUGAAGUGAAAAAUAAGUGUGAAUAAUGAGUGCAAUGAAGUGAACUCUACCGAAGAACCAAGGAGACCCCCUAUAGGGACACUAGUGAAACACAAACUCACUCAGGCUAGCAGAUGAACACAAAGGCUCUAAUCCUAAAAGAGAAGGAUGUCACAAAAUGCCUCUGAAGCCACACUAAGGAUCCAGGCUCCCUUUAAGACGUCUCCAAAAGUGACUCGAAGAUCGAUGUCAAAGAUGAAUAAAGGUCGGACCACCCUGGAGUACGAACAAGAAUGCGUCUAAAGGAGAUUGCCCUAGGCGGACUAUGAGAUGAAUAUGCGAUAAAGCACAGGGUAAUGAAGUGAGGAAAAAUCGAGGAAGAAUGCAAAACCAUGAAGGUAAGAUGCGCAAUGCCAGUGAAUAGGAAUGCUAGGAGCUGCGACUCUGAAUGACAAGACUGACUCUAAAAGCCAAACUAGAAAAUAAAGCUCUGGAAGCCAAACAAAAAAGCUAACUCUAAACUGCUAAACUGAGAAAAUAACGGCUCUGGAAGCCAAACCAAAAAACUAACUCUAAACGCUAAAUUAGAAAAUAAUAGCUUUGGAAGCCAAACCAAAAAAAACUAACUCUAAAUGCUAAACUAGAAGGCUCAUAGGUGAAGACCUACAGUGGUGAAGUAACUGAAAGCCCAAGGAUGAAAAUCCCAGGUGGUGAAAUAACCGAAAGGCCCAUAGAUACCUGAUCCAUGGUGGUGAUAAAUCUGAAAUGCCCAUAGAUGAAAAUCCAUGAUGGUGAUAAUCUGAAAUGCCCAUAGAUGAAAAUCCAUGGUGGUGAUAACUGAAACAAAGGCUCAUGAAUGAAAAUCCAUGAUGGUGAAUCUGAAAUGCCCAUAGAUGUCUGAUCUAUGGUGGUGAUAUAACCGAAACAAAGCCCAUAGAUGAAAAUCUAUGGUGGUGAAUCUGAAAGCCCAAGGAUGAAAAUCCAUGGUGGUGAAAUAAUUGAAAUAAAUGCUCAUAAAUGAAAAUCUAUGAUGGUGAAAUCUGAAAUGCCCAUAGAUGUCUGAUCUAUGGUGGUGAUAUAAUUGAAAUGCCCAUAGAUGAAAAUAUAUGGUGGUGAUAAUCUGAAAGCCCAAGGAUGAAAAUCCAUGGUGGUGAAAUGACUGAAAUGCCCAUAGAUGAAAAUCUAUGGUGGUGAUAAUCUGAAAUGCCCAUAGAUGAAAAUCCAUGGUGGUGAUAACUGAAACAAAGGCUCAUGGAUGAAAAUCCAUGAUGGUGAAUCUGAAAUGCCCAUAGAUGUCUGAUCUAUGGUGGUGAUAUAACCGAAACAAAGCCCAUAAAUGUCCGAUCUAUGGUGGUGAAAAACCGAAACAAAGGGGGAUGCCCUAAACAAACUGAAGGUAGGGGGAUGCCCUAAACAAACUGAAAAUAGGGGGAUGCCCUAAACAGCUGAAAAUAGGGGGAUGCCCUAAACAAACUGACUCUGAAUUAGGAGACUGACCCCAAACACCAAACUGAGAAGAUAAUAGCUCUGGAAGCCAAACCAAAAAGCUAACUCUAAAUGCUAAACUGAGAAAAUAAUAGUUCUGGAAGCCAAACCAAAAAAAACUAACUCUAAAUACUAAACUAGAAGAACAAGGGAUCUGGAAUCCAAACCAAUAAAACUAACUCUAAAAGCUAAACUAGAAAGUAACAGCUCUGGAAGCCUAAACAAGACGACAGUAAUGGCUCUGGAAGCCUAAACAAGAUGACGGUAAUGGCUCUGGAAGCCUAAACAAGAUGACAGUAACGACUUUAGAAGCCUAAACAAGAUGACAAAAGGGGGAUGCCCUAGACAAGUUGACAGAAGGGGGAUGCCCUAAACAAGGUGAUAGAAGAGGGGUGCCCUAAACAAGAUGACAGAAGGGGGAUGCCCUAAACAAGAUGACAUAAGGGGGAUGCCCUAAACAAGAUGACAUAAGGGGGAUGCCCUAAACAAGAUGACAAAAAGGGGGACGCCCUAGACAAGAUGACAGAAGGGGGAUGCCCUAAACAAGAUGACAAAAAGGGGGAUGCCUUAGACAAGAUGACAGAAGGGGGAUGCCCUAAACAAGAUGACACAAGGGGGAUGCCCUAGACAAGAUGACAGAAGGGGGAUGCCCUAGACAAGAUGAUAGAAGGGGGAUCCCCUAAACAAGAUGACAAAAAGGGGGAUCCCUAGACAAGAUGACAGAAGGGGGAUGCCCUAGACAAGAUGACAGAAGGAGGAUGCCCUAAACAAGAUGACAGAAGGGGGAUGCCCUAGACAAGAUGACAGAAGGGGGAUGCCCUAGACAAGAUGACAAAAGGGGGAUGCCCUAGACAAGAUGACAGAAGGGGGAUGCCCUAGACAAGAUGACAGAAGGGGGAUGCCCUAAACAAGAUGACAGAAGGGGGAUGCCCUAGAUAAGAUGACAGUAGGGGAAUGCCCUAAGUGAUAACUCGUAAAGAUCGAAAAAUGGGUCCGACAACCAUGAAAUUAACACGAGACACGGUAAACCCAAAGAGAGGGGGUAUGCCCUAGUAGAAAAGCGCUAAAGGGGGUAUGCCCCAGUGUGACGACUCGCAAAGAUCAAGAAAUAGAUCAAGCAGUGAGAAAAACCGCAAAAGAUCUGAUGAACUCAAGGAUGGGGAGUAUGCCCCAGUAUGAUGACCCAUGAAGAUCAAGAAGUAGAUCGAGUAGUGAGAGAAUCUGCAAAAGAUCUGAUGAACUCAAGGAUGGGAGUAUGCCCCAGUGUAAGAUAGUAACCAACGUAAGACACGGAAUCUCACCAUACAAGACACUCCGGGAUAUGCUCAACGAUGAUGCAAUGAACAAGAUAUACAGAGCCUCAAUGAACAAAUGCUAAAACAAGUCCAAGCAUCACCAAAACUAUGCUGACAAAGCAAAACCAAAAUAAUGGAUCACACAAACGCUAACCAAAACUCUAAGUCUGAAAUGUAAGCAAAUCAAGACACGACAUAUCAACUAUCAACAUGAGAAUAUCAUCCCAAAUGUAUCAACAAUCUAAUAGACCCUACCAUCACGGAAGAUGUUGAACCUAAUGUCCAAAGGCAUGUGAAAACUCAACCAGAAAGCUCGAGACUAGUCUGUAUCUUCCUCUGAUCAAGAGAAAUGGGAUAAGGUCAUGUAAGACGAUGAAAUAUGUGGGCUCAAAAGAUGUAAGGCUCUGAUAAGAUGGGUGCAGGUAUAACAGUGUCCAAUGUAGGAUGUAUAGGUGUGUAACAAAGGAAAGUAGGUACCCAAAUCAAACUAGGUAUGCUGAGGAGACUGAGCCCAGGGUGUCAAUGACUCUAUGAUCCAUCGAAAACAACAAUCAUAAAUAGGAGGUGGAAUAUCAAUGUCAAAAUCAACAAGGUAGGUAUGCCCCAGUGUGAAUGCAUCAUCUCGAAAUGGAUAAGCUCUCGGUACAAGAUAAUCUCUAGAAAGUAAGCGUCUGGUAUAAACUGUCAUCUCACAAAAUCAUCAUCAAGACGAGUGGGCUAUGCCCCAGUGUAAGCAUCUCCAAAACAAACCUCCAUGAGAAUAGUACAACCAAUCAUACAUCAUCUGAUCGAAAUGAAUCUCUGCUCCUCAAAGUCAUCGUGGUAAUGUGAAGAGAGUAUCUGACCUCCUCUAAAGAAAGAGCAUGUCCUAAUGUGACCUGAUACCUCCAAGAUCAACCACCAAUGAAAGGGUUAUGCCCCAGUAUAGGGCAAACCCUAAAAUGACUAAACUCCGCUGCAUGCUCUCACAUGAAAGGGUUAUGCCCCAGUAUAGGGCAAACCCUGAAAUGACUAAACUCCGUUGCAUGCUCUCAUAAGUGCCCGUGCCAUGAUCCAGUCAUCUCAAAAAAUAUGUCAACCAUGAUGAGAAGGCUAUGCUCCUGUGAUCACAUCAAAGAAAUCACCCAAUCAUAUCUGGUACUCCAAAGUGAAAGGAAUCUAAACACCUCCAAGGAACAACUAUACCUAAAAAACUAUCAUCGACCGAAAGGGGUAUGCUCCUGUGUAAAGUACACCAUAUGAAAUACGCCAAUCAUGUCUCAUGCUCCAAUGUGAAAAAGGACAUCUGAUAUCCUCCAAGGAAUGGACAUGGCUCGAAAAAAUCCGUCAUCGACUGAGAAGAGUAUGCCUCGACAUAAUGGUCAUCCGAUAGAAAAACUCUCUGAGAUGGCUAUGCCCCAGUGUAGGGUCAUACCAUAACUCCUGGUCCAUCACAAACAAAAUGCUCCCGAAUCAAUCCCAAGUAUCGCUCACAUAAGAGCUAUCAAACACAACGUGUGAUGUCAUGGCCUCAGGGUGGUCUUAAGACACGGGACGUAACGUAGGUUAGGGUGAUAGGGUGAUAGAAAUGAAGAGAAACUAGGCCCAAAUACCCAAUGAUCAAAACCCAUGCCCUCAUGUAUAAAAUGCAACAUAUAUAGAAAAUAUCGUGAGCCAUGGACUUGAAGAUGCCUAGUGUGAACAUGGUAACAAUGAUGAUGCAAUGAAAAAAAAAAAAAAACCUAACUGAUGACGAGAUGUAUAAUGAUGGUGCGAAGAGAGCACCAAACCCAAAAAUGAGGUCACUAUAAGAACGGAAUAAGAGGUGAAAUAAAAAUGAUGAAUCAGAAGUGAAAACGAGGAUGAUGAUGAAGCAUAAAAUACAAGAACAAGUGAUGAUCUGCUCAAAUCAAAUAUGAAAGGAGGUCACGUCAAUAAUGAACACAAUGAUGGAAUGGACAAUGACCUAGAGUUCCUAAGAGAAGGCCACUCAUCUCGCUCUCAAAACAUACAACAAAAUGAAUACGAAGAAUGAAAGGUCCCGGGGAGCUCACAUACGAACUCUCAUCAAUAGACAUAUCCAACAAAGCGACCCUCGAACACUAACAUACACAUACUCAAUGAUAUAGAAUAAUACACACGUGUGCCUUUUUUUUUUUUUCAAUUUUUUUUUAUUACAUAUAUACAAAUAUACAUGCUCUGAACGCAAACAAAGAAAGACCUAAAGACGGGAUCAAAAAUGAAUAAACAUGCUCUCAAAUAUCAAUAUAUCACAAACUCUCUCUAAUGAUGUGACCCUCUCAAGCCAAGGAUCCCUGGAUCAACGUCCGUAGGAUAGAUAGUGGAAAAUGACAUGACUACCCUCCAUGUAAUGAACUGAGGAUGAUCACCACUCGGGGUGGGAGAAGAUGAAGCGGAACAAACGAUAGAUAUAAUAAAGAAGAGGAUGAAGAACCAACGAGAUGUGACGAAAUGCAAUGACGCAAUGAUAGGAAAAGAUAAUGAGAAAGAUGUGUCCCUCGGUCCAAGGCUCAUGAAACUCUUAAACAAUGCAUGCAUACACUGAAGGGCCCCUAUCCCGGUGUAGAAGGUGAGCAAGGCUAUAAGAAAUAAAAGGCUAUGAUGCUCAUGCGAAGCUCAAAGGGCUAGCAAUGGUCUAGAUGUCAAUGUAGGUAAUAGGGUGUGAGCUAACCGAAAUGAAGGCCACCCAUCCUGCGACCACGGUCUCAAACAUCGUGCUAUCAAGCCCUAAAAUGAUCAAUACUAAAGAUCGAUGUCCAUAUGAUAUAACCAUGUCAACCCUCUAGAAUCAUGUACCAACUGUACUCCAAAUGCUCCAUAAUAAUCUCAAAGAUGAUCAUCUCAAGGCAAAGUAAACGGUGAUCUCAUCAGGCACGACUGCUCAUCACAAGCCAACUCUCAUCAUACAAGAUCAAUCUCUAUACUCACGGAAAAUAAGUGACAGUCUCAUCAAGCAAUCGAUCAAUCCCCAUAUCGCAAACCACCUAAAGAUCAUAAGAUAUCCCUCGCCAUGCCAGAUCAACCUUGGGCUCAAACUCCUCACACUCUACCUAGUCGAAUCAGAGAAGGGAUGUGUAAAGCUAGAAAAAUCGAGGAUGGAAAGGUCAUGUAAUGGUCUCAAGGGUGGUGCUGUGCAAAGCUCAUAAUGGAUGGAUGUAGGUCAAAACAAAAGCAAGGUGUGGGAAGUGAGCAAGAUACUGCUAUGAUCAUAAGAAGAUGUGUCACAAUCUCGAACUCCCUAGGUCAAAUCUCUAAUCCUAAGCUAAUAGGCUCAAUAUCCUCCAUGAUAAGGUCAGGCCUCAAGACCACAAUGUGCAAGUGAAAAGACGCCUCGAGUAAAAAGUAUAACACAUCAUAUCACAAAACACAAAGAUAUGUCCAUAAAAGAAAAUGCAUCCAAUGAGAUAAUCCGAUGAGUACAUCAUGCAAAAGAAGGAUAACAAAGACAAUACUCAAGAAUCGAGUUAUAGUCUCUAAAAGUCAAAAGUAAAACAAGACCAAACAAACAAAAACAAAAACAGUGACUGGUCUUGUCAUCACAUCUUUGGCCACAGAGGGAACAAAAUCUAAGCGCCACCGUACCAAGGUAAGCCAAUCAUGAGUCAAUCGCCCAAGUCAAUAAGAUCACGGACUACUGGUGAAAGGGCGUCUGCAUGCAUGGCCUGAACUGAGGUAGGAAUAGGGAACAUAUCGGACUAAGGAUGCUAAACGUCCCAAUGGCAUGUCGUAGAGCAGUGCAACGAUCAGUGUGAUGUCCUACUUAUUGAUGGUACAUACAAUAUAAAUCAAGUCGAAACUGUGGAGGCACAGGAUCUGGAAGUGCCCUAGGAGCCAGAGGAGCCAAAAGUCCCAUGGCCUGGAACGUCUCAAAAACUCUGCUAAGGGGUGCGCUCAAAUCUGAAAAGUGUCUCCGACAUCGUCGAUGGGGGUGAAAUCGCUCCUGAGGAACUGCAACGAUCGGAGGGCCCCGAAGCCGGGAUGGAGGUCGCGCCAACGUAGCUAAUGAAAUGAAUGAGGAAUGCUGCUGGAGUGGGCGAGGUCGUGGAUGCGAGGCACCCAAAGUAACAAGUGUCGGUGAAGUCAAGUGUGGCAAUGAAGGCAUCGCUACUCCUGGAGCUCUUCUCGAUGACGAUGGAUGCUUCGACAAAAUAAGCUCAAUUCUCUCAACCCUUCGUGUCAAGUCCACCAUCAUCUCGUAAAGAGUAGUAAGAGUAAUGGGUGCGAUCUUGUCUGACAUGGCGAACCUCAACCGAAGAAGUCUAAUCUCAAUAUACUCUGAAAAUAUCNNNNNNNNNNNNNNNNNNNNNNNNNNNNNNNNNNNNNNNNNNNNNNNNNNNNNNNNNNNNNNNNNNNNNNNNNNNNNNNNNNNNNNNNNNNNNNNNNNNNAGUCACGACACUAAAAUUGUCCAAGACUCUAAGACAAACACAUGCAAGAGACAAAAACAAAGCAAUACAAAAUGCUACCCAAGAUAACAACACAUAAAAUGCAUGAUACGAAACAAUAAUGAUAAUAAAAAGAAGACAGAAACACAUACCCAAGAAAACAACAAUAUCACUAACUGAAAUGAGAGUACAUCAUGCAAAAUAAUAAGACAAUAAGGGUCUACUCUCGAAGCACAAGGUGCGAACUCAAAACACUAACUAUAAAACAAGACUCAAAUACAAAGAAAAAGAGAACAAAAACCCAAACGACCAACUAACAAAGUAGUCCCAAAAUACACCAACAAAGUCUGCAAUAUCAAAGUGUCCUGUGAAUAUCAGUGCCCUAGGUGUCUCAAACUGUGAUGGUAUAAGCCCGAAGGAGGAGGAACCGCAUGCGUGGAAUAAACUGAAAAGGAAUCAGCAGUCAUAUCUGGACCAAGAUCAGUGUCUGUAGUCGAUAUAGGAAAGCUAGUUGCACCACUGUCAAUAAGAUCAUGUAUGGUAUGACGUAGAGAAACACAAUAAUCAGUAUGGUGGCCUGCCAUCUGGUGAUAUGCACAGAACUCAUGAGCACAAAAACGCAAAGGUAAGGUACUCGGGGGUGGUCUAGGGGCCAAUGGUACUAAAAAACCAGUAGAUCUGAGUUGCUCAAAAGCUCUAUCCAAAGGCAUCCCCAAAUCAGAAUAAGUCCUCUGAUGUCGUCGAUGGGGACGAGACUGCUCAUGUCGUGGGAUACUAGUAUGUGGACGUUGAAACUGAAAUGAAGGUCGCACCGUGACAGUAUGAGGAUGCACAGAAGGGUACUGCUGAACUGAAUGAGGAUGAUGAUGUUGUAAAGGCGGGAAAUCACUCCUGGGUAUCUGCAAUGAUCUCGCAUAGGGAUGAUAACUAGGUCGUCGAUACUGAAAGUCCGCAGAACAUACGCCUCCAUAGCUCUCAAAUGAUCCACCAACCCCUUUCCCUUCAAUAUCCGGAGAAGGAAUAAUAUCUGACCAUAAUCCUCUAGAUAUGCCAUCAUCUACAUCAAACAAAGCCUGAACCAAUGAUCUGAAAUCCUGGAAUGGGACUCAUGUCAGAUGUCGAGCGAACCUAGGAUGCAAACUCCUCAAAAACAUGCUCAUCUGAUCUCUCUCGGUAGGUCACUCAAUCAUCUCCGCAGCCUUCUCCCUCCAGCGGGAGAUAAAAGAAGAAACAGACUCAUCUGAUCCCUGUCUAAGAAGCUCAAGCUCUCUACAUGUAAUGCUCGUAUCACCACUGAAUGAAUACUGUCUCAAAAACUCCUGUGCUAAGCCCUUCCAAGUUCUCCGACGAGAUGACUCUAAUGAAGCGUACCAUCUCUGUGUCACGCCGCUCAAUGACAAUGGGAACCAAGUGAGCAACUGUGCCUCAUCUAGACCAAGAGCUCUCAUAACUGUGCUAUAAAGUCUGAGAUGAAUACGAGAACAUCCAACACCUAUAUAUCUCUCUAUAUCCGGCAUCCUAAAACGGACUGGCAAAGUGGCCACUGGCACAGUGCCAAGGUCAUCCCACGGAAUCAUCUCAUCAGGAUCUCUCAUUUGUCCAAUCCUCCGCUCGAGUCUGUCCAUACGAGAACGAGGAUCCUCAACAAUGGUAACUGGUGUGACAAUAGGUGGAACGACAGCAGCCCGAUCAUGUGAAAUAGUAUGCAAAGUCUGUGUAGCUGGCAUCUGAACGGGUAUAACAGGUGGCAUCACUAUAUCAGAUGGCGUGUCCUCGAGCACUACAUGCCUACUCUGCUGAGUAUCCAUUCUCUAACUCAAACUGGCCAAUGCCUCCUGAAUCGAAACCACAGAAGCAAUAAGUUAACCAAUCGAAACUGACUAUGAAUCCGUCUAUAGCAGCUCAGAGAUACGAAUCAACCUCUAUCCCACUCAACCCAGGGCACUGAACCAAGACUGGGACUACAAACAGACCCUUACAAAAGAACUCGAACAAAACGACUCAAACACAACUCAUGCAACGACACGAGAUGUAACGAACAAUGACCAAUGCAUGAUACAAUACAAUCCACUACAUGAUAGGGUGCGAUACACAAUCAUAUGGUGACAAUCAAAAUUUGGAUAUACGAUAGAAUCUCUAAAGUCACAUGAGUAUCUGGUGUGAGACAACUACAAAUACAACUAAAGAAUUUCUAUCGAUGAUCCAAAAAAUGAUCGAGGUGUGAAGAAAGUAAAUGGGGUGUGAAGAACACUAUCACGAGAUCGAUACUCAAUCUAUAACAAAAUAUUUUGGAUUGAACCUUCAACUCGAGCUCCAUAAGAAAAAAAAAAUGAUAAGAUGAUCAAGGCGAAUCUCUCAAAAAAUGUGUGAAUAUGAAAAUAUGCCUUUCACCUUUCUGUAAUGAAAAUAUGAGCAUCGAGUUGAAAGUCGAACUAAUGAUCAAACAAAUGAUGAGGUACUGAGCUCGUGAUAGGUGUAUAGUGUAAAAAGAUGAUCAAUGAACAUAUCCCAAAGUAUCGAGCGAGUGAAAACAAAGUGAAGGGGUGUGUUGAGCCAAUAAAUGAGAACAAAAAACCCUAGGGAGAAAAUAUGCUAAACUCAUCGAGUGAAAAACACGAACUAAGGUGACAAGACGAAAGGUGACUCAACCGAUACUCAAACUCAUACCAAUUUCCGAGCACUCUCAACUGGAGACUAAAAUGAGGGAAUACUGGAUCCGAACUGUAACUAAAGAGGCUCUAAAGGCCCUCAGAUGCACCCACGUGUAGGGAGGGAGUCCUAAUAGAAGGAUCUACGGCUCAACCUACGAGGUCAUGGUGGCUCUAAAUAGAUAUGGGUGGACUUUAAAAGAUCCCUAGUAGAAGCGAUCAUACCCUCCGGCGGUACACAACCCUCUGCACGCCUCCGAAGAGACGGGGCGCUUCCAUGCAAGGUGGUCAUCACUUCCACACAUGCACUACCUCGCAUCCCAGGGGGCUCCUAUAGUGAAAGCUCUCACACUCUCAACACUCAAUAGUCAACUAAAGUGCACAGUGAAUGAUGUGGGUGCAUCCGAAAACCCUAAGAAGCUAAAACAGGAGAAAAAAACACACUGGUCGCACAAAUAUCCAUAAAACCUAGCUCGGGGCUAUACAUGUCUUCAAUGAUCGGACUCCAAUCGACAACAAUGUGCCGCUCUGCUCCAGAAUGCUCCCAAACAUCGGUAUAGCUCGUUGCUAGACCCUACUCCUAACAUCUGGCUCGAUCAGAGAAUCAAGCACACACAAGGCCUCACACUUGCAAAAGUGAUAGCCGAAAUGAAGAAAAUGACCGAAAACCAGAGGGUUGGAGGUAAGGGGAUAGAUGUGCGGCCCACACGGACAGACAUCAUGCAAUCACACAAAGGAAGGGUAGUCAUACACCAUACAGUCAAGCAGAGUACAGGUAUAUCACUCAAGUCCACACAAACUAUGACGAUCAAGACAAAUAGUGAUACAAACAUCAUGCUCAAAAGACGAUCAAGGCAAUAUGCAAGCUAGAGAAUCAACAUAUCAAGUCAAAUGAUAUACACCAGUGAAUCCAUGCAUGUGAGGUUAACAGAACAAUCAUGGCAAAAUCAGAAUGACUAUGCUAAGCAAGGCAAAAUGAUCAAUCAAUAUAAUCAGCAUGUCAAUGUACUCAACAAACAUGGCAAUGAAGCACAGAAAAAAGUAUAAUCCUCAAUCAAGAUAAUCAAUCUCAUAAUCAGCAUGUUAAAUGUCUCAUACAAAUAUAUCAAUGAAGCAUGAAGAAACUGGCUAUAUUAGAAUCCCCAAUCAAAAUAAUCAACCAACAUGAUCAACAUGUCAAUGUCCCAAGUGAAAACUCGGGAAUUUUCAAUGUGCAAUCAAGAGAUGAGUACCCACUGAUUGACUCACCAAAUGCCACAUUUGCUUCACUUUAAGUUCAAGCUUGACCCUCUAAACGAUCCCCAGUGGAGUCGCCAUUUUGUGGACCCCGCAUUUCGGCUCAUGCGUUUCCCACUCGAUGGCGAGCUCGAUUUUUAUUUGAAAAAAUGAUUUUAUUUAUUCAAAAAUGACUUGGAGUCGCCACUUAUUUUUGUUUUUUAAAAGGGUAAACAAAAUAAGAAAGAAAACCCUAAGUGCGACUCCUUAUUUUGGAAAAGGUGAUCUACGAAAAAACCGGAUCGGAUUCGGGGGUCAGGUUACUUAUAGGGAAGGUACGGUAAAAACCGUAGCACCCCUCUAAGUCCCUAAGGUCGGGUCUCUACUAAUGAGAUGAAGCUGACAUAACAAUCAAUGUGAAAUCAAUGAAUACUCGAAUCAAUCAUACACAUAUGAGUAUCAGAAUAUGCAUAGAGAAUAACCAAAGUGGAAGUGGAUGCGUACCUGAUCAGCAAACGGCAACGCGCUAUCACAAAAGGGGGUUGGUGCAUGGUAAUGAACAUAAAACAUGUCACUCAUAUCACCAAAUAGGAAGAAACACCAAUAGCACGCAUGUCGACAUUUCAUUCAAAUUCCUUUUUAUUUUGAAGAAAAUUUAUUUGAUGUCGGGCCCCCACCAAAGCCCAUUUAUUUUUACAUGAAUUAAUUCCAUAAAUUCCAUUAUUCGGAAUUACGGAAUUUAAUUCAUACUUAUUUUAAAACAUUUUAAAACAAAAGAGAUGUUGAAAUUGUUUGCCAGAAGGAAAGAUGGCAACCAAGUUUAUUAAAAAUGAGAUUCUUGGGUGAUCCUAAAAAUCCUAAGGAUGAAAUAUGAGAAAAUUGGGAUUAUUAGAAAAUCAGAAUUUUGAUAAAGAUAUUUACAAAAUGGGAUUUGAGAAAACAUUUUCAAAAUCAAAUGAAAAAAAAUCCAAGAAUGUCACAUGGCCCAAAGGUGGCCCAUACUAAAGAUGGCCAAUGCAUAGCCUGGUAGGAAUAGGGUCCAGUUGACUUGUGCAUGCUGGGGCUGUUGAUAGACACUGCCUGUAGGUCCCACUAUAUCAACAAUACCGGCCAUUGUCUGAGAUUGAUGCAGAAGUGGAUGAAUAGUUGCUGUCACUACUCAUGCAGGAUGAUGGAUACCCAAAACAGUAGUAACAUCGAGCUUCUCUGUGGUCACGGGUUGUAAUUUCACCUUGUUCAUGCUUCUUUCCCAUCUCUUGGCAACCUCGGCUUUCUAGAAAAUCUGGCAUGUGUCUUUCAGCAGUUACAUGAGCAUCGAUGCACUGAAUGAACUUCUAAGUUGCCCUUGCUGGUUCAAGCACAAUAAAGGGAGCAUCCCAAGGAUGAUGGAUUCACUCAGUGACCCACCUGUAAGUAACAAUUCUAAGGGUGUUUCACGACCCUGUGCAGGAAAUAUUUUGCUCCAUAUAUCAACGUUUAUCCCAUCCGCGACAUGAUCACUUCUCCCUUCCACACCAUCUCUAUAUUUCUAGAAGAAACUCCAUGAUCAGGUAACUCAAUAAAAUCCCCAGUGCUAGAUAUUUACAAAACGAGUAAUAAGCGUAGCACCUGCAUGAAGCCCAGGAUUUUUACCAUCCUUGUCAUCUACUGCCACUUGGAACUUUGACCUCUGAUUUUGAGCCUUGGUUAUCGGUUCUGUUUCUUUAUCAACCCCAACUUCAGAAUCAGGUCCAGAGAUUUCACAAUUCUCUUCGCGUGAUUGCAUGGCUACAUAAUCUCUGAGAAGCAGAGAUCUAAAGAGUGCAUCAGCGGAUUAUAAAGUCCGAGGGAUUCAAUGGCGACGAAAGGGAUAGAUUCUCAGAGGUAAUGAUUGCGUCUGUCAUAGUGAACCUUCAUUGCAUAGCAUUGAAUUAGAGAGGAAAUAUUCAUGGCUGCAAGGAUGAGUUAUCACCGUGCUUCCCCUUUAGUGGCGGGGUCCAGUAAGGAUGUUUUAAUAUCCACUACGCCUUGGGAAUUCUGGCAGACUCACUUACAGGAACAACAUCAUGAAAAGUACCCUUGCUUAUUUUAGUAUCCUCAAAGACGAGAACAUAAUCACCACUUUCUAUUCACUUUUGUAGCUGAUGGAGAACUUUGGACACCACGCAUUCAUGCAUAAGUAGCUUGACGAGUUCUUCCCACUGCACUAGCAAAGAAAGCAAAGCUCCAUGGCCAAAGACAAAAUCACUACAUCUAGGGGGGAAUCACUAGCAAUAUAUCUUAGGGUCCACACGGCCUGCUCGCAAACAUCAUCACUUGGAGAACCAGGAAGUUUCGCAAACAUCGGAACGGCCCCAUGAUCGAUUGCCAUUUUGAAAUGCAUAAUAGAAAGAAGAAUGCCCUGCUCGCAUCUCGCUCCAAACAGUCUAACACAAACUAACCCCUUCCACUGAGGGUUCUUUGCCUCAAGUCACCUUCUUCAUCCUUACACCCACAUGGCGUACACGUGAUUUUCCUCAACCCUGUUCAUACUCUCUUCUUUUCUUUGGUAAGCUUCUUCUUCAAACUUUCAGAGUCUUCUCAAAAACACCCAGUCCGGACAAUCAAACUCAAACAAACUACCCACACUAAAAGAAAUAGAAAACAGAGGGUAGAGAAUGAAGAAGGAAAACAGAACAAGAAUGGAUGGAUUAAGGAAUUACUAAGCAACAUCUCGUUUCAUGAAUGAUGAACGAGUGGCUAGCUGGUGGGAUGAGUUAAAAAUCCACAAUAUAAUCAUCAGAACAUCUAAACCAAACUCAAUGAGGAUCCAAUCAUUUUCAGAAGAAAAGAAAAUCAAGCACAGGAGAGAGAUGAAGCAGAGCAUCAUACAUGAAUAAGCAUAUUCAAUCGAAACAAAUCCCGUGGCCCUUGACGUCCACGGCAAACAAUCCAAACUUUGCUCGUAAAUCAGUAGAGAAUGCGACAGUAUAUUAAGAAACAAGAACAUACCUAGCUUGAGGGUUGUCUGAGAAUUCCACGGGCAAUCUUCUUCAACCACUCCUUCUGGCCAUGGAGUACCACCUUAACUCUCAGCAAGAUCACUCUCUCUCAUCUCCAAGCCUUCCAGCUAAGAAUCUCUCACUUCCUCAAUGGAAAAAUGGCUCCCUCUUAGCAAUGGAUCUCCCCCUCUCUUCUAAAAAUAUCUCUAACGGCAGCCCAGACCACCUCUGAAAGGCACACCCCCCUCUAACUCUCUCACCAGUAGCUUAGAAAUCACCUCUCAGCAGCCUUCUCUCUCUGGUUUUCUCUCUGAGCUCCGCUCAAUCUCUAGCUAAGCAAUGCCCUCAAAAAUAUCUCUCUCCCCCUGCCUCUAAAAUCUCUCAGACCAGCAUGAAAAACCUCUCCACUUACAAGAGACGACGCUCCCCCUUUCUGCCAGAAAACAGCAACCAAAAGCACCACCUCCUCUAAGCUCUCUGGUUCUCCUACUCUCUGCCAGAAAACUCCAACCAAAAGCCCACUCGGACCACUCUCUCUCACAGUUUCCCUUUCCUCUCGCUGAACGAAUCCCUUUAUACCUGCAGCUGGCCUGCUACUCCUCAACAGAAACGCACUCCUCUAAUAACAGACUCUGAAUCCCCUGCAUAUCCUCCAAUAGCUGUUGCUUUCUCAUUUGUCCAUCAGCUCCACUAAGCUGAUUCCACAGCCACCAACCAGGAGGCAACACUUGGCUUUCAAAGAGCCCUCUAGCUGGCAAGUGAGCUGCAAAAAAUGAAAGAAAAAAAAGGUGCCCCAAAUGGGGGUCUACACAUAGGCUCUGAGAAAGUGGCCUCAAAAUGAAUACCCUCUAACUGAGUUUGAGGAGGAAUGUCAAGCUUGGGCCUUCUCUGUUCAAAAUCCCUUUGAGGGUCUAACCCACCCUCCAUCUCUCUGAUCUCAACCUCCUCCUCUACUCUGGGAUGCAUUUGUCCCUGUCCACGGGCCUGUGCUGGAGGUCGCUCAACUCUCCUAUUCUAGGAGCCAUCAAGGGCCUUCUUGAACUUCAUCCGCCCCAAGGACUGCUCAUCGUAAGUGUCAUAACUAGUAGGGGCCUCGAAGUCCGUCUCUCUACUCAAAUCGACCCCGGCAUCCUUGAAUACUUGAGUAAGGAAGCGGUCAUAGGGGAGUACUUGGGUCGUGCUCUCAUAGCAAGAUAUCAUAUGCAUCAUCAUCAGAAACCCCACAUAAAUUCGUCUCCCCGUUAGAAUCGAGUCCACAAUGAAUGCCUCAAGGUAGAAGACCUCGUCUCGAUGUCCGCCUUGUGGCAAUAAGAUGGAGCAGAUCAUGUGAUGAAGGACUCGGCUAGUCAUGGUCAGGUUGUGUGCCAAUGGUUUGCCCAUCCCUUGGGUGUCUGCAAGUCCGCACAACCUCUGAAUAGCCUCUCUAGGCUCGAAACCCGGCACAGUGGGCCAAACCUUGGACUCAUACACCCGGAGUCCAACUGAAGGAAUGUCGAAAAUGCGGCAAACGCUCUUCGGGCUCAGUUUGAUCUCAACACCUCUAACAGUGGACAUGACCGGUCCUCCAAGUCCAUAGGUCACCCGUGAAUAAAAUGCACGCACUAGAGUCGGGAAGAUCGGCUCGAAAAUCAUCACAACUAGCAGCCAUCCCAUCCGACUAAAGAGUCUCUCAAACCUAAAGUACUGAAGUUGGGAAAAAUUGAUACUUCUCCCUAGAAUGACUUUUCUCUAGGCGAAUUUUUGGUUGUAUCUUUGAUAUUCUUCGACGGAAUUGAAGAGGGUCGUGUCAUACCUCGCCUUUCGGCGAGCCUCUGUCUGCUCAGGCUGAGAUGGCUCAGCAGGGCACUUGCCCUCAACCCUAGAGGCAGCCAUCUCUCUCCUAGGCGCCAUCCGAAUGGCGGAAAAGGAAUAAAUAAAGUCUGAAGAGAGAAUGAACCCAAACAAGAGAGAAUGAAAUCCAACCAGAAGCCCUAAACGCACGGAGAUGGAGCUGAACCUGGCUGAGGCACACGGUUAGAGAGGAAUCACUCCCAAAACGAAUUCCUAGGUCUCAGAUCGAAACCCUAGCCUCAAAAAUGUCCCAAAAUCAACUCCAAGGCCUGCAAACGGUUCAAGAUCUUGCCCAAACUGAUCUUUGGAAGCAGGAAUGUGAAGAGUCUUAAGGAAUGGAGGAGAAUAGUGGAGAAAAUGAAGCGCAGGAGCCUCUUUAAAUCCCCAGCCCCGACGAACCGGUCGACCGGUUCAUGAACCGAUCGACCGCUUGGUCAACGAUCAACGAUCAAUGGUCAAUGCUCCAAUUUUUUGCUUUUUCUUGUCUCGUGAUCCUUCUCCUGCCAUUUUCUGUUGAAAUCCCCAAUUUUUUAUAUCCAAUGCUAAGGGAAUUUUGAUUUUUGGUCAAAAUUUGACCUUUUUCCUAAGAGUAUUUCUAUAUGAUGCAUAUGAUAUGAAAUUCAUACAAUCAUAGGGUAUAUUCAACAAAAAUUCAUCAGACAAUCAUUUGAUCAUAAAGAAAUCACCCCUAGUUGUCUUCUAAUAUCAACAAAUUGCUCUUCACUUAGAGGAUUUGUAAAAAUAUCGACAAGUUGAUUUUUUGUGCUUACAAAUUCAAGUGUAAUGUCACCUUUUUGUGCAUGGUCUCUAAGAAAAUGGUGUCUAAUCUCUAUAUGCUUAGUCUUAGAGUGUUGCACAGGAUUUUUUGAAAUGCUUAUGGCACUAGUGUUAUCACAUUUAAUAGGAACGUGCUCAAAAAAAAAAAAUUGAAAUCACUAAGUGUUUGUUUCAUCCAAAGGAUUUGUGCACAACACAAACCGGCUGCUAUGUAUUCGGUUUCCGCCGUUGACAAGGCUACCGAAUUUUACUUCUUACUAUGCCAUGAAACAAAUGAGUGUCCUAGGAAAUGACAAGUGUCACUAGUGCUUUUCCUUUAAACUUUACAACCGGCAAAGUCGGCAUCUGAGAAUCCAAUUAAUUCAAAGUUAUCACCUUUAGGAUACCAUAGGCCUAUGUCCAUUGUCCCUUUCAAAUAUCUAAAAAUUCGUUUUACGGCACUUAAGUGAGAUUCUUUAGGACAAGAUUGAAAUCUAGCACACAAGCAUACACUAUACAUGAUGUCGGGUCUACUAGCGGUCAAAUAUAGCAAAAAACCUAUCAUGCCUCUAUACAUAGUUGAAUUGAUGGACUUACCUUUCUCAUCCUUGCCAAGCUUGAUCGAUGAGCUCAUUGGAGUCUUCAUUGUUUUAGCUUCUUCCAUGUUAAACCUUUUGAGAAGAUCUCUUAUAUACUUUGCGUGAUUGAUGAAGGUUCCUUCCUUUAGUUGCUUGAUUUGAAGUCCAAGGAAAAAGUUAAGUUCUCCCAUCAUGCUCAUUUCGAACUCACUAUGCAUGCAUUUAGAAAAUUCUUCAAGACCUUCGAUGUAGUGAUGAAAUUGUGAUACAUAAGAAAUCCUAUUUGUUUUUAUUAGUAGCUCCAAAAUAGAUAUCAUCAACGUAUAUUUGCAUUAAGAGCAUGUCAUUUUCUUUGGCUUUUAUGAAAAGAGUUGUGUCAAUUUUCCCAUUUUAAAACCCUUUUUCAAAAGAAAUUUACUCAAUCUUUCAUACUACGCUCUAAGUGCUUGUUUCAAACCAUAAAGUGCCUUUUUAAGUUUAAAAACAUGAUUAGGAAAGUUAAAACUUUGAAAACCGGGUGGUUGUUCAACAUAUACUUCUUCAUUUAUAAAGCCAUUUAAGAAAGCACUUUUCACAUCCAUUUGGUAUAAAACAAAGUCUUUAAAACAUGUAAAGACAAGUAGCAUCCUAAUGGCUUACAAUCUAGCUAUAGGAGCAAAGGUUUCUUCAUAAUCUAUCACUUCUUCUUUAUUAAAACCUUGGGCUACCAAUCUUACUUUAUUCCUUAUAAUUAUGCCAUUUUCAUCCAUUUUAUUUCUAAAGACCCAUCUAGUUCCAAUAACACUUUGAUUUUGAGGUCUUGGCACCAAUUCCCACACUUCACUUCUUUCAAAUUGGUUUAACUCUUCUUGCAUAGCAAUCAUCCAAUUUUCAUCAACUAGAGCAUCAUUUAUAUUUUUAGGCUCAAUUUGAGAGAUAAAAGCAAGAUUAUUGCAAAUAUUUAUAAGAAAUUAUCUAAUUCUUACCCUACUAGACGAAUUACCUAUAAUUUGAUCUUGUGGGUGGUUGAUGACAAACUUCCAAUCUUUAGGAAGGUCUUGGCUUGAUUCACCUUGAAUUUGUUGAGGAGGAGGUAGUGCCAAAGGUGAUUCUUCUUUCUUGGGAUCCUCUACAAUUUCUUCUUGUUGCCUUCAAUUUUUAAUUUUCCCAUGGAGGUCUCCAAGCCUGAAUCAUCAUCAAAACUCUCUCUUUCUUAGAGAGAAUUGUUAGAUUCAUCAAAAAUAACAUGGAUGAACUCCUCUACAACCAUGGUUAUUUUGUUAAAAACUCUAAAGGCUUUACUUGAAGUUGAGUAACCAAGAAAAAUUCCAACAUCCAAUUUUGCAUCAAAUUUUCCAAGAUUGUCUUUGGUGUUUAAUAUACAACAUUUGCACCCAAAGAAUUUGAAAUAGCUAAUGUUGGGUUUCUUGUUUUUCCAAAGCUCAUAGGGAGUUUUCUUAAGAAUAGACAUCAAUAAAAUUCUAUUUAAAACAUAACAAGAAGUGUUAACCACUUUGGCCCAAAAAUAUUUUGAUAAAUUAUUUUCAUUUAGCAUGGUUCUAGCCAUUUCUUGAAGAGUUUUAUUUUUUCUUUCAACUACCCCAUUUUGUUGAGGAGUUCUAGGAGCUAAAAAAUUGUGGUUAAUACCAUGCACAUUGCAAUAGUCUUCAAAAUCAAUAUUUUCAAACUCUCUCCCAUGAUCACUUCUUAUACAAGUAAUUGUAAAACCUUUUUCAUUUUGAACCUUGUUGCAAAACUUUGAAAACUCAUAAAAAGCUUCAUUCUUUUGGCUUAAAAAUAAGACCCAAGUGUAUCUAGAGAAGUCAUCCACAAUAACAAAUGCAUAAGAUUUUCCUCCAAGGCUUGGUGUCUUAGAGGGACCAAAUAAACCCAUAUGCAACAAUUCAAGAGGCUUAGUUGUUGAAAUGAAAUUUUUGUUUUUAAAAGAGUUUUUGAUUUGCUUUCCCAUUUGACAAGCUUCACAAACUUUGUCUUUUUGAAAAUUUAUUUUGGAAAGGCCUUUAACAAGUUCAUCUUUGUUGAGUUGGGAAAUGAGGUCCACGUUAGCAUGCCCCAACCUCCUAUGCCACAACCAACUUUGAUCAUGCAUGCUUGAAAAUCAUCUAUCAUGGCCAUCAUAUUUUGAAAUAUUUAUAGCAUAAACAUUAUCAUAUCUAUGGCCCAUGAAGAUGGUUUUAUCAUUUUGAAUAUCUUUGAUGAUGCAAUGAGAUGCUUUAAAAAUCACUUUAAAACCUUUGUCACAAAGUUGACUUAUGCUCAAAAUAUUAUGUUUUAAAUCAUCCACUAAUAAAACACUUUCAAUAAGAAAGGAUGUGUCAUUACCAAUGUUGUCUUAACCAAUAAUCCUUCCUUUUGCAUUGUCUCCAAAGGUAACGUAUUCUCCCUUUCUCUUUGCAAGGAAGGCAAACUUGGAUUCAUCCCCGGUCAUGUGUCUUGAGCAUCUACCAUCCAAGAACUACUUAUCCUUCUUUGAACCCUCAUCAAGAUCAUCUAUUGCCAUGAAGCACAUGUUUGCCACUUCUUUCUCCUUUUCUUCUUCGGAGGAUUCUUCACUUUCACUCCAAGUGACCAUCAUUGCCUUUUUCAUUCUUCUCUUGGCUUCACUUUUGUAGAAAGGACAAUCAUAUUUGAUGUGUCCCGGUUUUUUGCAUUUGAAACACACCAAAUCUUUUUUCUCUUCCCAUUUCUCCUUGUCACCAUGAGAUGAGGAUUCCUUUUUAGAAGGGUCUUUUCUAGAGGUGAAUUUUCUUACUCUAAACCUUUCACUCCUCAUGUAUUUGUUAAGCUUUCUUGUGAUGAGGGCUAAAUCAUCACCUUCCUCACUUGGUUUUUCUUCUUCAACAUCUUCUUCUUCCUUGGUUGUAGCUUUGAGUGCUAUGCUCUUUUUUUUUUUAUCUUCACCCUCUUGUAGCUUCUUUGCCAAGUUAAUCUCAUAUGUCAUCAAUGACCCUAUGAGCUCUUUCAUAGGUAGCUUAGUCAAGUCUUUUGCUUCUUGAAUUGCGGUGACCUUGGUAUGCCACUUUGAUGGGAGAGACCUCAAUAUUUUCAUCACCUUCUCGGAUUCCUUGUAGGUUUUUCCCAAAGCUUCAAGACCAUUGACAAUGUCAAUGAACCUAGUAAUCAUCUCAACAAUAGUCUCAUUUUCUUUCAUUGAAAACAAUUCAUAGUUAUGAACAAGUAAAUUAAUUUUUGACUCUUUCACUUGAUUUGUUCCUUCAUGAGUUAUUUCAAGCAACCUCCAAAUUUCUUUAGUCGAUUUGCAUUGACAUAUUCUAUUAUAUUCAUUUCUAUCCAUAGCACAUUGCAAAGUAAAAACGACUUUAGCAUUUAAUUGAAAGUUUCUUUUAUCAAGCUCAUUCCAUUCUUGCUUGGGUUUUGGAACCAAAACUCCAUCAACUAGUUUAGUGGGAAAAGUUGGGCCAUCUUCAAUGACGUCCCAUACAUCUAAAUCAAUUGAUUGUAAGUAUCAAGUCAUUCUAGUUUUCCAUUAAGGAUAGUUGGUUCCCGUAACGAAUGGAGCUCUAUGUUUUGAAAAAAUUUCAGUUUGAGAUGAGCUUGAUGGAAUAGUCAUUUCAUCUUAGAUGAUUAAGUCUUUAAAACAAGAGGUCUAGCUUUGAUACCAAUUGAGAAAAUAAAGGUUAUGCUUAAUUAAGAAAACAACCUAAAAGGGGGGGGGGAGGGGGGGGGGNNNNNNNNNNNNNNNNNNNNNNNNNNNNNNNNNNNNNNNNNNNNNNNNNNNNNNNNNNNNNNNNNNNNNNNNNNNNNNNNNNNNNNNNNNNNNNNNNNNNGGGGGGGGGGGGGGGGGGUGAAUUGGGUUUUUUAAAAUCUUUUUAAACACAACAAGUUCAAGCACAAUAUAAACAAAAAUAAAGAGAUAGAGUUAGAGAAUUCAAACUCGGGUUUUAUAGUGGUUUGACACUUCCUUGCCUACGUCUACUCUCCUCAAUCUCCUAACCAAGUGAGGAUUCCACUAACUUGAAGCUUCAACCAAGCUUCCAAUUUUCUUACACUUGGAUUUCGACUCCAGUGGUCUCUUACACAAUCUCUUCAAGAUUCAAACCUCUUGAAGGCUUUAACACUCAGCUUUUACAAGAAUGAAUCUCUCAACCUAGCUUACGGAUAGCUCAAAAUAUAAGACAAAGCUAGGAUGACACACAAGAGUGCACUAAAGGAUAUGAGAGCUUUUGGGUCAAGAACAGGUAGGUAAACAAUUGAUUCCAAGUGUUCUCUUAUCAAUAAAUGAAGUGGAGCUCUCAAUUUAUAGGUUUCUAAGCUCGAGAGCUAAAAACAGUAAAAGGUAACCUCGACCGGUCAAGCUAGGGGUCGACCAGCUCACUAGCAAUUGGAAAAUUUAAUGCUUGAUAGGUUACCGUUGCCUUGACCAAACCUCGACCGAACCUCAACCGGGAAGAGAUGAACCUCGACCGGGAAGAGAAGGCUACAGGGAGAGAGAGAAGAUUUUGGGCAUCCCUCGACCGGACAAGGGUAACCGGUCGACCGGUUCCCUAACCGGUUGAGCCUUUUGGCCCUGAAAACCUAUUUUUUUCAAUUCCUUUCUUUUCUAACACUUAGGCAAGGUCUUUAAGUGAAUUAUUAUGCCAAUUUUAAAACAUUUUGCCUAAGGUACAUGUAAUGAAAUCAAAGUUUUAAAGGAUAAACCGAGUUUUCUAAGUUGCAUGAAACGGUAUGAAAAUCCUAAGUGCACUCAUGCAUUCAUCUUACAUUCGUUUCCUAUGAUCACAAGUCUUCCAAAAGUCUCGAUCUUGUAUCUAUUUGGUCCUUUGAUGAGUUUUCGAGUUUAUGCCAGAGAUUCUUAACCAUUAAACUAAUUAGUUACUUAACCAUGGUUUGUUAUCAUCAAAACCCGAUUAGGAGAACCCUUGGGCUAACAAUGAUAUUUGGGAAAAAAAAAUUGACCAUAAGUCAUUCACCAUUUUGUCAACCAAACCAUUGAAAAUAUGAUUAAUACACCUAUAUGGACAUAUAACUUAGGAAAGAUAUGAAAUUUGUAUUGUUGUACAAGGGUAUUACACUAACUGUACAAGGAAAAUGUGCCAAGUAUACAAGGGUGUACAAGACUCCUAAUAGGUUUUGUACGAUUUUUAAACAACUUGAGUUUGACAUUAAGACGAUUAUUAAUAGUUUUUUUUUUUUUUUUUUUUACCAAACUAUGUCAUUAAGACAUUCCCUACAAAAAUUAACACAAAGGAAAUAAAAUUAAAAUCAAUCAUGUUUGAAUUGUUCAUUAUAAGUAAACUAAAUGAAAUAUGUAUUUUUACUAUUUUGCCUUUAUAAACAUAAUUUCAUUGUUAUCAAUAGAAAUUAAAAAAAAAACAUAUUUAAAUGGAAUUAAAAAUAAAAAAAUUAUUUUUAUAACAUUUUUAUUUUUUAAAAUCAUUAAUUUAAAUCAUGAAAUUAGUUUUAAAAUUUAAAAUAUUUGUUGUAAUUAUAAUUUUGAAGAUUUCAUGAUUUUUAUCUUAUUACUUUGAAAAAAUUGCUUUAAUAAGAGAAUAUUUAUUUUAAUGGUUUUAAACAUUUAAGUCUUUAUUUAAAAAUAUUUAGGAUUAGUGUGGGAACAAUUAGAUAAUUUUGGAAUGGAGAAAUUUUGAAUAUUUUGAAGACUUUAAUUUGGCCAAUUACCCUAUUUACACUUUCAAAAAAAUAGAUAUAUAUAUAUAUAUAUAUAUUUGAAAUAAUAUGAGAAAUAAUAAACACCAUGUGUCUAAUUUGCAAGUUAGAAAAAAAAUUAAUAAUAUUUUAUGAGAUAUUUAAAAAGUAUUUAUUAUAUGUUCUAUAAAUUUUAAAAAAAAAUAUUUGAUGAUAUAUAAUUUACAAGUUAGAACAAACAAAUAAUACUAAUAUUUUAUGAGGUGUUUAAAAAUUAUUUAAUAUAUAUGAGAAAUAAUAUAAGUUUGAAAUAAAGAAUAAUAUUUAUUAUAUAUUAUGUAAGUUGAAAAAAAGAAUAAUAUUUGAUGAGGUAUUUAAAAGUUAUUCAUUUCAAAAAUGCAUUUAGCAAUAAUAAUUUUUAACCAUAUUUCAUAUUCAAUUUGAUGAAAAAUGAUUCAACUUGGUUCCACUAUUAAAUAAGUGAGAGAAGGGUAAAAGAGUCAAAAAGAGAAUGAGAAAAGUGAGGUGAUUGGUUAGUUUUUUAUAUUUAAUAGUCAAGGGUAUUUUACGGAUUUUUUAAAGACGAUAUCCUUCCUCUCAAUUUCUAUUCUUUUAUUGGGUUUUGGGUUUAAUUAUGAGUGAUAAGAGGACCUUACCUCAAUUACCCAACCUAGCUGGAUUGAAAACAUAAUUCUCCUUUUUUUUUUUUAAGAAAAAAAAAGUCCUACUAGUUUUUGUUAGGGUUAUUUAAUAAAAAGGGUCAUUAAAAACCCAAUUUUGAGAAUCUAACGCUCCAUUAUUUUUUUUACCACAUUUUGAUAAAAAUGUCCUCAUUCUUUUAUUAUAAAAAUAACGCUUUCUUUUAAAACCUACAUGUAAAUAGUUGAAAUAGUUAAAGGUAUUUAUGUCAAAAAUAGGUAAUUCUUCAAACAAAAACAUGGAAGAAGUUAAAUGGAUGAUUUCAUCCAUUUUAAUUAAUUCAUUCAUUUUUUAUUGCUUUUAAGAAAUCAAACAUAACUCAAAAUAUUAAAUAAUUAAAAAAUCACUGUCACAUCCAUACAUUGUUCACUUUAAGCAUGUAUUUUUUAUUAUUUUAAUAUGAUUUUAUACAAAAAUUUGCAAACAAGAAUGCAAUACUAAAUAUUCAAAAUAAAUGUACAAGGAAAAUAGGAAAAACAUAGGCUUGAGUAAAAAAAAUCUCACCCUAACCUUAAGCGUGCGAGUAAAAGUGAUUUUUCCGAUCCAAGAGCAAUUUCUUUGCAAAAAAAAAAUGAAAAACAAUGAAGAAGAUGAUAAAUAAUUAUAUAAAAUUGUUCAUACCGUUUUUAAAAUUUUUUGGGUUUAUUACACUUUAUUCCCCAACCUAUAUCGUGUUUUUUCACAUUGCCCCCUCACAUUUAAAAGUGAGCAAUGCAUCUUUCAUAUUUCAUAAAUACAUGCAUUGUACAUUUGUUGUAUCACGGUGUUAGUUGUAAUGAACUGAAGGCGCAUGUAUUAAACACGUGACAUGUUUAAGCGAAGGCAAAAUCCUUGAGCAAAGUUGUAUUUAUUUUAAUUUUUUUUUAUCAAUUAAAUUUUAAAUUUUAAAUUAAAUAAGUUCAUAAAAUUAGAAUACCAAAGUCUUACAUACAUUUAUAAACCAAACUAUUAAAUCAUUAAAUGUUGUUUUAUUUUGUUCUUUUUUUAGUACAUAUCACAUUUAUGAUAUUUAUAAAUAAUCUCUUUUGUUUAGAUUUUUUAAUUUUAGAAAGCGUCUCACUACUUUUGCAUUUGAAGAGAUAUACCUAUAUAGCGUUAGAUUAAUUGACAUUAAUUUGUUAUUUAUAUCAUACUGAAUACAUAUAGUUGGCAACAUUGAAGAGGAUUCGAUUCCCAUCUCAAUAUGGGUUGAAGUAGAGCAUCAGAAAGUUAAAAGCAAAAAAGGCUAGUGAACUGAGCUUGCAUAAAUGUUGCUUCAAAGCAUUCAUAUCUGUCAGCAGAGAGAAGAUGUAUGUAUAGUGAGAGCAUGGCAUAUUUCCAUAACUUAUGUGAGUUGUAAUAGUUUGGCUCUUGGAAAUAUGUCAAUUAAAACCAUUUAAAUAUUGAUGGUCCUUAAAAGCCUUUCUAAUGGCAUGCACAUGAAGUUUGAGCAGUUCUUCGGCAACUAACCUUACUAUCAAGCAGACUAGGCAUCAUGCUUCAGAUUAACAUGUCUAGUAAUACAAGUGUAUCUAGUUGUGCCUAAGGUGAAGAAAAAUGAGCUCUAAAAUGGCAUUGUUGUACUAAAAUUGGAUAACCCUUGCUCAUGCAAUAUAGGAAUCUCCAAAUCAUACAUGUUUGGGCAAUCCACAAACAAUAAUAAAACUUGCCAAAGAAUCUUCUUCCCAACACAAGCAAAGGUAAGAAAACAACCAAUAGGUUCAUGCAUAGUCGUAUAUGUUGGGACGUCAUUUGUUUUGGGUAUAUUUGGCUCUAUGCCAGUCAAGAGCGUCACAGAGUGGCCUCCCUAGGAUUCGAACUCAAGUCCAAGCCUUAAGGAUGUUGAGGAAGCCCUCCUGGUACCAUCUGNNNNNNNNNNNNNNNNNNNNNNNNNNNNNNNNNNNNNNNNNNNNNNNNNNNNNNNNNNNNNNNNNNNNNNNNNNNNNNNNNNNNNNNNNNNNNNNNNNNNCUGAUGGUACCAGGAGGGCUUCCUCAACGUCCUUAAGGCUUGGACUUGAGUUCGAAUCCUAGGGAGGCCACUCUGUGACGCUCUUGACUGACACAAAGCUAAAUAUACUCAAAACAAAUGACGUCCCAACAGUAUAGAAUAAUGAACCAUAGAUACCAAAUUUGACCUAUUAUCACCUCUAGUAAAGAUAAAACUAAAACAUCCCACCCCAAAAAAAAAGGUAUAAAAGCUUCAUACUAUGAACAUGCCAAAACUCCAAAAAUGUAGAUGAGAAUUACAGAUUAACCACUGAAACAAAAACGGUAUAUGAGCAUUUAUAAGCAGAAUUAUUUUACCUAGAUGGAAAGAAUAUGAUUGUGUGGAAAAUAGGACAUGGCGAGCAGGGGUUGUUGCAAGAAGCACACCCAAAUAAAAAAUGGGCCAUCUUUCCAUCACGGAAGAAUUCACUUAAGCACAAGGGGUGUCCAUAUUUUAUAUUUCUCACACCAGUUAUUCUUUUUCUUCCACUUAAGAAAAACACAGCAACACAUACACACAGAUCUAGGCAUUUUAAAAGCUUGCACAAUCUCUGUCACCGAUCUUACUACAUUGCAAGGAACUUUCCAAUACCAAAUACAAUCAUUUUUCACAAAAUGGCCUACAUAUGAUAUGAUAGGCUAAGGCAUCAGCAACCUUAUUGGCUUUUCUUAAAAUCUCAUUAACAUCACAUAUGAGGAAAAAAAAAAAGGAAAGUUGUGUUUCGGGAGGCCCGUUUCAAGGUAAUAUUGUUUUCAAAACCCAGAUAUGUCUACUAAUUGAAAAAAAAAAUUUCCUUUCCAUGCACUCUGGUGUGUGAGGUGUUAUUUCAUACCGAAAAUGUCUUCCCCUUGGGCCAGCUCAGCGUCCACAUCAAGAACCUAAAAAAUGCCAAACUCCAUGUCAGCAGCCAAAUCUAACAUCGUUUCCCGUUUCACCUUCCUCUAUUUCUUCUCACUUUCCCCAAAUUUUAUUUAAACACCAACCCUAUUCGCACUUCCCUCUUCUUUCUUCUUAUUUUACCCAAUCGUGUCUCCAUUCGUGUUCAUUGUAUCUCAAGCGAUUGGAAGGUUUUUAAGAGUUUUCUUCUACAUUUGCGAUCUGAAUUCGACUCUUGCUUGUCGGCGGCGAUCUCUCCGAUAGUCUUGUUAUAGGUGAAUAAAUGUCACUCCGUCUAUUUUUGCUUUGUUUGAAGAUUGGGUAUAUUUGUGUUGUGUGUGGAGGUCACGCUUCCUCUCUCCAGCAGCAGGAUCCUUCCCUGCUGCGGUAACCUGGAUAGGAGUCUAUGGUGACCUAGCUUCCUCUCCGGCAGUGAUGGCUUCAAAAACAAUUUAUUUAUUUAUUUUUUCUGGAAAUGACCCAUUUUUGGAAGGUGGAAAAAUGCUGAUCCAUUGGACUAAGCUCGUAUUUCUUCAAUUUUUUUUUGUUUUAAAACCUUAAGCAUUGGUUUAUGACCUGUUGUGGAGUUAUCUUUUGUUGAUUAUUAGUAACUACUCAUGCUCCUUAUCCAAGGGUCAGGAAAGUUUUAUAAUGUCUAACUACUCUUGCUCAAAAUUAAUUCAAUCAAAUCUCAACCGCUCAAAAUAUGUUAUUAAAUUACUAAUAAUUGUAGUUUAAUUUAAAUACUCUAAUCAGUUGAAUUUUGUUAUUAAUUUUAUAUUUAUUUUAAUAUACUUUCAUUAUAUAUAUAUAAUUUAAAUACUAGUUUACUUUAAUAUAAGACAAUUUUAUAUCGAUUGUAAUUUACACUAAUACAUUUAUAAUUUAAUUGAAAUUAAAUUUUAGUUUUAUAUUAAUUUAAUUUUAUAAUUUGUUUACAUUAAAUUUAAUUUUUUAAAUGCCUUAAUUUAAAUAUUGUUUUAAUAUCAGAUUUAAUUAAACAUGUUUUGUUAUUUACAUUUUCAAAUUUACAAUUUGUUUACUUAAAAGUAGUUGUUUAAUUAGUUCAAUUUAAUUAUUAAUUUGAUAUUGAAUUAAAAAUUAAUUCAUUUGUAUAUAGUUUAUAUAAUAUACACUUUCAAAUUUACAAUUUGUUUACUUUAAUAUAAUUGUUUAAUUACUUUUAUUUAAAUAUUAAUUUUAAUUUUAAUUUAAUUUAAUUUAAAUGUAUAUGAUUUGCAACUUAUACAUGCAAAACUUCGAUCUAUUAUUAUAAAUUCACAAUUCAUAAGCAAUGACUAGUCCAAGUGAAAGUAGAAGUGAUGUAGAAUAGAACAAGUCGAUACCUGCCCAGAGUUUGCCAAAUGGCGAGUGUAGCGAAGGUCACCUCCCAUCCCAUGAAGAGGCAUAUGUCAUAAGGGGGACAACGACUAUAGUGGUAGUAAAGGUAUCAAAAUUGUGAUAUUGGCUCAAUCAAGUGCAAUUUGAUUAACAGUAAAAAGAAAGAAGAAAGAAUGAAGAAUAAAAACGAUUGAAACCUCAAAUUGGUUCUCGCGAAUCAAGGGCAUUUACUACUAUGCAUCUCUCGCUAUAAAAGUAUUGUAUUCUAAUGAAAGGGAAUAGAAAAAGCACAAAAUAUUUUUUUUGUGUGGCCAUACAAUUCAAAGUAAUGGCAUCACCUAAUUUAAGUGUCAUUUAUCACAUGCAAACUCACAUUCAAGCCUAAAAAAGUAUUUAUCAUCUAAAAGGAGCAAAAAUAAAAAAUAAAAAUAAAUAAAUAAAUGAAUUUUAGCUAAAUUGUAUGAGACAAGAGAACCACAUAAUGACAUGGUCUAAGGGUCACAAAAGAAGGCCCGAGGCUUGGGAAAGGUAGACCUCAACUUUAGCUAAGGUAGACCCCAACUUUAGUUAAGGUAGUACCUAAGGUCUUUUAAGGUAGUACCUAAGGGCUCUUAAGGUAGUACCUAAGGUACAAUCCCAAAAAACCAAAUGUGGACCACUUGAGGACACAAGAGAACCACAUAAUGGCAUGGUCUUAGAGUCACAAAGGAAGGCCCAAGGCUUGGGAAAGGUAGACUUCAACUUUAGCUAAGGUAGUACCUAAGGUCCCUUAAGGUAGUAUCUAAGGUACAGUCCCAAAAAACCAAAGGUGGACCACUUGAGGACACAAGAGAACCACAUAAUGGCAUGGUCUAAGGGUCACAAAGGAAGGCCCGAGGCUUGGGAAAGGUAAACCACAACUUUAGUUAAGGUAGUACCUAAAGUCCCUUAAGGUAGCACCUAAGGGCUCUUAAGGUAGUACCUAAGGGCUCUUAAGGUCGUACUUAAGGUACAAUCCCAAAAAACCAAAGGUGGACCACUUGAAGACACAAGAGAACCACAUAAUGGCAUAGUCUAAGGGUCACAAAGGAAGCCCCGAGGCUUGAAAAAUGUAGACCCCAACUUUAGCUAAGGUAGUACCUAAGGGCUAUUAAGGUAAUACCUAAGGGCUCUUAAGGUAGUAGCUAAGGUAUAGUCCAAAAAAACCAAAGGUGGAUCACUUGAGCACACAAAAGAACCGCAUAAUGCCAUGGUUUAAGGGUCAUAAAGUAAGGCCCGAGGAUUAGGAAAGGUAGACCCCAACUUUAGCUAAGGGAGUACCUAAAGUCCCUUAAGGUAGUACCUAAAGGCUCUUAAGGUAGUACUUAAGGGCUUUUAAGAUAGUACCUAAGGUACAGUCUUAAAAAACCAAAGGUGGACCACUUGAGGACAUAAGAGAACCACAUAAUGGCAUGGUCUAAGGGUCACAAAGGAAGGCCCGAGGCUUGGGAAAGGUAGACUUCAACUUUAGCUAAGGUAGUACCUAAGGUCCCUUAAGGUAGUACCUAAGGNNNNNNNNNNNNNNNNNNNNNNNNNNNNNNNNNNNNNNNNNNNNNNNNNNNNNNNNNNNNNNNNNNNNNNNNNNNNNNNNNNNNNNNNNNNNNNNNNNNNNNNNNNNNNNNNNNNNNNNNNNNNNNNNNNNNNNNNNNNNNNNNNNNNNNNNNNNNNNNNNNNNNNNNNNNNNNNNNNNNNNNNNNNNNNNNNNNNNNNNNNNNNNNNNNNNNNNNNNNNNNNNNNNNNNNNNNNNNNNNNNNNNNNNNNNNNNNNNNNNNNNNNNNNNNNNNNNNNNNNNNNNNNNNNNNNNNNNNNNNNNNNNNNNNNNNNNNNNNNNNNNNNNNNNNNNNNNNNNNNNNNNNNNNNNNNNNNNNNNNNNNNNNNNNNNNNNNNNNNNNNNNNNNNNNNNNNNNNNNNNNNNNNNNNNNNNNNNNNNNNNNNNNNNNNNNNNNNNNNNNNNNNNNNNNNNNNNNNNNNNNNNNNNNNNNNNNNNNNNNNNNNNNNNNNNNNNNNNNNNNNNNNNNNNNNNNNNNNNNNNNNNNNNNNNNNNNNNNNNNNNNNNNNNNNNNNNNNNNNNNNNNNNNNNNNNNNNNNNNNNNNNNNNNNNNNNNNNNNNNNNNNNNNNNNNNNNNNNNNNNNNNNNNNNNNNNNNNNNNNNNNNNNNNNNNNNNNNNNNNNNNNNNNNNNNNNNNNNNNNNNNNNNNNNNNNNNNNNNNNNNNNNNNNNNNNNNNNNNNNNNNNNNNNNNNNNNNNNNNNNNNNNNNNNNNNNNNNNNNNNNNNNNNNNNNNNNNNNNNNNNNNNNNNNNNNNNNNNNNNNNNNNNNNNNNNNNNNNNNNNNNNNNNNNNNNNNNNNNNNNNNNNNNNNNNNNNNNNNNNNNNNNNNNNNNNNNNNNNNNNNNNNNNNNNNNNNNNNNNNNNNNNNNNNNNNNNNNNNNNNNNNNNNNNNNNNNNNNNNNNNNNNNNNNNNNNNNNNNNNNNNNNNNNNNNNNNNNNNNNNNNNNNNNNNNNNNNNNNNNNNNNNNNNNNNNNNNNNNNNNNNNNNNNNNNNNNNNNNNNNNNNNNNNNNNNNNNNNNNNNNNNNNNNNNNNNNNNNNNNNNNNNNNNNNNNNNNNNNNNNNNNNNNNNNNNNNNNNNNNNNNNNNNNNNNNNNNNNNNNNNNNNNNNNNNNNNNNNNNNNNNNNNNNNNNNNNNNNNNNNNNNNNNNNNNNNNNNNNNNNNNNNNNNNNNNNNNNNNNNNNNNNNNNNNNNNNNNNNNNNNNNNNNNNNNNNNNNNNNNNNNNNNNNNNNNNNNNNNNNNNNNNGUAGUACCUAAGGUCCCUUAAAGUAGUACUUAAGGGCUAUUAAGGUAGUAGCUAAGGGCUCUUAAGGUAGUACCUAAGGUACAAUCCCAAAAAACCAAAGGUGGACCACUUGAGGACACAAGAGAACCACAUAAUGGCAUGGUCUAAGGGUCACAAAGGAAGGCCCAAGGCUUGGGGAAGGUAGACCACAACUUUAGCUAAGGUAGUACCUAAGGUCCCUUAAGGUAGUACCUAAGGGCUAUUAAGGUAAUACCUAAGGUACAUUCCCAAAAAAUCAAAGGUGGACCACUUGAGCACACAAAAGAACCACAUAAUGGCAUGGUUUAAGGGUCAGUCCGAGAGACUCACAGCUACACCUCUUCAACCCCACUAGUUACUAGUGUUCUUACCAUAAAGUGCUCUGUUUGCUUGCUGAGACAGUGAAGAUAGAUUGGAUGUUUUAGGGUUUCUUUUGCUAAAAUGAGAGAAACAAGAUUGGGUGUUUGGAAAAUUUUAUGUUCUCGGGUCGGGCAUAAGGAGAUGUAACCCAACAUCAUUAACUUUUACAUUUUUUUGUGUUAUUCAAUUUUAGAUAUAUCCUGCUGACAUUGAGACAUUAAAUGUUGCUGACAUGGAGACUGUAAAUGGGUACUCUAUGAAGAUAAAAUGGACUAAGCACAGAGUGAAGAAGAAUAAUAAUAGUUUUCCUAUUCAUGGUCAAAUCCCAUAUUGCACAAUCUUUGGCUUUGAUUUUCAUAUUACCUUCAAAUGGCCGGCUCCAAACACAACUUUCCCAUUUUCUUUAAUUAAAUUAAUGACAACAAAGAGCAUAAUGGCUUGUGUUAGCAUUAUUAAAUUGCUUACCAAUAUUAUUGCUCCACCUUUUCACCAUUCCACUUUAUCUAUUGCGAUACCUUCUCAUAAGUCUUUAUUCAAAACCAUUGUCCUUAGGUAUUCCAUACAUAAGAACUAAAUCCAUUGCAAUGACUACAUAAGAACUAAAUCCUACCCACAAAAUGUCUCCUCAAAAAAACUAUACUUAAAAAAAAUGAAAUAAACAAAGGAGACAGAUUCAAGAAACUAUAGUUUCAAAGAAAUAUAUAUAUAUAUAUAUAUAUAUAUAUAUAUAUAUAUAUAUAUAGGGAGACCGGUUCAAUUGCAAGAAAUCAAAUAACAAAAGGCGCAUGAACCUGAAAGCGACCUUUGGGUAGGUAUCGACUUGUUCUAUUCUAAAUCACUUCUACUUUCACUUGGACUAGUCAUUGCUUAUGAAUUGUGAAUUUAUAAUAAUAGAUCGAAGUUUUGCAUGCAUAAGUUGCAAAUCAUAUACAUUUAAAUUAAAUUAAAUUAAAAUUAAAAGUAAUAUUUAAAUAAAAGUAAUUAAACAAUUAUAUUAAAGUAAACAAAUUGUAAAUUUGAAAGUGUAUAUUAUAUAAAUUAUAUACAAAUGAAUUAAUUUUUAAUUCAAUAUCAAAUUAAUAAUUAAAUUGAACUAAUUAAACAACUACUUUUAAGUAAACAAAUUGUAAAUUUGAAAAUGUAAAUAACAAAACAUGUUUAAUUAAAUUAGAUAUUAAAACAAUAUUUAAAUUAAGGUAUUUAAAAAAUUAAAUUUAAAGUAAAUAAAUUAUAAAAUUAAAUGAAUAUAAAACUAAAAUUUAAUUUCAAUUAAAUUAUAAAUAUAUUAGUGUAAAUUACAAUUGAUAUAAAAUUGUCUUAUAUUAAAGUAAACUAGUAUAUAAAUUAUAUAUAUAUAUAUCAUGAAUGUAUAUUAAAAUAAAUAUAAAAUUAAUAUCAAAAUUCAACUGAUUAGAGUAUUUAAAUUAAACUACAAUUAUUAAUAAUUUAAUAACAUAUUUUGAGCGGUUGAGAUUUGAUUGAAUUAAUUCUGAGCAAGAGUAGUUAGACAUUAUAAAACUUUUCUGACACUUGGAUAAGGAGCAUGAGUAUUUGAUUGAAUUAAUAUUAAAAUUAAUAUUAAUGAAUGUAUAUUAAAAUAAAUAUAAAAUUAAUAUCAAAAUUCAACUGUAAUUUAAUAACAUAUUUUGAGCGGUUGAGAUUUGAUUGAAUUAAUUUUGAGCAAGAGUAGUACAUUAUAAAACUUUUCUGACCCUUCGAUAAGGAGCAUGAGUAGUUGCCCGUUGGUAGCAAUCGUUUUUUGAAAAAACAAAUCAUUUAAAAAAUCACCAUAAAUUGUUUGAAAAUCAGCUAUACUUCACCCUCCACCAAAUCUUUUAUCCAGGGCUUGAUCUUGUCCGGCUCGGGCUUUGAGCCAAAAUACUUACAAAAACGGAUAGGUUCCAAGUAAACUGACCCAAUUUUCUGCUUUUCUGAUUUCAUUAUAUGGCUAACUUGAAAUAUACCCAAUUCCACUGCCUCAAGGCAACCAAAAAUAGUAGUUUUUCUCAUAUUCAAAUAUACCCAAGCUCAAUCUCUAUCUCGAAUUUUCUUCCCGCCCUACAUCCAUACACAAGUACAGGACCAUUCCAAGGCUUUAAUUAAAAUGAAACCAAAUAAUCUACAAUGACCUCUAGGAUAUAUCCUAAGGAGGAACUUCCUCUCUCCCCAAAUACCAUCAUUAAUUCAGCUGUUUAUUGGUUCAUGCCUAUGGCUAUGAAACCGAUAUCACACUAAUAAGCAUUCCAAAAGCAACUCACAAUCACAAUUGAACUCUUCAAUUACUUUUUCCAUUUCAGUCUGAAUCAGAGUUUGGAUCCACAGAUGAUCUCACCGUGUUGCGUCUGCUUUCAGGAUAACCCCUGUCUUCAUCAUCUUCAUCUUUUUUCUUCUCACUAACUAUACCUGUAAAAUAAUGGUUUAGAGCCAGCACUACCCAGUAGAUAUAGCAAAUUAGACUGGACAAAGGUUUUACCUUUCUUUAUAAGUAGAGCCUCGAGUGUCCUAGUGGCGAAAUCAUCUUUUCCUCCCAUAUCUUGAAACCCAAUCAACCUAUCUACUGCAAUCCCUUUUCUGAAAGAGAUGGUUGUAUAUUUCCAAGUUACAUAUCUAAUCAAAAAAAGAAAUAUAGUCUGAUAUGGCAUGAAAUUGUCAAGCAUAUAUGCCAGUGCACUUUGGCGUAUCUUUCAGAUUGAUUUUCUGCUUGGUUUUCUUUAAGCAAUCUAUACAAGCGUGCAUUAUUUUGCCCCAUUUGCAACAAGACAAGAAACUCUGGAAUUUUACUACUGGAGGUAGAGGGUAGUAAUGAGAUUCCAAUUUUUCUCUUCUUGGGAACCAAAUGAAGUUCUACAUCACUGACAUGCUUCUCACAAAAUUACAAAGAGCAGCAUAAAAUAUAAAAUGGAGCAGUGAAAAAGUAGUAGAGAGAGCCUGACCUGAAUAAGAUGACACAAGGCAAAGUUUUGACUCCUAGUUUGGCGACAAAGAAUGGUGCAUUCUGCAUUUCACUUUUAACAAUGAGAUCUUAUUUUCCUCAGUUCCACUGUGCACAAGAACAAAAGAGUUAAGGAAAACUGACCUCUGCAUCCAGCUUGAUAAUCUUGGUGUCCAUAUGCCUUGGUGCAAGGGAUUUCAAAUGCUUAUCCAUUAUCCUAGAAAUAUCAAACAAUAGGAACACAAUAUUAAUCUGCAAAUACAUGCAUCCAUGUAAACAGAGGUUCAAGAGAACACCUCCAACAACAGCUUACAAAUGCGAGCUCACUGAUGUGAGAGAGGCUUAUGCAUCAAUGUGAAAGUGUCAGGAAAACUGCUUCUAAACAUGGGCUUAUGAAGGCACAUGCCAAAAGAUAAUAUGUCCAUGUACGUGUCAUUUUUCACUCUAGCCUCUCCUCUACUGAUGUUUGAUAUAUAUGCAUCAUCGAUAGAGAGAAACUAACGCUCCUGUCACAUAAUUUUAUCUUCUUCUACGGAAAUUUACCCAAACAAAAUCUUAACUCAUUGCAAUAAAUUUAACCUCACCUAUUGCAAACUAGAUGAGAAAUUAGAUGAAUUCUGGAAAAAGCAUAACAAGAUCUGGGGCAGUCAUAUCCAACCCCUCAAGACACUUCCUUUUAGACAUGUGCGUAUAAGUGUGUGUGAGAGAGAGAGAUAGAGUGGAAAAAGCACAAUAAGAGCUGGGACAUGGUCAUAUCCAACCCCUCAACACCCUUCCUUUUUGACAUGUGUGAAUAAAGAGUGCGAGUGCAUGCAAGUAUGAAGAGAAACUUUACUUGCACCGGUAGAACUCCCGAUGGUAGAAGUGGCAAAUUACUUUUUCACUCCCAGUGACUUCACCCAAGAAGUCCGCCUCAGUUACCUCCCUGUAUUCUCCAUGCCCUUGCUUCUUUAAAGCCUGUCGCUUCUCAGCUUCUUUCUAUCAAACAAAUCAUAGGGUAAAUACUUCACCAUUCUCAGAAAGAUUACCACAUAUCUCAAUAUUUAAAGAUAUAGGUUCAUUUCACAAAGAUCGAAUUCUGACCUUAAGAGAUGCAAUCCUAUCUGCAUGCAAUCUUUCCAGCUCUGGAUCCUGAUAUCACCCAUGCAAGUAAAUUCAUGUAAAAAGAAAUAAGUGCAUUAAAAGGAAGACAUGACAUAGAUGCAUUAUCCCACUUACAUCCAUUAACUCAUCAAGAUCAACCUCCUGAUUGAUUGAAUUGGAAGCUUGUGCCUUCUGCUGAGAUAGCACUUCCUGCAAGACCAGAAUAAGAUGUUGUCGCAUUAAUUUUCAUGAAUUAUGAGGAAGGUUUUCUGCAAGCUAUCAGACUUGCCACCUUCACCAUUAUUCCGUUAUAUUUACGUAAACCUCUGAAACACUCAAUCAUGGAGUAAAAAAAGUUAGUAUCAUUGUUUUAAUCCUCUUAUUAUGGAUGACUAGCUUAUGCAUAAGAAUGUCAGGUCUUCAGGUUCACCAUAAUACUCAGUUACCUUCCCUCCAGUGCAAGAGGUUUAAAAUCAAAACAUUAGUGGAUAGAAAAUAUUGCAUUACUUAUGAGACUUGAUGUUGAAAGGUGGUUCCAACAGGUAACACACUCCAUUCUUCAGUUUCCAGGGGAAAAAAAAGGCACAUAACAUUCUUUGAGUUUCUUAACAACUAAGGGGAAGAAGCAUUCAAGUCCUGUUCCUAAAGAAAGAGAAAUUCUUCCUAUCAAAUCCGUGAACAUAGGCAAUGUAAAUCAACCUGUGGAAUAACUAUUGUGCAUUGCCUGAGUUAUUUUUGGUAACAAAUAGCAUGGAAUGCUAAAAUCAAGUUUUCAUCAUGUUGUACCAAGCAGCAAGCAGCAAGCAAUAUUAAGAUCAAGUCCACGUCAUGCCUUUCAAUGGAUAGUCUCAUAUCAUGCUUCUGAAUGGUAGAUACUAGCCAGUAGCAAACUAAGAGCCAGAGAAGAGACUGUUCUUAAAUGAAAGAAAGAAGAAAAUGAAAGAGGCACCUUUUGAUAAUCUCGAGCAGCUGCUGCCAUUACAUUACCGAAUGCUAAAUUGGACAAGGUCGAUUUAACUGAAUCAGGAUCCAUUUUCUCUGUGAAAAAUUAUAGCACAAUAAAGAUUAGAACAUACUCUAGUAGAGAUGACCUUAGUUUAAAAAAACAAGAAAGAAAAUCAUAUGCACCAUUCUUUGACUAAAUUCAAGGACAGACUAGUUCGUGAUAAGGCCACAUAGACUCAUAGAGUCAUCUUCUAAAAGCUCAUAGUUAAUGAAACUACAAUAUAGUUUGUUUAGGAAACCAAUUUCAAAACAACAUGUAUUGCUAAUAACUUCUUAUGCAGGAGAAAUAAUGAUUUUUCAUCAGACACUGAGGCUUCUACAUUCCCCAGAAAAAGGGGUAAAAAAAGAAACAACCAAAGUGCCGAGAACAAAUGUAUGUGUGCCAGUAUUAGUUUGCCCAAACAAUGAAGCAAAGGAAAAAACUGGAUUGGCCAAGUACUUACAAGUUAAUAUGGAACGGAGUAUUUCUUAAUACCCACCCAAAUCAUUAUAUGUGCAUGUCUUUUUCUGUUUAAACCAUACCAUAAGGGUUUUUCCUGAAUUGACUGAUUAAUCAGUUGAAAAAAAAACCCAACAUACUUACGGAAAUACAUAAUCAAUAAAGUAAAUGGUUCUAAGUACAGUUAUAUCACUCUAAUGAAAACCAAGAUUUUCCACUUGAAACUGUCAACGAACAGAAUUGAAUACUCCUCAUCACUUGCACACAGGUUACAAUUCUGUAAAUUGUUGAUAACUUAAAAAUACUUUCGCAUGUACUGCAAUGUGAAAAAAGGCAACAGAUGUAAAGCAUUUAAGGAAUGGAAACUAAGGGAUUUUAUAUUCACAACUUACUCAAGGCAAUAUUGGGCAAUUGCAGAGAUGAAUUAGUCUCUCUAAGAGUGAGGAGAUGCAAAGUGAGCAUUACCACUGAGCACUGACAGAAGGGUUAAAUGCAUUUUUGUGUGGAAGUGAUACUUUCUGGACUCUAUAUGGUAGCAAACUAUGGAUAAAUCUCCUACAAUUAAUAAGAACCUCAAAUAGUAAGGAACUAAAACGAGGAAAUAAACAAGCAAUGGGAAAUUCAAUUGAAAACCCCAACAGAAGAAGAGAAAUGUCAUGGACUUUAAUGUUGACUCAUCUAAUCAACAAAAGAUAACUCCACAACAGGUCAUAAACCAAUGCUUAAGGUUCUAAAACAAAAAAAAAAAAUUGAAGAAAUACGAGCUUAGUCCAAUGGAUCAGCAUUUUUCCACCUUCCAAAAAUGGGUCAUUUCCAGAAUAAAUAAAUAAACUGUUUUUGAAGCCAUAGGAAGGGAAGGAUCCCGCUGCCGGAGAGGAAGCUAGGUCGCCAUCGACUCCUAUCCGGGUUACCGCGGCAGGGAAGGAUCCUGCUGCUGGAGAGAGGAAGCGUGACCCCAACACACAACACAAACAUACCCAAUCUUCAAACAAAGCAAAAAGGAGCGACAUUUAUUCACCUAUAACAAGACUAUCGGAGAGAUCGCCGCCAGCAAGCAAGAGUCGAAUUCAGAUCGCAAAUGUAGAAGAAAACUCUGAAAAACCUUCCAAUCGCUUGAGAUGCGAUGAACACGAAUGGAGACACGAUUGGGUAAAAUAAGAAGAAAGAAGAGGGUGCGAAUAGGGUUGGUUUUUAAAUAAAAUUUGGGGAAAGUGAGGAAGGUGAAACGGGAAACGACGUCAGAUUUGGCUGCCGACGUGGAGUUUGGCCUUAUUUCAGGUUGUUGAUGUGGAAGCUGAGCUUGCCCAAGGGGAAGGCAUUUUCGGUAUGAAAUAACACCUCACACCAGAGUGCAUGAAAAGGAAAAAAAAAAUUUCAAUUAGUGGACAUAUCUUUGGGUUUUGAAAACAAUAUUACCUUGAAAUGGCCCUCCCCAAACACUACUUUCCUUAUUUUGAUUUUUUUUAAAUGGUUAUUUUAAAACAAUUACUUAAAAUAAAAAAUUUUAAAUUUUUUUAAAACUUUUUUUUUUUUAAUCACCUUUCAUGAUCAACCCAUUAGGACUUUUCAUGGAACCCAAACCUCGCAACAAUAAUAAGCAAAAUCAUAAUAAUAUUUAUUAAAAAAAUUAUUAUCAAAUUAUUUUAUAUCCAUUUCUUAUAAUUUAAUAUUUGUUUUAAAAAUAAAUAAAAAUAUGUAAUUUUUUAAAAUAUUAUGUUUCAUUAUUGAAAGAUUUUCAAUGUUAUUAUUCAUUUUUAAUGAAAAUAAAAAAGAAGAAGGUCAAUGCAUUUGAAAAGAUGUGUAAGUUUGUAAAGUAAAAUAGAAUAAAUAAAUAAAACAUAAAAAGAGGAGCAUUAUGUUUGAAAAGAUGUGUAAGUUUGUAAAGUAAAAGUUUUUGUGUGAUAAGAAUUCCAAUUGGGGCAAACAAGAAGGAAUUGUGGGUUCUAGGAGUCCAUGAUCAUAAAAAACAUGACUUGAAGGGUAAAAAAUGAUCAUCAUAUUAGUUAUUAAUAUAAAAAUCAUUGUCUAUUCAAAAUUGUUUUUCCUUCAAUAAAACAUCUCUUAAAUGGAAAUUUUGACUUAUUAAUUAGAAUAUCAAAGUUAAAAUUUUAUUUAGAUGUCAAAGAUGUUAUAACAUGAACUUGCUGAGAGUUAUUUAAUGGUAGGUUUAUAUAUAUGCAAAUGGGAAUAAUCUCUAUAUAUUAAAUUUUAACAAUAGACUAGGUAUCUUAUUUCUUCAACUUAAUGAAUCUAUUGCAUGGCGACACCCUUGGUUUUGAACUUUGAUGGUUUAUAAACAUUAUAUAUUGUUAAAUGAAAAUGUGACCUUUGACCAUGUCAUAAGGUAGGGGUUAUGUAUAUACUAUUUUAGCAUAUUGUCUACGCUCAUGUUUGAUUUAGCCUAAGAAAGCAAUUGAAACCCAUGUUAAGUGAAACGAGGACAAAGAAAAGACGGUUUAGCUACACAUCCUAGUCUUGGUUCACUUUUGACAAGCAUCAUGGUCGUUGCAAUAUAUUUGCGAGCGGAAUAAUAAAAGCAUGGCUUUGGAACAUUUUUUUACAGAUGUUCUAAAUUGGUCUAGGUAAGAUUUGGAAUGAUACUCCCAUCCACAUUUCUCUCAUAUGCUCAAUGCUCACAAAAUUCACUGGCCAAUAUGAAGAGGAAUGAGGUUACUAGCAAAAUGUUACUUCUUUAUUUACAGCUUCAUUAUUUGAAAUAUUAAUUGAAGACCUUGCAGAGUGAAUAACCAUGCCCACUCUUAGUAUGGAGUCUAAAGAAUUAAAAUAAAGAAGCAAAAGAAGAAAAGAUUUCCACUUUUAUUGGGUAGGAGGGACUUGAUCACAAAUAGAUAAAAACCUACUAGAUGGGAUAAUAGGUAGACAGCAGCUGCCUAUAAGGUUUAAAGGAGAUACAAAAAGAGUAUGUUUGAAAACCAAGCAAAAUGUGUACGGGGCUUGAAUUUAAAAACAUUGAAGAAAUUGUUAUACAGAUCAACUUGAUCCUCAGCUCAGCUCAUUCAUCUCUUGAAGCAGGAUCCAUCCCACUUGAAGGGCUAUCUGCAAAGUACUCUUGAUGUUUCACAUUCACCCCAUACUGCACAUUCAACGAUAAUAUUAUAAAUCAGUUAAUCAUCCUCAGAGAGAACCAGGUAUACACUAGACAAUUGCAAAUGGCCUUGCAUUAGACAAGAAAAACGGUUGCAGCAUAUGUUUUCAUUUUUCAUUUGACAAUUUUUUUCUCUAAUUAUUCACCCCAAAUUUAUGUCAAUAUUAACACUAUGCAUAGCGACACCCUGUCUGUCCCCCCAAAAUGCAAGAACAGGAGUCAGAAAGGCAUAGCCUACAAUCUGCUUGAAAUUUUAAUGGCCACUUUUUUAAACAUCAUUUAUUUUCUCUGAAGAGCCAGUGUAAAAGACAACAAGAACACAAGAAUUAAAAGAAAGAAAAAAUGCUGCAAAGCACUGCACAAUCCAGAUACAACACAAUGGUGUUAGAAAUAGCCUUCCCAAGUGCUGAGAAGUAAUGACACAUCUUUAGGUAAAGAUCAUGCAUCCUCAUUACAUGGGACAGUGACAACGGAUGUCUCCUCAAGAGGCAAAUCAGUCAUCACCACAUCAAAAGCCUCUUCAAGAUCCUCCAGAACAGAAUAUUUUCUGUUAUGCUAGCAUCUCUCAAGUCCAUCAGAUACUGACUUUGAGAGACUGAAACAACAUUCCUCCUUGAUUACUUAAUUUACAUCCUAGAGUCCCUGAUUGAUCCAGAUAUCUAAAGGAACAUCCAUCAAAAUUCAACCUAAGCCAACUACUGAGUGAAGGGAUAAGAAGAGAGAGGGGUGAAGGCUUUCAAGCAUGAAGAACCAAUAAACAACUUUUGUAGGGAAUAGGCUACAAGAUCACAUAGAAAACCAAUGAAGGCACACAUGCAAAUUCCUUUGUUGUGAAGGCCCAAAGGAGCAAACAAGAUAUACCAUCCCACAAGAUCUCCAAAGAGGACCUCUCCUCAUGGAUGGUUACAUCUGGCCCAAACCAACUCAUCCAGAACAUAGAUUUGCCCCGCCAAACACAAAAGGAAGUGAAGUCGGAACUCCCAGGCAAAGAUUUGUUUUAGACACCUAGCAUGGGGACACGUUUUUCAAACUUUUGGCAGGUGUACACAUAGGGAAUUUUUGUCUUUUAGCAAGGAUUUUUUUUUAUGUUUUCAUUAUCAAAUCUAUCAGGAUUUAUUUUUUAGUAUUAUCAUGUUUUAAUCUAGCCAGGUUGAAUGAAUUUAUUUCAAAGUUUUAAUCAAUGUGCAAUGGAUUACCUACAUAAACACCACCUCAGUGAAUAAUAAAAGAUUUGAAGAUUCAUUAUCCUCAUUGUUUGCUGCCUAUUUUUCUUCCUCAUUUCUACUUCUUUUCCCCUAUUUUCUUCUCUCUGUUCUUUAAACUCUACUCUGUUUUUUAUAGUACUACCUAUCUUGCAUCAAUUGGGCAUCAAAGCAUUUUUUGAUAGCUAAAUUUUUGUCGCCAUUGGAACUUGAACCUGGAACCUCCCACAAACCUCCCCAUCCUUCACCACUUGAGCCAAUCAAGCAUCAAAGAAUUUCAGUCCAAACCAAAUUCAAAUGCCAAUUUUUGUUUCAAAUAUCUUUUCAAGUAUUCACCAAGCUCCAUUUUUUUUUUCUUUUUCACUAAUUAAUCGAACUUUCAAACCCAUUGCACCACUUACCAAUAUUUAUCUUCUGGUUCAAAUUAGUUUUAAGUAGGAGAAGCCUAAUUGCAGAAGAAGUUAAGAAGAAGACUGGACUCAUCUUAGACAUAUUUAACAACACAUAGCAGGCUUCAAAUUUGCCUUUGGAUCAGGUACAGAGACCUUUCAUUAAUCUCUCUAUUUGGUAUUCUGUAUCUUCUAGAAAUUUAAGAAAUCAUAGUUUCCAAAAACUUAUGACAUACCCAAUACAAUACAAUGAUAAGAUAUAUAUUUUUUUUUUAUGGAAAUCACAAUCUGUAUCUUAUUUUAGGUGUAUCUUACUAUACAUAUACAAUACACAAUACCUAAUACAACGAUCCACACACCUUCAAUUAUUUUUGAUAAAUUUUAAGAAAAAUCAAAUUCAAAAUUUUUUUGUUAAAAGAAUCAUUAUAUUAAUUAUUUAAAAUGUACAAAAGGUUAGAAAUUGAUAAUAAAAGGAAGAACAAGGUAAGAUAAUUCUAUAUGAAAAGUUAAAUUCUUGUUGUCAACUAAUAUUAGAGAAUUUUCAUUUAAAUGGUUUAAAUGGUUGACGUUGAAAAGGAUGACGGUUAUGGUUGGUGACUAAGAACUUUUACACAAUAUAUUACAUUUUCUUUUCUCUUUAAGUUUUCUGUUAGAAAGGACUAAUGACGAACAUGAAAAGUUAGAAUGUAGGAGAUUACCCAUAAAGAUAAAUAAAUCAACACAUAUAAGGACCUAUACCUAGAAAGAAUUUGGAAUUAAAAAUCAACUCUAAAAAUUUUAAAAUUUUAUUUUUGCGCAUUUUGUGAACCUAGACAUUAAAUUCUUAUUUUGUCAAAUUGAAAUCUUCAAAACUCUAGUAUCCAAUGUUUUUAUAUGGUAUAGUAUAGUUUAAACCUUUUAGUAGGCAACGGGGAUUUAUCUUUUAGUUAAAUAUAUUUUGUUUCACUAUCAAAUUUAUCAGGAUUUAUGUUAGUAUUAUCACGUUUUAAGUUUACCAAGUAGUAAAGAUUCAUGUUAAAACUUCAGUUGAUUUGUUUCAUCCACAUGUUCUCUAAACUGUCCAUAUAAAAGCCACCUCGGUGAAAGAUAAAUGAGAUUUGAAGAGUCAUUAAACCUACUUUUCCUUCUACAUUCUAAUUUUCUCCUUAUUUUUCCUUUGUUCUGUAACCCAAUUCUAAGUCUUCAGUUUUCUCUUCCCCUUUUCUUCCUAUCUUAAAUCAAUUAGUAAUUAAAUACAAACCAAAAUCAAAGUUAGGACUAAUUAAAUCUUUAUAAAAGUACUAACCAAGAUAUGGAGAAGGAAUUAGAAAUGUCAACUGUUAGGUCUCUAUGUUAAGGUAUAAAAAUUGCAUUCAACUGCCCCCUCAGAUUCAUAUGGCUCCUAACUCCACUUAAAGAAGGUCAGAUAAACUAUACCUAAUACCUUUUAAAGGAAAAAAGGUCCAGUGGCUCCUCUUUAACAUUUCCAAAUGUCUACAUAAUAUACUCCCCUCUAAUUAGCUUUCUUUUCAGUCUCUACAACCUGAUCAAGAUUUUUCUUUCUGUUCUUCUUUAUGUUUCCCUGAUAGGCAACAUUUUUUGUUUGCCCCUAACCUCCCACAUCUGUACUCCAACCAAACAAAAUUCAUGAGUCAUAUUGAAAUGAAAUAUGGGACCUCUUGAAUCAAAGCAGCCAAUGUCCCAUAAAAAUCUCUACCAAGAUAUAAUAAAAUAAAAUUAAAAAAUAAAACAGAAAAGAUAAUGAUAGCAUACAGAAUUUUGCCUCUCCAAGCCAAGAAUGAUUUAUUAAGACUUAGCCACUUAGGGUGCUUACCUCACGCAGAGCCUUGGAGAGGUCCUCCAUUGUCAAGAUUAGGCGCUUAUCCUGAUACCUCAACAAAAUUAGAACAUCCAAGAAGGAAAUGGAAAAAACAAGCAUUUAACUCGCGCACCUUUUGCUGUUUAUCCCUUUUGUCCUUGACUACUGCUGACUGCCUUGCUUUGCAUUGCCUACAUUAGAAUACACAAACAGUAUAACAUCUUCCAGCACCAUUUAUCUUAAAUGGAGCUUAAUAGAACUGCCCAGCAUAAACAGAGUACUCUAAGAUGAUAGCCUACAAGAAUUCAACCUGCCAAUAUUAAAUCAAGGUCCUUUGAAUCUUAUUAAUGAAGUAAUGUCCUAAACAAACAAAGACAUUAAAAGCUCAUCCUACUUGCAAUCUGUACCUUUUGUCCUAUGGCAAUAGCCUCCAACCACUGGUUUGACUAACUCAAAAGUGGUCUGGGUUUGCAUUAUGGAUCCAGAAAGUAGGGCCAGAAUGGGAUUUUACCUUUUUCCUUUUAUCCCCCUGAUAAGGGGGGUGAACUAAAAAGCAACAAAGAGUGCAAAUCCUAAUACAGAAUUGAUUUGUUCAUGUUGUACCUGCAGCCCAUUGAUGCCACAUUUUCCUUGGCCCAAAUUGCAGUUAUAGGUCUUUGGCAUAAAAGCAUAAAUUCUAACUGGCAUCCAUGCAGAAACCUCCAACUCAUAGAAAAACUUUGAUCUUAAUAUUUAAUAGAAUUAUGAAAAAGGGAACAAAUAAGUAAUAUGACUCAAACCCAUACCUUUGAGUUUGUUCCUUCAGUUUCUUAGGAGGCUGAUUUAUAUGUGUGUGUACAGAAGAUACACUUAGAGGAUGUUGCAAUAGCCAUUAUGCCAUAUCCAAAUUAUGGGGUAGAAAAUUAGAAAUAGGUAAAAUUUCUGUCCUAUGAGGUUAUUAAGCAACCUAAGAGAUGGUAGGUUUCUCAUCUUCUGAAUGUUGAUGAAAACAUUUUGUGUGGGCAGGAGGAAUCUUCAUUGUGUUAUUUUUUCAAGGUGGUCCAAAGUACAAAGGUUAAUUUGGAGAAAAGUAAUAUCUCCGUAAGGAUGGGGGAAUAACCUUUGGAGAAAGGUAAGUUCUCGGUAAGGAUGGGGGAGGAUGUGGAGGAAUUGACUUCAUAACUUAAUUGUAAGGUGGGUUCUUUGGCUUUUGCCAAAAAGUGUGUAUUCCUUUAGGUGCUUCUUACAAAGUAAAAUCAGUGUGGGAUCCCAUUAUUGAGAGUUGAAACAUCAGUUGCUAAGCUGGAAGAGAUAGUAUUCAUCAAAAGGGAGCAAAGUUAGUCUGGUUAAAAGCACACAACCAAGUGUGCUUGCAUGUUGUUGUAGAAAGGCAAAAUUUGUCCGUUUACUAAUCGUCAUGUGUCAAUGGAAGGCCAAUCCUAAAUUGGCACAUGUCAGUGGUCAAGUUAAAAUUAAUUUUGAUGAUUAAAUAAGUUAGAUGUCAUUUGGAUGCACUUUUUAUUUUCUAUUUUCAAAAACAAAAAAUGAUUUUUUUUUUUUUAAAUUUUAUAACCGAGGAACCUUUCAUGGCCAAGCCCUUAGGACUCUCCAUGGUUUUAUAGAGGAAUUACUAUCCUUUUUUGUUUUUGAAAAACAAAAAAGGAUAGUAAUUCCUAUAUAAAAAGCAAAACCUUAAAAAGAUAGCAUCUUUUAAAAAGUGUUUAAUUUACUACCUCAAAUUUUAAAAGUAAUUUUUAAGAAUAUAAUGUAAGUUCAUAUUUUUUAUAUGAGAGUUACUAUAUUUUAUACAGAAGUUACUACCUUUUUUUUAAAAAAAAAAAAGAUAGGAAGUAUAUCCAAAAGAGUACUUAAUUAUCAUUUUUAAUUAAAAAAUGAGUCAUACACAAAAUAAGAACGAUCUCCAAGUCAAAUGUAAAAUGUAAAAUUAAUUAAUUAAUUAUUUUUUAUAAUUAAAUAAAUAAGCUAAUUAUCAUUUUUUUUAAUUCAAAUAGAAACGACCAGCCACUCAAAUAAAUAAGUAGAGUUUAAUAUUCCAAAAAAUUAAGAGAUAAUUACCAAAAAGGGUUUGUUUACCCCUAUAAAUAGGAGGGUCUCCUUAGCUUUCACAAAAAACACAUCGACAAAGAUGAGGAGACCUCUACACUUGAGAAAAGUGGGAGAAAGCUUACCUAAGGAUUCAAGGAGUUCUUCAAAACAAUCAAGCUCAAAGACUGAAAAUCAAGUUUGAAGAUUCGAGAUUAAGCUCGAAGGCUCAAAGAUUUGAAAAUCUAAUUCAAAAAUUCAAGAUCAAGUCCAAAGAUUUCAAGAUCAAGUUUCAAAACUCCAAGAUCAAGUUUGAACAUUCAAAGAUCAAAUUCAAAUAUUUGAAUAUCAAGUUUGAAGGUUCAAAUAUCAAAAUUCAAAAUUUGAAGAUCAAAGUUCAAGAUAUCUUCAAUCCAAGAUCAACUAUUCAUUAUUCAAGCCAAGAUCCAAGCAUAAACCUAAGUCAAAUCAAGGCCUAAGACCAACCCCAAGCAAAGCUAAAAUCCAAGCAUAGGCCUAAACCAAGCCAAAAUCCAAGACAUACUCCAAGCCAAGCCAAGAUCCAAGCACAAGUCUAAGCUAAGCCAAAAUCCAAGGACAAGCAUAAGCCAAACCAAGAUUCAAGUACAAACCUAAGUCAAGCCAAUAUCCAAGCAUAAGCCUAAGUCAAGCCAAGAUCCAAGUCAAGUCCAAGCCUAAACAUAAAGUCAAGUCAAAACCGAGGUCCAAGCACAAGCCUGAUCUAAGACAAAGUCCAAACACAGGUUUGAGCCAAAACAAAAGUCUAGAGUCAAAACAAGGUCAAGGCCUAAAUCAAGACCCUUUUCAAAAGAAACAAAGGAUAGUAUAGGGACUACAUUCAAAAUCCUAGAAAUUCAUAAAUAAAAAUUUUGCUUUGCCAAAAUUUUCCUUUUUAGAUAUAAUAUUUGUACACGUCAUGGGAAUUCAUGCCAGAAAUUUAUAUGUACAAAUUUCCUUAAAAAAAGAAAAUUUUGGCAAAACAAAUGUUUUCCUCAUGAAUUUGUAGGAUUAUGAGUACGUUCCCUACACUAUCCUCUAUUCUUCUAAGAAGGAACCUGACUUGGACUUUAACCUUGGCUGAGGCCUUAAUGUGUCUUAAGUUUGGACUUAGACCUAGUCUUAGCUUAGGCUUGUGCAUGGACUUUAGCUUAGCUUUGGACCAAUGUUUAAACUUUAGUUAGGCUUGAGCCUAGACUUGAACCCUAGUUUGGCUUGGGACUAGGCUUAUACCUUGCCUUGGCUUGGGCCUAAGCUUUAUACCUUGACUUGGCUUAGGCUUGUACUUAGACCUUGGCUUGGCUUAGGCUUGGUCUUGAAUAUUGAUUUAGCUUGGGGUUGUGCUUGGACUUGUGCUUAAUUUAGACUUGUGUUUGUACCUUAGCUUAGCCUAGCCUUGGCUUGGACCUUAGGUUGGUUUGAGCAUAUACUUGCCUUUAGCUUGGCUUAGGCCUAUGCCUGAAUCUUGAUUUGAAUAAUGCUAGUUAAGGACAAGACGCUUAAUCUCAGAUGGAAGAUACCUUGAAUUUUAAUCUUCAAAUAUUGAAACUUAACCUUUAAACCUUCAAAUUUAAUCUCUGAAUCUUUAAGUUUGAUCUUUGAAUCUUUGAAUCUUUGAAUUUGAUCUUCAAAACUUCGAACUUAAUCUUCAAAUCUUCGAAUCGUUAAGCUUAGCCUUUGAAGGCUUUAAAGAACUCCUUGAAUCAUUGAGGUGAGUUUUCUCCAACUCUUCUCAAGGGUGGAAGUCUCCUCUUCUAUAUCGAUGUGUUUUUUUCUAAAGCUAAGGAGGCCUCCCUAUUUAUAGUGGUUAGGAGAGCUUCUCCUGAAUUAUCUUUAAAGUUUUUUUGUUGGAAUAUUAAAAUAUAUUUAUCUUACAUUUGACUAGGAGAUCAUUCCUAUUUUGUGUGUAACUCAUUUUUAAAUUAAAAUUGAUAAUUAACUUAUUUAUUUAAUUAUUAAAAUUAAUUUUAAUUCGACUGCUUAGGACAUGUGUCAAUUUAUGAGUAGCCUUCCAUUGACAUGUGGUAAUUAAUAAAUGGACAAAUUUUGCCUCCCUAUAGUUGCAUCCCAACUUUCAUCAUUCUAGGUUUAAUUAGGAAAAGAAUUAAAAUGAGAGAGAAUGAAGGCCCAUGAGGUGGAAUAAAGGAUGAGCAUGGUGUACUUAAUAAGCUGGAAACCACUCAUGGAGGUCUAAGUAGUAAAAGUCUUAAGGCAACAAAUAGGACACUUAUGGGUGAAUACUUUGAGAUUAGCAGUUGGAAGAUGUGUAUGAAACACUCACAUAUCCUUCUAAAUUAUAUAUGUAUCUAGAGGAUAAAUUUGCAUAACCAGAAAAAGGGAUAGUUGUGGGAGAUGAUUGACGUGUGCAAAAUUACAGGAAAGGAGAUAAGGUUGGUGCUCUAAGGCGGUAAGAGGCUUCUUUUGGGGGGUUAUGAAAAGAGAUAAAAAGGGAGGGUAAAGUUCCUAUUCAUUGCACUUUCAAGUUGAGAAAAAGAAUACUUCUUUUAGCAUGAUGGUUGACAUGAGGAGGGAUCUCUUAAGGAGAUAUUUUCAAACUUUGUGCUAGUAAUAUGGAUGACAUACUUACCAGCCAGGGUAGCCCAAUUGGUCAGGGUGAACACUGCGAAGUGUGGUCCCAGUAAUUGGCACAUGGUCCUGAAUUCGAAUCCUACCACUGAUGAUACCCUAAAUUUACCCAAUGUUGGUUGUUGCGGGGUGGUUAGCACCCCGAGGUUUGGGUCUUCAUGGAGAGUCCUAAGGGCUUGGCCAUGGAAGGUUCCUCAGUUAUCAAAAAAAAAAAAAUAUGGAUGACAUACUAGUUGGUGUUAGGGCUCCCACAACAUAUUAAGCAUUCAAAUCCAAGAUUUGUUGAGGAAUUUGUCAAAAUUGGGAGCUAGGUGAUGUCACAACUUUGUUGAAUCACAUUCAUGAGAUGAAUAUAUGUGUGGAUGAGGAUGAUGUCUUGCAAUGAAUGCUAACUUUGGAUAAGAAAAUCUUGGUUGAAUAUUAUCAUAAGAUGGUGGAGAGAAGGGAAGAUUUUCCAGCCUAAAGCCUCAUUUAGGAUAGUUUUUAUUUUGCUUUAGCCAACAAGUGAAAGCCAAAGUUCAAGUCAUAAUGUCAAAUGGAACAAUCUUGGUAUUUAUGAAAGUUGUAUUAAACAUUAAACAGCUUCUCAUAUAAGUUCUUUUUAAAGUCAAAAGCUGUUAUAUUUAAAAUCACCUGCACACAAAUAGAAGAUGUAAUUAGACUUUAAAAAGAGCUUUUAGCUUCCAAAAGGUGAUCCAAAAAGGGCCACCUAGACACAUAAUGGAGGCAGUUUGGUGGGGGUGGCAGUUGGGGCUAAAAUUUUAACCAUCAACCAAUUAGAAGACAUAACUCAAAAUAAGGGUUGCAUGUGUAAGAAAGCAUGGACCAUAUGCUGCUCUACUACCUAGUGAUUGAUAACUUAUGGUUUAUGUUCUUUCUAAUUGAUGUUGCAGGAAUGCUCCAACCUCUCUCUAUAUUCAGAAUUCUUAGGGACAUCCAAAAAACAUUGUAACAAUUUAUGGGAGAAGAAUAGCAAUUUGCAUGGGAGCGUCAAUGUAUGUUGCUAGGGUGCCAAGGUGGUUCAUUUCUUGGUUCACAAAGGGUCAUGUGACCAUUGGAAUCCUGAAUAGCUUCAAAUUUUUUUGUUUCAUCUUACUUUCCUUUUUCCUAUAAGAAGGCCUUCCAUAUUCUACAUGUGCACCACAGUUGCAACCCUUACAACCAUUUGUUUCAAACCUAAAACAUACAUUGUGAGUUACAUAACUGUUGAUAUUCUAUUUUGCAAAAUCCACCUGGACAAUUCAUGGUGUACUGAGUGCCUAAUAUACGUCACAUGAGCUCCAUCAUGAUAGGACCAAUUACAAGAUGCCACAUGUCUUGGUACAUACUACACAUGCUCAAGACAACUCUCCACUAACAUGACAUGUAGUGCAUCUCACCCUUGAUCUCCAAGGCAUUGACACAUCCAUGUUCUUCCUACAUAGCUCCUAUGUCAUAGAGCUACAUCAUCUGGACAUAGAGUCCUAUCUCCAAACAUAUUCCUGGGUUACCCAUGGAACAUGAAUGCCCACUUAUGGCAGAUGCUUAGGGAGUCUAUCCUACUCUACCUCUCAGUGAAGGUGAUACUAAGUGCAACUGAGAGGGUUAAUGAUUUCGCUCCUCUCAGGAGGAAGAUGUUUCCUCUGUAAUACUUCUGGUAAUAAUCUCCUAUAUCCCCCUUGAAUGUUUCACCCUUGACAUGACACCUAGAUGUUAAUACAUCUGCCCAAGUCAAGAGCAAAGCAAGGGGUAUUUGAAACGGAUUUAAUGCAUAUAAUAGUGGAAUUGGCCUUCCCACUGUCAAGAAUUCUAAGACUGAUUUGAGGGUCAUGGUUUAGUGAUUAGAGUUAGAGGUUAGCCAAUGUGGGACUAACAUGCAUUGAACAAGUCCUAACCAUAAUUUGGAGGGAGAGGGGACCAAUGUGUCUUUAGGACACAUGUCAUCUCCAAAUGCUUUCACAUCAUUAUUGAUCCUUAAUAUGGAAGUUACAAUUUUGGAGCAGUAUAAAAAGGCUUCAUUUCACGUCCAAUAAAAGAAGUUACCAUUUUCCUGGUCUCUUAAGUUCUCUUCUUGAUUUCACUACCAUUCUCUUCAAUUUCCUCCCGCCUCUCACUCUGCUCCACCCAUCCUCUCAAACUGUUGGCACCUCACCAUCCCAUUUAGUUGGCCUCCUAUAGAUAAGAACCCUACAUAAAGAAUGACUAUGCAUCCAUCACCAUUCCCUCACACAUAACCCCCAAUCCUCUUUUAGAAAACAUUAAUACUUCUAGGCAUCCAUGCACACAGCUCCAGAUCAUAGAAAAGCCUUGAAUUUUUCAUUAUAUACAAGCAUAACUAGAAUUUAGAAACAUACUGAAGUGCAUCACUAGCAACCUCUGUGACAAACUUCUGAGUGGCAACAGCUACUAGUCUAAUUCUGCAAAACAAAGGAGAAAGUCAAUCCAAUGCACCAUGAUACAUAUCCAGGAUGUCUAAUUCUGAUUUUAAAGAAAUCAUCAUCCUCCAAAGCAGGUUAUAACUCAUUAAUUUCCUUUUCUUAUUGAAUAAAUAUCUUUCCGUUUACAUUACACAAAAAAAAAAAAAAAAAGAAGGAAUCCAAAUUGCACUCUGUUUUUAAUUCAAAGAAUAUGGUAGCACCUAAGGUUUUCCGUUGAAAGGAAAGUGAUAACACAACCAACAAAGGCACAACCAAAACUUUUGAUCAUUAAUUUAUCAAAGAUUUCGAAUAAGAGUUUAAAAGAUAAAAAUUUUUAUUGGUUACAGAAAUUUGAGCAGCCUAUGACUUAAUCCAUAAACUUCUAGGAAAGUUUCAAGUGUAUGAAGACAGGAUUCAUAUGAACCAAAAGAGAGGGACAUUAGGAAAAGAAAAGGAAAGAAAUAGCAAGUCCUGACUGAGCAAAUUAAUUUUACAUGCAUAUGUCUAGAAUUUUUCCCAAGGUAAAUCACAUUAAGUGGAAAAGUAGGUGACAGCACAGCUCCCUGCUUCCUGGAUCUCAUGAACAUUUUUAUGUCCAUAUGGUUUAUGCCACAUGUACAGCAUCAAGUAAAAGUGAUUAUGUAUGCAAGUGUUGGCUACAGCAUUAUCUGAACUCUCUCAAUAACCAUUACAACUUCCAGGGUAACAGAGAUAUCACUAAAACUUGUAUCAAGUAAAAUAAGACCAAUCUCAUUUUCUGUUUCCUGGAAAAACGGUCCACAAAUGUGAAUUCAUGGAAGUAAAUUCAAAAUAAAGGAGCAUUACAUAAAAGUAUUAUGUUCAUUAUGUUGAAUUGUGAUGUGAAAUUUCCAAACAUAAAAGUUUACAAGAGCGAUAAAUAUAGGGUAUACGUAUAGGUUCUUAGAUGGUGAUUUAAAAAUCCAAGCAUCUUUGCAUUUUAUAGGUUGUAAAAGAACGCCUUAAAAUGGGUGGAUUAGCAACUGCUUUGACCAAGUUUUCAAGUUGGUUGAGCAUCUGGAGAUUAUAUAGACAUUCAUAUAAGGAGUAUACAAGGAGUAUAAGAAACCAUCCCAGCAUAUACCUGUCUUGAAAAUCUCUUUUCCCUCCCCAAAAAGAUAGCUCUUUCUUUAAACAAAUUCUUUACAUGAAAAAAUUGAUUAGUACCCCAUUGUUCUUUUUGUGCUCUAACAAGUUUGGUAUUAGAAGUGGCCUAAUAAUAUAGGAUGCACAUCAAAACCUUAUAGCUAUGGCUGUCUUCCAAAGGAAUGUGCUGACAUAACCAUUGAGAUACAGUCAAAGGUUUAGAAAGAGAGUAAAAGAGACCAACAUUGAGAUAGGAUCUUUUAUGGAUUGGUUUAAGUGUUUUAAUGGAGAAUUGCUUGAAGAGCAAAAUCAUAGAAGCAGCAACUGAGAAAGAGGAUGAAAGAAAGAGGAAAAGAAAGAAACUACUUAGGCAGCAACCCAGGAUGUCAAAGACAAUAUUCUUAUAUAAAUAAAGACUAGUCCAUUUUAAAUUCUCUGUUCGUUUAGUACAAUGGAACUUAUUUCUAGACUUCAAAAAACUUCCCAAACAAGUAAAGGACUUUAAAAACAAAGCUAAUCAAUAUGCUAAUCAAUAUACUAAUCAAAUAGGAUUCAAACUUCUUAAAAAUAAAAUGCUUCAUAAACACUUAAGCAGAUAGUUUAUAAUGCAUGAAAAGACUCUCAGCAAACCUCAAAUUAGAAACUUGGUAAAAAAAAGCAAAAACUUCGUUGAUCCAUUGUUAUCGUAAUGUGAGGAGUAAAAUGUAGAUAUGAUGAAGAAUACCUGCUAUACAAUUACAGUACUUGCCAGAAUAACUACUUGCUAAACACUUACUAAUUAAACUAUUUAUAUCUACGUAGGAUAUAGAAUUUCCAGGACAGAAUAACCUAAAUAAACGAUUUUCCCACCUUCUUGACAUGCUCCUACCUCUUUAAGCUUUCCCUCAAUAAUCAGAAAAUUCUCUCCAUGGCAACAAGUUCUAAAAGGUCACCCUUCAACUAUUCUCAAAAUCUAUUUAUUUUUUUACCAGGAAAAAUAAUUACACUCCACAUAUUUCCUCCACUUCUUAUUAGACUUUAGACCCAAACCUUCUUAUUCCAAAACAUCUUUCCAAAAAUCUAGCUUCACCCAUACCGGCAUACCCUUACUCUAGGAUCGUGAAUGAAAGAGAAAAAGUGGUCUAGAGCCCAACAAAGUUUGAGUUGUAUUGCCAUAACAAUUCAAUACCAUCUUAAGUUUCCAUACAGAAACUCAAAAAUUCUUUUGUUUGUACCUUGUGGAGUUGGGCUAGGGUGUAUAUUGGAGAGGAGUCCUCUUCACUCUUAGGUUUUUUGGAGUGGCUAGCGGCCACUUAAGGGAGGGUAAGGGUGCUUGUUUUUUGUGCUCUCGAUUUAGGCUGAUUUGUAUACUUCCUGUAUGCUUGGUGGCCUUUGCCCUUUAAUAUAUUUGUGUUUAUCUAUCAAAAAAAAAAUACCAUCUUAAGUUUCCAUGUAUGACUAUCUUGCUUGCCAAGUUACAUGGCCAUGCUCAAGCUAAUUUUACCAAACACUGAUACUGACUUAAAUUUAUAUCUUUCUUACAUUCAACUAUACAACUAUAUUCCAAAAACUCACACCCUUCCUCCAUCAGGCUCAAAAUCCAAAACAAAGCUUUAAUAAUUUCAAUAGAAGACAAGUUCUCCAAAACAAAAAAAAAAAAAAAAAAAGCCGUCAACAUGCACUAAACCCUAAUACUAAACGAAAUCAUACUACUCACACAGUUUCCAUGUACAUAUAGUCCCAUGUCAAAACAAUAGCCAUCGAAAGGUAAAAUAUAUACAAAAUUCACUGGCAUGUUGCUGAGAAAAUGAGAGAAAAUAAAAAUCAGAGAUCUUUCAUCAUCAUUGAUCGCAACACCAUAAAAAACAACCUAAUGCAAACAUAUGGCUUAGUCAGGUCAUUUUUAAAAAGCAUUUUCGGAAACCAAAACAGCCUAACUAUAGAAUCAAAAAAAAAAAAAAUUCUCAGUUUUCUAGGAAACCAAACAGGGCUAAAUAAAUGAAUACAUAAAAAGAAGUUAAAUAAAAAUUAAAAAGGAAAAAGUACCUACAAUCGAACAUCGGGACACUGAAACCCACUUUUGGCUAAAUAAUGCUCCACCAGUUCGUCUGGAAUCUGAAAGAACAAACACAGAAAAUUAUAAAAAUUCAAAAAAUAAAAAAUAAAAAUAAAAAGAAAAAAAAAGUUGGUUUUAGGCCAACAGAAAAAUCAUACAGUGGGAGUGUAGUCUACAAGGGAAGCGAGAAAAUCAGAGAGCGCAGAAUCAUCGUCGUGCCUUGCAUCGUUGCCUCCCUGGUUUUGAUUCAUCCUCCCUCUCUUUUUCCCUCACUUUCCAGGAAUGCGUUCUCCUUCUACCUCUAUAUUAUGAAUAUCUGCUUCAGUUUCUGGGCUUUGCUGUCCUCUUGUUUCCUUUCUUUUUUAUUUUAAUUUUUUUUCUUGAAUUAUUUUCUUCCUUACAUUUAAACAUCUACUAGAAAGCAAAAGCAUAGGCGUUAUUAAUUUUAUUUUAAAAAUUAAAUUUAUAAAUAUAAUAAAUAAUAAAUAAAAAUUAUUAUGUGUUAAAAUUGAAAUGUGUUUUGUGUCCUUUGCAUAUAUUUUUAUUUAAAAUUAAAAUAAACAUAUUUAAGAUUAAAAUUGAAAUAGGAUUUAUGAAGGUGGGAUAAAAAGAAUAAUAAAAUCACGCUAAUAAUAAUAACUUGAAUAUAUUUUUAUUUUAUGGAUUUUUUUUCAUCUCAUAAAUUAAGUUAAAUGUCAAAAUAUCUUUCCAUAUCAUAUUUGAAAAAGGAUUAUGAUUUUAAAUUUUGUAUGUUUAAAUGGGUUGAAAAUAUGAAUAUAAUUUAUAUAGGUUAUUUUUUGUAAAUAAUAUUGUAUAAUUUUCUGUAUUCAUGUGUCAUUAUAAUAUUAAAUUUUUUAUAAAAUAAGAAAAGUUAUUAGGAUUAUCCCUUAUCAUGGAAAAAUGAUAUAAGAUGAGCUUGUAUAAACUAGGAAUGAUAAGAGAGUUGGUUUGGGAUUGGUCACCGUAUCUUAACCCGAUCUCAUUUAUUCAAAAUAAUUAUCAUUUUGGGACCGUCUCAUGUGUAUUAACUUUUUCUUUUUCGAAAUUUUCAAUGUUUUUAAAUUAUUUUAAUUAUUUAUAAAAUAUAUUUAACUUUUUUUAUUUUUUAAUAUUUUUAAAUUAUUUUAAUUUUUAUUAAUUAUAUUAAAAUAAAUAUAUUUUAUAGAUAAUUAAAUUAUUAUAUUUUUAUAACUUAUUUUAUUGAAAAUUAUUAUUAUUAUUAUUAUCAUUAUCAUCAUCUACAUAUUAAAAAUAGAACAAAUUUAAAUAAUUUUAUAUAUGAUCGGGGUGGGAUAAGGCAAUACAUGAACCUAUUUUGGGUUUAAAAAAAAAUUCUCAAACCCAUCUCAUGGGACGGAUUCCGAAAAAAACUCAUCUCAUUGUCAUCCAUAAUAAAUAUUAUAUAAAGUGGAUGAAGAUGUAAAAAAAAUUAGAGACUACUGAUAUAGCAUGGUUUAUAGUGUAGAUAAUAAAGAAUGAAGAAAUAUGAGAUAUUUAGAAGGUACGUGGGUUUGAUCGAAAUUAAAACCUGGUAUACCUUUAUGUGAAUUAUUUAAUUUUUUUUGUUCUUAAACAAACAUUAUUUGAAUUAAAAUUUCUACUGACUUGAUAAACUAGUAUUAGAGUUUUGGGUUGGAGAUUUCUAGGAGGAGUGAAUAUAUAUUUUUAUAAAAUAAAAACCGUUAUUAGAAAUAUUUCUAUAAAUAUUUUAAAUUAUGGAAAAAUAGUUAUAAGUAACAUUGUUUGCAUUAAAACUUUCGUAUCUACAACAAUAUUAAAAUAUCUUUAUCUUCAUUUCUUUAGAUUAAGUUUAAAAAAUAUGGAAAAUGUAUUUCUAAAUUAUUUUAUUUUAUUUUAAAUUUUUUUCUUGCAAAACCAAAUUUCAAUUUUAUAUAUAUAUAUAUUUCUUAGAACCCAAUUUUUAUGAAUGAUAGUGUUUGUCAUGGAAAUUUAUGAGGAUAUGAAAAAUGUGGUUGUAAAUUUUCUUUGACUUUCUAUUAGAGGGAGAAGCAUUGUUAUUUCUUUAUCACCUAAAAUAAUUAAUAAUUACAAUAUCACUCUCAUCUCACAUGGGAAAAUAAAAACCAAAAUGGAAAAUUUGCCCCCUUUAAAAAAUAUAAAUUUAAUUUAAAAAAUAAUAGCAGCAAAAAAAAAAUUACCAUUAAUUACUAAUAAAAUAUUAAGAUUGAACUAAAAUUAAACAAUAAAUAAAAUCUCAUUUAGUAUUGGCCCUUAUUUUUUCUUAUUUAUUUAUUUUUUUCCCUUUUAUACUUAUUUUUUUUAUGAUUUUGUCUUCUCGGGCUUAACUAAAUCAUAAAAAAUAAUACUUUUUAAACUACUAUUGUUUUAGUGAUGAUUCAUUACAUGAAAUAUAACUUUUUAAGUGAAAAACUUUAUUUUCAACUAUCUCAUAUUCCAAAAAAAAAAAGUGUAUUGAUUUGAUAUCUAUGGAAAUAUUAAUCUCCACUUUUAAAACUAUGUAGAAAAUUUUGGGUCUUUGGAACGAGACUAAGGUAUAAAUAAAUAAAAUUAGCUUAUAACACAAUAUGACCUAAAGGCCCACACCACUUCCAUGUGAAAAAUAUCAAAAUCUAUAAUAGAAAUGAUUGAAUUCUUUAAAAAAUUUUAAGGCUAUGUGUAGACCCCCAUUCUGGGCUUGCUUUUAUGCAGCCAUUUUUUAUAGGUGUUGCCAUCUAGGGUGGCCACGUGUCAAUCUCUGGUUGGCUGUUAGAGCACCAGAGUGGUGUUUUUGAUGGCCAGUGGGUGUGCGACACGUGUCCAAAGAAUCUGCAAAAAGCUGCAGACGGUUAGAGGGGUGGGGUGGCCAGCUGCUUGAUCUCUUUCCUGGCCGUUGGAGAUAUUUUGAGGGGGAGAUACCUAGGCUGUGAGGGGAUAUGCAGAGAGGAGGUACGUUUCUAUUGAGGAGCAGCAGGCCAGCGGCAGGAGGAGUGGUCUAGGCUGCCGUUGGGGAUUUUUUCAGAGAGGGAGAUAUUUUUUUUGACCAGAGGGGGAUUUUCUGGACCUUUUGAUGCUGGUCUGAGGGAUUUUGUGGAGGGCAAGAAAAGUUGAGGGAGCUUCAGAGGGAGAAAACCAGUCGGAGGAGAGCAUAGGAGAGGUGAGAGAGCUUGGAAAGGUACCGGGGCUGGUUACUCAGGGAUAUUUGAGAGUGCUUUUAGCAGGAGGUUAGCAGAGAGAGAGAGGAAAAGAGAGGGAGGCUUUCGUGGUGAUUUUUCAAGGGUGACCUUUCUAAGAGGGGAGAAUUCUUUGGGGAUUUUUCGGAGAGAUUGUGGAGAGAGGUAUUUUCUGGAGGAGAUAUUUUUGAGGAGCUUUUGGGCUGGAUAGGCAAGUGAAGCUGAUGAGGGGAUUCUUUCAGAAAAGGUUUUGAGUUGGGCGUCUCCCAGAAAGGUGAUAAAAAUAGAGUUUGAAGUCAGGCGAGCUUUCAUUGGUGAGGAGGCUUUCCAGGUAUGGACUCUGCUCAUCAUCUUCUCCAUCUUGUUUUGGAUAUCAAUGAGCUUCCAUCUUGGUGUUUGAAUAUGUUUGCUAUGGAUUUCACUUGACUCAGCUUUGAAUUCUAACCUGUUUUUGUGUCCUUUGUUUUGAGAUCUCUUAUGAGAUGUUGGCAUUCCCACAUUUGUUUUUGUCUUAAAACUCAUUUGAAAAAUCGUUUUGACCCCCUCCUACAUCUGAGCUCAUUGAUUGAUAUGUGAAAUGAAGCUUGUAUGGAUUCAUUUGGUCCCCAUUGUUUGUGUUUUUCUUUGGUCAUCUUCCCCUGUUCCUGGUGCUCAUCCAUGACAUGCACCUGAUUCAUCGUCUCCACGUUAAGAAGAUAUAUGAGAGCUGUCAGUGGGUCAUUCUGGGUCUAUUCUACCUCAGUGUGCUCUUAUUGGUUGAGAAUCUCCAGUUUUUGGUUCGUUUAAUGGCAUCUGAAUGGCCGACAGUAUUAAUUGCAUCAUUGUGGUAUGGGAUGGCAAUGGAAAACUAAAAGCAGAGGAUGGUGUUUUCUUACGUUAUUUGAACUGUGUAAAGGAGCUUUUCCGGGGAAAAAUAAUCGUUAUGAAAUUUGUCAUUCAGAGCCAUGUGGGGAUUGCAACUUAAUGCCAAGCGGGAUUAGGCCACAUGCCAUGCUAGGGAUUGUGUACCAUGCUUGGUGCUUGUCAAUCAAAAAUGUCGUUGUGGGUCAAUAUCAAAAUACCAUGAAGCCACAACGGAGGAGAAAAUUACCUGUGAGAAGCUUUGUGAGUGGAAGGAGAACUAUGGAAGACACUGUUGUAGUGAAUGGUGUUGUGCUCUCUCUGAUUUUCUGGCAAUGUUCUCUCUGGCGAUUGGGAUCCGCAUUUAUGUGCAAUGACAUACAGAAAGAAACUAAAGUGUGAGCAGUCCUCUUGGGAAACUUUUUUGUCUUAGUGGCCAUUUCCUGGAAACAGUCUUUACUGAUUUAACCUGUGAACGUGGGAGGAUUUUAAUGGCUCCUUCAUUUCCUUAUGACAUCCCCACUCCAAAAUCCACCCAAAGCCUUCUGCCAGUCCACUCAUUGCCCAUUUCAUACCCAUUUCUAUUACUACCACUCUCUCUCUACACCACCAUGCACUAUGUCAUCACUCUCACUCACUCAAUAUGCCCCUUGCUGCAGCCGUUUUAUCAUUGAAUCCACUUUCCUUCACCACUUUCCAUUACCCUUUGUAUCAUUCUCUCAUCACCCGCUUGCCUUCGAUCUUGUCACGUACGUGGAGUCUCAUGCAUGCACGACUGUCUAUCAUACACUAUCUCAUCUUCCAUGCUUCUAUCUCAACCCCAUGCCAUCCUACCCAUAACCUCAUGCAUGACUGAACCCAUUCAUACCCCAUCACCCUCUGUUCGUUUCCUACAUCCUGCGUAACCUCCAAAAUCCACCCAAAGCCUUCAUCCCUAUUCCCAUGCAAAUACUUCACUAACCACUACCCUACUCUCUAAUGCCCAUCUGACUCAUUCUUUUCAUCACCACCCCACCUUCAUUAUUUCAUACCCAUACAUACCAUCAAUUCAUCCAAUACCCACCAUAUCCACCAUGUUCGUCUUUCCACAUCAUACACCUUCCAUACCCAUUCUCCCUAACUUUUAUACUAACAUAUGCCCAUCACCUACAUAUCCAUCUCCAUGCUCGCUCCUAUCUCUACACUGCCACCCGUACCCAUUAAGUCCACUUCUUGCAAUAUGGCAUGCACCUAGUCCCCCACUCACUUCUUAGUACUUUUCAUUUCCCAUUCUUCCCUAGACACAUGCAUGACCGUCCUUAGGUGUUUCACUUCCCGCACCUCAUCCCUUCAAACUCUCUGCCAGUGAACCCAUUUGUUCGGAAGAAGUGGGCGUGCUUAUGACCUGUGGAGACUGGAACUGAAGCAAAAAGUGCUUUGUUGCAUGACAAGGAGAAUGGGAAAUUCGAUCAAGAACCUGGAGUUACCGAGUCCACAAAAUUCGGUUCUCAUGGAGAUGAGCCUGUCAAAAGGAAGGGUCCAGUUCUAGAAGCAUUUGGUAAUGCAAAGACUGUCAAAAACAAUAAUUCAAGUCGGUUUGGUAAGUUUGUGGAGAUUCAAUUUGAUCAAAGGGGAAGGAUUUCAGGAGCAUCUAUCAGGACUUAUUUGCUGGAAACAAAGCUAUUUUUGCUUGAAGGAUGAGAAUUUCAUUGGCUAGGGUACUCUUUGUGCAACCAAAUAUUCCAUUGCUUGAUGAACCCACCAACCAUCUUGACAUGAGGGCUACUCUCUGGUUAGAAGAGUACUUGUGUAGGUGGAAGAAAAUUCUUCUUGUCGUCUCACAUGAUCGGGAUUUUCUUAACAGGAAGCAGAUGUUGCCAUAUCUUGUUGCACACGCACCCAACUGCAAUAGUGCAGUCCAUAAUAAUGCAAGUGGUAGGCCAUCAGCUAAGGAUAGUGCCCAGGUUGAUUUGUCUUCACUGUCAGUUAACUUCUCCCUGAAUUCAAGGUGACAAUCCCAGCUAACACCAUACAAGCUGAAGUGCGCUAAAGUCAACUUGCUCAGAGGAGACUCUUACACAGGAAUAUGUUCAGCACGGAUACAGGGUGAUUGAUGUGGAACUAAGGGAUGCUUAUUUCAGUUAUCCAACAAAGACAGAAUAACUACUUACAUGUAAUGAGGAGAUGAGGUGACUUAGUAUCCUGCAACUGUUCAUUCUAGUGAUAGAAAGACAGCUUGUUCUUCAUUGAGGUCAAUAUUGACGUCUUGUUGACUCCGAAGGAAAUGUGGUGAUAGGUAGCACGAUGAAGCAUGGUGUAAAAGAAUAAGACUCCCACGUGGUACAGGUAGCUUUAAUGUUGAAGUUCGAACUCCCGUAGACGGCUGAAGGCUGUUUCAAUGCAUAGUUUCCAAUUGAGGCCAUUGCAAAUGCUGUAGUUACAGCUAUACCCAAUCCAGAGGGUGUAAGUGGUGCUGCAAGCAAUUCAAUUCAAGAAUCCACUCACAGAAAAUUUGUUAAGGCACCCCUCAUGUACUUUCAGAAUCCUCAUCCUCAUACAGUGUUAUUCUACACACUAUCACUGUUUUCUGAAACCUUAUAGCAGUUACCAUUUGGUUCAGUGAUAAGUGCAAAUCCCUCCUAAGCGUGAUAUGAGAGGUCACGAGCAGUACCUCGGUACCAUAUUCAGCAGUCCAUCUGACCAAAAUUGUAGUAAAAGCUCUUCAAUGCCUCCAGAAACCCAUGGAAAUCUUGCUACAUAUCACCAGUAGCUCAUCAUUCAAACUGUCUGCAUAGAUCCAUUGAACUCCCCAGAGAUUUGGGAUGCUAAGUGAGCCGAAGAUCAAGUCUACAUGGCUGAGAUGUUGAUGCAAAGGAAGGAUGGUCGCCACAGUUUUCCAGCAACAUUUGCAGCAGAUCGAGUUAUUCAUGUGUUCAUGUUUGAGAAAGGGUGUUAGGGACAUACAGGAAAUUACGAGAGAUCCUCUUCAUAGGCAGAGAUGGAAUAAUAUGCAGUCAGUGCUCCAGGUGCCCCAAGUUUAUGCUUCUAGUCUGCAUGGCUUUCUUAGUCACUCCUAUGCCACGUGUCACCUCCCAUUCCAUCACUCUUUUGGCUUAGAAAAUAAUUUUCUGAUUCCUUUCUUGCAAAUAAAUUUUUAAACAUCGGUUUUCAAAUAAUUUCAAUAUUUUCCAUAUUUCAUCCUUAGGUUUUCUUUAGGUUCCAACAUUUUGUUUUUAAUAAAAUUUGCUGCCAUCUUUCUUCGGCGUGCAACUUUCAUAACUUCUCUGAUUUUAAAAUGUUUUAAAAUAAGUGUGAAUUUAUUUUUCGUAAUUCUUGGUGAUAGAAUUUACGAAAUUAAUUCAUACAAAAAUAAAUGGGCUUUGGUGGGGGCCCAACAUCAAAUAAAUUUUCUUUAAAAUAAAAUUGAGUGAAAUGACACAUGUGCUAUUGAUGAUUUCAUAUUUAGUUUAGUGACAUGUAUGCUAUAUCUUGUGAUCAUUGUUUUGUACUAAUCUCAUUUUCAUGAUAGCGCGUUGUUGUUUGCUGCUAAGGUACACAUUUUCUCUCACUUUGUCCAUCUCUCAUGCUUGCUUCGAUUCUCAGUGUGUAAUCAUGUUGAUAUUCAUUGAUUUUCCUAUUGAUUGUCAUGUCAGCUUCAUCUCAUUAGUAGAGACCCGACUUUAGGGACUUAGAGGGGUGCUACGGUCUUUACCGUACCUUCCCGAUAAGUAACCUGACCCCCGAACUCGAUCCGGUUUUUCGUAGAUCACCUUUUCCAAAUAAGGAGUCACACUUAGGGUUUUUCUUUCUUAUUUUGUUUACCCUUUUAAAAAUAAAACAAAAAUAAGUGGCGACUCCAAGUCAUUUUCAAAUAAUCAAUAAAAAUCAAUUUUUCAAAAUAAAAAUCGAGUUUCGCCAUCGAGUGGGAAACGCAUUCGAGCGAUUCGAAAAUGCGGGGUCCACAAAAUGGCGACUCCACUGGGGGUCAUUAGAGGGUCAAGCUUGAACUUAAGAUGAAGCAAAUGUGGUGUUUGAUGAGUUUAUCAGUGGGUACUCACUUAUUGAUUGCACAUUGAGAGUUCCCGAGUUUUCACUUGGGACAUUGACAUGAUUGAUUGUAUUGGUCGAUUAUCUUGAUUGGAGAUUCUGAGAUAGCUAUUUUCUUUGUGCUUCAUUGAUAUAUUUGUUUGAGAUAUUUGACAUGCUAAUUAUGAUGAUUGAUUCGUAUUGAUAGAGGAUUCCGAGAUAGCUAUUUUCUCUGUGCUUCAUUGAUAUAUUCAUUUGAGAUUUUGACAUGCUGAUUAUAUUGAUUGAUCAUUUCGUAUUGCUUAGCGCAUUGAUCCUGAUUUUUCCAUGAUUAUUCUGAUCACUUCACAUGCAUACACUCACCACUGUACAUCACUCAGCUUGCUGUGUUGUUUCUCUGGCUUGCAUAUUAUCUUGAUCGUCUUUUGAGCAUGAUGUUCAUAUCGCUAUUCAUCCUGAUAGUUGUAACUUUUUGUGUGGACAUGAGUGAUAUAUCCUGUACUCUGCUUGACUGUAUGAUGCAUGACUGCCCUCCCUCUGUAUGAUUGCAUGUUGCCUGUCUAUGUGGGUCACACUUCUAUCCCCUUACCUCCAACUCUCUUGGUUUCGGUCAUUCCUUUCAUCCCGGUUCUCACUAUUGCAAGUGUGAGACCUUCUAUGUGUUUGCUCUCUGACCGAGCCAGAGAUUAGGAGUAGGGUCUAACGACGGGCUAUAUCGAUGCACGGGAGCAUUCUGGAGAAGAGCGACACUGAUGUCGAUUGGAGUACGAUCAUUGAAGACCUGUAUAGCCCGAAGCUAGGUUUCAUGGAUAUUUGUGUAGCCAGUGUGUUUCCUCUUCUGUUUUAGCUUCCUAGGGUUUUCGGAUGCACCCACACCAUCACUGUGCACUCUAGUUGACUAUUGAGCAUUGAGAGUUUGAGAGGUUUCACCAUAGGAAACCCCCUGGGAUGUCGAGGUAGUGCAUGUGUGGAGGUGAUGACCACCUUGCAUGGAAGCGCCUCGUCUCUUCGAAGACGUGCAGAGGGUUGCGUACCGCCGGAGGGUAUGAUCGCUUCUGCCAGGGAUAUUUUAAAGUCCACCCUUAUUCAUUUAGAGCCACCUUGACCUUGUAGGUUGAGCCGUAGAUCCUUCGAUUAGGAUUCCCUCCCUACACGUGGGUGCAUCUGAGGGCUUCCAGAGCCUCUGUGGUUACAGUUUGGAUCCAGUAUUCCCUCUUUUUAGUCUCCAGUUGAGAGUGCUCGGAGAUCGGUAUGAGUUUGAGUACGGUUGGGUCACCUUUCGUCUUGCCGCCUUAGUUUGUGUUUUUCAUUUGAUGAGUUUAACAUGUUUUCUCCUUAGGGCUUUCGUUCUCAUUUCUUGGCUCGACACACCUUUUCACUUUGUUUUCACUCACUCGAUACUUUGGGAUAUGUUCAUUGAUCAUCUUUUUACACUAUAUACCUAUCAUGGGCUCAGUACCAUAUUCUUUGUUUGAUCCUUGGUUCGAUUUUCGAUUCGAUGCUCAUAUUUUCAUUACAGAAAGGUGAAAGGCAUAUUUUCAUAUUCACACAUUUUUCGAGAGAUUCGCCUUGAUCACCUUAUCAUUUUGUCUCUUAUGGAGCUCGAGUUGAAGGUUGAAUCAAGGAUAUUUUUGGUCUAGACUGAGUAUUGAUCUCGUGAUAGUGUUGUUCUUCACACCCCAUUCAUUUUCUUCACACCUCGAUCAUUUUUUGGAUCAUCGAUAGAAAUUCUUUAGUCAUAUUUGUAGUUGUCUCACAUUGGACACUCAUGUGACUCUAGAGAUUCUAUCGUCUAUCCAAAUUUUGAUUGUCACCAUAUGAUUGUGUGUCGCACCCUGUCAUAUAUUGGGUUGUAGUGUAUCCCAUGCAUUGGUCAUUGUUCGUUGCAUCUUGUGUCGUUGCAUGAGUCGUGUUUGAGUCGUUGUGUUUAGAUUCUUUUGUAGGGGUUAUUUGUAGUCCCAGUCUUGGUUCAGUGCCCUGGAUUGAGUGAGAGAGAUGUUGAUUCGUAUCGUUGAGCUGCUAUAGACAGAUUCACAGUCAGUUUCGAUUGGUUAGGUUAUUGCUUCUGUGGUUUCGAUUCAGAAGGCAUUGGCCAGUUUGAGUUAGAGGAUGGAUAGUCAGCCGAGUAGGCAUGUAGUGCUCGAGGACACGCCAUCUGAUUUAGUGACACCACCUGUUAUACCCGUUCAGAUGCCAGCUACACAGACUUUGCAUACUAUUUCACAUGAUCGGGCUGCUAUCGUUCCACCUAUUGUCACACCAGUUACCAUUGUUGGGGAUCCUCAUUCUCGUAUGGACAGACUCGAGCGGAGGAUUAGAUGGAUGAGAGAUCUUGAUGAGAUGAUUUCAUGGGAUGACCCUGGCAAUGUGCCAGUGGCCACUUUGCCAGUCGGUUUCAGGAUGCCUGAUAUAGAGAGAUAUACGGGUGUUGGAUGUCCUCGUAUUCAUCUCAGACUUUAUAGCACAGUUAUGAGGGCUCUUGGUCUAGAUGAGGCACAGUUGCUCACUUUGUUUCCAUUGUCAUUGAGCGGCAUGACACAGAGAUGGUACGCUUCAUUAGAGUCAUCUCGUCGGAGAACUUGGGAGGACUUAGCACAGGAGUUUCUGAGACAGUAUUCCUUCAGUGGUGAUACGAGCGUUACACGUAGAGAGCUUGAGUUUCUUAGACAGGGAUCAGAUGAGCCUGUUUUUUCUUUUAUCUCCCGCUGGAGGGAGAAGGCCGCAGAAAUGAUUGAGUGACCUACCGAGAGAGAUCAGAUGGGCAUGUUUUUGAGGAGCUUGCAUCCUAGGUUUGCUCGGCAUCUGACAGGAGUCCCAUUCCAGGAUUUCAGAUCAUUGGUUCAGGCUUUGCUUGAUGUAGACGAUGGCCUAUCUAGAGGAUUAUGGUCAGAUAUUAUUCCUUCUCCGGAUACUGAGGGGAAGGGAGUUGGUGGAUCAUCUGAGAGCUAUGGAGACGUAUGUUCUGUGGACUUUCAGCAUCGACGGCCUGGUUAUCAUCCCUAUGCGAGAUCAUUGCAGAUAUCCAGGAGUGAUUUCCCACCUUUACAGCAUCGUCAUCCUCAUCCAGUUUAGCUGUACCCUUCUACGCAUCCUCAUGCUGUCACGGUGCGACCUUCAUUUCAGUUUCAGCGUCCAUAGACUGGCAUCCCACGGCAUGAGCAGUCUCGUCCCCAUCGGCGACGUCAAAGGACUUAUUCUGAUUUGGGGAUGCCUUUGGAUAGAGCUUUUGAGCGAUUCCGAUCUAUUGGUGUUUUAGUACCAUUGGCCCCUAGGCCACUCCCGAGUACCUUGCCUCCGCGUUUUCAUGCUCAUGAGUUCUGUGCAUUUCACCAGAUGGCAGGCUACCGUACUGAUUAUUGUGCUUCUUUACGUCACACCAUACAGGAUCUUAUUGACAGUGGCGCAGUUAGCUUUCCCAUAUCGACCACAGAUACUGAUCUUGGUCUAGAUAUGUCUACUGAUUCCUUUCCAGCUUAGUCCACACUAUGUUUGGUUUUUGAAAAGUAUCAAGAAAGAAAAAUUGUUAAGAAAAGUGGUUUUCUCAUAUUUGGAUUUGUCCUGAAAAAUGCAAAAGAAAAAUUAAAUAUAAUUAAAAUUAGUUAAAAAUCUAUACAUUUUAAAAUUAUUUUAUUUUUAUAUAAUGAAGGAAAAUAAGUGAAAUGAAUUUGAAGAAGUAUAUAAAAAUAAUUUAUUGACUUUGUUUAUAUUUUUUAUUUUCUUCCAAUUUUCCUUUCUAUUUUUAUUUUUUCACAUUUUCCAAGGGUUCUUGUUAUAAAAUGAUUAAAAUUGUUGAAAUUUUCUAAUGAUUUUUCUUUCUUUUUAGAUUUCCUUAAAAUAUUUUUGACAAUUUUUUUAUAUAUAUAUUUUUUAAAAAAUGUUCUUAAUACUAUAAUUGUUUAAUUUGAUACAUUCUCGAAAUUAAUAUUUGAAACUAUUUAUUAUGUUAAUAAUAAUAAUAACAGUAAUAAUAAAUAACAUUAAUUACCAUAACUAUAAUGUAAUAUUUUUCUCCUUGGCCCGUAAGAAGUGUUUGACUCCGCUUUAAUUUGAUUUUAUCUUUAAAUUCAUCAUGCUUAAUACAUGAAAAAAAAAAAAGUAGAUAAAGUAAAUAUGAAGAAAAAAAAAAGGAUCAACUUGUUAUUAUAAUAAUAAAUAAAAUAUUAGAUUAAUAUAUUUAAAAAUUAAUUUCUUUCAUCUAUAUAAUUAUAAUUCAUAUUUAAUGCAAGUUUUGUCUUCUUUUUUUCCUAUAAUAUCAUUUUUUCCAUCUCUAUAUAUAUUAUUUUAUAAUUUUUUUAAAUGUAUUUAAUUAUUAACUAUUUGAGUGAUGUUAUAACCAAAGUUUAUAUAUUUUUUUAAAAGAGGUAAUUAUUGAUUUAGGGAAAAAUAGGUUUUCACUCGCUAAAAUAAAAAUAUAUGGAAAAAAUAAUCCUAAAUUUUUUAAAUUGUUAUAAAUGGGUGGUGAAUGACCACCUUAAUGUUAUCGUUGAAGUUCAUUUAUGAACUUUCCCAUUUGGAAAACUUAUAAAAGGCCUUCCAUCCUUUGUACAAGAGCAUCCCGAAGAAAGAUAUUUAUUCAUUUCUCUCAUUCUCAUUCUCAUUCUCUCUCUCUUAUUCUCUUAUUUUCUAAACUUUUUCACUUCUCCUUUAUGAUCCCUUCCUCCCCAUUACAUAUUAUUAUUGAGUAAUAUAUAGUUGUUCUAUACUUUUAUUAGUAUUGCAUUUAUCCUCAUUUUACAACACAUUAUCAGUAUGAAUUGCUUUGAAGGUAAUUCUCGUAUCUUAAACUUGAAGUUGUUUAUAUAUAAUAAAAUUUUACAUAUUUAUAUUGUUGUUAGAUUUUGUUUUGUUAUAUAUUGUUAAAAGUUAUAAGAAAAUUAUUUGAUUUUGUUUAUAAUCAAAAGUUAUACUAAUGUUAUCAAUUUAUUAUAACUGAUUCUAAUAAUAUUGUUUUGUCAUAUAUAUGAAGUUAUUUGACAAUAUCGAAUUUCACAAAACUCAAAUUUGUGACAUUUGACAUUUCAGGAAAUAACUAUCUAUCUUGGAUCCUUGGUGUUGAAAUACAUUUUGAUGUAAUGAAUCUUGGAGCUACGAUCAAAGAAGAAAAUCAAGUAUCCCUACAGGAUCGCGCAAAAACGCUGAUUUUCCUUCGCCAUCACCUCCAUGAAGGUUUAAAAAAUGAGUAUCUUACAGUAAAAGACCUUUUUACUCUAUAAAGUAAUUUGGAGGAAAUAUAUGACCACUAGAAAAUUGUGAUUCUCUCAAAAGCUCGAUAUGAUUGGAUGCAUCUAAGUUUGUAGGAUUUUAAAACUGUUAGAGAAUAUAACUCCGCAUUUUUCAAAAUCAACUCUCAAUUAAAGCUGUGUGGAGAAAGAAAAAAAAUCAUAGAAGAAGACAUGUUAGCAAAAACUUUAACUACGUUUCAUGCCUCAAAUGUGCUCCUACAACAGUAAUAUCGAGAGUGUAGAUUUACAAAAUAUUUUGAAUUAAUAUCAUGUCUUCUUGUUGUUGAACAAAAUAAUGAGCUUUUAAUGAGAAAUCACCAAUCUCAUCAACUGGAUUUGAACCAUUCCCUAAAGGAAAUGCAAUAUCGUCCCAAACUCGUGGACGUGGAUGUAGACGAGGACGAGGACAUGGUCGUGGAAGAAAUCCCCGGUACCAUGGUUCUUAUGGUAAUAAUUCAUCAAAUUCUUAGAAAAGGAAAGUCUCAUUGCACUAUCAGAAGUGGAAUAAUACCGAGGCAAAACAAGAAAAUGGGAAGUGUUUACAAGAUAAACCUCCUCAAAACCAUGAGAAUAAUUGUUAUAGAUGUAAUAUGAAAGGGGAUUGGUCACGUACCUGUCAUACACCCAAACAUUUGGUCAACCUUUACCAAGCAUCAAUAAAAACAAAAGGAAAAGAGAUAGAGAUGAACUUUACCGAUGGUGAUGGAUUGGACCUAACCUACUAUGAUAUUGAUUUUUUUAGAGGUUCUAGUAAAAAAAUAGGCCAUUUAAUAAAUGAUGAGAAUAUUAACUUUGAUUGAUGUUACUUUAUAUAUCGAAUAUAUAUUAUUAUGUCUUAUAUUCACAUUCGAUUUUCUUUUGUUAUUUACAUUAUGCCUUGGUUUUUUUUAAAUAUUAGUUAUAUAUAAAAUCCAUGUGUUAUUUGAUCUCAAGAUGAAUGAGGAUGAUGUAUGUCUCGUAGACUAUGCAACCACACACACAAUUCUUCGAGAUAAAAGAUAUUUCCUCAAAUUGACAUUAAUAAAAGUUAAUGUAAGUACCAUAUCUGCUACUACAAACUUAGUUAAAGGCUCUGGAAGAACAAACAUAACACUACCAAAUGAAACUAGAUUCUAUAUAAAUGACACUUUAUAUUCUAACAAAAAUGGAUAUCAUAUUGAAACUGUGAAUAAAGAUAAUGUAGAAUAUCUUUACAUUAUUUCCAUUAUAUCUGGCUAGAAGCUUAUAAUGGAAAAACUCUCGGCUUUCUCCUCUGGGUUGUGUCAUACAACUAUAAAGCCUAUUGAAUCAUAUGUUGUCAUGAACCAAAAGUUCAACGAUCCAAAAGUUUUUGUCCUUUGGCAUGAUAGGCUAGGUCACCCAAGGUCUUCAAUGAUGUGUCAAAUAAUUGAACACUCACAUGAGCAUCCAUUAAAGAAUCAAUAGAUUCUUUUACUUAAUAAAUACUCAUGUGUUGCCUGCUCACAAGGUAAAUUGAUAGUCAAAACAUUUUUUACUAAAGUCAUAUCUGAGUCACUAGUCUUUUUAGAAAGAAUACAUGGGGACAUAUGUGGGCCUAUCCAUCCACCAUGUGGACCAUUUCGUUAUUUUAUGAUCUUAAUAGAUGUUUCUACUGGGUGGUCACAUGUUUGUCUCCUUUUUACACGUAACGUUGCCUUUGCUAGACUCCUUGCACAAAUAAUCAGAUUAUGAACAUAAUUUUCAGAUUAUCCAAUUAAGACAAUACGCCUUGAUAAUGCUGACGAAUUUACGUCUCAAACAUUCAUUGACUAUUGCAUGUUAGUAGGGAUAAAUAUUGAGCAUCCUGUUGCUUAUACUCAUACCUAAAAUAGCUUAGUAGAAUCAUUUAUUAAAUGUCUCCAAUUAAUAGCUUGACCAUUACUAAUGAAAGCCAAAUUACCUACUUUUGCUUGGGAAACAUGCUAUUAUGCAUGCUGCAGCUUUAGUCUGUAUUUGACCUGCAACUUACUAUGAAUACUCCCUUAUAACUUGUGCUUGAAAAACAACCAAAUAUCUUUCACUUACAAAUCUUUAGUUAUGUAGUAUAUGUACCAGUUGCACCUACACAACGCACCAAAAUGGGUCCCCAACGAAGACUUAGGAUUUAUGUAGGCUUUGAUUUUCCAUAUAUUAUAAGAUAUCUUGAACUUUUGACAAGCGAUGUUUUUACAACCAGUUUUGCAGAUUUUUAUUUUAAUGAGGGUGUUUUCCCGCCAUUAAGGGAAGAAAAGUCGAUUCUUGAAAAACGAUGAGAAAUUACUUGGAACGCAUCUGCUAUGUCCCAUCUCAAUCCUCGUUCAAGUCAGUGUGAACUAGAAGUUCAAAGGAUCAUUCAUUUGCAAUCUUGCAAAUCAACUACCAGAAACAUUUAUUGAUACAAAGAAAGUGACAAAGUCACAUAUCCCUACUGUAAAUACUCCAACACGAAAUGAUGUCCAUGUAGGACAGUUAACAAAUGAAUCUAAGAUACGCUUGAAGCGUGGUAGACUUGUCGGCUCAAAUGAUGUAACUCCCCAGAAGAUGAGAACACAAGAAAAACUUGACACUUUAAAAGAGGUCAUCAAAAUGAUUGAUCAGUUUAAAAUUGAUAAAUCUAUUGCCCCAGAAAAGGCACAAAUAAUGCAAAAAGCCCCUAAAGAGGCACAUAUUAAACGAGAAGCCCCUGAAGAUGCACAAAUACCUUAAAAUUGUAAGAUUUCAUUAAAUUAUGUACACACGGGAGAAAAAUGGGAUCAAAAUAAUAUUGUUAUUAACAAUAUUUUUGCUUCCAAAGUGGCCUCCUAUAUCAUAAGAAAUGAUGAAGAUCUUGAACUACGAAAUAUGGAAGAAUGCUGACAUAGAAAUGAUUGGCCAAAAUGGAAAAAAGCUAUGCAGACAAAGUUAAACUCAUUAACAAAACGAGAAGUUUUGGACUUGUAAUCCAAACACUUGAAGAUGUAAAACCUGUUGGGUACAAAUGAGUAUUUGUACGAAAGCGUAAUGAGAAUAAUGAAAUCAUAAGAUAUAAAGCGCGAUCAGUUGCACAAGGUUUCUCACAAAGACUUGGUAUUGACUACGAGGAAACAUACUCUCCUAUCAUGGACGCAAUCCCAUUUCGUUUCUUAAUUAGUUUGGCAGUUUCAGAAAGAUUGGAUAUGUGUCUCAUGGAUGUUAUUACAACAUAUUUAUACGGAUCCAUGGAUAAUGAUAUAUACACGACAAUCCCUGAAGGAUUUAAAUUGCCUGAAGCAAAUAGUACAAAGCCUCGAAGCAUGUACUUAAUCAAGUUCCAACGAUCCUUGUAUGGAUUAAAGCAAUCUAGACGCUUGUGGUACAAUCGCAUUAGUGAAUACUUGCUAAAAGAAGGGUAUGUGAAUAACCCUAUAUGCCCAUGCAUCUUCAUUAAGAAAUCAGAAAUCAUAAAUCAGAUUUGCAAUUAUUGUAGUGUAUGUUGAGGACUUAAAUCUUGUUAGAACUCCUGAAGAUCUCACAAGAACAACAAAUUACUUGAAAAAGGAAUUUGAGAUGAAAGAUCUUGGAAAAACAAAAUUUUGUCUCGGCUUACAUAUCGAGCAUUUUCCAAAUGGAGUUUUAAUACAUCAAUUAACAUACAUUAAGAAAGUUUUGAAGUGUUUUUAUAAGGAUAAAGUGCAUCAUUUAAGUUCUCUAAUGGUUGUCUGAUCGCUUGAUGUGAAAAAUGACUAAUUUCGUCCUUGCGAAAAAAAUGAAGAAUUACUUAGUCCCAAAGUACCAUAUCUUAGUGCUAUUGGUGCACUUAUGUAUCUUGCCAAUUGUAUAUGUUCAGACAUUGCUUUUUCUGAUAUGAGUUUAUUUUACUUAAGGGAAUGAAAACAACAAUUGCUUGGAUAUGCAGAUAUAAGAUAUCUUUUAGAUCCACAUAAAGGUAGGUCACAAAUAGGGUAUGUGUUUAAUUACAAUGGUACUUCUAUUUCAUGGAGAUCUGUCAAACAAUCAAUGGUGGCCACAUCAUCAAAUCAUUUAGAAAUACUGACAAUUCAUGAAGCAAGUCAUGAAUGUAUAUGACUAAGAUUUAUGAUCCAACAUAUUCAAGAAUCAUGUGGACUCUCCUCUAUCAAAGGUGACCUGACAAUAUUAUUUGAAGAUAAUGUUGCAUGCAUUGCAUAGAUGACAUGGGGUUAUAUUAAAGGAGAUAGAACUAAACACAUUUCACAAAAUUUCUUUUAUAUACAUAAACUCUAGAAGAGUGGUGAAAUUGAUGUGCAACAAAUACGCUCAAGUGAUAAUCUAGUAGAUUUAUUCACAAAAUCAUUGUCAACCCCAACAUUCAAGAAGUUAAUAUAUAAUAUUGGAAUGCGUCAACUUAAGGAUAUCGACAUAAGGGAGAGUAUGCUUGUAAAAAGGUGUUAGUGUAUUGUACUUUUUUUCCAUUCGUCCAGGUUUUGUCUCACUGUGUUUUAAUGACAAUGUUUUUAACGAGACAAUCCUAACAUAUCAAGAGCAACUUAAAGAAUUAUAAGAAUAUUGUAUUCUUUUUCCUUCACUAGGUUUUUCCCUUAGGGUUUUUUGACUAGCAAGGUUUUAAUAAGGCAUAUUCUUUUAAUAUGGUAGUCAUCCAAGGGGGAGUGUUAUAAAUGGGUGGUGAAUGACCACCUUAAUGUUACAAUUGAAGUUCAUAAAUGAACUUCAUUUACUCAUCUUUAAGAUGAAUAAAUGUUUUCCAUUUGGAAAGCCUACAAAAGGCCUUCUAUUCUUUGUACAAGAGCAUCCCGAAGAAAAAUAUUUAUCUCUCAUUCUCAUUCUCUCUCUUUUAUUCUCUCUUUCUCUUAUUCUUUAAACUCUUUCACUUUUUCCUGAUCCAUUCAUUCCCAUUAUAUAUUAUUAUCGAGAAAUAUAUAGUUGUUCUCUACUUUUAUUAGUAUUUCAUUUAUCAUCAUUUUACAACAUAAAUUAAUAUUAUUUUAAUCUAUUUAAAAAUAAAUUAAAAUACAUGUACUUUUUACUUUUUAACGAGUCAUCUAAUUAUUUACUAAAAUAUCAUUUUUACUUGUCAUGUCAUUAAUGUAUUUUAAUUUUAAGAAAUAAUUACAUUUAUUUCAAUUUAUUUUUAAAUAGAUGAAGAUAAUACUGAUUUUAAAAAUUUGAGGUUCAUUUUUUCAUAUAUUUUCAUAUUUACGAAUCAAAACCUAUUUUUCCCUAUUUAACUUUGCAAUUCAAGAACCAACGUGAUUCCAACCAAUUCAUGUAGGAUGAAGAUCUUUAACCUGAAUUAUCAAUUCAAGUCAUGACUUAGUAUUUAGUUAUUAAAAUUUUAUUCUAAAAAUAAUUUCAUGGUUUUGUAAAAUGAGGAUAAAUGCAAAGCUAAUAAAAGUAGAGAACAACUAUAUAUUACUCGAUAAUAAUAUAUAAUGGGAAGGAAGGGAUCAGAAAGGAGAAGUGAAAGAGUUUAGAGAAUAAGAGAAAGAGAGAGAAUGAAAAUGAGAGAAAAGGAUAAAAAUCUUUCUUCGGGAUACUCUUAUACAAAGGAUGGAAGACCUUUUAUAAACUUUCCAAAUGGGAAACAUUUGCUCAUCUUAAAAAUGAAUAAAUGAAGUUCAUAAAUGAACUUCAAUUGUUACAUUGAGGUGGUCAUUCACUACCCAUUUAUAACACAUGGUAAAUAAUUGGAUUAAUUAAUAAUUAUUAAUUUAAUUAAAAAAUUCUCAAAAAAUAAAAAUAUGUAAUCUUUGGACUAAUUAAUGAAGGAUUACCCGAUCGGUCACCGACUCUAAUUUAGCCCAAGUCCAUAUAGUCACCGUACAAAUUAAGUUUGGAUUUAAAAGACCUUAUGAUCAAUGACAAAAAAUUGGGCCGGCCCAUGAUCAGCCCAUUAUUACCCGGCUGAACUCACGUAUUGAAAGUUUUUUUGGGAUAAUAAAAAAGCUGCUAAAUAGCUCAAACCCAUCCAAAAUAGGCUUAGGGAGAAUCUUAAUAGAGGGACCAAAAUAUGUCCACCAAUUGUGGAACCAAAAUGGGAAAGAGGAAAGCUGAUUCUUAGAGGGGAAGUAGAACAUCCAUGAAUGAUGGAAGUCCCUGUUCUGGAUUAAAAAAGUAAACCAGGCUUUCUGAUAAUCCCAAUAGUUAAAAAACCUUGGCUUUGAUGGUUCAGAAAAUUCUCUUGAAAAAUUAGGAUUUCCACCCCACUGCUUGACAGUGAGAAUCUUAUAGAUAUGAUAGGUGGAAAAUGCCAAAUCUAAUUUGCUGAAUUUAUCUGCAUUAUGCUUGAUCUUAACAGAUCCAGUCUCAAUGAGA
rnacentral:lncRNA from 1 species